rnacentral:lncRNA from 1 species
GGGGGAAAAAAGCAAAGAGCAAGCCACAAUGGAAGACUCGCCUAUCUAUUCAUUCUACCAGCAUGAAGCGGCAGCUGGAGAUACCCCCAGCCUUUAUAAUUCAUGUAUCCAUGGACACAGAGAAUCAAAUUAACUCCACAGACUAUCCAAGUCAAUCAACACUGAUCUAACUAAAACUCACCAUUGCUGCAUCAUAAACAUAGAGCUCCUCGCCUGUUGGGAUGUGAAUAGUCUUUGGAGCCUGUUUGUUAAGAACUUAUUCAGAAGUCUAAUAUUUGCAAAGGUUCCCCUUGCCAUCACUUCAUCAUUGCCACGACGACUACCAUAAGAAUUGAAAUCUCUACGGUCAACCCACGCUCCAUCAAGUACUUCGCAGCUGGACUAUCCUUAUGGAUGCUCCCUGCUGGAGAAAUAUGGUCAGUAGUGAUACUGUCACCAAAUUUCAGCAAGCAAUACGCAUCCUUGACUCCAUGGGGACCAGGUGGAUCCAUGGUCAUGUCCUUGAAAUAUGGAGGUUGAUGGAUAUAUGUUGAGUUGGGAUCCCAUUCAUAAAGCUUUGAUGAAGGAACAGACAGUUGAUUCCAGAAGGCAUUGCCUUGUGUAAUAGCUUCAUAAGUACUCUUAAACAUUUCUGGGAGCACGCUAGACUGCACCACCUGUGAUCUCAGCAAACAAAGUCAGAUAUGGUAAAAAAUGUCAACUGAAAGUCAAACAACCAAGAAAAUUACAAAGAAACUACCUCAGCAAUUUCUUCGGUACUGGGCCAGAUAUCUUUGAAGUACACACUUUUUCCAUCUUUUCCAAUUCCAAUUGGGUCCUUCUCAAAGUCAAUGUCAACCUGGAAAGAAUCAAAAUGUUAAGGAUCCUAUCAAAAUGCAAGGAUUCCCAUUGAUAUUGGCCCCAGCUGCACAAUAAAAAAAUCAAGCCCCUGGUUUCUCAACCAUAAAAGUGAAUAACCAAUAGAUCAUCAUCAGAUAAAAGUAUUCAACACCAUAAUUAAAAAGGAUGUAGACCACUAUCAUGGUUCGAGGGACUCUUGAUUCCUUGAAAAACACACAAUGCUUAUAAAAAAUUGGAGCAUCUCAACUUCGGUGAUCAUUAUAUUGAUAGCUACACAAAUUCAGAGGAAGAAACCGGAACGUAAAGUUAAAUAAAGUUAUGCAUAAUACCGUGCCAGCAAGUGCAUAAGCAACAACUAAUGGAGGUGAAGCAAGAUAAUUAGCCCUUGUCAGCGGAUGAACACGACCUUCAAAGUUGCGAUUACCAGAAAGUACAGCAGCAGCAAUGAGGUCUGCAAAGGAUGUUAAAAAACAUGAAUGUACAGGAGCAAUACUAGCAAACUUGCAAUAUCGCGUGUCACCCAAAUUUUAAAAGCAAUUUUACUGCUAAGGUUGCUGACAUAUCUAAUAUAGCGACCUAGCAUCAGAAGCAAAAUAGGUUAAAAUCUUUAUUUCUUGCUACUUUACUAGAUAAAAUGACAUAUUGGUCUACACUGGCCAUAAACAAAAGAGAAAAAAAAUACUUCAAUCGCAUCCUCUUUCAAAAUAAACGAACUUCACAAAAAUUCUAAAUAAAGAAAACACUCCUGUCUAGCAGAGCAGCCAUUUGCAACCAUAUCACCAUAUGCAUUUAACUUUUCAUUCAAUUGCCUAUGUGAAAAUUGUAAUAGGUCUCUAAGAUCAUUCAAAAGGCAUCAUUUAGCUUUCACAUUCCCUUUUAUACAAGACAAACUAUAAUAACACAGGCAACAGUAGCACGAUAUGUCUAAAAGUCAAGUGACUCCAAAGAUAUUCGGGCAAUGUAAAUGAAAGCUAGAGGAAAGCCUUGCACAGCUCUGAAUUUAUGUAAAUAUGGGAUAGUAACAUUAUAAACAACUUUAAUACCAUGUUCUGUGAUUGCUGAAGCUACUGAUUCUUGCAGAUCCCCAGAAUUUCCAAUGCAUGUCGUGCAUCCAUAGCCAACAAUGUGAAAUCCUUGCUGGUUCAAAUAUUUUUGCAGGCCACUAGAACAAGAAUAAGAAGUUUAGUUGCUAAUUUAAAACAGUACACUGGGCGAGUAAGGAGUAACUCUUAGAUGAAUUUGCAUCAAAACAUAAGUACCUCUGGAGCAAAUAUUUUGUCACAACUCCAGAGCCUGGGGCAAGACUAGUUUUUAUCCAUGGCUUUACCUACCCAACAGCCAAGAAAAGAAAUUAGUCAAAAACCACUUUCAAGUAUGACUACAACUAGAAUAUGCAGAGAGUCAAGUGAUUAAAGAGACUCUGCACAAAGCAAGGCUAAAGCAAAAGGUAAAAAUCAUAAAGCACUGUAACUUCAAACUGUGGUACAUGCAUGACCUGAGAAACUAAUACUAACCUCCAACCCCAACUCACAGGCCUUCUUUGCAACAAGACCAGCUCCAAGCAUGACACUCGGAUUGGAUGUGUUUGUACAGCUUGUGAUAGCAGCUAUAACAACACUACCAUGUUUAAGUUCAGCAGGCUGGCCACUGAAUGAGAACUUGGCAACCUUACUUUGUUCUUCCUUUGGCACUCCAAACCCCUGGCAAGUGACAGAUUCAGGUAGUUCACUAGCUUAACAUCUGAUCAACAAAAGCAGAACUGUUUCCUACAUUUCACCCAUGCAGUAUAAUCUCACUAAUCUUAUUAAUUUGACAUCAUUUGCAUGGUCAGCCACACAAACAAAAACUUGUCAGAUUAUGGCCAGGCAACUAAAGAUCCCUAUCCAACCAAGAGUAGGGAAGAAAAGGGGAAUCAUGUAAACAAAAAACUAGAAUUAGAGUUUCACUCCUUUCAAUCUUUUUUUCAUGCUUCACGGAUGCGACCAGGUGUAGAAGUAGAAAAGGAACAGUAGAAAAUAACAUUAAAAACAAACAGCAAAAAUUUUUAUCGCACCUUAAACCCAAUUUUGUUAUCAAGACAUGAAUGCCAAUCAUCCUUCAUUUGUCUUAGAGGAACUCGGUCAUGUGGUCUAAAACAAAGAUACCGAUCUCAUCAAUAUAAACAAAAAGAAAAACCAUAACCAAACCAUAAAUUUCCCUGAACAGCUCUAGAACAAACUACCUUUUCGGUCCAGAAACACAAGGUUCAACACCAGCAAGGUCCAAUUCCAGAUAAGAUGAAUACACUCUCUCCUGUUGAGGCUGGCCAAAGUUGAACACACCAAGCAAAAUCAGAUUUUAUGCUUUGAUCCACUUAUAUCACCUUAAAAUGUAUGAAACUGAGAGAUUCUACCUCGCUGUAGUCGACAAACAUCUUGUUUGAGCGCAAAUAUCCUUCUAUCAUUGCCACCUAAAAUAAUUUGAAGCAAAAAGCCACCAGAAAGCAUCUAAAUUUUCUUGUUGAAACCACAAAAAUGAAUAGACUGAGAUCACAGAACUUACUGUUUCAUCACUUCUCCCAGUUAAUUUAAGGUAUUGUAAUGUGACAUGAUCCACAGGGAAGAAACCCAUGGUUGCUCCAUACUCAGGUGACAUAUUUGCAAUAGUUGCCCUAUCGGCCAACGAUAAUUCAGCCAUACCAGAACCUAAACACCCAUAUUCUGUUAGUACUAAACUGUAAACAUAUAACAUGAACAACCCAAGAAAUACUUGAAGAGGUAUAUUUACCAUAAAACUCGACAAACUUGCCAACAACACCAUGCUUUCUCAACAUUUGGGUCACUGUUAAAACCAAAUCAGUAGCUGUGACACCAUUGCGCAACUUUCCGGACAAUUUAAAUCCAACAACACCAGGUAAAACCAUGCUCAUUGGCUGUCAGAUUUAUAAGAAAUCAAAGUCCUGUGUCAUGCCUUAUUCAACAAACAAGUUCAGACAUUCCUAGUUUGUCAAAACAACUAAAUCUAACUUGACAACUCCAGUAAAAGAUGAUAGAACAAAAGGAGAUCCAACUACCUGCCCAAGCAUAGCAGCCUCAGCUUCAAUUCCUCCAACACCCCAACCAGCAACUCCUAGUCCAUCAAUCAUUGUUGUAUGAGAAUCAGUUCCAACAACACUAUCAGGAUAAAGAAUGCCAUCAGUGUUGAAGACAACCCGUCCAAGGUACUCCAAGUUAACCUGAAAUAUUGCCAUAAGAGAAGCGUGUGGUCAAGUUUUCAUGAACAUGUUAACAACGUAAGGACAAAAUUAAAAGCUAAACUAUUUACAAGUUCCCCAAAACUAUUUCAGCCUAAGUAACAAUUCAAAUAUCUAUUAACUUUAUGCCCCAUUAUCAUUAAUAAACAAAAAGUCGCGUGAAAAACCUUCACACCAACUCCAGAUAGAGUUGAACAACAUUUUAUAAUCUAUGUCAGACUUUUACCUGGUGGACAAUACCAGAACCAGGAGGAACAACAAGCAUGUUAUGGAAGGCAGUGGAUCCCCACUUAAGGAAGGCAAACCUCUCAUUGUUCCUCUUGAAUUCAAGGUCCAUGUUUGCCUGCACUGCAUUCUCAUGUCUUGCAACAUCAACUUGAACUGAAUGAUCAAUAACAAGGUCCACAGGUACCUGUAGAAUAUAUCUCAUCUUAGACCUGAUGACAAGGAAUAACAGGAUAGCAAUACUUUUUUGUUAUCUGAAAAGUCAGGCUGCAAUAUGCAACUAUGAAGCGAAGUAAACAACAAAUAAACAAAGACACCCGAACACACCACCCACUGUCAUAACACACAUAUUACAGCAGAACAAGUGGCCAUUGAAGUCAAAAAUGGAACUUAAGGAAGGACGGCUGAAGAAAGAAUACCACAGAGUACAGGUUAAAGGAUAGCUUAGAACAUUCAAGCUAGAGGGUGACAAAUCCCAGUAACACAGGGAAAAAGAAUAAAUAUGUACCAAGGGAUUGAUCUUCUCUGGGUCACUGCCAAGACUCUUUAUGGCAUCUCGCAUGGAAGCAAGAUCCACCACAGCUGGAACACCAGUAAAAUCCUGAAGCAAAAAGAGAAAAAAAUAGUGUUCCAAAAGUUUACUGCAUAUAUUUUCUGAUUAAGUUACUAAACUCAUGCCUCUAACCUGCAACAAAACUCGGGCUGGCUUGAAGGGAAUUUCAACUAGCUUUGGUGAAGUAUUUUGCCAAUCAAUGAUCUUCUCAACAUCAUUCUUGGUGACUUGGAAGUUGUCACAAUUACGUAUAGCAGAUUCCAAGAGUAUCCUAAUGGAAUAUGGAAGCUUAUCUGUAUCCAAAUAAGGUUUUACAUUGUUAAGGAAAAUGAGAGCCUUUUCUCCUCAAAACAAGAAACCUUAAAUAUUGUACUAAUGAAAAUUUACUAAUGACCUUAGUCAAUUAGCGAAAAAAUCCCACUAGGUAUAUCAGGUUGAAAUAUGACAACUUUGUUUACAAAUAGGCCAGGAGACAGAGAUACCUAAGGGAAGAGAAGAAUAAUAAUGCCAGAAUAAAACAAAUAAAUUUCUACCGGAAAAGACAAGCCAAGAUACCCUGAUAACACAUGAGAAUAGUACGACUAGGAGCACAUACCAAUUCUGGGAUCAUUUAAAGCAGGAAGGCUAUAGAACUUUCCAAAGUCACCACCUCCAGGCUUGGGUAGACUGGUCAAUAUUCCCUUAUAAGGAUGUUCAGGAGCUGGAACAUAAAUCAAUAAAACAAUCACCACAAAGUUAAGUUCAACAGGCUAAAUUGUGGCAAUAUUAUUCAAGUAAGCUUAAUUAGGCAAUUGAGGUAAAUAAAGGUGAAACCACGCAGUUGUCAUUGUCAUCCCAAGAUAAUAAGACUUGAAGGGGAGAGAGAAAAAUGAAACAGAGCAAAUAACUGCAAAAAGCUAAUAUCCUAUACUAAGGCAGCAACAAUUACAGCUCUUCAUUUUAAAACAAUAAAGAACAAAACCUUUUUUUUCAAAGACAAAUCAAAUGUAGGUACACAAACGUACAUUUCAAGCUGGUUCACUUCAGCAUGUAAGUUUGACGAGGAAAAACAGUUGUGCAUAAAGUAAAGCCUUUUUUUUUCCAAAGAGUAUCAGAUGCAACCCAAUAAACCAACUUUUACAAGUAAAACUCCAACUUUUCACACGAAUGGCAAAUUCGACUAGAUGGAUAACAAUUCAUCCAACCCGAAAUGAAUAGCAGACAUCAAUUAAGCACGAAAUAAACUCAUGAUCAAGCAAACCACACAAAAACCUUUCCACAUGAGGAACCGAAGAAAUACAUUAGAAUCAAGCUAAAUUGAAAUUGAGUUAAUAACUCGAGAAAUUUGAUUGAAUUAUACCCAUAGUUGCGAUCUUUCGCUCGAAGCGUUCGAUGACAGGAGCAGCAGUUCUGAUCUGAGCUCUAAGACUGACAGGCGAUCUCCAGUCAACGCCGUGACUCCACCGAGGACAGAGCAACGAAGCGAUCGAACCGCCGACGAAGGUUUAAAAGACCGACAAGUGAUAAACGACGACGGUUUGGAUACCGAAGGAGAAACGAAGCUUCUGGAAACAGAAGAGAAAAUAGAAGAUGGUGAUGAUGAUGAAAUUGUAGAUGCAAAACGAACCCUAGCAGCUCUCAAGAUUGCAGCAGAAGCAGAUUUGACACUGACGAUGAAGGUGAGCAUGUGGGUACAUACAUGACGGGAGAGCAUCCGGUUUGUCAGAGUGUCAGUGAACCCUAAAUAGAAAAAUCACAAUGGGGGAAUACAACUUCAGGUUUCUCUCUCUCUCUCUCUUUUUUUUUUUUUUUUUGCGUUUAUUUAUAGAUACUGAUUUUUGUAUGUAUAGGCUCGUUGAAGGAGGAUCGACAGAUUGUUCACUUCGCUUGGCUGCUUCUGCGUGGAAAUGGAUAUCAGGAUAGAGAAUGGAAGGGUUUUGAUAAGGUGCUGCAGCAGUGUGGUUUUGGAAUGCAAUUGGUAAUCAUGGACCAUAGGAUGAAGAGUGAUGGGAUAAGAGACGGUGUGGAUGAAUUUAGGUGGUGUUCCCCGUGAAAAGGGGGGAAAAUGGAAAAAGUACGCCUUCUUAUUUUAAGUUGUUUAUAGAGUAAUUUGUAGAUGCUAUGACUAAUUAUACACACCCUAGGUGUGUGAUUGUUUUAAAAAAAUGAAUGAUUUAUUUUUCACACAAGUACAUAUUAUGAUAGACAUGCAUGGGUUUACUGAAAAAUCUAUAAUUAUUACUUUUGCUUUGGAGGAUAUUAUUGUAUUUAAAGUCAUGUUGAAAAAAAGAAAGAAAGAAAGAAUGUGAAUAGUUUUAAAAAACUAACGUUAAUGGGAUAUUUUUGAUAUAACACAAAGUUACCUAAAUUAUUUACAAGUUCUCCUCCGUAAUAUAUAUAUUACGCACGUAUAUACAUAUAUAUAUAUUCAUCAUUCUACAUGCAUGUAUGUAGAUGCACGCCGCGCGCACACACACGUAUAGAAUGAUGAUUAUACAUAGUAAGAUAUUAAUGAUCAUUUUCAUUUCUUUAUAUUUGAGUGGGUGGGUGUGAAUUUAUGUGUAUUUUUUCAGUGUAAUUAAUUCUACCCAAACUUUUAUUCAUUGAUAUGCUUAAUCACAUGCACUUACAAUCUAUUUUUGCAGUGCACCAUGUUUUCUAUAGGCUACUUCUUCAAAUGCAUAUGACCUCACAAUAAAUCAAAAUUAGGUUAGCCUCUAUAGUUAAAAAGAUAAAUUUAUUUACGAAUUAACCUUAUGAUUAUUUGAUCAAUAACUGUUGUGUUAAAAGAAAAAGUAUUGGUCAAAGCAAAACAUUCGCAACUAAUUUAGGUCAGGCGUGUUUGGAUAGCCUUUUAUUUCUCAAAGAAUUAUUUACUUGUACCACAAACAUAUUUUUUAACACACAAUUUUAUCUAGUCAAUCACCUUUUUUUAUCUCACGUGUAAAAAGGACUUGGUCUGCUGCACAGGCAUGGUUGAUCAGGUUGAGGCAUAAUUGUCGGCAUAGUAGUUGCAGGGAAGAGAUGAUUCAUCGCCACUGUAACAAACGAUUUACACUACUGUAAAAGGGCAAAUACACAUUCAGCCUCCCAGUUAACUAGAGAGCUCAGAAAAUUCAUGUCAUUGUCCAUGUAAUUGUAAGGGUCAAAAUUUUGGCGUUAAAACCCCCUUGGAAAUAAUUGAAAAAGACGAUCUUUGAGGAGCAAAAAUCACAAAAUGACCACCCAUCAUCACUCGAUGGUAAAGCAUAUAGUAGUAUCACGUAGUCAUGUUGGAGGUUGCCAUGUCCCUGGUCUGAACGAUUCACCUGUUCCCGUAGGCUCGGAAGAACUGAAACAACAGUUGUGUGGGUCAAAACAUUUUGAGUAUAGAAGAUGAUGAUUAUGCUAUUUCACAUGAAAUCAGUAAAAUAGAUCAUCCUAGUUUCAAAUAAUAACACGUCACUAAUAUGGACUUUUUUGUUCACAACUUUUGAGUUGCCCGCUCUUAAAAGUCCACUGAUGUCGAGUAGACAAAAUCUUGGCAAUAGCACAAUGGCAGGCAUACACGAAAUGAAAUGGAGGAGUAGAAACACACUAACUGAAUGAACCAGGAAACUUACUCUUCUUGUUUUUGUCUAACUUCAUAUGGUGGUUGCUUCUCUGAAUCAGUUGCUUUGGAGGCCCUGUGACCACAAAGGCAUGCCAAAAGGGAAAUUUCAGGAUCAGAUGUACAUCCGUGCAACGCUAAUUGACAACGAACAAAUAAAGAACAAGAUAGACUUGUUGCGGGUUUAAUUUCAAUUCACUUGGACCACAUCAUUAACAGGUGCAUAUACAAUCGACUGACCUCCCUGAUGCAUCAAGUGCUUCCCCACGUCCAUCACCUUCAAGAAUAAAAUAACACAGGGAAAAAGUAAGAGACAUGGCAUAUUCUCAUGAAAAGAAAGGAGAUAUUAGCAGACGAGUAAGGUCGGAGGAUGGAAGCAAUCAUGCUCAAUAAAUAGACAAAUGCAGAACCAGAUUACAGAAUUGUUCAUUCUCUGCAUCCUCUCUUCUCUCAAGACAGUGGUUCUUUAGUAAGUAUAUGAAGAAACAUGUAUAUCUAACUCUCGCAGUUUCCAAAUUUUAUAGAGGGCACAGGGUUAUGCAAGGAGUAAAAGGACUGUAGGCAUAGAAGCUAACUAAUACUGGAAAAGAUGCAAGAUGGAAGUGAUAGCAGACAGCAGAGUUUAGACACUGGGAAGUAGUUCCAGAAAGUUUAUCUUCCUACAGCUGGCUUAAAAUGUCUGUCAAGCAAAGCUUUUGUCCAUUUAUUGGAUGGAAAGUUCAACUUAAGAAACGAAAGUUCAGGGACUUAAUUUCAAAUCCAAAGAAGAAGGCUUAGGAUGGCACGUAUCUUGAACUCCAAAGCCGACUAGUGAAUUUUGCAUUCUGCCCAAUAUAUUAAUAGUUUAAACUUUGCAUUAUCCAUGCAGAAUUAUCCCCUCAGCUGUGGGCUAAUUAUUGGUCAUUACAAGUAUAAGAAAGCAAGUUCAUAACAGCGCCUAAUGUUAUAAAAAGGACAACCAAUUUAACAAUUAAAAUGGUAAAACAAUAUUGGCUACCUUCUGAAGUAACUGGGAGCUGCCGGAUAAAACUCUUCAAGUCUGGCCCUACAACUUUACCUAUACCAAUGAUAGCCUUCUGUGAGUUUAGUACAAUAACACCAUGUGAAAGUAUACAAGAAAAUGCGUGGCUUACCAGUCUUAGCAGCUUCUUGACUAAGACCUUUGGCCCCCCUUUCCUCCUCUUCUUUCUUGAGAACUUAGUGCAGUAAAAUAUUUGUUAAGCACUUGCUUUGGUGAAAAACUAUAUCACAACAACUUCAAUUUUUUGAAAUCUAAUUAAGAAGAUUAAGCUCAUCAUAAAAACCUGGAGAUGCUGAUUUUUUGAAUCUAGGAACAAUAGUUCAAAAUUACAACACAUUUUAUAUUCUUUUAUGGACAAAUGCAAGCUUAUUAUUCCAUGAAAACCCUGCAGCACUGACCAUUUAGCGUUCUGCCAUAACUUACUCAGAUAUGAAAAGAAUCACCUCACAUUAGACUGUUCCGGGAAACAUGAAAAUAUAUAGCAUGAGCUAUUACUCAUGGUUGAUUGAGAAGCUCUUUUCUCAGAUUCUAUCACAUGCCAAAGUUUCAGAUACAAGGUUAUGGGAAGUCAAAUCCAGAAAAGAUAAGCACUGAUGGAAGUUGAAAGAGAUUACACAAAUUAUACUUACGAGCAACAUUGAGUCUAACACGUUCCCGUCUAGCCUCAAGCUCAGCCAUUUCCUGACAACCAAUUAAUAAUCAACUAAAUGUUUCUGUUCUCUUUCAACUUCUAGUACAUGAUGUAUGGAGAACUUCUAGAAUAUCCCCUGAAGAUAAAAACAAAGACAGCGGUAUAUUGUCCACAUAGAACAUAAAAAAUUUCUAAUAGAAGAAGACUUUCCUACCCUAUUCACCUAUUGACAAUCGAAAGGAUGGGAACAGCACUUUCAGAAGAGAAGUGACCUUCAGUUUGCUUAGCAUCAUAUGAAACAAAAGACAGACAAGGUUGCUUAAUUUACCUCAGGCGUAGGAGUUAUCUUUCGCUGUCCAUUCAGCCAACAUAUCCAUUCGACUACAAUGGUUUAAGCAUAAAAUGACUGAUUAUGAGAACAAAAUGUGGAGAAGCAAGGUGCUUGUGAUCAUAAAAUUGAACAACUUCACCAACUUAAAGUAGGAAAAUCAAGGAUUCAGGUUUAUAAGUGGGUAUGGAAAAGCAGAAGCAUUUUCCCUCAAUAAAGAAUUCCUCAAAUUUAGCAUAUCAUUGUAGAUAAUUAACACAUUAAACAACAAGUUCCAUUCACCCCGAUAAUUUUAAAAUAAUCCAAGAAAAUAAGCCACACAAUAAAGGAAAGUAACAAGAACAAUGCUCUGUCCGAAGAGAUAUACCUGGAACUGAAGUUGGUUCCUGCUCUCCUUUGAAUACCACCCAUCGUUUCUCUUUCACUGAUGCAGUCACAUACGUAGACAUAAGGCCAAGCACAUUUACAAUUUCAAUUUGCAAAAAAGCUGAAGAAACGGCAUUGCAGCUACAUAAUAUUAACAGAGAGCCAACAGACUUCCUCAAGCUAGUAGUUUAUCUCAUUAAACUAUCUACACGUUCCGCCAGAUCAUGCAGUACAAUAAUCUGAUGAUAGCAGUUUCCAAUAACUAAAUGAGUGUGGAAAAGAACUACUAGCACCAUGAUAUUAAGCUUCACUAAAACUCAAAGUUCCCAUCUUUGUAGGCCUUACUGCCAGGACAUCUUUUGGCCUAAAAUGGCGACUAAAAUAAUUGGACAAACACCGACGAAAAUCAAACUUUUCUGCGUCCUAUAUCACACCUUGACCAGUUUCAUUUCAUCUAUACUUUAGUUCAGCUUUUAAAUCAAAGUUCUUCAAGCAGCAUUUCAAUAAAUAAAAAAAAUAAAGGAAUCAGCAAGAAUGUGUGCAAAUUCCUCCCAAAGUUCCCAAUUCAUACAUCGAAAUUCACAAAGUUCCAAACUUAUUAAUACAUGUCCAAAUACCAUAUGCUUUAUGCCCAUUCAUUUACUAAAAUUAUAUAUAUUGCCAAACUAGCACAAAGUGCGAGAGAGGAAAAAAAAAGGAAGAAGAAAGGACCCACUUACUGACACCAUCAAUUUCUUCCAUUCGAGUAAAGUAUCGAUUCCCAGCUUUGUCCAUUCCCGCCAUAGUCGAUUUCUGAAUAAUCCCACAAUUUUGCCCAAUCUCGACAUCCUUUUUCUUUUUCGAUAUUAAUCAGCAGUAAUCAGGAAAUAAAUGGUUCUUCAACAGCUUCUUCUGCUUUCUGCUUCUUCUGGACUCUCAACCAUAAGCUUCUGUUUUCCUUCCUGAAACCUCAAGAAAGGAGUUCGAACCCAGGUGACUUCAAGUCUUGAAUAUUGUGUACCACAUAAGACAGUGUUUGGAAACAACCUGAAACGUUAACUUCUGCGUUAACUAUUGUAAUCAGCACUUUUCAUGCUGCUCCAUUCCUAUUCCUAUGGAUCAAAAUCACUUGAUUCAACGUAAACAAAUCACCCGAAGUAUGUUCUCUUGCUCUUCGAACUCCAUAAUUACAAAAUAAUCAAGAACAGAUGUCAUUGGUCCCAGUAUUGGGUAGAGUCUGGGGUUGGGUUUGUUCUCAGUAUCGCUGGUAUCUGCCAAACAGUUCCAUAGCUGGAAUCCCACAUCGGAUAACAGAACAGUCUGGACUUCUUCAAAUCUCAGAGAAUGAGCAAUCUGCCCGCCGAGCCUGUAGCGCGGGCUUGUAACCAAGCGGGGGCAUAGAGUGAUGGAACAUUGGUCCGACUAGAGGGUAGGGUUGAGAGCGCUAUUUACUAGUCUGCCCACUCCAAGCGGAGAGCUGGGCCGCGUAAUCUUGGCGAAGGCUGAUGUUUCACGGUCCCUAAAGAGUGGACACUGCGCGAGGCUGGCUUAACAGAGCAGCGAAAACCACCCGCUCCUUGCAGUGGAGGGACUACAGGCUGGUGCGCUCCUGGCCCAUCAUUGCCCAAUGGGCGGCCCAAAUUGGACCAUCACUCUUUUAAUCAUCCAAUUUUUCCUUUUAAAUCUUUUUUCUAGAUAAAGGGAGGGGGAAAUUUAUGCAGCAAUUUUUCUUUUAAAAUAUGUCUUCCAGAUAAAGGGAGAGAGGGGAUUUAGUGGCAGCAAAAAAGAAAAGAAAUCUAAAUCUAGAUCCUCUUAUUGAAAAAGGGCAAAAGAAUGACGCCUUUCAACAGUUUGUUUCAAUCUUUCAUCCAGAUGAAGAGAGGGGUAGGAUUUAUGCCACAGGAAAAAAAUAAAUUUGAAUUUAGGUCCUCUAAAUUCUAAGGGCAGCUAAUUUUCUAAUUAUUGAAAAAAUUGAAAAAUGUCUUUCAACUGCUUGUUUAAAAUGUCUUUCAAUUACUUUUUUUUUCUGCAACGAUAACAUUAACAUUCCUAUAAGUUAAUCAUUUUCAUAGUCUUUUAACUACUAUUUCAAUCCAUUUUUCAUUUUACAGGUGUUUGGUGUUUGAAUUGAGUAACUAUCUAGAAAUUUGUUCUUCUUUUGGUGAUAUGAUUGUGCAUACAAAAUAGAAAGUGUGAUCUAAAACCAUAUCUAGAAAAUAGUAACAAAACAUUUUUUAAAAGUAAUCAAUUAUCCAAACAUAGGAGAUGAAUUUCUAGAGAAAGCUUUCCCAGCAAAUGUUGCACACGGGACUCAAACGAUGCAAAUAUUAGUCAAUUGUUAAAAUUUUGGACAUUUGGACAAACAUUAGGCCCAUGAUUGAAAAGUUUAGGCCCAAUUUGUGCUUAGUCCAAUUUCAAUCCUCUGUCACAGUCUCACUACAUCUUCCACGGUUUCACCUGAACUGUUAAAAGAAGAUCUAAAACCAAUUUGAUAGCCGCUGGCCGGAAUUUCAUCUCCGGCGGGCGUUCAACUAUUUCAUUAUUUGGAUCUUCUUUUACCAUUCUCUCUCCCAAGCAAAACAGUUCAAAAUCCAACUUCAAAUUCCAAAUAUCUCCAAAAUCCCCAAAAGCUCGAUCUUUCUAAUCUUAAACCCUCUAUUUCUUUUGCUGCAUCUUCUUGUAUGAAACCUGUAACGUGCAAACUAUGAUGUCUUGCUCCAACAUAUCAACAACGGUCUCCUUAAAACCUUCAAUUUGUGACCCCUCUUCAAUUUCUUCCCAUCUCAGCUCAACCCCCAUCGCAUAUUAAAUUAUCAAACAAUUACAGAUACAAAAAGGUUUGAUUUUUAUCAUAUUUCGAGAGCGCCCCUUAUUCAAAAUGGCCUCCGUGAGCUCAGGGAGCGGAUGGAAACAGUAAAAAACACCCAAAAAGUGACAGAAGCAAUGAUGCUAGUUGCAGCUGCAAAAGUGCGGAGAGCCCAAGAAGCAGUAAUCAAUAGCAGACCAUUUGCAGAGGCCCUUGUUGAAGUCUUGUACGAUAUCAAUGAGCAGCUUCAGUUGGAUGAUAUAGAUGUUCCUUUAACAAAUAUUAGGCCAGUCAAGAAAGUUGCUCUCGUUGUGAUGACUGGAGAUAGAGGUCUUUGUGGGGGUUUCAAUAAUGUUAUGCUGAAAAAGGCUGAGGCCCGGAUUAAGGAGUUGAGGAAUCUUGGAUUGGAUUAUUAUUUGAUUAGUGUUGGAAAAAAGGGCAAUGCUUACUUUCAUAGAAGGGAUGGUUUGUUUGUGGGUAGAUUUGUCGAGAGCGGGGGAUUUCCUACUUCUAAAGAAGCUCAAGUGAUUGCUGAUGACGUUUUUUCUCUGUUUGUUAGUGAGGAAGUUGAUAAAGUUGAGCUACUGUAUACCAAAUUUGUGUCAUUGAUAAAGUCUGAUCCAGUAAUUCAUACUUUGCUUCCACUGUCUGCUAAAGGAGAGCUUUAUGAUGUAAAUGGCAAACGUGUUGGUGUAGGCAAAGAUGAGUUUUUCCGAUUGACAACAAAAGAAGGGAGAUUGACUGUGGAGAGGGAUCGCCCAAUUCGAAAAAAGAGGGAAUUUUUGCCUAAUUUGGAGUUUGAGCAAGACCCUGCUCAGAUUCUUGAUGCAUUGAUGCCACUUUAUUUAAAUAGUCAGAUUCUGAGGGCAUUGCAGGAGUCAUUUGCUAGUGAGCUAGCUGCAAGGAUGAAUGCAAUGAGCAAUGCCACUCAGAAUGCGGUGGAGUUGAAGAAGAACCUUUCCAUUACUUAUAACAGGGAAAGGCAAGCUAAGAUCACAGGGGAGAUCUUGGAAAUUGUUGCUGGAGCAGAGGCACUUAUUUAGUUUGUUUCGGUUUUGGCUAUGCAAUCUUUAAUUCAUUGUAUGAUCUCUUCUAUGAUUCUAUCCCAAGCCUCUCAAUUCCAAAACUUUUGAAUCCGUUCAAUAUGCUUAUUUCACUACUUUAUUAGGCGGGGAUGAGAUGGACCGCUUUCUAACAGCAAUCAAUCAAAUAAGGACCAUGGUUUUUAAUGUGGUAUCGGCGGGGUAGGACGGAGGGUUGCCAAAUUAAAUCCAUUUUUAGAUGUAAUUUGCAGUGUAAAAGGAGCAGAACUCCAAAUCCAUUUCCUUAUUGGAAGAAGAAGUCCUAAAGGAGCAGAACUCUGCUCCAAAUCCAUUUCCUUAUUGGAAGAAGCCCUAAAGGGAGCAGGACUUGGUCGUGGUCAUGGACCCUAUAUAAAGGACAGGACCUACAUCGUUUUCACUACAUCGUUUUCACUACAACACAGAGAGAGAAACACUAGUCUAGAAUUGAACAUGGCGGAGGUAAUAAAAAGCAGACCAAUCCACCGUUGUCCACCCCCUCCGAGUCUAUACCCCUGGCUUGUUUUCUUUCAUGGCAAAAAUAUGGAAAACCAAACCUUUUAUUGCCUGUCUCAGCCCAGUACCAAAUACGUUAGAUCAAUUCUUGAGUUGCAGAACAAAAGAUUUUGGCUGUCAUCCCACGGCUGGUUAGUUUUGUCAGAAAAAACUCAGUUUCAUCUUUGGAAUCCAAAAUCUUUGGAAUCAAUUUAUCUCUCUCCUUUGGACCUGCAACCUAGACAACAUGUCGAAGGUAUCCUAUUAACAUCGUCUCCUGCAAAUCCCGGAAGCUUUCUCUUGUUAUUUUUGGCUAAUCCUCAGAGCAUUGCGUUCUGUUACAUCAAAGACCAAAGGUGGACUAUAAGAAGCUGCAGCAAAGAAGAGAUCAAUAUUAUAAGCGGGACCGACGAUGGUUGGCGUCAUUUUUGUUUGCCAAUUGUCUGCAAUGGUAGAAUAUAUGCUACUGCCUGUUGCAGACGUCGUCUGGCAGAGAUUGAGAUUUUCAAACAAAGGCUUGUUAUAAGAUCUCUUCACUGUCAGCUACCUCUUUUUCAAUCCGUAUGCGAUCACGUAAAAAUGUACUUGGUGGAAUCCGAUGGGGAUCUCUUUGCGAUAAAUUUUGAGAUACACUCCAGGGAAGCAAUGAAUAUUGAUGUUUUCAAUUUGGAUUUCCCAACUAGGAAAUGGAACAGAGUGGGCAGUUGCCCAGAUAGAGCUUUUUUCUUGAGCAAUGAUGAAGCAAUCUCAUGCCGAAUUAUGAUAACUGAUAUAGAACGAAUGGGAAAUCGAGUUUACUUCACACGUUACCAAGGGACUUCCCUAUACUCCUACCACAUUGAAGACAAAACUAUCUCAAUGUCUUCACCUUGUCCAGAUUUGUCGACAUCCUGGAGCACACCAAUUUGGGUGUUGCCUGACCCUGAGGGGACCGAGUACCAUCAUCAUCCAGGCGGAGAUCAAAAAGAGAAUGGAAAAAAGGAUAUACAAGUCGGAGCAAAUGGACAUUGUGAAACUCAGGAGAAACUUGAGGAAGCAAAUAGAACAAAUUUGAACGGGAGGAUCAGAAAAUGGAUCAGAUAAUGGACGAGGAAGAGGAAGGAAGCUCAGACAAUGGAUGAGGAAGGAAUAGGAGUGCGAGUUGAAUCACACUUGGAGAGAAGGAAAUGGGUGUUGUGCGGAUAGCCUGGCAGAUAAUGGACGAGGAAGAGGAAGGAAGCUCAGACAAUGGAUGAGGAAGGAAUAGGAGUGCGAGUUGAAUCACACUUGGAGAGAAGGAAAUGGGUGUUGUGCGGAUAGCCUGGCAGGCCACCUGAUGUUGUUAAGAAGUGCUUAAAUGAUUAUGCAAGGGAAGUUUGAAUGAUCUUGGUGGUGAAUGAUGAUGCAAGGGAAGUUUGAAUGAUCUUGGUGGUGAUUUAAGUAUUGGCCAAACUCAAAUCACAAGUCAUCAAGUGAUAACCGUGCAUGGCUGUAGCUCUUUUUAAAAUUCAAAAAAUUUCGACAUUAACUUUUAAGUUCUUCAUUUUCUCUUUUAAAUAGAGUCUCUCUCUAGCGAGACCCAAAAAAAGAGUUUUACUUCCAUAAAAUUAUUUUUCAGUGAUUAACUAGAAUCUUGUCAACUAUAAAUGUUAACUAAGUUUAAUAUGUACUUCAAUCCCCAAGGCGUAAGAUUAUUGUAUGUUGCAGUGUAACAACUCCAAACACUAACGAACUGCAGCCAAAGCCCAAAGGCAAAAAUAACCCAAGUAAAUCGUACUAAAACUGUACAUUAGCAUUGUGACAAGUAAUAAUGCAAAUUCAAAUAUUCAAUCUUCUUUGGCCAUUUCAACAUCUAAAUUGAAAGAAAAAUGUCAACUCUUCUAGACACUUAUAAGUCUUUUAUGAGAACUUUCGGUCAUGGAGAACAUGUUGCCCCAGUCUCGUUGUCUCAUGUGGAGCAUUGCUGGGGUUUGGAACUGCUAUAGUAUGCAUGGUGAACGCAGUGUAACAGAAUGUUUCAUUUCGAGGGGUCCAAAAGAGACAGAUAAAUUGGACUUAAAACAGAAGACAUCUGCAAGUUUUUGGAUUCCAUAUUAGCUUCAAAGAAUUUGGAAUUUUGGAUGACUGACCAGUAUGAAGGUCCAGUAACUGAUUUUGCUUUGGCAUACGCAAAUUGCGCAGAGUUGGAGGACAACUUGCCUUCUUAUUAGUAAUUAAAUUAGCUGGCGGACAAACAUCAGAACAAGCCUGCAUAUAAAAAAUUGACUGAAUUAGAGGGACAGAAUCGCCCUAACCUGUGGGACCUCGUACCGCCGUACUACUUAGUUGAUGGCGGCUGCUAGUGAUUCCAGACGAGAUUUGGUAUGUGACAGCCCACCUCCCCUAAGGCCGGAUUUGCGACGUGGCAGUCACUAUUCAUCCUUCGGUUUUGAUUUUCGUUUGUUUCGUGGUUGUUGAAUCGUUUAAGCGUGCUAAUAUAUUUCGGAACGUUUUAAUUUGUGUAUACCCGUCUUAGUAGUCCUGGCGAAAGUUAAGUAGGCGGUCCGCCGAAUCCUUUGGUUCGGCUUAGAGGAGGUGGGGCUGUCACAUGGUAUUACGAGCAAAUGAAUCUACUGAAGAAACAUGAAUAUGUCCUCCUCUAUCACCAAAGAUACUCUUCUUCAAAUUUGAAGAAAAGGGAGAGGUCGAAAUAGUUUAAAUUGGAAUUUUGUCAUGCUGGAAUGUCCAAAGCUGAAGGCAGCCGCAUUCAUUGAAUGGCGGCCAUGCCUCUUAUACGUCAAUGUAGAAGCCAGUUAGCCAACAGCUAAUUUCGGGGGACUCAUUUUCAACGAGCAAGACAAAGAAACAUGCUGCAUUAUUAUUUUAUAAAGCAAAACCUUUGCUGGAAGAAUUAACUAUUUUACAAGAUUUAAUGCAAAAAGAGAAGUUAUCGUCCUGAAAGAUUUUUCUUGUUGCUCUAGAAAUUUUCUUAUGUCACGUUGAGUAUCAUGUUUAUCAGAUGUUCUUUUUUAUCAUUUUAAGCUAAGAUGAUUUGCCCACCAAAUUUGACCUCUUGCUGGAGUUAAAAUUUACGUACCUGUGGCUGUGGGUCUGGGAGUGUGGGUUAUUGUUGUUUGUGGAAUACACUGAUUGGAAGGAGAAUAGACAGACAAAUAUUACUACUUAUAGCAGAGUCAUGAGAACAUAUGGCAUCAUGAUUCUUUUCCUAUUAUUAUGCAGAUAGUGAAAAGAAACAAGUUGGAUCCAAAGAUAUGCUUAGAUUUGGAUCGGAUAUCCAUUUCACUGAGUCAAUUGAUGUCAAGGGCUUAACCUGAUUAGUCGAAAAUGGUCUGGACCCAUCUUUAUAAUCAGUGGGAUACUGGAUGGAAACCUCCCUCCCCUUCGCGAGGGGACCCUUUACUGUAAAAAAACCAUAGAUCACUUGAAAGAAAUGCUUGAAGGAAAUUCCACGGCAAGUAACCAAAGCAACCAGUCGUUCAGAGCAAAACAGCAGGCGGAUGAUGAAAUCAAGGUUUGAAUAUACAUAUGAUAAUAUUAGAUUGUGGAAAAACUACAUGUGCAUUGCACUCAGCAGCACCAUUACCAUUACAGGUGGUAGUUGUCUUUCAGAAAGUAUCCGGAUUUUAGUCUUACAAAGUUCAAAUGAAGUCCAAAUCAGAGAAACAACCGGGAAAGGUUUUUGAUGCUUGACUACAUAAUUUUCUAUACCUUUAUGACGACAUUAACCACCUUCUUCAGGAGAUUAUAAAUCAAUAAAAUAAUUAUGGGUCUCCCUACUAUUAUUGGCAGAGUCACCUCCUCAUUUCUAAUUGAAUCUAUUUAUCAUAGUGUUGUGCAUUCUCCCCCGAGUCCGGAGCCACUAACUAUUACAGAAUCAGAAAGUUAAUCCUCAUCUUGUGUGAACUUCCACUUCAUACUCUUCCAAUCUUCUAUCCUUCAAACUUUUUGAGACAUAUUGUCUUCUUUUUUGGCUGGGAGAUUGGAGGCUCUUGUCUUGAUAUAGGAUAUUUUUAAGCAUACAAAGGGGUCCUGUAGUCUUUGUUAGGUAGAUACAAAGUGAAACGCAUAUAAUACUUGCAGAUGUUAUUCUGACCUUUCACUAUCAAGAUUCAAGAGUGAGUCAUUUAAAAAACAAGGGAAACGCAUGCACACACGUUAUUUAGAGAAUUUCUAGGAUUGGCCGACUUCUGCCAUCUCUCUUGGUGGCUAUCUACUUUCAGCAGACUUCCCAGCUUCAUUUGAUGUUCAUAAACUGUAGGUGAGAAACUGAUUCUCUAAGCAGAAGUAAUGCUUUAAGCUUCUAAAUCUGCUAGCCGGUCCCUUAUGUUGCUCUCCCUUUCUUUCUCAGAGAUACACACACGCAUCACACAUCACAAUCUCGCUCACGCAGCAUUUCUCACCCGAUAGAUUGUUGAAAUCACUGUCUCAGAUUUAGAGCUGCAAUUCCUGAAUCAUGACUUCUUAACUCAGCGAACUGUGGAUUCUCUCUGUAAAAACUUUUGAUUGCACGGGAUUUGCCUAGUAAAAAGAUAAUUCCACUCUCUUAAAACUUUGGAUGCUUUCUGAGAUUGUUGGUUCUGAGGUGGGAAAAGCAACAGUGAGAGAUCCUCUCUUUUCUACUUGGAAUAGCAUGUAUGCACCUGUCUUUUUUGGUUAAUGGAUUUAGCCAGUUGACUUAAUUGGAUUUUGUGUUUUCAGGGGGAUGUCAUCAGCUGAAGGCAAGUAUAGCUUGUACAGGCAAGGCAGCUCUGGUUGGUCAACCUUGAGGAAUGAAGAAUUUCAAGAAGAAGAUGUCUGGGGUAUUCUCGGGCGAAGUAAAGAAUUGAAGAAGUCCAACUCUGAUUCCUACAGAGAAUCGUCCUCUAUGGUUUCGAGGCGCCGGCCGACUGCAUCGAGAAUGAUUCCAAAAGCCACCAGUAGUAAUUCUGGGACCGAACCCAAAAUUAUUCAACAGUCAGCCCCUGUUAACAUCCCUGAUUGGUCCAAGAUUUAUGGAAGCAGCUCCAAAAAACCAUCCAAUACUGUUUCACGGCUUGAUGAUGAUGAUGAUCACGGCAAUAGCGAUGGCGUGAUGUAUAACAGUUGGGACAGUGAUGAAGAAGAGGAAGAUGAUGGCAGUGUGGUUCCACCCCAUGAAUGGAUCGCCAGAAAGCUUGCAAGGAGUCAAAUAACCUCAUUUUCUGUGUGCGAAGGUGUUGGAAGAACACUCAAAGGUAGAGAUCUGAGCAAUGUCAGAAAUGCUGUGUUAACCAAAACAGGAUUUCUUGAGUAACUAUUUGUGAUGGACAUGAUUAACAUUGUCAUGAUGGUGAUUCUGUUUCAUCAAUAUGAUUGGUAAUGUAAUACUGCUAGUAAAUAUGGGUCCCUGUGAAAUCAUGCUGCUAUUAUCUUAUCGCAAUUCAAUUGUACAGGUUUGUCUGCCUGCUUCAGGAUUUCUGAUUAGACAAUUUGCCUUAUUUGGUAUAAAUAGACAAUGUGCUUCCUGUAUUUAAUACCAGUGUAUUUUCCUGUUAGGUUAGUGCUGCUGUGGGUAAGAGAUUAACUGCUUGCCCUUCAAAUUAAAAGUGAACUAAUAAAAUAAGUACGUGAUGUUGAUAAUUUUUCAUUUCUGUUUUUCUAUUUCUUCUUUUGGUUACCAAUGGGGUUAACUGCAUGGAGAUCAAUCAAAACUUGUUCUUCGACAAAAAAAAAAAGGGUUCCAAUAUCCACUACCACUGGCGCUUUAUUCGAUGUUUAAACUACUUUAUGAUUCUUGCCUCUCCUUAAUGCAAAAUAGUUUGUUUAUUGCUAGUCUGAAUUUUGCAAGUUUACCUCUCUUUUUUUUUUUCUUUUUCCUGAUCAAUAAAUUUCACCUAAAGCACGUAUACGACUUUCAUACAACGACAAUAAUAGAUACAACCAGACAAGGAGUACAAAAAGUAUUGCUAGUACCUUUGUCCAACGGUACCUUUACUCGUGUUCAUAAAGAAAAUACCCAAAUUUAGAAGAGGACAACGAAAAUGACAUUAUCGAAGAGUAAAAACAAGGUGGCAAUGGGAAAAAAAAAAGUUGUGUAUUCUUAUAUUGUGAUAUAACAUUUAGUACAAAUAAAAUUGUGCGACCGUCGCCCUAGGGAGCGAAAAUAAAAAAAGGGCCCUCCCUCGUUUUUCUUGAUUUUUAUUGAUUAGUUUUCAUUUCACCGUAUUAAGCUAUAAAAUUCCAAUUUUUAUAAACUUUUUUUUUUUUAAUAGAAGCCACCACCCUACGCAACUCGUCCUUGACAAUUCAAUUAUAACCAGAGAGAAAAAAGGGAACAUUUUUUAACAUGAUACCCACCAUACUAUUCAAUGUACACUCAUUGCCUCGUUGAAAAUUAACAAGGCAUGGCCGUAACACACAAAAUCAGACUUGGAAAUUUUGGAAUUAAGCGGGCGCAAAUAUAUAUUUUCUGCAGCUGAAAAUAAUUUAAUUGCGUGUCUAAAGUCACAGGAAGAGUAUCUAGUUGCUUUCUCGUAAUCAAACAGAAGAAGAAGAUGUCACACAUGCAGCCAGACACAUUACAUCAUAUUUUGUCUUCACACUUCAUCUUUGAAAUUUCUUUUCUUUUGGUUUUGGUAAUGACAUUUAUUAUCAUUUUUGAUAGGUACGUACACUACGUAAAAUAUGAGGCUCUAGACGAAGCUGAGUUCAGGCUCCACCAAGCUAGAAAUUGCCUCAAUUUCUCUGUUCUUGAAACUUUCCACUUCUUUCAGGGCCAGUGCUCUCAAAUUUUCCACCAUUUCUCGCACUCCCUUUUGAUUUCUUCCAAUUCCAUAUAGCAUUCCUUGUAUGGUUCCGGCAUAGAGUCCAUAGCUUCUCAACUUCUCGAUUUCUGCCUCGCUGCCUAUGUUUUCAGAACCGGACCGGAUAGCGACUCGGCCGAGGUCAGGGGUCAGGGGUCAAUGGGUUCGACCGGGGGUCGAUAGGGGUCGAACCGGAUGACGUCAUAAAUAAAAAUUAUUUUAAAAUUAAAAUGUUAUAUAUAUAAUAUCUAAUAAUAUAUUGAUAUUAAUAAAGGCAUAUUCAUAUAUAUUUGAUGUUUCAAAUAUAUUUAACAAGAAAAUACAAAGAAAUUAGAACAAUCAAGUAGCAAUUUAUAUUAUUUAAUAAAUAUUAACAAGUUUAGAAUUAAAAUUAUGAAUUUAAUUGAAAAAUAACAUCAAAUUUUAGGACAAUAUUUAUAAAGUAUCAAAUAUUUGAGGUAUAUCAAUAAGUUUUAACAAUUUAGGGGGUCAAAACAUAAUAUUAAAAAGUUUGAAUUUUUUUUUAAAAAAAUACUGUUGAACCGGAAAAACCGGUUUUUUCCCGGUCAAACCCGGUCAAACCCGGUUUUUGACCGGCUUUGACCGGGUUUUAAAUUUCCGGUUUUCUAAUGUGACUCGGACCGGCUACCUGGCCGGUUCCCGGUUCGACCGGCCGGUCCGGUCCGAGUUUGAAAACAGAGCUCGCUGCCGCCUCCUAAUAUUGCUCCACAAGCUGCAGCACAAGCAUGCAGUUCACCUUCUUUCUUCCUGCUCACAUACUCAAUCGAGCUCGCAUCGACCGCCCCUUCCUCAUCCGAUUGGCUGAUGAUGAAUUCCCUGAAUUGGCCAUCCACCACCCCUGCGAUCCUGUGGCCCUGGCGAUUUCGGUCAUUACCCUCAACACCCGAUCCGGAUUGUUUUGGGCUGAAUACAGCGAAUCAGCCAGCAGCUCGAACCCAAAUGGCACGAUUCCGUCCCCGGUCAGGAGCUCAAUAUUGGGGCCGAACUUACGUUCCGUUGCGGGCUUGGUCUUGGGCCUGGUCCUGUCGGUCAAGGGAAGCUGCUCGUGAGCAGACGCAGCUGCAUGCAUGAGCUGAAUAGCAGACGCCGCAGCCAUGGCCUGGCUCCGGUGGCCGCCGACGAGUUCACAAGCAGCAAUGCACAGGGCCGGGGCUGUGGUUCUCGGCGCUGCAAAGGCUAGAUGAUGCAUGGGCUCGAAGACCGAAACCGGAUGCCGGAUUGGGAUGGCUUCCUUUAGAUGUGUUUCGACGUCCGCUUCGAUAUUUGCCCAGUAAGGUUGCUCUCGGGACAUUCUGACCACCAGAGGCCUGUAACAUACUGACGAAGGGCUAAGAAGAUUUGAUGUGGAGGACCCGAAAAGAUUCGCCCUUCCAUUGCAAGUUGAAAGAGCUCUAGCCAUCUUCUCUUCGCUUAGAUAGGAGUAUAUGGAAAUGAUAUAGUACUACCGCUGACGACUCCGGAUCUUGCGGGCUAAUAUUUUUUUUGCAACUGGUGCGGGAGACUUCACUCUUUAUGGCUUACUCUUUAUAGAUGAAGUCAAGAUUUCGUUUUUAUGGCUUACUCUUUCUUUUUUUCUUUUUUUCUUUUUUUGGGUGGUGGUGGUGCAUGAGCACGCGGGCACGGGUUUGUGAAGCUGGAGGUCUCUGUUUACGUAACAAUUAUUGAUACUGCCUUAGGUCUCACGCUAUUUUAGUAAUGGUAAUGGAACCGCGUGAGACAUGAGCGAUUGAUUGACAUUUUUCGCCAACUAACGUUUGGUUGGACGUUUCAUGUGUAGAAUGGUUCACAUCUCUGCACAUGACAGAGCCUUAUAGAAAGAAAGAGUACGUGUAAGUAAGUUGUAGUAGUAUUGAAUAUGUUUUUUCUUUUAAACGUUUUUUUUAUGCAAGAGACAAUUGUCCGAGGAAUGGAGGAUCAAGCAGCACAGAUGCGUACAUCAAAACUUCUUUUCACUUGUUGUACUGGAUAUGUUGACAUACGACGUACGUACAAAUGAUUUUGAUUUCAGGGAAAAGGAGGACCACAGAGAAGAAGAUGUCUAGGUUUUACAAUACUACUACUAUAUUCUACCAAACGGAGCUGAUGAAUUAUCUUUAUAUUUAUCGUCAAAAAAAAUUUUCUUCUUUUUUUUUUAAAUUUUGCUGGACCACUGCCCUUUUUAUUGUGCUGUAAACUAGGCAAAAUGUAUGUGGUUGAUUGAUGCACUAGGCCCCACGGGUUUAAUCACAUGGUAGCAGCGUUCCCUUGGAACCUUUAGGUUCCGGGUUUGAAACUGCGCUAUGGGGACGCCUGUGUACUUAUUGUGCCUUGGUCGGGUUGGAGGGUCGGACUCUGGUUACAGAGAAUUAGUCGGACCCGUAAGGAUUGACUUGGACACCCUGUGUCGACAAAAAAAAACAAAAAAAAAAAAGAUUGAUGCACUAGAGCUAAACCGACAAAACUGACCAUUUGCAGUGGAUAAUCCAUUUAGACGUUUCCGGCACGUCUCUUAUCUUUCAAGGGGGGAAAAAAUUAAAAAUACAAACCAGUCCCUCUCCCUGUCGUCGACAAUGUCAUAACGAAAUAUAUCUGAAUAAUGGCUUCUUUUUUUAUCUUACAUGUAAAUUCCUUCCUCGUCACUUUUAAUGAUAAGUAUUUGGGAAUAUUUCAUGGAUUUCCUCCAAGGGAAAAAAAAAAUUACGCGCUGAAUAGCUAUGGGAGUAUAUUUAAAGGGUUAGCUAAGGAGUCAGUCCAUUUCUCCCAAAAUUUACAUAUUGCUUCAGUAGUGAUUAAUUUCACUUUUUAAUAGUAUAUGCUCUAUAACAAUUCUUGUAACGGUCUAGAGACAAGACAACAUUAUGACUCAAUUCCACUUGGCACCAUGGAGAGAUCAAUGAAUUUGGGACUAUUUCAGUCAAUCAACAAUAGUUACGUUAUUUUAAACUUGCUUUCAAUGCUUAUGACGUGAAGAUCUCGAGGCAUUAUUAUGAUUCAAUUUCACUUGAAACCAUGAAGAACCCCGUUCGAACAAAAUUGAUCGGCUCACCAAGUUGAUCGGUUGAACAGUCGAUUCGUCAAUAAAUUUAUUAUUUAAAUAAUUCGAUUAAAGACUUAAUUCAAUUUAGUUACUGGUUCAUUGAAUUGAUCGGGUUAAAUCAUCGGAUCGGAUAAGGUUUAAUAACACUAAUGAAGAGGUCAAUGUUUUUCUUUCUUUUUUUUUAAUAAAAUAAAAUUGUCUACAUUUAUAUGACUACUAAAUUAAUCUAUAUAUUAAGGGAGAGCCUAAUUGAGGAAAAAGGAGCUAGAGGGAGAUAAACCAACCAAAGAAGUGUAUCGGCACACACCUUUGAAUUUAAUCGGAAAUGUCAGGACACUGCCCUAAUCCGAGUUGAGGAUAAUAAUUACCAAGCCAAAAUACUCCGGCCAAUCAAAUCAAUCUUGUCGGCAUAUGGGCCUAACCCAUGUGCCUCGAUUGACUCGUGCACGGAAAAUGUUAUGCAUAAACAGCGCUUGGUGCAUAUCCAUUUAGCUUUGAGACAGCUACGCCCAGAGCCCAUGUGUUCAAUGCAUUGUGACACCGUACUGGGGGCUUUACAGGAAAAAAAGUAGAUUUAAAAAAGACAAAGUAGCACAAUGUACACGUCCCAAUUUGCGUUGGACGUGGGCUUCCUAGGCUCAGUUACGGGGCUCCACACGAGUGAGGUUGUGAAUACUUGUGAUUCGCUUGCAGCCCAUUUCCCCCACCAAACUUGCUGAACCAUAUAUAUAUAUAUAUCUUACAUAUAUAUAUAACAAACGCAAUUUCAUUCCAAUAUUUACACUAAUGGCAGCAACUACAUUAAAUAUAGUAUUAAUGACAGUAAAUACAUCAAAUACGAUACAGAUAUAUAAAUCUAAAAUUUAAAUGAUAGAACAUUUUUUAUUUGAUCUGAAAAAAGAUUUGACUUCGCUAUUUGGUUUCUUAGAUCUAUCAAAUAUCUAAUCUCAUCCACUGAAAAAGAUAGAAAAAGACUGCUUCAAACCCAAAAAAAAAUUGGUUUAUAAGAUUUACCAAAUCUCUAAUCUCGACCAUUAAAAAGAGAAAAGAUAGAAAAACAAAAAACACUUUCACAAGAAUAUCUUACGAGAGAAUAAAACUUCCACUAGAAAAAUUUAAUGGAGAAAAAUCUCUCAUCAGAAAAUUAUAGGAGAAAACAAUCUCUCACUAAACAGCUCUAAAAAAGAAUUUAUUCAAACAAAGGAAAUAAAUUUGGGAAAGGGCAUCCUCUCAUGGAGAAAAACCAGAUUAUCUUGUCUAAUCUCUCUCCCAUAGGAGGGUUGGUUAGAGGAGUUUUAGAGAGAAAGAUAAGAGAAGAAAUUCUAACAGGAGAUGGACCAUUCAAAUAUAGGACCUAAAAUACAAGCCUUUUAACGUAAUUAGUCACACAACACAACCACCGUUCACCAACUGCAGAAUUUCGACCUUUCGAUUGUCUGCAUUGUGAGGCUUCUUAAUCAUCUGUUGCUCUACAUAAAUUCUUCAUUACAGGUGAAGUCAAUGAGGCGAAAUCCAGUUUUACUUGAUACUGCAACAUAUUGCUUAACUUUUAACGAGACAUAUAAAAUUUGAGCAUUUCUGACAUGUAUACAAUCCCAUCUUAGACAAAAUCAUGUCCAUCUUAUCUACUCAAUAAAUUAAAAGGCUUUUGAAGCUGUUUGUUGAUUUCAUUUGGAGAGAUAAGAUAAUGCAUGUUAACGGAAUACAUUGGGGUAAGAUUUUGCCGAGUAGUUAGCUACUGAGUCACUAUCCCACCAAAGAUUCUAGACGUGCCUGUUUCGGCACUACGAAGGCAAAAGGGCAAGGCAACCACCACCUCAACCUACAGGCCACCGGGAGAACAUUGACAAGAAAGCCCCAUUAAUAUGUAAAGUUUGGUGCGGCUUAUGAAUCAAUCCUUUGCUUUUAGUUCUAGUAUAACGAUAACGACAAGGGGAUGGAAACAGGGCUGGCACUUGCAGAAAGUCACGACUUAGACUUUCUACCUAAUACGGGUCUCUAUUCAAAAAGCAAGAUACUAACAUGCAUGCAUCCUCGAAUAUGUUCUCUCAAAAAUAAAAACAUUCAUGUUUUCAAGAAGAAUCUCCUAGCCAUGGUGAUUCUCAUCGCACAUGAACUUUCUAAGUUGUGAGAUUAAAUGUGUCAGCAGAUGUUGGGAUCAGGUGAUUGCUCAUCGUAUCAAAAUCCCCCUACCAACCUUUCGAACGUGUUCCCCAUGGGGCUUAGUCCUUUCCGAACAAUCUUUCUGUGAUCACUGAUCACGGAGUUUCUGACCUUGGACUAGGUGGUAUUUGGUUGGCUAUUUACGCUAGUAGUGACACAUCAUGAAGUUUCCUGCCUUUGUUUUUUAAUGGCAGCGCCAGCCACAUUAUUAUCACUAGAAAGAAAAAAAGAGGGGUAGGGUCUUUCUCGUUAAAGCGUGUACCAACUGUGAAUCACAUAGGAUUGCAACUUGCAAGGCUCACAGGGAGCUUACUGAUAUUAGACAUAUUUACAGGGUGUGUGGACUUUUUAGUAAAAAUGGAGUAACAGGGAGUUUACUUCUUUUUCUUGGAGAUCCAUUUCUAUUUCUAGAUUAUUAGAAGAUGACUGCAGGGGUUUUUGCUAGCCUCAAUUUUGUAAACGCUAGCUGACUUUUGUGUGUGUGUAUAUAUAUAUCCUACCAAAAAGAGAAAACAUUGGACAAUAGGGUCAUCGAUUUGCUAAUCAUAUUCAUAGCGGUCAAGCGGAGUCCUUGUAGAUCGAGUACCCUACAAUGUGCAUGAUGUUACCAUCUCCAUUUCAACCCUUGUCCAGAGAAAUCGGAUAGUCAUUCCAUCGCAAUUGAGAGUGUAAACAAACAACAUCACUUUAGAAUAGAGGUCAACCCUUGCACAACUCAGAAUUUGAAGGGGUGUAAUUGAUUAAGUAAGGAUUAUGUCCUUGUAGUCUGUCUCCUUGAGCAGAUGGACCAAACAGAACAAGGAAAAAGCAAUAGUAGCAAAUGAGUUUGGAGCCACCGCAGGGGUUAUUAGCGUUAGUAAUUACUGUAGUAUUCUGCGGCGGUUGCGAUGGCCUGUGUUCCGGGUCCUCUGUGUACUGUACGUAACUGAAGAUGGCUUUUGACCAUGAAAUAGAGUGGCCAUGUUACUUGCUCUUGCAUCAUGUGUCCACAGCUCAUCAUUUCGUUAUUUGAGAUCUCCAACAAAAAUAGUCCGAAAUGAUUAGGUAACACAAAUCUGACUAGUACUAAAUUGGAAUGCCAAAAAUAUCAAAGGAAGUACCCGGGUCCUUCUCGAUGCUCCUUCCUUUUACGUGCGUUCUCAAGUCAUUUUCCUCUCUCCGACCUCCUUAAUAACUCAUCUUUGUCUUGCCAGGAAGAAAAAAAGCAGAAACAAAUCUCUUUCGUCUUAUCUGUUGCUCUUUCGCCCACAUAAGGAAAAUUUAUUGGAUAUUUAAGCAGUAAAUGCUUCAAAUUCUAAUAACUUGGGCACUGGCAAGAAAAUUCACCUACCUAUUGUGAAAGAUGAAAAAGGACAUUUCAGUAAUUCCAUCCCAAAAUGGAGGCUGAAGCUGCUUUCUGAUUCCUGUUACGAGUCAGCCACCGCGUCACCGACAUUUCCAUAGAAAACAAUUGUUGAAGCGGUGUAGUGAAAACAGAGUGUAAUGCCACUAGGAAAAAUCAAGUCUUGAAAACGGUGCAGUUUUUUUAAAGUUGGUUGGCUCUGUUCUACCAAAACUGUCCUUGAUUUCCACAACCCACCAGCCCCCUACCUUCUCCUCCUCCUCCACCUAGAAUGUUAGAGCUCUAAGUUAGUACUACUAGUAUAUUACCGGAAGUUUCCAACUUUGAUAUAUUUAAGACAUUUACUAAGAAAAAAAUGUCACACAAACAAACAAAUUAGUUGGUUAGCAUUGGAAAAAAGGCCAAUGCUUUUUAUCUGGUCCUGAUUUGGGAUUUUCUCUUCCUUUACAUUCUUCAAUCUUUUGCUCAGAGAAAGAGAGAAUUCAUCGGUUUUUGUCGAGCUGUGUGCAUUAGAAACUGAACUGGGGCACGUAGCUUGUGGCAAUAGGGCUGAUUGAAAUCGAAGUGAAGGACUUGAACUUCGUGGUCCAAAGUUGAGGUUUUAGCAUAGUUCAGUUGAGAUUUGAAGUGGGUUUUUUAGGUAAACCAGAUUUUGAAUUGGGUAUAGCUUGAUUUCGGUGGUUUGUGGAAGUGGCUGAUUGGAAUUCAAGUUAAAGUCUUGAACUUUAUAAUCUAUUCUUGAGUUUCCUUCAGCUAAGUCAGCCGUGAGAUUUGAAUUGGGUUAUUUCAAAUCUUACAUCGAAUUUGAUUAUGCAAGAAUAGCAUAAUGUCUGGGAAGAGCAGAGGAGGAGCAGAGUCGAGUUAUAAAAGUGUUGUCUCUCGAAGACUAACAGUUUGGCUAUGUAUUGGAUGCUUCUGUGCCGGGAUGCUCUUCACCGACAGGUUUAUUUAUCUUAUCUUCCUUUACAUUUCUAGUGAUUCUCUUUCCCUUUAAAAUUUAAAUGCGCAUCAGAACUACUUGAAUUGGUCGUUCUUGAUCAGUCUUGUAAAUCUGGUCAUCUGAGUGGUAAAUUUUCAAUAGAAAAGAUUAUUCUUUGUUCCAAAGUCCCAUUUUUGGUUACUGAGUGUCUUGGUGAUAAAAAGUAUUAAUUUCGUCGGUUUUCUAGAGUUCGUAUUGAUAGUAUGUAUGGUUUAGUUGCUUUUCGGUGCAGAAAACUCUCGUGGCCAGAGACACGAGAAUUUGUAUAACAGUUGUGCAUAUUGGUGUUAGGAUCUUGCCAUCGGUUUCAGUACAAUCGUCUUUAUUUGGAUGCUAAAUAAGGUUGUGGGUUAUCUUCCUUGUCAUUGUGCCAGUUCCUGAGUUCAACAUCUUCAGAUUAAUUAAUAAGUAAAUAAAAAGAAGAUAAAGUUCAACACCUGCAAGUGGAGUGCCUCAUGUUACAAACGGAGAAGACAUACCCAUAGAGCAGGUUAAUCUGCAGCUGGCGCAAAUGGCAAAAGUCCAGUUCUCUUCCAUUAGAUCAUUUCAUGUUUUGCUGGCUUAAAGCGUUCUAGUUGAUGAUUUCAGUUUAAGAAAGAAAGUUUGAUUUGGUGGUUUUAUUAAAACAUUUUUCCUUAAAAAGGAGUUUCAAGAACUUGAAGAUUGGACGAAAGUGACAUAAUUUGAUGUUCAGAAACUUGUGAAGUUCCAUUCAAUUCCACAAUAACUAUAUAAUUACACUGGUGAAAAAAUAUGGCCUGGGUUCGCACAUGGCAACUUCCUAUGUAGAGUUGCUUGUUUUGUUUGUGUCCCUAAUUAGAAUUUUUGUGAUGUUAGAAUGUGGACGGUCCCAGAAGCUAAAGGUAUAUCAAGGACAUCAUCAGUUGAAGACGAAAAACUAAAGCUAGUUGCGGAGGACUGUAAAAAUGUGAGUACUUAAAUAAUUUUGAGGACUGCAUUUUAAGUUUCUCAUUUUGAGCUUGGAGAUUGUCACUGAGUGCUAUAAUAAGCUCACAGUCAAUCCAUUUUCAUGUACGAUGUUGAGUUACUAGUCAUCAGUGACUUUGUAAAGAGGUUUGUGGGGACUAAGUUCUGCUUUCCUAUUCCUGUUUGCUACUAGAAUAUGAAAAGUAAGUCCAACGAUAUUCCGGGAGAAGUGUCAAAGACGCAUCAUGGCAUACAGUAAGCUCCUUAUGCUUGUUUACCUUAGAUAUCAUUAAUUUAGUAGACAUGCAAUUUCAAAGUUUUGUACGGAUUUUCAGAACACUUGAUAAAACAAUUUCAAGUUUGGAGAUGGAAUUAGCUGCUGCAAGGGCUUUGCAAGAUUCCCUACUUACUGGUUCACCAGUGUCUGGGGACUUGAAGAUUCCAGAAUUGAUCAAGAGAAGGAAAUAUCUCAUGGUUGUAGGCAUUAACACAGCUUUUAGCAGCAGGAAAAGAAGAGACUCUGUUCGUGCUACCUGGAUGCCGCAAGGUUUCUGAAUAUUAAGACAGUUUGUGUUUGGGUUUUGAAUUCUUCUUCUAUUAAAUUGAAUGGGUGUGUGGAUGAAUUGCUGACACUGUAAAAACAGGUGACAGACGCAAGAAGCUUGAAGAAGAAAAGGGCAUUAUAAUCCGCUUUGUAAUAGGUCACAGGUGAGAGAGAUUUUUUUGCUGGAUGUUGUGUUGACCUGUUUCCACUAGUUUGUUCUCUUCCUAUGUUUCCACUUCAAAAACUUAUGUGAUAAUUUUGUUGAUGCUACUUGUUAGGAUAAUCAUGGAAGUGCCUUUUAUUAUGAAAGAAUAAUGUGAAAAAAUACUACACAAUCAUUUGAAUUUCCCAAGAUGCAAUUCAUUUUUUGGCAAAUAAGGAUCACUGAAGUCUGAUUCUUACUCGCCUAUUCAACAGUGCUACAUCAGGUGGUAUUCUUGAUAGAGCUAUUGAAGCAGAAGAAAAAAAACACGGGGACAUCUUGAGGCUGGUAUGAUCAAUUUUCCUUAAUUAAGUUUUUGCUUGAUAUGCAUUGCUGUUCAGUAUUGGAUCAGAAUAUACUGUAGCCCAGCCUGCCUUGUAAUGACCUUAAUGUAAUUUGCUGCUUUGCGACUUUCAUAAAGUACAUGAACAUCUGAGAAGACAGCUCACUGAUGCUUCCAUUUUUAUGCUUUAAUAGGAACAUGUUGAGGGAUACCUUGAAUUGUCAGCAAAGACCAAGUCAUACUUCACUACUGCUGUUGCCCUGUGGGAUGCAGAUUUCUAUGUGAAAGUUGAUGAUGAUGUUCAUGUGAAUAUAGGUAAAAGAUUUGAUUUUUUUGGUUUAUCAUUUGGAAACUUGGGUGGCAAUGUAAAUUCUUCCUUUCUUGUUUAUAUAACCAAAAACUUUCAUUUGUCUUGUAUAUUCAAAAUGUUGUGUAUCAUUGCCAUUGUGGGAAACAUUUUCGAAAGACGUUAGUUUUCAAUUUACUUGAAUAACUAUGUUCUUGUGCACAAUUGCAGGAACCCUGGGAGCAACUCUAUCCAGACAUCUCUCCAAACCCAGGGUUUACAUAGGGUGCAUGAAGUCCGGGCCCGUUCUUGCUCAAAAGUAUGAUACUACCACAUAACUGCUCUUCCAAAUGAUGUUGAUAGUACAUUUAUGAUGAUAGUGGCCUGUUUUUUAACCUUUGUCUCCUCCAACAGGGGAGUGAGAUAUCACGAACCUGAGCAUUGGAAGUUUGGAGAGGAUGGAAACAAGUACUUCCGUCAUGCUACCGGUCAGCUAUAUGCUAUUUCAAAAGAUUUGGCUACUUAUAUCUCAAUAAACCAGUAAGCAUCUUAUUUCAUUAUAGUACUGCUGCAAUGGCAUCGCCUUGUAUGUGUUAACCUUAUUCUUUUAAUCGUGUAUAUUCAUUCAUAUAAGGCACGUGCUUCACAAAUAUGCCAAUGAGGACGUCUCGCUAGGUUCUUGGUUCAUUGGUUUGGACGUGGAGCACAUAGAUGAUCGGCGAUUAUGUUGUGGAACUCCACCUGGUAAGGUUAUACGAGCCUAUUUGUUGAAUAAUCAAUUUGUAAUCUGUUGGUUACAAUGCUCCAAAGACACGAGGCACACUGCAGUGGACUUUAACACAAUGACUAGACCUAUUUGAAAUAGGUCUUUUUUAGUGAAUGGCUUCCUGUAAAUUGAGUCUGAACUCUACGGAGUUCUACCAAUAUGUAAAUAUUUUGUUUAAAAACCCAGCUUGAUCAGCACCCUGCCCAUCCGAAAGGAGAAAAAAUGAGGAAGAAAAGAAUUGUGCUUGUUAAAAGCAAGAGUGUAAAGAACAAGAUCAGUUAAGUGGGUGCUACCCAGUGUUGGACAAGAGUUUGAACAAGCUUUAAGACUCAAAUGGUUUGAUAUUUUUUCUGUUAAUGUUGACCCAGAUUGUGAGUGGAAGGCUCAGGCAGGCAACAUCUGUGUUGCUUCCUUCGAUUGGCGGUGCAGUGGGAUUUGCAAUUCUGUAGAGAGGAUUAAGGAGGUGCACCGGAGAUGUGGAGAAGGUGAGAAUGCUUUAUGGAAUGCAGUCUUUUGACAUGGAGCAUAUCAUCCAAACUCUGGAGGAUGCAAAUUGAUCAUUGAGAAUUUUGUGUUGUAGAUAUUGCCCUUUAGGUAAUUGUAUGUUAUAUCGAUAUGUAAAGCAUGAGAGAUUUUUUUUUUUUUACCAUUAUUUUUUUUCCUUUCUUCCUUUUUCUUUUUCUUCUGGGAAUUGGGGUUAAACUUGGCCUCAACCCAUUUGAUGGGAGAUCAACUCCUUUUUUUGUUCAGGAGUAAGAUCAUUUAGUUGCCAAGAGACAACUUAAUUGUAGGCAACCAUUCUUUGGUGUCAAAAGAUGCACAAGUUCAGAUUGCAGCUCUUAAGACUGCCGAAACUCAAUAAACGUCUACGAUAAGCGAUCAUGCGAGUGUCUUGUUGCUUCAUCAGUGGAAAUGUGAUGCUCUCCAUCUACUUGCCAGUUUCUCAAAAUCUGAUCUGAUUCUGCAUUUGACAAUUCGCGUUUGGAUCGUGUCGAAAGAGACAAUUGAGGGUCGAUCUCAAUGUUAAAACAGCCAGAAGAGAAGUAAAGGUUAGGACGCUGUCUUAUCCGAAAGGUUAUCGCAAACUAAUUGGCUGUUUUGACCUCGAAGACUAACCAAAGUGCCUGAGGCUUAAAGAGACUGGAAAGUAGUGUGGCGUAGUUUCCAUUUCGCCAAAGUAAUAGUACUAGAGGAGUAAUACUUCAAAAGUCAGAAAUACGCCUUGGUAAAAAGAUAAAAAGGAAUAAAAGAAUAACCACCAGCCCAAAGGGGCUGGUGGCCACCACCUAGCUUGGUAUCUUGCCUCCUAUCAAAAUGUCACAUUUAAGUGGUUUGCUUCAAAAAAUUCAGGUGGGUGUGUUGUGCAUCCGUUUGGUCCGGUGGUGGUUUAGUUUCCUUCGGAUUAUUCCUGAGCCUCCUUAGGUCCGCCCCCUCCCCCUUAGAGUAGAAUAGAUUAGGUUAUACAAUAGUUGUCGUGUCUGAAAAAAAAUAAGAAUAAAAGAAUAGUGGAGAGGUCAGAAAUAAAUUUCUAGUAACUAGGACUGUGGCAGUAGUAGUUGUAAAUGCAAGGUUUGAAGCUGUGUGGAAUCAAUGAUGCCAUUUCUGCCAGAUAACAAAACCAACGACCCUUGGAUCAUCAUUCUUCUACUGAAAAGGCUAUCCACUGCUUCUCUUUCUUCCCACUAGCAAAGUGAGCUCAACAAGCCUGGCUGCUGCUUGGCUACUGUCCGUUCAAUCUCCAGAGAAAAUUAUUUACAUAUGUACAAGUGAUCAGGCAGUUGAUAUGUGUCUAUUGCUGGUUCAUACUCAAAGCUUCUACUUAUCUUCUGUUUAUUCUUUCCCUGAUAACACCACUCACUUCUUGUUUCCUUGAAGUUUAAGGGCUUAUUCAAUUUCUCUUGCUUUUGUCAUAAAAAAAUGGGGAUUUUUGAGGAAAAUGUAUCCGGGCUCAAAGUCCUGGAUUGUGCUCUAAGGUUGUUUCUUGUUCCUUUUAGCAUUGCAGCUAUCUGGUUAACCCUCACCAACCACCAAGACAACAGCAGCUAUGGGGAAUUGGUCUCUAGCUACUUCAUGGGGCUCAAGUAAUUAGCAAUAUGACCAUAUAUCUUUCUCAAGUUCUUUGAUUCUGAUGAUUUUCGCGUGGUCAAUAUGUUAAAAAUCCAAGCUUUUCUGCAGGUACAUGGUUUACAUCAGCGCAGUAUCAGCUGGAUAUGCUCUUUUAGCUGCUGUUUCUUUGUGGGUCAGAUGUUUGGUUGGUAAAGCAUGGAUCUUCUUUGUAUCUGAUCAGGUAUGUCUCCACUUGGAAUCCUUAAGACAGAUUUCAACCAAUCCCAUCAAACACUUGCUCUUAGCACUUGAAAUUGGAUACUAAGUAUGUAUGCUACUUACAAAGGUUAUCAAGAUUUUGAGCUAAUGGGGCAUGGGUUAUUUAAUUGGCUUCUUCAAUUUAUUAGCGAAGGGGAAAUAGGUUUGGUGAAGUUCAAUUGCAACCUUAAAAGGUGUAACAAAGUAGUACUAAAACUCGAGAACAAAUUUGUUGUCCAACAGCAGUAAAUUCUGUGCAAUUGAUUCCCUUGAUAUGUUGUUGUGGCCUUGAGGAUCUGUCCAACGACUCCCAUAAUGUUGGAGCAAACGCAAUAAAUGCAUUGUUUUUAUCUUGCAUUGUCUAUUUUGUUUAUGGACACGGCAUUAAAUGGGGGUGAUAUGUAAAUGGGGCAGGUGGUUGCAUACUUGAUGGUUACAGCGAUGGCUGCACUGGGGGAAAUUCUAUAUUUGGCAUAUAACGGUGACCAGAAGGUUACAUGGAGCGAAGCUUGUACUUCUUAUGGAAGGUUUUGCCACAGAAUGAAGCUGAUUUUGGGAUUCCAUGUUGUAGCCCUGUGGUGUUUUUCUCUUAGCUGUUAUUUCAGCUUAUAGGCUCUUCAGCAGAUUUGGUCCUCCUACCCUUUCUUCUAAAGAGUCUGAGGAAGAACGAACCUGAAAUCUUUUCUUUUUCUGGGUUCCAUCUCUUUUUGUUGUGUACAACUGUAGAUCAUGUCUUCUUGCCUUGUGAUCCAUAAACAAUCAAGCCAUGAUUAUCCCUCAAUUGAAUACCGGUAGGUAUUUUUGCUGGUGGAAUAGGAAAAUGGGAAAAUUACAUAGCCACUCUCUCGGCGACUGAUUUUCUGUUUAUCUCACCUCUUAUAUAUAUACGAAUGAGAAAUGCAUCCAAAGCGGACCAAAUUGGGAUAUGAUCAAGAUUUUGAUAUGCUACCAGUAAAUAUGAUGCUAUGGAAUUACUCGCUAGUUUUUUGAUUCUAUGUUGUAACUGCUAAGUAUGCUUCUUCCACCAAGUUUUGGAACGUAUUACAAUCCAAGAAAAAAGAAGUGUUUCGUAAAACUGAAUUCAUCUGAAACAGGAAUUAAGACAAAUUUCUUGAAUUGCAGAGCUAUUUCAUCCUCUAAUCUCCCCUUGAUACGGUUAUAUUAUGCCAAUAAUCUACAUUACGUUUGAUUAUAAAAAUCAUUAAGAGAAUUAAUGGCAUAUUGUUGUAUCAAAGCACUGAAGGACUCGUUGUUGGCAAAUUAGGAGGUCCAUUUGAUCUCUCACAAUUGCCGUUUUCACCGGCCGCCAAAACAACACUACUAUAUUGGCUGCUAUUUUUGAGAUUUCAACUCUAGUCGCUGAAUCAUUUACUUGAACAAUUCUUGAGAUUUCAAUCUUAGUCGCUAAACCAAAACCUCUCCGACCACAAACUUCGUAUAUCUAACAUGCAAUUACUUCAUAUCUAAUGACAUAUGGAUAGAUAAAUAAUUUGCUAAGGAUUUGCGGCUCCUUUUCACAAUCGACUUAGCUGGAUGCUACUCCCACCGGUGAUAGCAGCAGAAGGAAGGCGACAUUCAUUAUAGACCUUGCAUUCUCGGCAGAAUUCAUAUGCCAUCUGAUAGAAAAGCAGUACGAUGUCCUAGUUAGUUAAACUCGGACUGGACCUCCCGGAGGCCAAACUAACUCUGGCCACUAAAAGGUUGUUAAGGUUGCAUGUUGUCCUUCAUUAACUAAUGGAAAAAAAGUCUCAAUGGCCCUCCAACUCUUUCCCAAGUAAAGUUUUAGCCCUCCAACAAUUAACGGUAAAGUUUUGACUCUCGAUCUAAUAAAAUAGCAUAUUUGUGGCCCUUCUGUCAAAUCAAGUAGUUAAAAUUGACGGGAAGCAUCAUCUCGUGAGACGCGCGUCCAAAUAUCAAGGAUAUUAUAGUCUCUAAGCAAAGACAGAGCAAAAACACUUUCACUACUGAUUUUCCCUCCGGAAAUCGUAUUUGCCACUCCAUUUCUGCCUUUACAACUCCUCCCACGCUGGCAAUUAGUACUUUCGUUGCAGCAUUCGAAAAUCUUCAAAUGAACAUUCCGGCUAGACCCAAUUUCAACUCCUUGAGAAGCCCAUUGCCCAAUUUUUUCUAUUCUAUGUGCGAAUUGGAUUUUCUCAAAGCCCCCAUAUAAGGAAAGGAAAUCAACGGAGUCCAUCCAUCCCAUCACACCGCCAGCGUGUUACUUCCACAGUCCUUGCCGGACUAUUAAGUUAAUAACAUAUGACCAAAGACGCAUAAGCUCUUCAUUUUCUCUCUCUCCGGAUAAUGGGUCAGUCUGCUUCUAUACAUGUAUACUCACCGGGUAGGUCAAGCCCGACUUCCAGCCACUGCCGCUGCAUCACCGCUAAUCAACCGGACGCCGUCUCUUCCACCGACGUCAUUGCUCAGCUUACUCUCCCUAUUUUCGGGGAUGGGCAAGAUUAUACCUCCAAGAUUCCCGACGAGUGCUUAGCUUUAAUCUUCCAAUCCCUCAGCUCCGGCGACCCAAAAAGCUGCUCCUUGUUUCCAAGCGAUGACUCCUUGUCGAAGGUUAGAGCUGCCACCAAUUAUCUCUCAACACCACCACCGAUAUAUACUCGCAAAUCCCUGCAAUAUUCUCCCGUAUUUGCCACUCCAUUUCUGCCUUUACAACCUCUCCAACGCUGGCAAUUAGCACUUUCGCUGCAGCAUCCGGAUUGAGUUAUCUGAUUUUUUCGCACUAGGGUUUUAGAGCAAAAGGGGUGGAAAUUGUUGGAGGAAAAAUCGGUGAAAGUGUUUUUACUCUGUCUUUAUUUAGAGACUAUAAUACUUUUGAUAUUUGGUCGCACGUCUCAUGAGAUGAUGUUUCCCGUCAAUUUUAACUGUUGGGUUUGACAGAAGAGCCACGAAUAUGCUAUUUUAUUAGAUCGAGGGUCAAAACUUUAUUAUUAAUUGUUGAACGGCUAAAACUUUACCUGGAAAAGAGUUGGAGAGCUAUUGAGACUUUUUCCCUUAACUAAUCAAUGGUCAUACCAUAAAGUUGAUACUUCUAGGUGCAUAUCUCUAGUAUAAUGGUACUAGCAAUCAACAAAACUCAUAAUCCCCAAAAGGGAAGGGGACAAAAUGAAAUUUAGUAUGAAUACCAGAUACUCUUAUUCUUGUAAAUCAUCUUUGGAAUUUCCAUAUUAGUUUACUUUAUUUAUCCUUCUCAGUUUGUAUGCUCCAUAUUUUCUUCAACUUCAAUCAUCACCUACACCAUAGAUCAGCCCUCAUUGAGGGAUUAGGGCUCCUACAGUUACAAUUUUGAUUGUAGAGUGCAAUUAAUGAUAAAAAUGGAUUUAAUUUGAAAUUGGGUUGGAUGAGAUUGAUUACAGGAAACAUAAUUUUUUUGAAGUGUCAAGAUUUAUUGUAGUUUUACGAAUUAUGGUGUCAUUAUCUAUACUUGUUAUAUUAGUGUGUACGUUUGAUAUAUGAUGGAUACCUACAUUGCAUUAUACAGUUGGGACAUUGUAAUUGUAUAUAUCGCUUAUCCAUCAUUGAGUAAUUGGACGACUAAUCAAUCUAUAUCAUCAUUCAAGAGCCAAACUGAAGCAAAAAUUAUGUAGUGAAAAAGGUCAAAUUGAUAUAUUUUUGGGUAGCUAAAAAUUGUUGGCUACUUAAAGGACCAACUUGUAAUUAUCGCACCCAAAAGAGAAUAAUGUAAUUAAUCGAAUGAUGCAAAGCUACUAACGUCGACGUUUUGGAAAGCCUUAGGCCCUUAGCAAUAGAAGUUCUAACGCGAAACAAGACGCAAGGCCACACGGCAGCAACUAUAUUUAUGCGAUCAAAACCUCCCCAAUUUUCAGUUUGAGAGGACAGUUCUGUAAUUAUUCCUUUGAUCAGACAACUAAACCGCCGUCUGGAUCUCUCGAGGUAGAAAUUUUUUUUUUUUUUGUUUAACGCCUUUCUCAAUCUUUUACUUUUAAUUCGAUUAUUUCUUGGAAAGGGAAUAAAAAAAGAUAAAGAUAAAGGGGAAAGCUCUAAUUUUUAACCCUAAAUUUUAGUUUUUUCAGGCCUUUCGAAUCGCAGUUAGCGAAACCCUAGAGGUAGCUUUGAUUUAUCGUCGAUUCGUCAUCAUGGCCAAAAGCUCCUUCAAGCUCGAGCACCCUCUCGGUAUCUUGAUUUGAUUUGAUUGGAUUAUACUUUUUGUUCAUAAUUAAGUGGCUUUUUAUUGGUGAUUUCCUAUUUGGGAUCGAUUGAAUUGGUGAUCCUUUUGUGCUUUUUAGCUUGUUGAUUGAUAGUCGCUGAGAUUGACAACUAUUUGUCUUAACGGGUUCUUGAUUUUCUUGCAGUUGAGAUUGUGCACAUAGAACAUAUUGCGUUUUUUUGUUUUGAUAGUUAAAGGAAAAAAGAUUAAUAGUCAAUGAAUUAUGUCAAGAUAUUGCUGAAAAAGAUGAUGAAAAAGUUGGUCUUCUACAGUUUACGGACGAACAGAUUUUGUAUUAGUACUAGUGUAUUUACAAGAAAUAUGAGAUGCUUUUUAUUGCCAUUAGGCCUAUGGUUAUUGUUUGUUUUGUUUUUUCUUUUACUGUUUAUUUAGUAAGUAAAACAUGUUCCUUCUCUGAUUUUUUCCCAUCUUAUGAUUCUCCAUAGUAUAUGAUAUGGUUAUAUGAUUUUCCAGAAAGGCGACAGGCUGAGGCAGCUCGAAUCAGGGAGAAGUACCCUGAUAGAAUUCCGGUACUGAAGAAAUCACUGUCUGAUGUACUCGCAAGAUUGUACCUUUCGCAAUAGCUGAUACUUGUAUUCUGUGUUAAUGUCGUUGCUUUGUUUUUGCUUUGCAGGUCAUUGUGGAAAAGGCUGAAAAGAGUGAUAUACCUGACAUUGACAAGAAAAAGUUAGUCACUUCAUAAUCUCACAUGUUUGCCUUCAUAUGAUGAGUUGGUAAUUGUAUCAAUGUGUCUAAUUUCUUACUUGGAGUAGCUAGCCUCUUCAGUGUUGAAGUGCCUUUUGCUUGUAACAAGAAAAUAUUAAAUUGUUCCUACAAAUAUAAAGUUGGUUAUUGUUUUCCUUACUGAAGAACAAGUGGAGGAAAUUCUUUUCUUCUGAUUAUGGUCAUCAUGAGUUCAGCUGAUUCUUCACCUUCAGCAUAUGAUUUCUCAUCUUUUACUCAUCAUGCUUCUGCAGCCUUCUUUCCCAGCUAUCGCACUUUUCUCUAACUCUGGUCAUCUGUAGGUAUUUGGUGCCUGCUGAUCUGACAGUUGGGCAAUUUGUCUAUGUUGUCCGCAAGAGGAUUAAGCUCAGUGCUGAGAAGGCCAUAUUCAUCUUUGUCAAGAACAUUCUCCUCCAACUGGUAAAGAAGGAACUUGAGUUUUAUAUCUUCUCUACUUUUAUGAGUCUUAAUAUGACUAAGGAUUAAAAUACAUACUUGCAAUUUGGCCUUUCUUUUUGAUAUUUAUCUGUCUUCUUACUGCAGCUGCUAUGAUGUCUGCAAUUUAUGAGGAAAACAAAGAUGAAGAUGGUUUCCUAUAUAUGACUUACAGUGGAGAGAAUACUUUUGGAAGCCGCUGAAGUGCAAGUCAUCCUGAACUAUGUAUAUAGAUCUUAGAGGAACUUGUAAAUAUCUUUUAAUUUUGAUCUUGGUUGAAGAACUGCUUCUGGAAGAUCUGCCUUGUUUCUAUUGGACAUGUAAUAUUUACUUAUUCCAAGAAGAUUAUCUAUAUAUGCAUAUUCUGAUUCCCUUCGAAUUAUGUUGAUGCUACGAAAUGGGUUUUCUUGUUCAUUACAAGAUGCUUCUCCUUUUCACUUCCAAAAUUUUUUAAAUUGCUCCCUUCACGGAGCACCAGUAGUAGAUCUGGUUGGCUUUUCUCUAUCUUCUCACAUGUUUGAAGUUAAGAUGAAGAUAUUUUGAUAACAUUUUCUGACCGCAUAUUGUGUUUGUACAUUCGGAAAUUGGAGGUUGGUUGUGGGCUGUCAAGCUGCAUAUUGAAUCAUGGUGGAGAUUGUAGUUCCGGUAAUAAGCUUUGUGGUAUUGUCCAAGUUGACGCGUUCACAAGAAUAUCUCUAUUUCCUGCACUAGUUGUUGGGAAUUCAGGAAUGAUUCCAAAGUGAGGUGGAAGAAAGGGCUAAUGUGGUGUGUGAUGAUACUGGCAUUUUAAUCCCAAAUCUGAAUUCUCUACGACCAGCUAGAUGCUGAAAAAAAAAAAUGGAUAUCACGAAAUGUUAAGUAGGUUUUCUUUGGUGUGAGGCGGCUAUGGCAGCACCGUUGUUGGUCUAUUUGGUGAGUGAGGAUUGGAGCUGAUGUAGGCUGGUAAAGAUCCAUUUUCCAUGCGGAAACUUUUGUCUGUGGAUUAUACUUCAGGGCAUAUAGUUGUUUCAGUUACAAGAAUCGAUUAGGUGUAAUCUUUUUCUUUGUUCUGCAUUUCACCAAUUUCAGCAACGCAUUCUGCGUCGAAGUGCUAUUGUGCGAGAAUACCAGUGUGCUAUAAUAGCUCACAAUAAAAAUUAAAAGCAUGGAUCGUUGUCUCGCCGCGAAGGGCAUCUAAACUACUAGGAACAUUGGUGAAGAACUUCUAUUACACAUAGAGAAAGAAGACAAACUAAUUUCAUUGUUUACUGCAUAUUUCUAAACUAAACGAUGACAUUGUCGCACUGGACGAGCUUGGAAGUGCUUCAGCUUGUUCUAAACUAAACAAUGACAUCCUCGCACUGGACGGAUUCAGCGUCAACCUUGGAAGUGCUUCAGCUUGUUUCAAAGCAACGUUAUCUACCCAAACUUGUCAGCAAACACUCUUGAUCAGCCAUAAGGAUAAGCUCUCCCGGAAGGUUAUGGUGGGGAAAAAAGAGGAAGAUGAUCAAGACUUAAAUUCGCCGUUGGUUCAAAUCAAAAGUACAUUGCCAGCGCUAAAGAAAUCUAGCUACAUACUAUAUUUGAUUUAUGAGUGUAGUUCACCCGUGCUCUAAACCCAACAAUCCUAAUUCAAGAGACACGCUUUUACCUAUUAAUUGAAACCAAAAUGUUUCUCACUGUUGAAUGUUUUAACUGCUGAGUCAACAGUGAGAACAUUUGAGUUCAAAAUGUCUCGAGUUAACCUUAUGCAAGACUACUGCAGAAACCAAACUUUUACCUCAUUUAAGGUCCUAUCUCAUGAUAGGAUGAAGGUGAUACAUCUCAAGCCCAAAAGUGAUGUCCAUUAUGCUUGAAGUUUCACAACCAAUGUCAUGCCAAUCUGGUAAGGUGGUCGGGGAAAAUUCCAGCAAGCUGGAUAGUUCUUCAGGCAAGGGAUGGGGUUCCUCUAUCUCCUGCUUUAACUUUACUCCUGAAGGUUUAGGGGAACACAGCAAGUUAACAACAUAUAAAAGACCUGUAGCAUGGCCAACCAAUUAUAAAAAGAAGUUACAAUUAAAAUGACACGGGCAAAAAUGGAAGUUGUAAAUCAGAAUAGGAGCUUUAUGCAUUGUUCUCCAAUUACUAAGUUGAGCUUAGAAGAAAAUAAGCCAUUGCAUCAGUUGCUUCUCAGCAUGGUAAAUUAUUGUCCAAGGCCAAAGAAGAAGGUAGUAUUCUGUAGACAAUAUGAUGAUGCAAAUAAACUAUAUUUAGACCCUAUAUCCAAUGGACAAGAUAAACCAAUUUCCAGGACUUGAGAAUACAAAAUCCACACCAAAUGCUUAUGGUAUUGAAUGGUGGGAAUGGAAUGAUUCAACCAUGAACAAAUUAUGGUAAGUUCUUAGUAUUCUUAGGUACUUUUCUGCCAUAUUCAUUCCCAUAUCAGGAAAUGAAAACAUUACUCACCUUCAUAGCACUGUGAAGAGCCAGCCUCACUAAAUUGAUCACGAGAUGUCAACAGGUGGGCUACAGUGGUUUGCCUAGUUGGUGAAACAAACUCAGUUAAAGCCACCUCAUGCAAUCCAAUUACAUUUGCGCUUGAGCUUUCUCCAAGAAAUAUAUCUCGUGAGCUUUGAUCCAGGGAAACUCCAUUUUUCAAGCUUCUGCUUGAUGAACCUUCUAUGCUUAGAGGAUCUUCCAUGAUACCACCUCCACAUUCUUGAGGAGUGUUCAGUUUACCAUCUGGAGUUGGUGAUCUCAACAAAUUGGCCGUGAUAUAUUGGUCAAGGUCCGAAAUUGACCCUCGUAGAAUUUCGUGCCAGUUUUGCGAAACCAACAAACCUUCUGUCAUAAAACCUCCACUAACAACUUGACCACCUUGGGACUGGUCCUCUAUAAAUUCUCCUUUGGGAGAGUCGGGACAUUUUUCCCUUGAGCUUUUAUCCAAGUGAUCACCUUCAUAGAAUUCACCACAUGUCGAUUUACCUCCCCCAUCAUAGCCAAAAUUAGACAAAACCAGCUCAGGCCUGUGGCUGAAUACAGGACCAAAUGUCUCAAUUUGAUGCUCUUGCAAUUGUGAAGCCAAUGGUGCACCUCCCCUCAAGAUCUCAUUACAAACUUCACCAGCAACAACUUGACCAGAGCUUAAGUUCCAUUGCAAAUCAUCUGAUAUGAACUGUGUAGUCGUGUCUUUUGGGCUGUAAGAGAAACCAAAUGUGUCACGAUUAGACGUUGACCUCGUUGGGCUAAUAUCAAGAAUAUCUUCUACCAAGUUUUGGUUCCGCAAACUUGUCAAGUUUUCAAAUGUGGACACACCUUCCUCUGAUUUUUGACCACUGAACUUUUUCUUGCAGAGAUUUGACUCAAUGGAUCUUCAAUACUCACCCUUUCACCAAAUAGCUUUGUUGUCUUAGUGAGUCUGCCCAACUGCAGGUCCACAGUCUUUGAACUUUGUCUUGCUAAAACGUCUUGUGUCAAAUUGUUAUUCAUGAGUUCCUGCAACAAAAUUUGUUUCUUCUCACUUUCAACUAACAGAACUCCCGUCUUUGAUAUUUCACUUAAUAAACCUUGUCUUCUGGAUAUUUUCCCCAUUAAAAUUCCUGGUUUUAAGCAUUUAUCAUGCGAAACUUUUUUACAUGACCUUUUGUUUAUUAAAUCUUCAGUCUUUGGCGUUUCUCUUGUUGUAUUCUCUUGCUUCAAGCUUUGACCCAGCAAGUUUAUUGUUCUUGGCUUUUCGCAAGAGAAAUCUCUUUCGCUUGAGCUUUGAUAAAACACAUUGUCCCUGAUAGAUUCCGUCACCAAUAUCUUUCCUUGCAGGUCAUUGUUUAUCAGGUAUCCAUCAACAGACAGUUCUUCUGGUGAAUUCUUGUGCAAGGUGUCUGUCUUUGCUUGAGCUUCCUGCAAUGGAGCAUCCAAUACCGCAACGCUUCUUUCACUGUCUUUCAUCUCAGGGGUAGGUCUCAAGGCAGAUGUUGGAGUUUGGACUGAAGGGGGCUCUGCUUUUGAUGCAUUCCAUGACUGAGAAGAUAACAGAAAUGGUGAUGCACAUCGAUUGUGUUGGAGAUGGGAAUCUAAUGGUAUUGAGCUUGUUAAGUUCAAACGGAGGGGAGAAUGUGGAGAUGCUAUCAUGGGAUCAUGUAUUUUGGGUGAGUUCAGAUUACUAGAAGAAAGAGCAGAAGGCAGGGAUGAAGUCUGCAGUGGGACAGAAGAUGCGGUAGGCAGUUGUACGGAUAGAUGCAGUUUAGGAGAAUUUAUUAGGGAUCCUGUUGCGGUUGAGCUAAAUUGAGAAGAAGUAACUGAAGAUGAAACGUCUAUCUUGGGGGAAGGUGCUGAAGAUCCUUUUGCUGAGAUAGAGCUCCCUUGUGCAGGAGCCGAAGAUUGAGUUACUGCAGUUGGUGAAGACUGCAGGCUGGAGCUUCCUCGAGAUCCCUUGAGAUAACCAACGUAAGGGGAUAGAACUGGUGGAGGUUUCAAAGGUGUGAAUGCAGGACCAGUAGGGGAGUUGGACUGAUGUAUAGAUGAGCAGUCUGGUGGCAAUGAUAAAAGUGGAUUCUGGAGUGUUGUAUCAGGGGUUUCAGUUGAUUGGGAUCUUUGAAUUGAGUGGUAUUGAGUUUGGGAAGGUGUACUAAGGGGUGAUUGAGGAAUGUGAGUUGGAUAGCAUGCAGGGCUUGGGUAAUGUGAAGAUAAGAAGCCAUGUGGUGAUGGGAGUGGCUUCUCUUGUGGAGAGAGGAGCCGAGUUCGAGGCAGUGGAGUAAAGAAUGAAGCAGGGUUUUGAUUUAUUACAGGACUUGGUUGCUGUUGGAAGGGAACAGAAAGUGAUAGUGGGGCUGAAAUUCAGGCAACGUAAUGGAGGGGAAUGAAGGAAUACUGUUAGUACCAUUCUUGGCGCUGGAGUUAUGAUCAUUGUCAUUGAUAUUGUUCUUCCCAUCAGUAUCUAAGCCAUCUCCACGUGAUCCACCAUCCUCAAUGUCCUCUGGGUAGAUAGGUAGGAAUUUUCUUCGACACCUUCGCACCCUUCCAUGCCAAAAAUUCUUGAUCUCGUUGUCUGUUCUCCCUGGUAGCUGCACAUACCCCUCAAAAGCGUCAAGAGUGAAUAAUCACACAGAAGACAACAUACAAAUUAAAGCGAGACAUAAUGGUUCACAUUUCAGAGUCAAGUAUGAAUCGCUAGAUGGAAGGAGAAUGAUUUGGCUAUAUCUAAAUUGUACCAAUAAGUUUCAAAAAGCAAUUCACUUGCAACUUUGACAUUGAUCUUGGGCCUAAAUCCAGAAAUGCAACGAAUCAAGUACCACAAAUUACAACACAAAAUGCACCAAAACCUAAUCCCAAGAUUACAAUGUACCGAACUCAUGCAUUUGCAAAGUACAAUUAAGACUCACUCGUCAGAAGAAUAAAGAGACAUCAACAGGGUGAAAGAGACAUUGUGUUUGAAACAAGAAGGGCUGCAGGUAACCAUCUAAAAUAGUUGUAUAAAGAAUAACACCAAACACAUAAAACAGAAGAUUGCACAAAUAUCACACAGUCAGCAUUUACAGAAAAUAAAUUGCAGCUAUACAUGUACGUACGCACAAUACUACGAUAGGAGGUACCUUGGAGGAUAUGUAUGACCAUUUGUUACCAUAUUUUUUGUGCAAUUUGACCACAAGUCUCUCUUCUUGUUUGGUAAAAGAGCCCUUUUUAAGAUUUGGCCUUAGAUGAUUAGUCCACCGAAGUCUACAGCUCUUUGAUGUCCUACCCAACCCUGAAUACUUCUCUAUGGUUAUCCAGUUCCCUAUCCCGUGCUCUUCCACACACUUUUUCAGCCUCUCAUCCUCCUCAGCCGACCACGGCCCUUUUUUCACCACCAUCACGUCUCCCUCGUCCCCGCAGCUGCUCUACCUCCCUCAUUUUCGAGAGGACCUUGGAUGUCAAGAUCGUCACCCUCUUCCAGCAUGCAAGGCUGGUCCUUUAACUUGGACUUCCCGCCGUCAAAUGGGCCGCCGGAGCUUACUUCCGGCAACCACCAAACCAGGUUGCAGCUGGUGCUUCCUAACAAGCAUCCUUCCACCCCAUUUUGUGUCAUCAAGAAUUUAACAGAUCUUGGAUUGCGAGACAAAUGCAGCUCUGGAAAGUCUAUUUUUGCUUUUAUUCUGGGUUUUUCUUCAAGACUAAAUUUGUUCUGACAUGUAUAUAGAUUCCUCCUCCUUGCAAAACCCUUCAAGGAAACAGUUGAAUCCUUAAUGGGUUGUUCUUAGAAUAUGAAAUGUCAAUGCAAAUGAACGAAUUCUUUAAGAAAGGAACGGAAUUUUGAUCCGGAAAAAUCUGGUCUUAUUCUUGUAGUGAUUUGCGACAUUUUUGCUGAUUAAGAUCGUUAAUAGUUGUCAUUAACACCUAACUCGUGAUUUUUUGAGGUAACGAAGUUCUGAAAGCAAGAGACAGAUUAUGGUGGGAAAAGCAUGGGGGAUUAGGGAAAAGCCAGGGAUUUAGACAGGAUUUGCAUCUUUAUUUAGGCAAAGGCCAGAUCAGAAUUUUGCUAAAUUAUUUGCGCUUUUUUCUCAGACGUUUUGUGGAUGCUGUCUGUGAUAGGUCCCGAAAGAAAAUGCGGCCAGAUAAGUCCAGUUUCAAAACAAUGCAACAAGAUAUUUGAUUGGUUGCAGCGGCGGGGUUAGAUCGAGGUUAGGGAGGGUAAUCUAUUUUGUUUUAAAUCUUUCUUAUCACCUCUCUCAUUUUACCAUCUGACCCAAUCUUCCCUUUUAUAAUAAUAUUGAAACACCUACAUGAUAAUUACUUUUUUUUUUUUUACAAUAGACAGCAAAGUUUUUAGGUUCAUUUAUUAAAAUUCCUUUUUUUUAAAUUUUCAACUAAUAUUUGGUUUCCUUUGGGACAUGUCAUUAUUUUUAAAGUAAGUGAUAAUUGUAGACUUCAAGAACUAAGGGAGCAAAAUAAAAGAAUAUAGGACUAUUUUUGAAAAGUGUAUGUAGUUUUUGGACAAUAUUAAAGCAAACAAUGAGAAUUCUUCAAAGUUGAGGAGGGGUAAUCGCUUAUCUUCAUUUGAAUCUGACUCCCCAGUGAUUGGCUGUAUAUUUAAUGCUCUCAGCGUUACAUUAUGCAUGAUAUAGAAAAGAAGUAAAAAGACUUGCACAAUUUAAAAUCAGUAAAAUAGAAUAGCGAUCUUCGCUCUUCCAACUCAAAUUUUGUUCAAAUUGACUAAUUUUUCAUUUGAGUAUGAAGUUGAUCAAAAUUUGAUAGUUUAAAUACUAAAUUGUGUUGCGGCAGAAAGUUUGAGAACUAAAUGUGUUUAUAGUCUAAAGUUUAGAGAUGAAAAUCGAUAUUUUCCAACAAAAUGAAAGCUGGAAUGAGGAUAAUGGUUAGUAGGACAACGUUUUUGUAAUAAAGAAUUUACUUUUAGGCACUAGCACUAGUUAAAACAAUUUAUUUAGGGUUAAUUCCACUUUGUCCCCCCAAACUUUGGACGAUUAUCCACUUAAGUUCCUAAACUUCAAAAUGGGACACUUAAGUCCCUAAACUUAUAAAUACCUCCCACUUAAGGAAAAUUGUUAACAAAUCCUGAAUGCUGUUGGUGGUCGAAGUGUCCCAUUUUAUAAGGGUUUAGGGAUUUAAGUGUCCCAUUUUAUAAGUUCAGGGAUUUAAGUGGGAGGUAUUUAUAAGUUUAGGGACUUAAGUGUCCCAUUUUGAAGUUUAGGGACUUAAGUGGAUAAUCGUCCAAAGUUUGGGGGACAAAGUGGAAUUAACCAUUUAUUUAUUGUAUGAUGCAAAUGUUUACCUGUAUCAUAACAGGUCGAAACCAUAAAGUUGAUGUCGAAGACACGAAUUGUAAUACAUCUAAAUCUAAGCAUGCGAUAUAAAAUAACUAUAAAUCUUUAAGGGGACAAAAAUCUUAAAUUAAAAAAAAUUUCAAUUAUCUAUUUGAAAGAAAACAAAUUAUCAAGAACUUGGGUCUCAAUCCUCCCUAUGUCGACCCUUGAUUGUCACCCUAAGGCAUCAUCACCUUCUACAAAUCCAAAUUUUUUUUUGUAAAUUUCAAGUAUACGUGACUUUUCAGCCUUCAUAUUUUUUGCUUUUAGGAGCCAAUAUUGACGGUUUGCCAUAUCUGAACAUAUUAUCACCCCCCAACAAAAAAAAAGGCUUAAUCGUAGAAUACUACUUUUUUUUUUUUUUCAUUUGAUUUUUGCGACUCACACUAGUCUCCACCUACCCAGACUGAAACGAUUUUUUGUUCUCCAAGCUUUCCGCGAAGACGCGUAUAAAACCAAAAAAGAAAAACGUGAUGGGACACGACAACAAUAUGACAAUAUCCAUUAUCCACUCGUAUUGCUAGACCAGAAAGAUACCAGCACGUCGCGCUAUUAUAAUAUUGUUUGUCAAUUAUUUCAGCUUUCUUCAUUUCUCUGGGCUAUGUUCCCACUGAUUGAAUACGAUAGAAGGCCACUGGCCAUUUGGUCCGGUGGUCAUCCAUUUCUUUGGGAUGCUGGAGGUCAGGGGUUCAACCCCUGCCUCCCACAAUUUACCACCUUACGUGGCUGGUCUUUACUCCCACGGGGUAGCUCGAGUGGUUCGCUCCCCCUCCUUAGGGUAUGGCGACCUUUCUGGCUUGUUCAGAGCUCGAGUCCCGCUGUUAACGUGUUCGGUGUGGAGUGCGGCCUCCUCUCCCAGACAACAGGAGAUUAGUCGGGCCCCGUAAGGAUUGACCCGGACACCCCUGUAUCGACAAAAAAAAAAAAAAAAAGAAUACGAUAGAAGGCUGUGGGUUGAAGCCCCAGUUCUAAUAAGAGAAGAAAAAGAACAACUAAUUACCAAAUGUAAUUAAUCGUAAAUUUUGUCCUAAAAGUUUUGAAAUAAAAUGAUUACUAAAAAAUUUUGAGUAUUAAUCGAGUUAUAUAGACAGGAAUAAUAUAAUGACAAAAAUUUAGAGAUUAUUAGGUCUAUUUUAUGCUGGUCAGAGACCACAAAGAAGACUCCAUCCAUACUCAGUCCAGACUCCAGACGUGGCUUUGGACCUAUUUCUUCUGCACCAUUUGUUCAGCCCUAAAAAUCUGAAACAACUCAUUGAUUGAUUAUAAUAUUCUCUUGUCAAAAUUGUCGACCAGAGCCGAUGUUAUGUUCCUUGGACCCCUCUUAAGUUUGACCUCACUCCUGAUUUUGCCUGUGGCGACUUUUCUAUCACAUGGAACCAUUCAAUUUGCUGUUGCCAUUUCAUACUCCCCAUUCAUUCGUCUACACGUCCUAUAUAAAGCAUUCCAUGGAUCUCAAGAACACAGCUGAGAGGCCAGACAUAUUACAACAAUCAUUUUAUCUGUUGAUUGUUUCUGAAUCUUCAUGUCCAUGGCUUUCUUGAAUUUCAUGAAUUGCUUCAGGGAGUCGUCAGAAGAGUCCAGGCGAUUUGUAUGUAAUGGUGAUGUUUGUAUCUUGCGUGAUCCCAAGGCUUCAUCAUCAUCUUCCCCGGGCCUCUAUCUGAAGAACAAGAAGCGACAAGAAGUCCCUCGUGGACGAGCUCGAGCUUCUGUUGCCCGAUUUUCUUUUCGAAAAGAAAAGCACGAUUAGCUCAGCGUAAUGGUAUUGAUCUUUCUUCAUGUAAAAUUUUCAAUAAUGGCUCCUCACAAGCCUCCAGUAUUACUUUUUGUAUAGAACAGAACACCACCACCACAAGAAAAGAGAGAAGCUUUUUUUUUCCGUAGGUUUUUUCAAGAGCUUCUUACAAGAAACAAUCUGAAUAUGUAUUGCUAAUGCAGUAAUGCUUUGUUGCAACAAGGAUUCGUGCUGUCAUUUUCAGGACCGGGGAUCUGAUUGGAUUACCCCAGUCCUGUAAUUUCGUCCGUAAUAUUUUGUCUGGCUUUAAACCCUUUAGCGCGUAUAGCCUUUCGGCUUGGAUUCAUUGGAUGGCUAUUGAGAAGACUCUUUUUUUUUUUUUUUCGCAACGGUAGAAUUUUUAUAAUCUAAUCUAGUUUAAUCUAGAGGAAGGAGAUUCGAUGUAAGUUUCGCAACAGUAGAAUUUUUAUAAUCUAAUCUAGUUUAAUAUAGAGGAGGGAGAUUCGAUGUAAGUAGAAACUGAGGACCAAUGUGAGGAGACUCGUCCGAGGAGAAUGUUAGAUUGCGAAGGCAUUUAGAUGUCAAGCAAGAAUACAACAACAGCUCCUCUGACCAUUGAGCUAUUCCCGAUUUUUUUGAUGUAGAAAUGAAAUCGUUCCCUUGACUCUGUUAAAGCGAUCUCUUCUUUUCUCGUCCAUCCAUGCAGAUUAAUGUCUGAUUUAUGUCAUUAUUGAUCAAGAGUGCAUGGAAAUUAAAAUGACAUCACAAUCGGUGGCGGGUAAGAGAACCAAGGAAAGAACACACAUAUUAGACUUCAAAAUAGUGCGACUAAAAAAGAUCCUAAGAGAUUCCUAACAAUUAUAAUCAUCACGAAAUGACGCACUAAUAAAGAUGAAGUGCAAGUGCAAGAAUAAAUAGCUCUUUUUCAUUCCCCAAGGGUGAUUGUUUGCGAUGUACACAGCCAAACAGCCAACUCCGCAGAGGAUAAAGGUAUGCUACCACAAAAUAAUCAUGAUGCCCAAAUCACAAUAAUAAAGUAGUAAUCUUCCUUGAAGAAAGCCUGUACCAAAUUUACAAGAAACGACCUCAUUUUUCUGUGUCUAAAUCACUGAAUCGGGAUAUGACGAACAGUUAAUUAUUACAACCGACCUCUCCUCCAGGCCUUCAGCUAGCCGAUAUCACAUAAAUACAGCCGUUGCAGAUCAACAAACCUCAAAUCAUAAAUUAUCGAGGCCGCUUAGACCAAUUUUUCCAAUGCAGUCGACCACCGUACUUAAUACCUACUCAUAAAACCUAAUCUAAUGCACCGAGGUCCUCCUCUCUUCCGAGCAAACAAGCCCAGUAGAAAAUCAUAUCAGAUAUCCUCCAUAUCCAUCUUAUACAUUUCAAUCCACCACAACAUUUUGGAAACUAAGCUUGCCAUGAUGUCAUCCAACUAACAAUUUGGUAUCCAAGUUUCAAGAAAGUACACCACCUCUUUUAGGAUCGUAAACCAACAUAAGUUCUGAAGUUUUCCUAUUGCUUCAAAAUUGUAUGCCAGCCUUAAAGCUGCAAUGCCAGGUCUGGCUGCUGAGAAUCAACCAGAACACUUGAAGCUGGUCUACCAGGAGACCCUGAUGACUGGAAACUAACAUUCAAGUCUGGAGGCAGUGAUUCCUGUUUCUGCAUUGGCUGCCAUUGUGGACUAAUAGGCUGCCAUGGAGACUGCACCUGGAACCUAGACAAGUCAGCAGUCACUAAUUGAGGAUAAACCAUUGGUUGAUUAUGGAACUGCACAUCACUGCCUAUUCUAGUAGGUUGAGGCACAAAGGGAUGAAAUGGAAAAUUGUUCUUGUCAGGCUGCAAAUGCAUCGCAUAUGGUGGAGGGUCCCCACGAAAUCUUGAAACCUGGGACUGAAGAUCACGAGCAGGGUUAUACAAUGAAUCAGCAGAUAUCUGGUUCUUAUGGAGGCCUGUGUUUUCCCCAGCUGGUCUAAAUCCUCCAGCCCCUAUAGACAUCCAUGCACGAGCAGCAGCUGCAGCAGCAUUGCCUGAAUCUUCUUUUCUCAAUGGAAGAGCUGGAGACAAAACUGGACCACUGUCAACUGGGGACUGAUUAGAUGACUUUUGUUGAUUUUGAGCCUUCUCAGUUAACAUUUUCAUCAACAGGACUGGAUCUGUUAAACCCUGAUCCUGUGCAUGAGGAAAAUAUGUCGCCCCUUUGGCCAAGUCAGAUGCCGAACUAGACUUUUUAUUGCUAUCUAUAUUAUUUACUUUUCCAUUGGGCAGUCCACCAACAGCCACUCCAUUAAGAUUUGAUUGUUUAAAAGAUCCAGAGAGGCAAGAGACUUUUGUUCUUCGAACCAUGUCCUUCGACUUGAACCUGGUAUAUCAGAACUAUUCAAAAUCUGCCUCUCUACAACAAAAUCAGCAGCAGUUUGACUGCCUGAGGGUGGACCAUUCAGUUCAACCUCCUUCAGAAACCUUUUCUCAGGCUCAGUGAAAUUUCUUGGUUGUGAAUUUUGCUGCUGAAAACCAGAAGAAGCUGAAAAAGUAGUUUUGUUUGCAGAACCAAAAAAAGAUCUCCCCUCCAAAACCCUAACAGCUUGCUCUUUAGCCGGAAGUGAGAUACUGGGGCUAGAACAGGCAGUUGGUUUAAUUACUGUAGAACCAAAAAAUGCUGAUUUCCUCUGCACAGUGGAGUCCUUGUAAGAAGGUGCUGCUUUCACCAAUUUGUCCACACAAGGUUCAGUAACAAUGUUCUCCCUGGAAGAAACAGGUUUCGUUGGCAUUUUCUCCUGCUUUCUAGUGACAACUGUCUGUUCAAUCUUGGUAAAAAAGGGUGGUUCCUUAAGAGUGCAAUUUUCAAGCAUUAGCACAGGUGUUGGAAGUGGCUCAUAUUCUCCAACCCACCCACGACCAAAUUUGGAUCCUGAAGGCAGAGCCUGCUCAAUUCUCUUGGAAGCGAUUCUCCAAGCAACAGGUCCAAGAGUUGCUGCAAAUCUGGCCAGGCUCCUAGCAUAAGAAUGAUCCGCAUAAAGACCCACCUGAAUCAGGAAAUCACUGAAUCCAUGAGCUAAAAGGUCAUCAGUAGAAUAAGAUGUCAAUUUACGCAACGUACAGAAACUAGCUGCUUGCUUUCUCCAUCAAAAGUUGAAAAUACAGAAUCGAAGCUGGCAACAGGCUGAGUAGACAAGUUAUAAGUUGCACGACGAUUCUCAUCAUUCAAUGAUUGUUUUCUCUCAAUCUUAGCCAGAGGUCGCUUCCCUGCAAAGACAAGUGAAGCAAUCAGGAAGGCUACCCACAAGCAAACUUGGUAGAGAAUAGAACUUCUUGUCCCAUAGAAGAAAAGAUUGACUAAUGAUUUUCACCUUGACAAACAAUCAAACUACACGACACUAAAUGAUUAGACAGAUAUAACAGUGUUCACUGCCAAUCCUUACUAUCAGAUCACUUGCCCAGAUUUUAAUGCCAAUGGAAUUUUAAAACAUAGAGAAAAGAGAAUUUGCUCGGAUACCCGGCAGCAAUUCUUCUGCUUUGUCUAUGCUGUUGUCAAUGACAGGUGGAACCUCAAGCCUAUCAACACUGCUAGCCCUCUCAGAUCCACCAACCUGAGCUGCACUUGAACCAUUUUGAAUAUCUCCAUUGGUUGCAAGUGUGGCACCAGAUGAGAAAUCAGACCCCACAGGGUCCUGCAAUGUCCGGCUGAUUGGCUUCCUUAUUUGCUUCUUAACAACAGAGUUUAAUCUUGUCUUCUGGUCUGAUUUGAGUUCGUCCGACCGUUCAAUGCCAAGUCUUAUUUUCUGAAAUUUCCUUUUUGCCAGCUCUUGGAUGGCGCGAGCCUUUCAAAAUAAAUAGGCAGUAUAUUAACGAAUUGCUCCCAGAAUGGAAAAAAAAGGGGGAUGGGGUUGCACAUGGUGCACAGAGAAGUGGUUAAAUAAAACCCAAAUUCCUAACCUGUUUAUGAUAUAUGGUAUCUGGUCCAUUGUAUUGCAUCGCAUUCGAGCUAAUAAGGAAAACAUCACUCUGCAGAGGAAAAAACAACUAAGAAACUGCAUAACAGUAAGAGGCAGCAGCUUAAAGGUUAAGUGGAGGAAAACAAGUCUAAAUGAAAAGAAUAUCAAAUUUUGUUCUUCCUUUUCGCAUUUUCAAUCAAAAUUGAGUGAAACAGGUGUCUCUAAUGCUUGAAGCUUGAAAAAAGAUACCCUGAUUCAACAACAAAAUUGUUUAAUAGUUACCAACAUUUUUUUAUUAAAAAAAAAGCAUGAUAUUCUAUCUUCCCCCAAAACCAGUUCAAAGAAUUCAUCCAGACAAGCAAGACAAAUUUAUCCCUAGCAUAUUAGAGCCAAGUGUUUCAAGCGCAGAACAACCCAACUCUCCAACCGGUAUAUUCCAGGGGGGUGAACCGAAUCUAUAAAAGACACCGCAGAAUCCAAAUGGGUAUUCCUUGAAAAGAAGUAAAGCUCAUCGCUGCAACAGGUCAUUGCAGCAUUAACCAAAAUGUCAUUCUAGAAGGUUAACAACUCUACAAAAUUGGAUGUUAAUGAUGCAAGCUGUGCAGCUUAGGAAUGCGGAUAACGUAAGCAAUAUCACAAAUAUUCUCUUGAGAUCUGAAAUGAGAGACUCUGACAAUCAGAAUUGCCACCAAGCAUCUAAGUGUCAAUCCCUGCAGAGGAUUUUUCCUAUACUUCACCUUAAACCUAUAGAAAACCUAGCUAGUAUAUUAAUGGCCAUAAUAUACUCUAGAAUCCCAUAGAUGAUCUAAAAACUCAGACUUGAAUAUCUCAAAGAGUUAGAUCAUAAUACCAAUAACAUUAACCAAUUAUAUAUAUCGCAAUGCUUUAUACUGCUUUUUUUAUUAACUUGAUACUGCUUUUACGAAGAACAGUUAAAGAUUGAUUGUCCACCAGCCGGUUUCUUGGCAGAACAGAUAAAAAUUAAGAUCAUGUCUCCAUAACACCCUUUACUUCAUUGGAUCAGAAAGGUUUUACUAUUCAUUCUCAAGUCUGUAGUAGCACCUAUAUUCUUUAUGUCCUCUUAUAACAAUACCGUAUAGGCAGCAUCACUUGUGUGCCAAUUUGAUUGAUCAUGAUCUAGCAGAAGUCAAACAUUUUAUGAUAUUUUUCAAUAUGAACAGAACAAUCUUAGCAUCUCACGGCAGUUGUAAUCAAUCCAAAAGCACCAGGUUCGGUUGCAUCAUCGAUUGAAAUGUCUUUCAGGUGCUGUACAGAAGCAAGUUGUUAUCUGUUCCCCACAAGUUGAAUUAGGGCAAUGAGCAUCCGUAUUUUGAGAUUUGGCAAUUCACCAAUGAGACAGAUACUAUUCACUCAAUUCAAAGCCCUAUAACGGCCGACGUUCCAACAUGAUACAACCACAAACAACUCUUCCCUAUUUCCAUUUACAUAUUAACCCCUUAUAUAACUGCCUGAGCUCAUGACGUCUCAUGUACCAAUUGGAGAGGUUAUGCUCAAAAGAAGAAGAAGAAGAAGAAGAGUAGAAAAAAAUCUGAGCAGAAUUACGAAAAGCACCUCAAAUUGUUCCAAGUUUGCAUAUGAUCCAUUUCCCAGCUUGUUCCUCGCGGUGGUAAAGUCCAUAGGAUGCUCAAUAACUUCAUGGUAAUCAGGUAACUAGAGAAGAGAAAAUAACAAACAAAAUAAGAAUCUUCAUCAUUUAAACACUGCCUAAGAUUACCAUAAGAGAACGCAUACUGAAAACGGCCAACCUCCUCAGGAUCAGCAGGCUCUGCGUAAACACCAUAAAUGUCCUUCCUGGCAUCAUAAAAACAGAAACAAUUAAAGCCCAAAUCACCUUAUUACCACAAACCAACAAAAAUAACCGUCUAAACAGAAACAGAACAACAGAUUACACCUACUUUUGAAGCUUGUCAAGAAUUAAUUCCAACGUCUUCUUUUCUGGCAAUGGCAACCCAGAAGGAGCUUCAGUAGGCGUCCCUGAUUGAACAGAAGUAAUCAUUUCAUCAUCAAAUUUUUCACAGGGUGACACCAAAAAUCAUGCCUGACCCACGAAUCAAAAUUCAAAACCCACCUGGAGCAGAGUCCUCCACCCCUUUCGGCUCAUCAGCUUUUCCACCACCUUUAACAACCUGUCAAAAUCAAACAACAGAAACCCCUCAAACCACAAUAAAACAAAACAUCAACAGGCUCAAACAUAAAUAAAUGCUCCCUCUGCUCAAUACUACGAACCAAAAAGUCGGCGUCUUUCAGACGGGGACAGAAAACAAAGCAGCAGACAGACAGAGAGAGAAAAGGAAGUACGUACUAAUCCAUGUGUUUUUGUGUGCAAGAAAAAUUGUAUGGAAGCAGAGAGAGAGAAAGACAAGUAGAUAUAGAAAGAGAGAGAGAGGUGGGAGCGUGAUCAGAUUCUGUGGGGGUUAGUUUUUGACAGUUGACCCGACCGUUACUCUUCCAACCCAAUCUCUCCCGACAUUGAUACUACUCACCUAUACAUACACAAUUUCACAUAUAUAUAUAAUUCUAGAGAGAGAGAAAGUAGUGAGCUGAUAGGAGUGAUUUACAAGUCUGGACCAAUUAGAAAAAUCUCAGCUGAACUUCCUCCCCACCUCAGCUGAGCUGGACAACCCUAUGCUCAUUUUCUCUCUCCCCAUGCAAAUUGCUUACAACAUCCAUCGUUGAACAUUCAUUCUAGCUUUGUUCUUCUACUUAGCUACAAUUUUUCUGAAUUUUGAUUUUUUUUGGCUGCAAUCAGAUCCAUAUCGAUUUGAUUUUACUUUUUGUUUCCGGUUUUUCUAUACCUCAUCAUCCUCAACAUUUUCAUUAUCGUCAUCAUCCACGUCAUCAUUUUCAUCUUCCUCAUCUACCUCUGCCUCGGCUUCAGCUUCUUCAUUGACGCCUUGGCGGCUGCGGCCGCGAGCGAGGCUGUCGCUCAUUUUCCUCUUCUUCGACGGCUUAUUAUAACUCCCAUCACCGGCGAGGUCCGACGACGACUGAGAAGCUGCAGGCGCGUGUGACGCACGCCGAGUCUCACUCGGAGUCGACUCAGUGGUGGUGGUUUCUCUGCUAGUCUGGAGCUUAAGAAGGAGCUUGAGCUUCUUCUCCCGCCGCCGCUCGUCUUCCUCAUCAUCGAAGCCCUCGAAUAACUCGUCGUCGUCGAGGUAAUCAUCGAAAUCGAAGGUGUACCUCACGUUCCGUUGACGGUGACUCUCCGAAGCUCACGCUCCGGCGCCGAUGCAUCCUCACCUACGCUGCGUCGUUUAGCGAGAUCUGCCUUGGAUGGUCUCCCUUUCUUCUUCCUCUUCACGAUCUGCCCCAUCUUUGUCAUGCGCCUCUUAGUCUCUCUCUAGAAAACACGCACUACGCACACUCACUCAGUGUCUUUCUCUCUCUUCCUCUCUUCCUUUCUCUCUCUACUAUUUCUUUUCUCUCUCUUCUUUUACUCCAUUAUUUAUCUGGCGCUCUGCUUUGGCUUCUUUUCUUUGGGGGUCGCUUUUGAGCUCCGAGCCUAGCUCUGAAUCUCAGGCUUGGAGGCUCGGGGGUUUUGAAUAUAUGACAUGAUUGCCUCAGCUUUGUAGAGAGAGAAACGGCGUUACUGGGUGAGAAAGACGGCGUUAGGUACUGCCGCGGUGUGCCCGAAGUGCUUGCGUGUCCACUGGUCUGCCCGUUAUUGCGUCAAGCUAGACUGUCAUUGCUAUAUUUCCGGAGAUACUUGUUGGCAGGGUGCAGCGCGUGCUGUCACGUCACAGUAGUUCUCCUGGAAAUAUCCUGAGGCAACGGUGAUCAUUUGCGCGUGAACUUCACUGUGUUAUUAAGACGCUGACUAUAAGUGAUUUGUAAUACAGCAAAUCUGCUUUUUUUUCUUUUUUUUCUUUUUCUGCCGAACAACGCAGUACCUUCUUCACUGGGAUACGUCCAAAUAAGAAAAUGGAGACUACAGUAAUUUCUUUGACUUAUGGCCAUGAUAGAGUUUUACUCCAGAAAUAUUUUUUAAAAAGGGAAAAGAGUAAUUAUUCUUCUGAGAAUUUGAGAUAUUUUUACUGUAUCACUUUUUAUGAUAUGAUGUAUGUGACAUAAAAAAGUAAUUAAAAAAAUAAAUAGGUAUAUUAGAAAUGGUAAUGAUAAUGUAAGCAAAUAAAUUUUAGCAAAUAAUCUGCUGUCCAAACAUUACUAUUUACACAUUAUCUACACCUUAUUUAUAUUUACUUGUAUCAUCAACCAAAUUUUUCAAUUAUCUUUUUAUUUCACAUACAUCAUAAAAAAAGUGCUAUAGUAUUUUUUUCACAACAUUGUUUCAAAUAAUCUACUAUCAUUUGGAAAGGUCGAGAACUGAGGUCCAAACUCGAAUCUCUUGUCUUGAAACUUCACGAUUCGGUACGAAAAAGGUAACAUAAAAUAUGUGUUCUUCUAUAAUUUUGGAGUAUAAGCAUUUGCUAAUGUCGAAAAGCAUUGGUUGGAUCAAAAACAUAUACUAAUUCCUUUUAAUGGUAGGGAAAUGGCAGGAUUUAUAAGCAUUAAUUGGAUUAAAAACAUAAGAGAAUGAUGAAAUUUAAGAAACCGAGAGAAUAUGGGAGAUUCAAAACCACAAAUGCUAAUUCUCGGAAUUUCAACUUUAGCCACUAAAUCCUUUGAACCAAAGUUUAAUCACGUAGAUUGAAAAUGUAAAGAAAAAUAAUCCAAAACGUCCAUAACAUUUCGUCAAAUGAAUUUUUUCAUCAUUUACUUUUAAAUUUAUAACUUUACGUCCCUUACAAAAUCAAUAUAAUAAAAUUCAAUCCUAACUUAAGUUUCCAACUGCUUUUUAUUUUGAAUCCAUCGCGUGAUCCUAUACAUGAUCAUUUUUUAGUGGCAAAAAAGGUUGGAUUCCAUUUACAAUAAAACAAAUGAUCCGAUCCAUAUUCAUUUUUAUCAUAAAAAAUAAGAUAUAACUCGAAUCUUAUUUAUUUAUUUUUCUAAAAAAAGUGAGAUCGAACCUAAUCUAUAUUCAUUUUUGUCAUAAAAAAAAUAGGAUUUGACAUGUUUUUACAUAAAAAUGAUUGUAUAUUGGUCGCAUGGUGAUUUAAAGUUAAAAGGUGGUUUAAAACUUAUAUUGGAACCAAAUUUUAUUAAUUUGAAUUUAUAAAGGAUUUAAAUUAAUGUUUUAAAAGUGAAUGACAAAAAAAUUCAUUUGAUGAAGUGCGAUGACGUUUUGAACAAUUUUUUCCAAAAUAUAAUGUUACAAUUAUUGAUAUUUCUUAUCUAAAACAGUUUAUUUUACUUAUGAUGCAUAGAAAUUGAAUUAUGCUUGUCAAAAGGCCAACUGCGUUUCACGUACUAUUUGUCCAUUUAGCAGUGUAUUAUCUUUGAGGUUCUUUCCACUCGACGAGUGAGGAUCAAAACUAUCAUUUGAGAUCUGGCGUUAAUUGUUGAUGCAAUAAUUUACAUGCAAUUCAUCGACGAGCGGUAGUAAUUCAUCAUCAUGAUUGGAAUUGGCAGUACGCCUACGUGUGAUGCGUUCAAUAAAUAUUAUUGUCACGAAAAAUUAAAUCCACUUUUCAAGCUCUGCUGAAUCAUAUGGUACUACUACUAAACUGAUUGGUGGCGACAACUAAUUUGAUUGGUUACUCUCAAUUUUCAAAUCGACACAAUAAUGGUUCAGUACAGAGUCUGUGGAAUCUACAUUUCAAACUGGAAAUGCCUCCAAUAAUUUUUUUUAGCAACAAAGUACUUUUUUCUCUAAUUUUUUUUUUUCGUUCAACAACAAAGGGUGAAACUUAAGAAGUGGAGAUGAGAAGAUUUGAACCUCCUGAGGCCUGUAAUUUCUGGGUAUGAAACUGGCAAAAAGUCUCUCUGCCCUGAAUCGUUCUUCUUCGGCUAAUAAGUAAGUGUUUUUGGCUGUUGUGGGAAUUCACCCAAAACAAAUAGAACCGGCUGGUGACUGUACAGCCAUGCCUAAUUUGCGAGUCCUUCCCAGUCAUACCAAACCAGCAAGACGAGUCAUUUAUUUCCUUCUUUAACUAUUUCGUCUUCAUUCAUUCAAGUCACUCGCAUGAUAACAUACUUUUUUGUUUGCUUCAUUUACUCCUGAGUCCUGAAAAAGCGUUGUUGCGGUGGGUAGUAUAUUCAUGUGUUUUAGCACUUUGCAGUAUUGUUUGAACAUCUGCUUUGGUCCCUCAUAAAGAAGAAGAAUGUGUCGUGUAUUGGAUUAUUUUAUGUGUUUGUUGCUGAUUACAAACUGGAAGGAAGAAUCAAGCAGUGUGGACGACUCUGCAAUCUGCAUCUCCAGUACAACAUAUCUGACCUAUCUAUCCACAUUCUGUAGAUCAUAUUUCCUAGUUAUCAUCCAGAUGUUCAUUGUUAUACCUUCAUUUGUUAUUAGGAGUAUAAUUUACCAUCUCACUAUGGCCACGAGUAUUUUCCAGGCAUGGUCGCCUUCCACGCCACUUAUCUUUUGAACAUAAAAACAAAAGCUUCUCCAUUCGAUUUCUGUAGUUUAUCUGUCAAGAGAAAAGUUAUAGCUAACAAAUUGAGCAAUGAUGCAACAAGAUCAUGUUCACCUAAUUGAAUGGAGGAUCCUUAUGCAAUAUAGUAGUAGUUUUUUUUUUUUGCACUUAGGGGGUGUAUGAGCCUUUUUAUGGCCAGACUAAUCACCCUAAGGCCAGCAGAGCCCUGCCCAAGAAUGCCAGUAAUUUUAUCACAACGAGAGUCGAACAUGGAACCAUACCGUAAAGACGGACUUACUAGUCCCGCCGAGCUACCCGUGGGGCUAAUAGUAGUUAAUAAGCGUUAUAACUUAUGGUACUAACUGCACAACUAGUACGUUUUUGCUAGCGUGCAAAUCUUAUCUGUAUCACCACCAAGAAAAAAAAAGUCAAGGAAAACAUUUCAGAUCAUCUAAUUGAGGAAAACAUUUAACCUGUAUCUGCUCUAUUGAUGAUAUCAAUCAUCAUAUACGAAUUAUUGAAUAAAGCCAAUAAACAGUGCAUAUGCAAAUUGAUUAAAAUUUGAGUAGCAGGCGGCUCACCUGUUGUUAAAAUAGGAAUGGCAACGGGACAAGGAUUGUCCAAACAUUCCCGCGGCUCCGCCUUCCCAACCCCACUUUCUCCGCGGACUAACAGAGUAAAUGUAUAAUUAGUAAAAAGUGUAAUUAGUAAUUUAAUAUAAUUAUAUUAGUAUAAGUGAUCAAUAAUUUAUAUUAAUAUAAAUGUAUAACUAUUAAUAUAAUUAAUAGUAUUAAUUAUGUUAACUAUACAUAAUCUGAUACUUAUAAUCAAUAAUAUAAUUAUUAUAACUAAUGAUAUUAAAUAUAUUAUAUAUAUGUGACUAUAAUAUAUAUUUUUUUUUAAAUGAGUGAUGGGGCAAGGAUAUACUCCCCUAUCCCCGGGUUCCUGAGGGGGAGAAAAUGAUUCCCGUCUCGCCCCAUUAACCCCGUCCUAAUUGUCAUUCUUAGUCAAAAAGUUUUAGGGUGAAAUAUUUAUCAACUUCUCAUCUUUUAAUCAUCUUUUUAACCCUCAAAUAUCUCAAACUGGGCAUAAUUGUUAUACUAACUUCAUGAAUUUUAAAUCGAAAAGUAAGAUCUAAACUUUUUCGAGCUUGCCUAAAAAAAAGGAAACAGAAAUUAGGAUGAUUGAGGCAAAAAGGCUUUUUUUUGGGCACAAUACACUUUACUCCCUUGUGGGGUGUUAUUUAUUGCAAGAUCUAAACUAGAGGGGAGUUAUAUAUAAAAGAACUAAAUUAUAGGGGUUAAAGUGUAAUUUAUUCAAAAAAUAGUUUUCCCAUUUUAAAUUCGAGUUGUUAGUGGAAGCAGUCAAUCUUCAGUCUCCAGUCCAAAAAUGGAGAAGCUGAGGAGACUGGUGAUUCAAAUAGCCAGCAGUCCGCCAUCCCAGAGAUUCUCUGCUCUCUCUCCACUCCAGCUUUCUCUCAUUCCCCUACUCUCCAUCGCUUCCUCCAUCUACAACCUCGCUCUUCUCAUCCGACACCGCCUCUACUAUCUGGGAAUUUUCCACAAAUGCAGGUAUUGAAAAAGAACCCCCGCCGGGAGGGGGGGGGGAGGAAGAAAAAUCUACUAAGCAAUGAAAGGAAGUUUUAGUCUGUACCCUUUUAACGUAAAGCAUUUUUCUCGAAGAGAAUCUCAAAUAGGCAAAGUUUCAAUUUUUAUCAUCUUUUACCCUUGAUUCUCCCUUGAGAACCCUGAUAAUUGUACUAGGUGUUUUUUGUUGCUUCUUUACGGAACUUCUGAUUUCUUGAUACAGUUUUACUUUUGUUGGUUGUGAACUUUAAGGUUGCCAGUGCCAGUUUUUAGUGUUGGAAAUUUGACAUGGGGAGGAAAUGGGAAGACUCCAAUGGCUGAGUUCGUUGCUCGGUGGUUGAUCGAUUCUGGGAUUUCACCGCUUAUUCUGACAAGGGUACUCAAUCGACUUCCUUCUUUUUCUUUUUCUUUUUUAUUUUUGUGGCAAGAACGCAUUUGCAAGAUGGAAUUUUGAGUGAACUAAAGCUUUUCUGUUAUUUGUAUGUUGUUUUUUGCUCGGUCCUUUGGGUCUUGCUAUAUGAAAUUGUUGACUUGUAUGGAGUGGUAAAAAAUUUGAUGCUUCAGUUUUUUAAGGUUUAGUAAUUAGACAAGUACGCAAUAAUAGAAGUUGUUUUGGCUGUUGAGAGAUAAUAGACAAACGUGUUGUUUUGGAUGUUUUAGUUGUUUUCUACUUUGAUUUGGAGUUUUCUAGUUCUUACUUCACCAUCAUUUGCAAUUAUUGAUAUUAAACGUUUUCUGCAAAUAAACACACACACAAUUAGCUAGUGCUAGAUUGAGUGGGACCCAUAGAUUAACGUGAAAACUAGUGAUGCCUGACCAAUGUUGUAAGCGAAUUCCUUUGAAGUUAUUUUGUUUGUUGGGCGUUAUUCUAAAUAUUUCUUAUCUCAUCAUUUCUGGAUUUCAUGAUAUUCGAGGUUUCUUUUUCUUUUCUUUAUGAGCAUGCAUUUGCUGCUAUGGAGGUGGGAGGGAUCAGGGAUCAGUACUUUUUCUUGGCUAGUCCAUAGGUGUAAAUGUAAAUAAACAUGGAGUAAGGCUUGUUGAGAAGGAAUAACUUCCUGCCUGUGGAAUUUAAUUUGCUUGCUUAUGUAUUUGCAUGAGGGUUCACUUUGCAGGGUUAUGGCGGUGGUGAUGAAGCCAAAAUGCUUCAACGACAUUUACAUGGGACAUCUGCUAAAGUUGGUGUUGGAGCUAACAGGGCUGCCACUGCUGCUAGUUUUCUUGAAAGACAUGGAUAUCUGAACUUUUCUGAUAGUACAUGCUCCACAAAAGCUUUCUUGAGCAAGAAAGCAAGGACUGAUUCUUUUUCAGACAAAAUUGGAGUGGCAAUAUUAGAUGAUGGAAUGCAGGUAUGAUGGCCCAAAGGACCUUCAUUAUUUUAGAUUACAUUCGGCAGCACGCAAUGCAGUAUCAUUUCUGAGAUUACUUAGUCCAGAUUAUAGGCCUUCUGCCAUUUAUGCAUUUCCACAUGAAAAAAAAAAUAGCUGUUUUCUAGUCACAAUUCUUGAAAUUGAAGUGGUGAUUAUCAGUUAGGACUUGUAUUUAUUGAUUGUUAAAUCGAAUGAUUGAAAGGCAGCAUUUGCAGCUGUGGCGUGACCUAGAGAUUCUUAUGGUGAAUGGGAUGAUGCCAUGGGGAAAUAUGGAGUUGAUUCCACUUGGACCAUUAAGGGAACCUCUUGCUGCACUUGGGAGAGCAGAUGUUGUUGUAAUCCAUCAUGCAGACUUGGUACAAGUUGUUUCUUCUCUGUUUUUCUCUUGUUUAGACUAACAUCAAUUCGCUUGUAAUUGUUCGAUGGCCACUUAGCGUAAGUUAUAGGAUAACAUACAUAAAUGAGUCUAAUGCAGGGGACUCAUACAGGUGGCUGAACAAAAUAUUGAAGCCAUUGAAUCAACAGUUUGGAAAGUCAGUGACUCUAUCCCCCAUAUUCCUGACACAAAUGGCACCUUCAUACUUCCUAAAAGCUGGCAACACUUCCUGUGUUUUAUCCCUGAGGGCAGUAUAUGAUAUGAUUGUCCUGUGUGUUUCUGCUAUUGGUUUUCCUGAGUCCUUUGUGCAGACAAUUCUGAAGGUAGUGUUUUUUUCAUGUCUUCUUUUUCAUUGUGAGUUCAAGAUCUUGUCAUAAUUAACUUUUAGCUUAUGUUAAUAUGCUUGUAUUAUAACAGAAGUUGAGGUCUACAUGAUUCCUUCAUUUUAUUAGUCCACCUGCAUUCCAGUUUCAAAUCUGAGAGGUAGUUUUGGUAUUGACAAUGGCAGAUGGGACCAAAGCAUGUUGAUCGAUUAGAUUUCAGUGAUCAUCAUUUGUUCCAAGCUAAGGUAAAUCUCCUUUUUGAAUUUUUCUUUUUCACUUGGUUUGACUAUCAUUGUCAAUUUUUUGGAGGACAAGAAUGAAAUUUCCUUUCCUUCGCUAUCCAGUUUCAAGAAAGUUCUUCUUGUUUUUUUAGUUCCUGAAGUUGAAUCAAAGAAUAUCUUCUCUCAUACUCACAAACUAGUUGAAUCAAAGAACAUCUUCUCUCAUGCUCGUAAACUAAACAAAGGGUCACAUAGUGAUCUCUUUUCAUUUUUCUCUCUCCUCUCUCUCUCUCUCUCUAAAAGUGGAAUUUGCCUUUAUUCUUUAAUUCUUUUCAUAUUAUAAGUUUGACUGUUGUUGCUUACCUCCUGGUGCUCUACUGCUGUAGGAUAUUACUAUCAUUAGAAGGAGACUUAAAGAACUUGAAUCUGCAUAUGGCAUGCAGCCAAUUGUUGUUGUGACUGAAAAGGUAAGCAGAUCUUUCAAAGCACAUUGUCUAUAGAGCCUAGUCUAUUGCUAAUUAUUUUAACAAACAUCAUAGAUCAAAGAAGCUGUCUUUGGAACAUUUCCUCCAUCUUUUCUUUUGCCUAGAGCUAGUAACUUGAUAUUAAUCUUCACCCACUCUUUCUUGUUUACAUUAGGCUUUGAAGAAAUGAAAGUAAUUUUGUGAACUUAACUGUGAUUUAGCAUAUUUGAACCAUGAAAUGGCUUCUUUUAACCCAUCAAACUGAUAUAUUGACCCUUUUGGAAUGAGCUUUCUUUUAACUUGCUACUUUUGAUGUUUGAUGUAAAUUGAAUAAGUUUCACUGAAUGGCGGUACUUUUCCUUUUCAAUUCUCUCCUUGGCAUAGGAUUAUGAUCGUGCUCCAGAUGUUCUGAAUCAUGUGAAUCCUUAUCAAGUAUUGGUGCUCUGUUCUAGCAUGCAAAUCCUACCUCGUGAAGGACGCACAGAAGAUAAUUUCAAGAAGUUCCUAAGAGAGCGCCUUAAAUCAUUGUCGGACUCGAAGAUUACUUGAAGCCUUGAACUUACAAGAAGGAGGGCCCAGGAGAGUCCCGUUGAUUAUUUUCGGACUCGAAGGUCACUUGGAAGUUGGAAGUCUUGAGCUUGUAAUAUGGAGGGAGAAUAAUUUUCUUUGGUCAUGAGAUUAUUUCUCGCAUACGAUUCAUGGUUCUUAUUCCUACAUGAGAUUCUUGAUCAGGCGUACGAUGUGGAUCUUGGGCUUUACUUCCUUCAGUUAUUACAUAUUAGGAACAAUAAUCGGAUGAAACUAUAAGCUACUCCGCUUUCUGUUCUUUUUUUUUUUUCCCAGAAACGAUAACUGUUAUAUAAUCUAAUCUAUCCUAUACAAGGAGUAGGGGGCGGAUCUAAGGAGGUCUAGGGGUAAUAUGGAGGAAACUGAAUUAUCAUCCGACCAAAUGGGUGUAUUACGCACUUAUCUGAAUUUUUUUAAACAAAGUCACUUUUAAUGUGCCCGACAAUGCUACAGUGCCUAUAGUUAUGGUAACGAUAUUAGAGAAACCUACUAUUACAGGUUUCUAUUACUUUAGUGACAGAUUCAAUUUUUUAGCGACUUUUGAAAUAUUAUAUUAAAAUAAUUAAUAUUAAAUUUAGUAAGUUUUUAAUUAAAACAAGUAAAUUUAUGCCUGAAAAAUAAGUUUUUGUCAGAAAUAGAAAUUUACACUUUGAGUAAUUUAAUUUACUUAUUAUUUGACGAAAAUUACUUAUUUUUGAAUUAAACUUACCAAUACUACAAGUAAAAAAUGUUCAUAUUUAAGUAAAAAAAUUACCAGUUUCUAAAAACGGUUUUGGGUUCCUGAAACACUUUCGGAUAUCAUCUUGUCAAAGUCAUCUCCCUCUUAUUACUUAGUUCUCAGUUCCAACAUACGAUUGAAGGCAAAGAUUUCCACUUUGGUCCACACUUUCUCUUGGUUACAAGCGAAUAAAUUUUCCCACUUCAAAUUUUCAUCUUCAGUUCCCACUUUCCCUCUAUCCUUUCUCAUCGAUAGAUUGUUUUUGGGUGCUGCCAAAUGCAGACACAACAAAAGGGUUUUUCGACGGUGGUAGCCAAUCAAAGAUAGCAGUGACGAGGUUAGCCCAUCAUGUCCUCUUGAAAUCGUUUGAUUAUAUUGCUGUAAUUUAUUUAUAUUUCAUUUGUUUUGUUUGUCAAGAUUUUCUUGCGAAAUCAAGGCUGAGAAUUUGAAGAUUUUAUUGCAAUUUUGGGGCUGAAAAUGUCCACUGAAACAUCUAGCCUUGAUUUGGUUGUAGUUUGGAUUGUCUACUGGUAAAACAUGCUUAAUAGCCAUAUGAAGCAUCUAGGACUUGACUAGGCGUUUAAGUUAAAUGUGAUUAAUUUGUGAAUGCAUAUAAGAUGUUUGGUGAAAUGUCAAAGAGAAAUCUGUGUGUUAUGAUUGCUACUCUGUGCUCUUCAGCAGCCAGAGAUGAGACCAGCUCUUAAAGAAAUCACCCUCGUCAGUUGACAACAGCGCUCAAGAUCACCCUUGGGAUUGGCUGAAAAUAGACCUACUUCUGUUGGAAACUAAAUAAUCAUAUUAGAGACAGUGAUUUCAUCUUCCUUGUACCUGCUUUCUUCCUCUUCUUCUUCUUCUGUUUUCCCCCCCUUUUGUCUUAUGGGUUUUUGUAGCUUUUCUUUUUUUUGUUGUUGUUGGGUUUAAUCAGAUGUACAUAUUUAGAUGAGAAGCACUAAUACUCUCUUUCCAGUCUUGUUUGUGGUGAUGGGAUGAGUGCAGCUUCAUCAGUUUCUUAUAAUAUAACUUGAAAUUUUGCAGAGAGGGAAAAGAUAUUAAUAUACCUCCUUCAAUUUUGCAUAAAGGGAUGUUUUCCUAUCUUCCUUUUUUGCUUGAUUCUGAAUUUUUUGCCUUUUUAAUUUCUGGUGUUCCAAUAUAUAUAUAUAUAUAUAUAUUUUUUUUUUAAGCUUUAAGUUCUUGAAUCUAAGGUUGUGAAUUUGCUGCGUCCUGAUUCUUCCUCCAACCGACAAAACAGAGGUCCUUGCUGUUUUCUUUGAUUUUAAUUUUUUUGUCCUUUAUUGUUGUGGCUGUUUUGCAAAACGUGGAAGUUAAGGCCCCCUCAAGGGUGGGUUUGGCCGGUGCAAUUCAAUACUAAGAAAUGAAAAUCAGUAGAAAUGACUUGCAGACAAUGACUACCUAUUUCCUGGAAAACGGUUUUGUCCUUUUUCUCUAGAUAUUUUUGAUCUUUCAUUUUGUAUUCCCACUUGAAAAAUGGAACACAUUAAUUGUUAGUUAUCAUAUUGUCUCUGGUUGGCUGCCCCUUAAAUUUUAAAAAUUAGAAGUCAUAAAUCAGACUUUGAUUUUUCUUUUCUAUUAAUUUUCGGUAUGUAUAAAAAUUACCGCAAUUAUUUUCUAUUAAAAUGUGCCUAAGUAUCCGUUGACAGCUUUGAUGAAUGAAUUCUGUACUUAUUUUCUAUUAAAAUAUGCAUAAGUAUCCGUUUGUAUAUCCUCUUUCCUUUCCUCUUGCUCUCAAUCCAGUGAUCGGUAAUGGGGUAGGUUGGUACUGAUUGAAAUAAUUUUCUCGCAAAAAGUCUUCAACCAGAAUUUUAAAAGGAAACCUAAGGUUUUGAUGUUGCAUUGGUCUUUCUUUUGUGUUUUAUACGCUCGAGUUGUUGAGGCCUCCCUCUUUCUAUCUCAGUCAAGCCAGAUUCUUUGCUCCUGCGUUGUAUGUUCUUGUUUCAGAAAGAGGGUUUAUCAGGUUGGGUAGUUUAGUUCAUGUUCUUGAUGCUAGAGGGAUGGAAUUGUUUUUCUUAUCAAAAUGGCAUGUUGUAGUUCCCUUUUCGUUCAUUGUUGUGCGAUAGAUUUAGGUGAUGAAUAGCCGAGAGCUACGGAAAGCUUGUAAAUGUGAUUUUGCAGAGAAAGGUCCUGCUGCAUUUUUUUUCUUUUGCUGAUUAGUUCCCUUUGUCCCUGACGGUCAGCUCAGAUUUUUGCUUUAAUCCUGCAACAAAAUGUAGCUUUUGAUUUAGUUGAUAAUUGAGAGUUAAGAUCCUGGUAGUUGGUGAACAUGUCUGCAUGCUGAAAUGGAAAGAAAGUUGCGGUAUGGAAACUUGCAGAACCUUGCGGAUAAGAAAUUGCAGAAGCAUAAGAAAGCUUCGUAACAUGCAUGCAACAAAUUUCAGAAAUUGCAUGUUUAACCCUCGAAUUUUGGCUUAAUGUUACUAAGGCCCAUAACAAUUAGGAAAAUACAAUCAAUUUUGUCCCUUCAAAAUCUGAAUUGUUGUUGGCAUGCCUUAAUAUGUUUUUUGGACAGAUUUUUCGUGAAUUUUAGGAUGAAAUAGGGAAGGUUUAAUAAUUUUGAAGAAUUUAUAGUUUUGAUUUUCAUUUGAUUAAUAUUUUAGCUAAUUUUGUCAUUUAAUCAUAAUAAAUCAGUUUCCAUUCAUCAUUUUGUGAAGUUUAGCAUUUGAUCUUGACAAUGCUACAGUGCCUAUAGUUAUGGUAACGAUAUUAGGUGUUAUACAAUACUCAGCAAAUCUUGAAGAUGUGUUGUGGAAGUGUUGUGACUGCUAUGCUAUACUAAUAGUCUGCAAUUUCCUUCUAAGAAAUAAGCAUGACAUUCACUUUCCCGUGGCAUUUUUUGCUCUGUUAACCAAGUACCUGUGUGUUUAGGUGCUUUGCUUGUCUCCAUAAAGCCUCUAGUUAUGAUGCUUGAAUUUUCACGCUUGGAAUCUGCAGGGGACAAAUGAAUGUCUGGGAUGGUAUAUUACAUGGGAUUGAAUCCCCCCCUUCUUUUUGGUUCAAGGGUAACUGAAACAAAAUAGGAAACAGUUUGCUAUAGACAAGUUUCUCACAUUAAAAUAGGUACAAGUGGUUUACUAUAGACAUGUUUCUCACAUGGCUUGUUCUGCUACUAAAGCUUAGGGGCUUGAAGCACGCAUACGUUUUAGUGUUAUUCUUGUCAUCAUUUGGUUACUUCCGCUUCCAGAUAUGCUUUUCUUGAAAGUCAUGUUCUUUUUCAGGACUGGAUAUCUCACCGGGACGGAUUAAGUGAAAGAAAGCAGGGAAGAGAAAAGAGUUUGAGCACUUGUCUGUCAACUCUGCUCUCUGUGUGAUCAAAGUUGAGAAGUUUAUGUGCAGGGCGGCAAUCUGUGCCUUAUGGUGGGGGAAAAAUAAAAGAAUUUGAGGACGUGUCUGUCAACCUUUUCUGUGUUUGAUCAAUCUAGAGAAAUUGAGGUGUUACCAAGCUGUCUGUACUUUUAUCUCUGUUUCUUUUACGAGCUUUUAACCUUAUGCAGUGAUUGUGAAUGGAAUAUGCAAGCAACUCUGUUUAAAGAUGUUCCCUGAGAUGUCCACUGUUACUCGUGCUAUUGAAAUUAGUAACAUUGUAGAACCUGUGGAAUCCAGGACCAAUGAGCCUAUUGAAUGGGCAUGUCUGAAACGGGACCAUAAAGUAUAUGCAUUUCUGGCUCAAGGUAUUGCCGCCUUCCCAAGAAAAGAUUGCUUGUCUGAGGCACUUGGUGCUUCAAGCACUGGCAAUUGCUUGUCUGAGGCACUUUAUGAUUCUGCUCUGAAGCACAAGAUAGAAUGUGUAACAUAGUCUCCUCCCGUAAGCUCUGCUGCACAAGGGAGAGUCCAGAGAAUUUACUUUGAAUAAUGGGACAAACAUUUAGCUAGGCACCUGCAUCAUAUUGACAUUUAAUUCCUGCAUCCGUGGACAUAGAAGAACCAAGCAGCUCAACUUUCCAAUCCCGCACAAAAAAAAUGACAAUGGAUGGAUCACUUUUUCUUUUAUCACAGGAAUAUCCCAUUAGUCUCGCAGCAUAUAUAGAAAUGUUUGUCAUAUGCACUCAGGAGAAUACCGCUUCUGCUCUUCAAAUAUAAAGCACAUUUAGUAAGAUAGGAGAAUAGCAAAUAUGCAGCACUUUCUUGUGCCUUAUGAAGUUCAUUAAGCAACCUUUUUUUUGGGGUGAUUUAUGCUUGACAAUUUUAAUUCUUGAAGAUUUAAUUUCACCUGUGAGGAUGAAGUGAUGAUCGAGAUUAGCUGAUAGGUGUUUGGUCUAGUUCUUGGUUCACUCAUCUUUUCUUGAUUUUGUAACAAGUUUAAUGGUUACAUGGAUGGAAUACAAGGCAUCUCCUGCUAUGCAUUGGUGGUGUGGUGUUGUUGACUUGUUAUUUUCAUAGCUAAUUUUCGAUCGGGUCAUGAUAUUAACCAGAAAUUGUAACCAACUCUCCAAUUUAAAAUAGAUAGACGACAAAAGACCAGUGAGAUCCUUAUUGCGGGGGUAUCCUCUCCAAACCCUGCUUUGGGUUAUGUUUAUCCGCGUUCCAGGAAGGAUCCUCACCGACUCCGCUUCUUCUGUUAUCGAAUGGAUAAUUUGGAAACUUUCAAAACUAAAAUCCUACAAGAGAGAGGAUUAUCGCCUAAUCCCAGAACAAACCAGACGAUUUCUGGUUUCCUGAUCCCAUCGUUCUUUAGAAAUAGCUCUUUUAGCUCUGUAUAAACGAAAUCAAGACCUCGUCCACCCUACAAAUUUAACAGAAGUAAUCCAACAUAUUAACAUUAACAGCAUCAAAUGAUUAACAGCAUCAAAAAUUUAAGAAAACUAUAUUUUAGUAAUUGUUGUCAUUGACACUUAAUUGAAGUUCAUUAAGAAUAAUUGAAAUAUGUAAAUAUCAAUACUCUAUUCAAAUGUAAAUAUUCAACCUAAGUAACAAAAUAAAUGAUAGCUAAACAAACGAAAUAUGCGUUCAAUUGAUCGUGUUCAAACUACACAUUCUGUUAAUAGUUAGUAUAUAUGAAAUUGUAUUUUCCAUUUGUAGAAAAUUAAUAUGCAUUUUAUAUCUACUAACGAAUAUAUUACCUAUGUUUUGAACAAAUCAAACGAAAACUUAUGGUGUGAUAUGUAUAUAGUUGCUCACAUUUAUACGUAUGCCAUCAUCCUUUCUUUAUGCUACAAAUUUCUUUUGAUUAUAUUUAGGGGUCGCAAUUAUAAAAUGUCGACCUGAAAAAAUGAUAUGAACCUAGCACGAAAUUAAUUGAUUCGGAUUGAGGUUUCGCGGGUUUGGGUCAGAAUCGAGUCGCAUGCGAUGAACCCGAAAUGAAAAUGGGUCGAAUUCGGGUCAAACCAUGUGUGAUCCGAUACGACCCAUCACCUGUUUAUGAAUGAAAUUUUUUUUACCUAACUAACCUACGUUAUUCUUUUUGUUUCAAAGGCAUUAAUCACUUAAUCCUAAAUGAAUUUAUUUAACUUAUUUGAAGUUGAAAUUAUUAUAUUUGGACAAAUAAUGUAUUAUAUUAUUUUUUACUUUUAUACUGCUUAUAUUUAUUUUAUAUUUGGUUUGGAACAAAACACUUUUACGAUGUUUUUAAUUUAUUUUAGAUUUGGUUUGGGAUUAUUUAUUUAAAUUUUUAUUACUUGAUUAUGUAAUUAGGCUCCGUUUGAUAACACUGAAUUCUGAAUUCUGAACUCUGAAUUCUGAAUACUGAAAUAAUUAAUUUGUUGAAUUUUAAGUACUGAAAAGAGAUAUAUGAAUGUCUGAAUCUUAACGCUGAAUCUAUUUAUACUGUUUGAUAAAUAUUAAUAACUUAAUGCUUAAGAAGCUAAAUUGUACACUUUUGCCCUUCUAUCUUUAAUCCAAAAAGGAAAUAGAACCUAUGAUUUAAUUAACUUAAAAUUGUUAGGUAUGAAAAUGACAAUGAUUGUGAAGAGCAAUGCAUACAAUGACAACAUUUCUUUGCGUGGGAAAAGGGUAUGGUUUCAUCGUUUUGAAAAUGGGAAAACGAGCUUUUAAUACUCCAAAAGCACGUUCAAUUACAUUUCUCAAUCUUGCAUGUGCUUGGUUAAAGCGUUAUUCUUUUGAUCUUGGACGAGAAGCAUUUCGAAAAUCAGACAACCAAUAUCUAAUAUUUCGAUAUGGUGUCAUAAAGCCACGUGUGUGUGGAUAAGUUGCAUCACAUAAAUAAUAUUUAUCUGCACAAAAAAAAAAUAUAUCAAAAUAUAAAUGUUUGUGGAUGAAAAUUACUGCAAAAAAAUACUAUUGUUAAAAAAAAUUUUGAAUAGAGAAUAUCAGGUUGUUUUGUUUAAUUAGAUAAGGAUUUUAAAUAGGAAAUAUUAGGUUGUUUAAUUAGAUAAGGAUUUUGAAUGUAAUUAACAAACAGGGAUAUAUUUGGUAGAUAAGAUAAAGUAGUUGAAGUAAAUCUCUUGAUUCUUAUCAAAUUAAGCAUUCAACUACGAUUCUUGUGCUGAAAAAAAUACAUACAAAUUCAGUACCACUUAAUAAGUUCAGCAGGUGAAUUUUUAUUUAUCAAACACCCAUAACAUCUGAAUGUCUGAAUGAAUUCAGUUUCAACACUUUUUUAUGUUAUCAAACAGGCACUUAGUCUUGUGUGAAUUACAAAUUACAGUGGUAAAUUAAUAAAUUAAAAUUAAGUUUUGGGUCAUUCAGGUCGUCCCGCCAACCUGACAACCUGGAAUUUUCAGAUUCGGGUCGGAUAUCCUGGCCCGUUUCGGGUUGGGGGGUCAAGUUCGGGUCAGCCAGUUAUCUAUUAUACCUGGGUCUCAACUCGACUCGUCACUCCGAUUUGGACCCGAUUGCCACCCCUAAUUAUAUUGUCAAAAAAAUAACAUAUUUUACAAAUUAUUCCAAUUUAUUUAUAAAAUGUUACUAAUUUCAUUAGAAAUUAUGAAAUGUAAUCAUGGUUUAUUAAUUUUUUACUAAAUAUAAAUACAACUUAUAUCAGGUAAAAAUAUUUGACUUUGUUUUACUUUGAUCACAAAAACUUGUGGUAGAAAUAACGAAAUAGUGACAAGGGUGCAAAUUUCAAAUCAACAACCAACGUACACUUAAUUACGCUAAUUUUUUAGUUGAUCAAACUAAUAUAUGCCAUAAAGUAACUAGAUUUUAGCAUUUAUAAAUUGGCCAUUUUAGCAGUUUAUAUACCAUUCACCUAUAAAAAUAUGAUUAUUAUAAAAUGACAUUUUAUAAUAAUUUACAUACUAUUUGCCAAUUAAAAGUAAGUUUGAUAAAAAAAAUAUAUAUGCAUAUAAAUCCAUAUUGUAAAUGAUACAAAAUAUAUUUGAAUCUCACGAAACUUAAUCUAUGGGUAAAUUUACUAUAGUUUCCAAAGAUUAUGCCACAUUAGUACAAAUUUAACUUUUAUGCUUGUGACCUAGAAAAUAAAUUUAUUAGAACACAUAACCUUUGUAAAUGAUACAUACAUUUAUUAAAAUGCUUAAAACACAUAACAUUGAUGAAUGAUACAUACAACCAUAUAUUAUACAUUUACGUUACCAACAAUUACUAACUAUAAUAUUAAGUUUCAAUCCUUAACAAAAAAAUCUUAGCAUUAUUUUAAAUAAACUUUCUAAUACUUGUUUCAUAUAAGUUUUUUUAAGUAAAAUAUUAAAUUUAUGCCACAAACUAGUAAGUCUUGAUGAUUAACCAAAUUUACUAUUCUAUUAACAGGAUUUACUAUUAAUCCGUGAAAACUUACUAUUACUUGAACUAAACUUACUCUCCAAAAAGAAAGUUUCGAAUAAAGGCAGUAAUUUAUUUUUUUUUUAAAAGUAACUUUCAAUUUUAUUUCAUUUUACUUUUUAAGACAUAAAUAGGAUAACAAAUUUCGUUACCAUUUUCGAUUUAUUUUUUAUUUGCUUUUAGCGACCAUUUGAUUAUUUGAUCGGUCUAUCCACCUAAAUAGGAUAACACUUAAAAAUAAGAAAGUAAGUUUUCUAUCUAAAAUAAUAUGUUAACAGUAAAAAAUUAGUAACUUUUAUACUUCAAAAGGUAAGUUGGAAUAAAUAUUAAACUUACUUUUUAAAUAGAUAAAUUACUACUUUAUUUCCCAAACUUACUUUUUAGAGAGUAAGCUUAAUUCAAGUAAUAGUAAGUUUUUAUACAUAAAUAUUAACUCUUGAUAAAGUAAUAGUAAGAUGAUAAAGUUUUAAUAAAUUUACAUCUGAGACACAAGAAAUAAUAAGAGUUAAGGCCUAAACAAAAUGAGAAAUAAUAUAAUAAUAAAAAUGACAAAAUUAGUAUAACAAUUAAUAUAAGAAAAUCAGUAUGAUCUUGAUUUUUUUCUUGGGAGAUUGUUCAUAAGAAUAGGAUCCAAUAAUUAUAAAUGAAAAUCACAUGCAUGUAUAAUCUAUUGUAUAAUUUAAAUUAUAUUUAGUUCACCUAUAAAAUGGUUCUAAAAUAAUUAGUACACUAUGAUAAAUGUUAUUUUAACAACAAAAUUUUUUUUUUACUAAAAGUCGGAAAUAUCCAUGACAUAUGUAUGAGGGAUAUUUUACCAUUUUUGUAUCUCACAUCCAAUCAUUAAAGUUAAUUUGAGAAAAACUGUUUUUGACAAUCGAAUUAUUUUGAAUUUAACCAACAAGUUGAGAUUUUUUAAACAAUAAAAGUGAAAUAUUUUGGAACUUAGUUGUUUAUUUUCCCGUAAUAAAAAAUUUAAAAUAUGACAAAUUAUUCUUACAUAUUUUAUAAGGUCAUAUGCAAAAAAAAAAGUUUUCAUAGUAUAUUUAAAAUGCUUCGAACAUAUAACAUUUAUAAAUGAUACGUACAAUUGUAAGUUUCUUUAAGUAAAAUAGUAAAUUUAUGCCACAAACUAUUAAGUUUUGAUGAUUAACCAAAUUUACUAAUCUAUCAACAAUAUUUACUAUUAAUCUAUAAAAACUUACUAUUACUUGAACUAAACUUACCCUCCAAAAACUAAGUUUCAGAUAUAGAGUAAUAUUUUACUUCAUAAAAAAUAAAGUUAGUUCCAUAUUUAUUCAAGUUUACUUUUUGAGACAUAAAAGUUACUAAUAUAUCGAGUUAACUUACUAUUCUUUAUGGAAAACUUACUAACCACCAUUUUAGGUACUAUUUCAUUUAGAUGACCAGUACAACAGGUCAUCAAAUGGUCGCUAAAAGUAUUUUUACCUGUUAUAUCAGGUAAAAAUAGUUUCGUUACCAUAACUAUCGUUACUUCAGACUUUUCCUAAUGUGCCCUACCCAACUUUAAUAUUUUGAUGGUGGCCACCAGUUUAAAGGUUGGUGAUUCUCGGCUUUCUGUUCUAAACAAAACAAAUUUUUUGUCUUACUUACUGCGCCUGCCGACUCCUAGGGAGAAUAUUGAGCCUACAUAGCCGACUGCUUUCUUUUUUUCCAGCUCAAGUUUUGCAGCCAAAUUGAAGCUACGGAAUGUGAAAGUCCGAAGUCAGAAGACAAAGCCAGCUUUGUUUUUCAGUUUUCACCGACCCAAUGGAGCAGCGAUAUAUGUAUGUAACAAGUCUUGAUUGAGUUGUCCCGAUUGUAGUGUGUAGAAAGAAUUAUAAUUGAUAGCGUUCAGAUUCUUCUGAGACGUAUUGGGGCCAUGGACAUGGACAGAUGGUGCAGGUGCAUGGACCCCCGGCAGCUGCCUAUUUCCCCGUCGUGCAGAAACGGGUUCAAACUUCAAACUGGGGCAAUUGGAUGACAUCCUUUUCAGUUUGAAGCACAAUUACUUAAUAGUUGACCCGUAUAAGGAAAUUAUUAAUACAGUGUAGAAGCGAAUCAGUGAUCACCUAGGCAAAAAUUUACCGUGCGAGACACACUUAUUUUUAUUUUUUUGGUAGCAAGAAAAGGAAAUUCAAUUGCAUAUAGUAUUAAAGUUGCAUUAUACUCAUCCCUGGGUAAACAAAACAACAGCUCUCAAAUCAUUCGUUGCAAAGUUGAUCAUAAAUUCAGGGAUAUCAUCGAAACAAAAGAAAAUCAUGUUCUUGAUCUGAUCCAUCCUUUGCCAAUGCAUCUCCAAGAAAAGUUUGCUUCUGAGUAAACGUGGGUGAUUGCAGCACACUAACGAACCUGUUCAUUAGCUCCAUCUCCAUGCAAUGGAUGCGGGUGAUGUUGGCUGGUGACUUGGUAAUUAAAUAAAUUAUCAACAGCCAUGAAAGUCCAAGUUCAGUUUGCAGAUGCUGAAUGCCCACAUCCAAGGCCAAAUUGCAAACCAUUUCCAUCUGUCGCAUGGCAGAUGGCGUAGGUUUCUUCCAAAUCCAGCAACCGGAUAAGAGCCAGCUUUUCCGGAAUCGUGAGGAAAGCUCUGUCAUAGCUCCAUUUCUUUCUAAGGUUGAUUGUCAUUUGAGAACUACAAACUACUAAUCGAAGACAAAAUAGAGAAGUUGUGCUUCCGUGGAAUGUGAAACAAAAGAUAGCACUAGUAAACAAGAUGUUGUGCAAGUUGAAAAUAAAUCACACGCAGAUAACUAUGGCUACUUUUGGAUAGCAAAUUUUUCCAAAAAAACUUUUCACUUGUAUCAUAAACAUAUUUUUCAAUUCACCUUUUUAUAUUCUCAACCACCUUUUUAUUUCACAUAUAUCACAUUAUAAAAAGUAUUACGGUAAUUAUUUGGAAUAAUACUCUAUCGAAACAAAGCCUAUAGUUCUGAUCCCAACAGUGUGUGAAGUCUACUUGCCGGUUCUGGGAUGAGAAAAACGAAACGUUACGCUAAUGGUUAAGCUAAAAAGGUGAUUAUCUUGGUUGAAUUCAAGGAUGGUUUUUUUUGAAUAUGCGUCAUAGUCUCAUUAUUGCUGCCUUUGAAGAAAUAUUUUAUCAGUCAGCAGACUCAGCACUCAGGCAGGGGUUAUCAAAAGUCUUUGGCCUUGCUUGGAUUGCUGUUUUCCGUAGAAAAAUUUCGUCAUUUUCCGUGAACACAUUUCCCUAUUACCUUUUUUCCUCACAUACAUCAAAUCGCUACAGUAAUUUUUCCAUGAAAAAUGACGGAAAAUGCAAUCCAAACGGGAUAUCCUCCACUGCAAUCAUAUGUUGUGGCCUGCCUGCUUUGACAACCAACUUAAAUAAGAUUCACAUUAUCAAGAGAAAUUUUGCCCAAGUCGAACAGGAAAUUCAGGAACAAAAAUUGGAGUUUACAAGUGUAAACCUAUCGACUUGUUGCGUCGAAAAACAUGAAUUUCAGUAGUUGCCUCCCUCAGCAAAAAGCAAGAAAAGACUUCUCUGACUUUGUUUUGUUUCGGUACCUCAGCCACAAAUGUAGAAAAAAAAAAAAAAACUAAAUGGCAAUUACACAUGUUCAAUGGCAACAAACCUGUACCAAGUUAAGAGCUGAGAUUUGAUUUGAGAAGGGAAGAGCUAACCAAGAAGGCUAUGGGUUGGCUGGUGUGAAUUGUGAUGGGACGGUGGAAAAUAGCGGUGGUGCCGAGUCUGUUCUCAUUUGAAAGUUGUAGGCUAAUUUUCAUUGGAACAUUUUGACACGUACCCAUUUCUGUUCUGUUAUCUAAGGUAUUACCAAUUUGAUCAAAAUUUUGGGCAACAUUAAGUUUUGGCAAAAUAACAAAUAUUUUUUUCAAAUAUUUUUUUUUAUUUGCGAAGCCUAUCCUUUCUUUACUUUUUAAUGUAGAAAUGUGAUACAUUUCUCAAGAGGGGGGGGGGGGAGGGGAAUAAAAAAAAACCUCUCAUUUUCAUUCCCAGAUGAAAAUUACCAUAAAUCGAAAAUAAGGAACAACAAACAAUAACUAUCAAAUCACUAUAGUAUGGACUAACGGGACCAUUUCAAUGGUGGUACCCAUACUCCAUGCCGAUGCCGCGUGAAUAUGAUUUCUUAGGGUGUGUUUGAUGAAAUUGAAGUUUGAAAUCUAAAAUCUAAAAUUUGAAUUUAUUAAAUUAUUGAAUUGUUAAGUAUUAAAUAGGGAAAAUGACCUGUUUCAUCCCUCACAUUUCGCAAAAAUAUUCUUUUCGUCCCUCAUUUUUAAAAUGAAGCAAAUUCGUUCCUGACAUUUAAAAAUUAAAACUAUUACAUCCCUAAACCUAAUUUUCAAUCUGAAUCAAACCAUCCAAUAACCCAGUAAUAAAUUUCGAAAAUAGAAUUGAUAGAUUAUUCAGUCAACUUCAUCAUAUUCACAUGACAUUUAUUAAACCAAAAAAAUAAAAAUUAUAACAUAAAAAGGCCAUUCUUUGUUUUGGAAUAGUAGAGUUUUUUUUUUGGUAAAUCUUUUCAUGCACCGUUAGUAUAUCCGCUUGCGAAUCUAGAUAUGUAUCAUAAAUAUAAAAUUUGGUGUUUAAAUUUAAAUUAAAAUUAUAUGGCGGUACAUAAAACCGUCAGUGUAUACAAUGAUAAUGUAGAAAAGAUUAAUCUUUCUUUUUUAUGUUAUAAUUUUUUAUUUUUUUCUUUUAAGGUUCAUUAAAUUUCACAUGAAUAUCAAGUUGAGUUAACCAAGUGAUCUACCAAUUACACACCCAAAAUUUGUAAUUAGGUUGAUUGGUGGUUUGAUUCAGAUUGAAAUUUGGAUUCAGGGAUGUAAUGAUUUCAGUUUUUAAAUGUCAAGGACGAAAUUGCUUCAUUUUAAAAGUGAGGGACGAAAAGAAUAUUUUUGUGAAAUGUGAAGGAUGAAACCGAUCAUUUUCCCUAUUAGAUAUAAUAUAUUUGACUGCAUAUCACAUUCAGUGAUAAAUGAAUAACUUAGCACUUAAUUUUGAGAACAAGUUUUGUCUAGAAAAUUCAGUGCCACUUAAUUAAUUCAGAUGUUCAAUUUUUGUUAAAAAAAAACGGUCUGAAUAUAUGAAGAUUUGAAUUUAUUAAAUUUAAAUGCUAAAUUGGAUUAUCAAACAACUCCUUAAUCAUCGGGCAAUAAGCAUUAUUAGCAGCGACGCGAAAGAGCAAAGUGGGAGAAAAAAACCAAGUGCACUACGGGAUUGAUAUAUAAAUAAAGCUAACAUUUAAAAGGAGAGAGGCAGUUGGACUCCUAAAGUCAGGAGAGUCGAUCUCCGAUGGCGUAUAGAAUGUAGUAACAACGAAUUAAAUUAAAUUAAAGUCUAUGUAAAACAUACAUUUCUUUUUCUACAUAAAAUAUGCUUAAAAAGCAUAAAUUGUACUCAAAAUUUAGCAAUAAAAAUCACUCUACCAAAUCGUAUUUACAAAUAUCGACAGAAUUUAUACUUGGAUUAAUAUCUAGUUUUUUAACACUCUAGUAAAUGGUAGCAAAUAUGGAAUGGAGGGAAUUGCCCACCCUCAACAACAUAACAUGUGGUUCCGCCUCUAGAGAGAGGCUCAUCUCGUUCUAAGAAUUUGACAGGCGCGUGAAACUUAAUCCCCUCUCUUUCUAUCAUAAAUUUGACUGCUUGAGGUCCAUGAAUGAGAAUAAUGAGAAUUUAGAGAACAAACUUUAGGACCAUUUUUUAAUUAUUUUUAUUUAGUAUAUUUUUUAAUAUUAUUCACAAUUUUUAAAAUAUUAAAUACUUCAAAAUUUACGUUUCAUAAAAAUCGUGACCGAUAUGUCAAAAUCAAUAUGAAACAGUUCGAACCGCGACCAUAACUUUGAAUCAUACUCCGGAGAUAAACUCGUCUCGUUCUAUUGUUCUAAGAAACGGAGGCACGAGCCCAUGAAUUUGACAGGCGCGUGAAACUUAAUCCCCUCUCUUUCUAUCAUAAAUUUGACUGCUUGAGGUCCAUGAAUGAGAAUAAUGAGAAUUUAGAGGACAAACUUUAGGACCAUUAUUUAGGAGUAAUAAAGUUUUCGUACUACGUAACUUCUUUUUCCUACUGCAUGCAUUAAUGAUUAAUUAAUUAAUGUUAUGUGUAUCUUCUUCUACUUUCUAAGGACUUUUAAUUUGGAUUUAGUUCAGAUGGAUGCAGAAUACCGAACCAUUAAUUUCGCUUUCAGGCCAUCGUAAUGUAUAUCCAGACUAGAUGUCAAAACAGACAUUGGCGUUAAUGCCAUGCAUCUAUACAUCGACACGACUUGUUGAUCGAGUAAAUGGUGUCCAUCAAAGCCACCAAGAAAGGAAAAAAAAAAGUCUCAAAUCUUCUACUCGUUCACAUUACCGGGGUUGCACUCCUUCUCCACUGCCUCUCAGGAUAUCCCUAUAAAACCCAUCCAUCAGUUCCCCAACUUUAGUGGAGAUACUCAUCAUACAAGUCGAGGAUCGAGAAGCCUUGAAAAGGUAUCUGGAACCUUAUUGACAUGGCUUGUCUCAGGUCCUCCACAAUAGCCAACUCUGGGUUUUUCGCCUUCAGAAAUAUGUCCCUAUUCUUCUUCUUCUUUGCUCUCAUCAGUUUCUCAGAAGGACAAACAGUUCCGGCCUUGUAUGUUUUCGGUGACUCUCUUGUUGAUGUUGGCAACAACAACUACAUUAAAGACUCGCUUCUCAAGGCAAAUUACCCUUACAACGGCAUUGAUUACCCUGGUGGAAAACCAACCGGAAGAUUUUGCAAUGGCAAAAACGCUGCAGAUCUUAUCGGUACAUUAUUUAUUAGCAAAAAAUUUACUCCAUCACAGAAAAGAAUUUGCCCUUUUGCAUCUUGAUGAUUCUUGCAUUUACCGCAUGGCGAUCAAGUUAGUUAAUGGGGUCUAUUUUGGCCACUUCCUAACCUUGCAAUUUGCAUGCAUGUUUUGGCCAUUUUUGGUUUCGGUACUCCCUGCCCCAAUUAAUUUCAUUUAAAGUCCCCCGACAUGGCUGAUUUUCGUGCAAUAAUUUGCUAACUCCGAAGAAGCAAAAGAAGGAGAGGGGGAUGGAUUUCAGGAAGCGCCUAGCAUAAAAUAAAAUAAUUCUUGUAGUCCCAUUUCUUGAAAAAUACACAUAAUAAUAACACAAAGAGUAUGAAAAGAAUUUGAGGAUGAUGAUGACAUGCCUUCUGUUAUUAUUAUUAUUUAUUUGAAGAUGACAACUUAAGUGCACUGACAAAGACGUCAGCCACAAAAGUGUCCGAUCAUUUCUUUCCUUUUGUCCUUUUGCUUACUGAGAUUUUAAAUUCUGAAGCUACGUACGGUUGCGCCAAUGAAUACUUUCUUCAAUAUUAUUAGUAUUAUUUUUUUUGACGAGUGACAGAGAGAUUUUCUAAUACACAUAUGCGGCACUUUUGACAGCUGAAAAAGUGGGAUUGCCGACUUCCCCUCCAUAUUUGUCCAAUACAAGCGAUGUUUUCCUCAAGGGAGUAAGUUUUGCAUCUGGAGGAUCAGGGCUCUUCAACACCACCGGCCAAGGCUUCCUCGUAAGUACAUUUUUUGUUUUCUGGGGUUAAUCCUUGCAAGAAUCAUAGGAUAACAGGAUUCCUUUCCCAUUUGCGCGUAUUAAAACAACCAAAGCGAUUGCUUAUCAAUUGGACGGGAAAAUGUCUUGGUCAUCAUAAGAAAUUAAAAAAAAAAAGAAGGUCAAAUAUGGAGAUUAGUGCGAGUGAAAAAUUUUAGUGUAUCUAAUAACCUGUAAAAAAAGGAAAAAAAACUGUCAGCCAUUAUUAAAUUUUAUUUCAUGCUGACCCUAUAUAUGAAGUUUGCUGAAUGAGAUAUUAGUUAGUAUAUAAAUCUAGAGAAGAGGUAUUUUCAUGAAUCCCUGGGGAAAUUCACAAAAUACGGGUACAGGUAGUUUCCUGCCUGAGUGCGACAAGUCCAACCUAAGCAAAACAAAAAGCCUUGCAGUGCUGAAUUAUGGGCAGCACACACUUGGGACCAAAGAAUUUCCCAAAAUUUGAUGACAAGGGGGACUGUUAAUCUAAAAGGCUUGAUUCUUGUUUGAUGUGCUUCCGUGCAUUUCUUUUGGCAUGAGGCCCACCUCUAUAAACUUGACUUCACUCAGAGACAAAGCCCUCUCUCAAGUGUAAAAGGCUAUCUUUCCCAUCUGGUACUUUAGUCCAACAGCACGUCUAACAAACUUAACCUUGGGCUAGCCCGAAAAAGCCCCACCAUCCAAACGUUUGGAAAAGAUUCAAAAAGUCAUGCGGUGAGCGUGGAUCGAACACGCGACCUUCAGAUCUUCAGUCUGACGCUCUCCCAACUGAGCUAUCCCCGCGAUGAUGGAUGGUGAAGGAGUUUUAUGAACUGAUUCUCUCUGACUCUUUGUUUUACAGCGCAAGACGCUCUCUCUGCCCCAACAAGUGGAUUAUUUCACUGCGCUGCACGACAGACUAGUGAAACAGCUUGGACCUGCUGCAGCACAGCAGCAUUUAUCAAAAUCUCUGUUUCUUGUGGUGAUUGAAGCAAUGAUGCUUUCGCUUAUUUCGAGUCUUUAAACAACAGAAAAGUUAUGAAGGUUACUCCAGAUCAGUACGUUGGUCAGAUGAUUUCCAUACUCCAAGGAUUGUUGAAGGUACAUCAUCCACACCCACAGAAGUUCAUGCAUUAUCGACUUGUGUAAGCUUCUGAUGAUCUUUACUGAAUUUGGUCAGCAAAUCCAUAGUUUGGGGGCUCGCAAGUUUGUUGUGGUUGGACUAGGAUCACUUGGGUGCUGUCCAGGGCAAAGACAUGACACCGGCAAUGAACAAUGCAAUCAAGAUAUCAACGCUUUGGCGAUCAAAUACAACCAAGGACUUGCAUCAAUGUUGGCGGGACUGAAGUCGGUUUUUGAACGACUUCAGCUACUCCUUAUUUGAUACUUAUACGGUCCUCCUCGACAUCAUUGACAACGCAGCAACUUAUGGUAAUCUCCACUCGCGUUUUCUUGAAUUACGACGUCAAGGAGUCUUGUUUUAAUUAAACUCAUGACCAACCAAGUUUUGAUGUGAAUCAUUCUGACUAGGUUUUACCGAGGCAAAGGCAGCUUGUUGUGGAUUUGGAAAACUAAAUGCGGACGUGUUUUGCACGCCCCUGGCCGUGUACUGCUCCAAUAGAACCGAUCACGUCUUCUGGGAUAAAGUCCAUCCCACACAAGCAACGGAUAAAAUUAUGGUCGAUACCAUCUACUCUGGUUCACAGCCAUACGUGUCUCCCAUUAAUGUCAAGCAGUUGGUUGCUCUAUAAAAUUGCACUAGAGAGAUCAAGAAGUUGUAUUCUUCCCUUUUUAUUUGUGUGUGUGCCGGAGCAAAAACUAAGAGGAUACCGUCAUUGUUGUGUCGCCUGGAUAUACUCAACAUGUUGCAUACCAAAUUAACAAUGUUUAUUUCAUCAUCCACAUGUUGCUAUACUUACAAGAUAAUGAGAUCAUUUCAUCAGUGAGUUGAACACAACGACAACAAUAAAAUGACUUCAACUCGAAAAAGAACAGAUUAUCCUCGAAGUUAAAUGAGGAUAUUUGUGAGAAGGCAUUUUUGAAAGAACAUAGAAUGCUACACUAUUAUUUGGUUCUCUGACUCCUAGUGAAGCAUAUAUCCAAGUUCACAUUAUUCAAAACAAAUCUGCUGAAUAACAAUCUGAAAAGAACAGAAUUCACAGCAAUGCAGCCACAGAAUGCGCAUGAUCCAGAAAAGCAUAGGAAUUAUGUUGCGCUUACUGUUGAGAAGGAAAAAAGUCUUGAAAGAAGACAGAUAGAUCGUCGUUGAGGCAUCAAGAGCUAACACUUUGUCCACUGCAUUCUGCAUUUGCUCGGUACGAGGAGAUAAUAAAGUCAGACACACCAAAAGCAAAAAAUAUACAGCUUAAAGUUAGAUACACAAACUCAUUCAGUUUAUAUCCGUGUAUAUUAACACCUUGUAUUGCUGAUCCCGAGCAGAUAUAUUCUCAUUGCUUAGUCGCUCAAUGUGCUUGUUGUCUUGAAUAGCAUCCAACACAAGAGAUGCUCUUUUUAUGACUCCCUCGAAUACUCCUAGCAUGAUUGGAUACAGUUAAUACCUAAAAGUAGCCUCUCUAUGCACCAAACCAUGUCAGGUUGCAUAUAUUUACCCAUACCAAACCCACAAUUAUAAGAACUUGUUCACUGGUUAUGACAUCAAUUUCUAAGAUGCUAUGCAUGUCCAUCACUUUCUUAAAUUGAGAGAAAGUAACAACAAAGUUGAUCAAUUCUCUGAGGAAACAGGAAAGCAUUAUAAUUGAAACAUACCAGCAAGAAGUGCACAAUGUAGACCUUCAAAUAAACAGAUGAAAAUCAAUUCAGCCGCUGUUAGUAAAUCUUCUGACAUGCAUGUUGCAGGUGCAUUAAAAUUUCUCAAUCUUACCAUAGCUAAGAGCUGCACGUCCGGCAACCAACCUGCCAAAGUACAAGAGUUAGAACAACCAUGAUAGAGAACUGAUACCAAUAUGAGAUAAGGUUAUCUGGCCAUGAUCUGAAAGAGAGCUUCAAGCUCCACAGAUGGAACUCAUACUGGACCAAUAAACACAAUGAAAUUUUAGUUAAGUGUUUGAGGUGAGCCAUCAACUAGAAUAUGAGAAAAUAGAUUGACCUUAUUCCUGGAAGAAUUCUUCAGAACUUUGGAAAGAAUUUAUAUUCAGAAGCCAAGCAAUAAUUUCGUACCUAUACAAAAACACUAUAUCUUCAAUAUCAUUCUCUUUAUUGUCUGGAUUCAGCACGCUCAUGGUGUAAUACUUGACCUUGUCACACUGAAAGUUGUCAAGCUACAAGAUUGUAACUCAACCAGUAUAGAUAACAUUCUGAAUUUGAAUACACAAGUCCUAUCAAGCACUGCUAAAUGUUCUACCUCCAGCAAACAGCUAUUGUCAAAUAGCUCAGUCAAAUGAGUACAGAUAAAAACCUGCAAGCAUACUCAGUAAUCAAAAGGCAUAUCUCAACAAUGUAAAAAGCACAUAUAACGCACAAGAAACUGUAGGGUUUUACAUGUCUUUAGCAUAUUUGGAAGAUUCGCACCGUCACAAAAUAACUAUCUGAGUUUGACUAGGGAGACUGUUAAUUAAGAGUUGAAAAUAUUUAAAAGAAACAAACAUUUGGGAAUAGAGAUAAUAUGUGUCAACUACCAGCAGGGAGAGGAAAACAGUUUUCUUUCUUAUAUAAGUUUCCAGGCAUGUUCAAAUAGAGAAUCAACUUGAACAACAAAAUUUAUCAGGUUGCUAGAGUCUCUUCACUUGUGUUUCUACAGUUUUAAUGAGCGUAACUUCCAAGUGUUUCUAACCUAAUUGUGUGUGUGUGUUCUACCGUUUACGGGAAAAAGCUAGAGUCUCUUCACUUUCUUGUUGGAAGUAGUUCAAGGAUCAGGUGAAAAGAGAGCUCUCAGUAAAGGUGGUAUUAUUGACUGCAUGAGAGACCAUGAUAUAGGCCAUCCUUUUUUACUAUCCCCCUUCAUGCAUUUCUAAUUUGUUUCUACGCAUAACAAUUCUUCGAGAUGAACACUGUGAUUUUGAUUUUACUUCUUUUGAGAAAUCUGCUCCUGUUGAGGAACCUAGAAACUGGCAAGUACUGAACUCCUUUAUUGUGAUGUGAUGGGGAUCUCCUUUUAGCAGAGUGAAUUACUGCUUUUCCUACAAAGCUGCACCUAUAACAUGAUUGAUGCACAAAUAGGUAAUGCCAACAACACCUUAGGAGGAUCAUAGCACGAGACAAAAUGGUUUAUAGUUCCACCGAGAAGACCAACGCCAUCUGAAAUAAAUUGUGUCAUUUCUAAAUAACAACGUUAGAAAAGUUGAAACUUUUAAGAGCUUAACAGUCAACAAUUGCUGAAUAAACUGACCUUCUGUAAGCGUGCCUUUCCCAAAUUCAUCUAAUAAGCACAAUGAUCGAGAAGUUGCAUGCCUAGAAGGAUGUAAAAACUGAGUCAUGGGACUCCAGAAGAAAGUAAAACAAAACAAGGUACUUCUGAGAAUCUAUAUAUGACUGUAUGAGCACUCUCAGCCACACAUUAGUGGACUAAUUACUCUUUUACAUAUACCUUAGCAUCACUCCCACUUGAUGCAAAUCAAUCAUGAAUGUUGAUUGUUCAGCUGUCAUGAAUUUGCUCCCAGUUGCACAAAAUAUCCUACAAUAUAAAGUUCCCGUCAAGGUUGGUAAAGUAAUUGACAUAGUUUAUAAUUAGGGUGACCAAAAAGUGAAACCUAUCCGUCAAGCCCACAAUAGCAGCAUCAGCAGGUACAAAACUCCCAAUAUGUGAAAGGAAAACUAUCAAUGCGACCUGAAAGAAGUAUAUACUUUAUAUGAAACUGGGGCGUCAAAAUUUCAAUAGUGAAUUCAGUUCAGUGUCUGAAGGACUAAUACAAACAAAACCAUCAAUUUGAAAUUUUCCUCCUUACUUGGACUAUGAGAAUCUGAUAUAAAAUUUUGGCUUUCCAAACAAUGGUAAAUCAUUGAAUGUGUUGCUUUUAUACAGAAAAUUCAGAAACACAGCAAAUUGUGACGCUAGCUUUUCGAGAAGCAUUUAGCAGAUCAAGAAAUAAAAAGCAGAUGAGAACGCAUGUUGACAGAUAGAGGACUUUAAUGCAGUUUCCAACUCUAAUUUUGCCAGUAAAUGAUUAGACAAGUUGAAAAGUAGAACAACCAACACAUCUGCUUAUAAUAGGAAAAUUAAAUUGCAUGAUAUACACCAUACAAGAUCUAUGGACACAACGAGGUACUUAAGCUCAUGGAUGCAUUUGUGGCCGAGAAACAACACAAAAUUGGAACAAUGAAGAAACAUCUACUGCUGUUCAUCAGAUAUAUAUACAUGCAUCUAUACACACAUACGUAUACAUAUAAAUAUAUAAAAAUAUAUAUGUAUAGAGAUAUAUGUAUAUAUAUGUGUAUAUGUAUAUGCUGUUAUUCACCUGCUUUAUGUAGAUGCUUUUUCCUGAAUAAUUAGGGCCAGUGAUGAUAUUAACCCUUCCUGAAACAUGAAAGACACCCAAUUUUUAACGUAAUAAUCAUGCAGAUGAGGAUAAAUCAAUCCAAAACUUAAAUCCAUAAAGAGGCAUGUAUAGUUUCCUAACCGUCAUGCAGAAUCUUUGUAUCAUUGGGUAUGAAUGUGUCUACUGUCAUUUCCUGAAGUACAUGUCUGUCAAACAGAAAAUAUUCUGUUACUGCCUUAUCAAAUUUAAUAAGUAAUAGUUCCUGGUUAUUCACAAGGAAAACAGAAUUAAUAAAAUCAGUGCAUGUUCUCUAAAUUGGACAGGAUAGCGCUAACCUUCCGUUUAGUAUAUCAAGCAAAUUUUCAGCAGUUACAAUGGGCCUCACAUAAUUGUUCUGACGAGCAACCAAUGCUAAAGACAAGAAACUUGGAUAUAACACAAAUAAUUGUCAGGAAACUUGUCAUGCAAGAGAGUCAGAACUUUUGCACUAGAGAGAAAAGGUAGUCAUCACUAUGAUGCUUACCAAUCAAGCUCAGCAACAAAAUUAACACCUUGUUUUAAAUGUGAAGAGAACUGAAGAAUCCGAGAAACUAAGUCCCCAAUGAUUGCUCUCUCCAUGUCUUUGAAGGAAGUAGAUUAAAUUCAUAAGAUAACAGGAAGAUGGAAAAAUCAAACCUAGUUCUAACUUUAAACUUGCCAGUUGGCUUUGGAUUAUAUGAAGUUGCACCUUAUACAAAAAUUGUAUCACAUUCUAUGUUCUUAAUAGAAACAGAUACCAUUUCAAGCUAAUGGAAAAUAUUAUCAGAAAGAGUUCACAACCUUCACUGCAUACCCAAUAUUUUAUGAUAUAGAUCUCCAAGAAGGCUAUCCAAUUCCCGUGUCUUUGCAGUGCGAUAAAAAAAUUUCUUAGUAUUCUCAUCCUCAUCGGAGAACUGUACAUUCCAAACCCAAUUUCCAUGGCAGGUAAAGAAAUGUUCACUAACAGCAAAUUAAUGUUAACUAAAAACAAGGUUAUGCAUUUCACAUAACAAGUCAAAUGCGUACAGCAAAUUCAUAAUCUUCAAGUUUUUCCAACAUGCUUUUGUCAAGAUUUUCUUGGAAAAUGCACAUCAAGUACCCUGCAGAUGAAUUACAAACAAAUGUCAUUAUUAGACCCAAUAAAGCUAAACCAGAUAAAAUCUUCUGCAAUGUGCCAUCUAUGUAUCUGUUAAGAGAUUAUUUGCACUUAUUUCCCAACUGGGAACAAGUAGAAACGCAUCUAUGCUCCUUAGGACAUGAGAAGUAUAAACAGUUGUUGCAGCGUACAUAAUGUCACAGGUAGAUGCACCACUCUUCCCAAGUUUUCUGUACAGAAUCCACUUAAGGAAAUUGGUAUUUAAAAUCGUUUCUUGUUCAAAGUGAAAAAAUCCAUAUGGUUCAUGAUGCGAAGAAACUAAUAUGUACUUCUGAUAAACUUUCUCAUACUUCCAACAUCAUCAUCAGUCAUUUGACGCCCAUGGCCUGAUCUUCAGUUUAGUGAACAUAUUUGUAGAAUUUAAAAGAAAAAUUCCAUUGAACUGCAAAGGAUUUUGAAGAUUAAUGCUGCAUAACCAACAAAAUUGAAUCGAUUGACUACAAUGAUGAUUUUAACACCAUAAUAUCUGUAUACAAUUAAACUGUUUGUGGUCUUUACAUAAGAAAAAGAAACAAUACAACCAAAAAAAGACACUGAAAGGAUCCAAAUACGCAUAGUGGUUAGAUGUAAGUGAUAAUUUUAUAUCCUGACAAACUUUUGCAAGGUAAAUCUGAGCAGAAAAAUUGCAAAUAGUACCUAUCUGAUGGAUAUACACAAUACAAGGAAUGAACUUGUCUCCAGACAUGUAAGGCAGCCGUGUGAGUUCCACUGAUGAAACCUGCAAAAAAGUGGUAACAUCAAUUUAGACAAUGUGUAGACACAAUAACCUUCAUGCCAUUCAUGCAUGCAUUAAAAAAAAUAAAAGCUAAAAGCUAGCACCUCUUCCAAAAACUCUGGCAACUCCUCAUAUAUUUGCCUCAGCUCAUCCAACUACAUAUGAAGAAGGAAGCUUGUCAGAAAAGCACAAAAGAGAAAUUAGAAGUUAAAUACUCUAGUCAGCAAAGCCUAAGAACCUUAGAAAUACCACUUAGAGAAGUCACACCUCAUCACAAAAACCAUCUUUAACAAUAGUCUCAUAACCUUUAUCCUUACUUCGAUUCACAUCAACAACGCCAACAACCUACACCAGCAAUCAGCCUCAACAAAUCAACUAAACAGCAGAAAGAAAGAAAGUAUAGAUGGUUGUCCACUAUACAAACCAUUGUCCAUUACUUGUAUAUAAGCUAAACUAGAAUCCAGAUAAGCAAGCAUAAUGAUCUUCAGCAAGUACAACAACAUAUGCAAAACUCCCUGCUGAUUAAAAAUUCCCAAUAUCCCCUUCGUAAAAUGCUAAUAAAUGCGACAACACAGGCAAAGAAAGCAUAAACCAAAGCCACAAGUGAGGAGCACAUCAUGAAAUCAAAACUGACCUCAAAAAUAGAUGCAGACAAGAUCUCUUUAAAUGCAAAUUUCAUAAGAACAAAAACUGAACUUUUUGGAUAAUUUGGCUUCUCAAAAGCUGCAAAUGCUAACAAAGGUUCCAUGCUUCUUUUCAUUAUUAUUACUUCUCUUCUGACAAUUAAAGGACGUUCUAUUUGCAAGUGAAAGACCUAUGCAAUCCAGAAAAUAUGAGAUAAUAGAAUUAAAAGUUGUUCAGAAGAAACAUCUGACCAAUUCAUAGACAUAUGCCAGAUCCGCAGAUAGGUAAAAUUCAACCUGCGACAAACUCAAAGAUGAUUUUAAAAAAGCCACAACUUCAUAAAGGGGAAGAUUCAAAUUCAAACAUUCAAGUUAAAAUGUUAAUUCGACCUGUUCAACAAUGUCCAAGUUCAAAUACUUCAAUUCUUCUUGAAGAUUUUCUGAAAUGCCAACUUCAAAUAUUUUGUUUAUGUGCAAGAGAGAACAAAUGCUCUACAAAACAAAAGCAUAUGAAACAAAAUUAGGCACAAUAAUAACACAGUACAUAGGCUAAAAUUAAUGGCAGUAGUAGCACCAGCUACAAGGGAUGAUGACAUCUCCUAUCCGGUAAAUACUUCCCUAUCAGAAUCUUAAUGUAUAGCAUUAGACAAUCACAACUUCAAUGCUCAGGAGUGGACAAAUACCUACAAAUAACAGCAUAAAGAACCAUUACAACAAAAACCAAUGCAGUUAUUGUCUUUUUUUAAGCCUUACUUUUACUUAGAAAGACAUCAGAAGUGUAGCCACCCUGAACCUAAUGCAGAUGUGAAAGAACAUGUUGCUUCAACCUAAUAGUUGAUGGCAGACACCAUUUCUGACCAUUGUAAUAUCAAUAUAGGCUUGUCCAAAAAAAUUUAUUGAGAGCUCCAUCAACCAGAGGUUUAUUUCCUAAAUUUCUAUAGCAAUCUCCAUGACAAAACUUAAUCAGAAAGUGAUAUAUGCUUAAUAAACAAAGGUUUUAGUAAACUUAAGCAAAUUUUUUUUUAUGCAAACUUGAGCAAAUAUGAUAUACUUUAGCUAUUAUUUUAGUUCAAAUUAAAUAACCAGAUGAUCACAAUGAAGCAGAAAAAACCUACCUUUACAAAAGCUUUCCAGUCGCUACUUGUGCACAAAGAACUUGGAGAAUUGAACUUCUUUAAAGACAAAGAAAACACACCAUGUUAAACUACUAAGAACAACUCUUUACAGGAACAUCAAUGAUUUGGUUGUGCUGGACAAAUCCGAAUAAAGAAGUGCUCGAAGGGCAUAUUUGGUGAAACAAAGAGAAUAUGGAUGCACCUUGAGUAUGUGAGGAAUAUCUUUUAUGGACUGCAGUGUUUCACGCAAAGAGGCCAAAAGUUCUUCAGCAGAAUGGAAGAAUGUUAUCUUGAUUUGUCAAAGAAUAAACCUAAUAUGAACUGGUAUUCCACACAUCCCUGCAGCCAUCUGCAUUACAUAGUCUCAAAGUAUGUAAACCUUCAACUCUGGGCAUAAAUUCUUUAGCAACAUUUCAUCAAAGAUUUCAUUCAAAUACGACCAAAUCUCAUUUUCCAUCACUUCAAAUAAAUAGUAACUCCAAUAGCACUGGUAUGGUGCUACUUCAAAAUAGAAGGAUACAGCAUCAAAACGCUUGUUCAGUUUCUCAAUGUCCAGUAUAGGCCUCAAAAACCAGUUCCUAGUUGACAAUUGAGUUAAUUGGUCAGAGGAUUGAGGUAGCACUGACAGAUCAAUAGUAACAAUGUUGAUUCUUGAUUGUCAACUAACCUCAAAAGACGUCUGCCCAUUGCGUUACACACUGGCACAGUCAGAAAUUAUCUAUCCAGUCAGCAAUUGCAAAUUAAGACUAGAACAGGCUAUUAAAACCUAACAGCAGCUGCUGACCUUAUUCAUCAUUCCAAAUAAAGAGAACCUGCACUUGAGGGUAUUCUUCAAUAGUUAUUUUCAAGUUAAUAAACUCAGAACCCCAACUAUGGUUCAUAAUUUACCCUUCUUUUGCCCUGCCAAUCCCCAUGUGGCUUGGAUGUUUGUCAAUUUGGAAUAUUUGCAGUGCCUCAUGUGCAGCUGAGUCAACUUUGAGAAACUUGUUUCUGCGGUUUUUGUUAAUUAGAGCAUUGCACUAAACUUUUGGAUGAAAUAUAACAAGAAAAUCAGAUCAUAUGAAUCAAAAAUUGGAGAACUUAGUAUUCAAGUUUGUUAAGAUACAGUGAGAUUUCAAUGACUGAGUCAACAGCAAUGGAUGCACUUCCACACUCCUUCUGUUCAAGGGUGUCUAUAAUCCUUUCAUUCUCUAGAACCGCAAGAAGCCCUCCAGUUGCACGAACUUGGACCUCACUUUGAAUGUCCAUCAUGGAGUUCAGCUAAAAUUAUGAAAAGAAACCGGUUAGAUACGAUGUGAGUGAUUGGAUACAGUUGAUCUUUCAUUUUCAGUAACACUACAAUACUCAGAUUUUCUUUACUUCAAGACAUUGGCAAAUAUAUGGGAACAUGAGUUCUCUUAUAAAUUCUCCCUUAACCACCAAACUAGUUCUAUCUCAACUUUGCAGAUUUUCCAGAGUCUAUUCUUGUAGAAAGCAUGAGGAAAGAGCAUCAAACAUCUUUUUGAACGAAAAGCCUGUGGAGUAGCCCAUAGUAUUGAACAGUCAAUUUGAGCUAAACAAAGUGCUUAUAAUAAGAGGCAUGACAGAUCAAUCUACACUGAAACGAGAAAUUAUCUGUACUUACAAAAGACAUUCUUUCCUUUAUGUUCAACCCAUCAUCCAUCCCUUGACCCGAAGGUACAUUAAUCUGGACAAGAACAGAAAAACAAACAAGAAUAUAUGUGAAAACAUACCACUCUAUUAAAUGAUACCAUUGGGUAGAAUUGAUUUAACAAAGAAUCUAGCAACGAACUACUGGUGGAAUGAUAAAAUUCUCUGUGAGAACAAAGCUAAUGAAAUAUUUGAUGACAGCAUCACCAGAAGAACUCAUGAAAGUAAUGCAUAAAAGAACUUGGAAGUUCAGGAUUGCUCCAAAUGAAAGGAAAUGAAAUCAUAGACAUACUCUGCCACAUUGAUUCUGCAUCAUAGCGGCCCAACAAGAAACAGAAGAAAGUAGCAAUCUGCUAAUUCCUUAUUUUCUCAUAUUUGUGAAGUACUUUAGUGGCCAACUAAUGGUUAUAAGGAACACAUAUCCUCAUUUUACAGAAAAAAGAAAAGUUGCAAACAUUCAAAUACUGCAAUGAAACUGUAAGCAAGGACAAUUUACUGGUGAAAGAGAGAAUAAGUUGAAGUAUAGGGCAGUUUCAAGUUAUAUUCACUUCAGUGGAAAUUCACUUCAUUUUUUAGACUGAACAGAACUAUCCAAGGGGAUGUAAUAGUGCAACAUCCUACUGUAUCUUCCGUACCUAUGCCAUGCUUGCUCGUAGCUGAAUAAUGAACUCUUGACAAGCUUUACAGUAGCUGCAUUACUUGUUCCGUCUGCAAUAUUUAAACAGGUCACAGUGAUUUGACAUGCAGGAAAUUUUUGCUAGCCACUUUAAGAGUGAGAAAGAUACCAUUUUUUUGUAAAGCAGCCAAGAACAGCCUCGCUUUUUGUGCUUGUGUAAAUGAUGGAUGGUUUGGCUUGAUAUAUUACUGGAGUAGAGUAAGAGGAUUUUAUAAGAUGCAUGAAGAAGAAACAAAACAUCCCAAGCCAAUUUGUCUUUUUCUCAAAUUUCAGAUGGGAUCUCCAAAACCAAACUAUCAUUAAAUCAAAAGACACUUGGGAAUGUUACCAAUAAAUCCCAUUCGAAAACCAUAAAGCUGGAAAAGCAAUUUUAUGCUCUACUGGGGGAAGAAUUCAUACUCAUAUCUACCAACGGGAAAUCUUCACUUCCAUCUUCCCAGAACUCAAGCACGUAAAGCUGUCGGAUACUGGAAUCAUAGUAUGAAACUCCAAUUCUGAAAAUGCAAUUUCAUUUAUUCACAAAACUCUUCUGAGAUUAAAAGUUAAUGUACAAUCCCAAACAUCAUCUUAACAUCUAAUUACACUCUAAACAUUAUAGUGCAAUAUAAAAGAGAGCGCACCUAUGUCCUUGCAUGAUACAAGCCAUAUAGACCUGCAAUAAAAGGCACAUUUUAGGAAAAUCGUCAACAGCGCACAAAAACCACUAAAAAAUGUUCUACAUCAGAAGGCAGUACUCUCUACUUCUUAUCUUUGGUUGAGAAUUAAUGCACAAGCCGACAUGUAAGAGACAAGAACCAUUAAAUUUGGCUAAAAGUUUCCAACAUCUUUUGCAAUUUGCAGCAUACAGUGACCGAGUCACAUAUAGAAAUUAAUCUUCUACUGAAACACUAUACCGUUUUCAGUUCAAAGCUCGAAUUCAUGUAGCAGGUGUCAAUUAAAAAACUUCAAAAUUCCGUAGAAGAGAUUAGAAAAAGUGAAGACAUGGAUUCUAGCUGAAGAGCUCGAAAUGAAGGUGUGAAUUGAAACCAUACAUCGCACGACGAUUAGCUAAAUCUCCUCGGCUUAUGAUUUACAGACUCGAGAUUCACUAAAUUUGAUCUUCUUUAAUACACUUUAGUUCUUCCACAUCAAAUUCUUCCAUAUUAAUCCAAACAUAAGAACAUAUCCAUCCUUCAAAUUCUCUCGGGAAAAUCCUGAGGCCUACUUGUUAUUUUUGCAGUGAUCCUCAUAUAAGCAAACUACCUCAGCUGAAAUAUUUUGGAAUUGAAAUGGCAGAACAAACAUUGAUUAUUUUAUCGAAAUUGAAUUACCUGAGGUGUGGCCUCUGUUUCGUCGACUUCUUCCAUUAUCCUAUAGGCUGAAUUUGUCGUUACAGGGAAAAACAGAGAAAGAGCGCGAAAAACUGAAAUUUAAAAUUGAUUCUGUGUUUUAGGCUUCAACUUAUGACAGGAAGGGGUAGCCAAUGCGUUUGUCCAGAAAUAAUCAGUCGGACUCUGCUGCUGCUCCAAACGUGAUGCCUUUGUAGAUGAGAGACGAAGGCGUGGUGGAUUAAAGUUGUCAAAUACGCCUUUGAUAAUCAAGGGCUUCUGAUUUGAAGGCGUGGGCUUAAGACGGCAGUAAACAACUGAAGCGCUAUAAAGGUAGGAUUCUAUUUAUUGUGAUUUUGAAGUCCUUUUUAAUAGAAGGGAUGAAUUUAGAAACUUUCCCUGUGGCUUAUUAUCACUCGUUACAUCCCUGCCCUCCCUUACUUCUUUUUUUCUUUUUUGCUUUAUUGUUUAAUUUUUACAAAUUAUGAGUAUAUGAACAGAAGGUUGAAAAUAUAAAAGCAAAAAGCAUGAAGGUGUAAGUUUGGUGAGCAAAAUAUAGCACCCACAAUCAUAAGUAGCAAGUACUAACAAAAAUUCCAAUCGGUUUAUGUUAAAAGUUUACUUGAGUUGUUUUCAAGUUACCAAAAAAAAAAUGUUUUGCUUAUAGUGAGGUGUUUUGGGACUUUAAGAAGUUUCAUAAAUGGUUUUAAUUUUUUUCAAGUGAUAAUUUCACAAACCUCCCUGAGGUUUUUGACAAUUAUAGAGAGCAUCCCUCAAGUUUUAAAAAUUAUAUGUACCUCAUUUACUUUUAUUGUUUAGUAACAAUAUAGGUCAAAUAAGAUAAAUUUUCUCACAAUAUACAAAAUUGCCUUUUUGUACAAGACAAAAAACGAAAAAUAUAGUAUAUUCAAUCAUUUUCUUACACAUUUUGCACAAAUCAACAAAUCUAAUUCCUAACAACCAUCCAAGUAUAAAUUUUAAAACUAAAUAGUCAUCCAAAAGAUUUCAAAUUAUACAUACAGUAUCAAUAUUUACCACACAAGAAAAAGAAAAAACCACACACAAACCCUAUUGACAACCAAUUUUAUAUCCUAAAAUUAAAUAUCAAUGUUUAAAUACAUUUUCAAUGCAAGCUAAUGUGGCCUAGAACUACCAUUAUAAACCUUCUAUGUUCUUAAAAAUAUUAAUAUCUAAAAAAUAAAGAAUAAAUUUCACCUCCAUAAUAAAAUCAUAUUAAAAAAAUUUAUAAUCCAUUGAAAGAAAUUCUUAUGUAAUUAUUAAUAUUUUAUAAAAGCUAGAUGAUACUUCUGAAUAGGGAUGUACGCGAGUCAAGCUACUCGUGAGUAACUUGAUCAACGGCUUGGCUUGAACUCGGGUUGACUGAGUUCGAGCCGAGUCUCGAGCUACUCGAUUGUCAUUCGAGUCGAGUUUCGAGCCAAAAUUUUGAAGCUCGUGGCUUGUCGAGCUACUCGUCGAGUCGGAGUAUUUAAAUAAUAUAUUUAUGAUUUAAAUAAUAUAUAUAUUAUAAUUAUAAAAUGAACGUUAUGGGUAUAAGUUAUACAGAAUUUAUAAUAUACUUUUCUUAUAAUAAAAUUUAAUAAUGGUAAAAAAGUAAUAACAUAAUUGUAAAAAUACCUAAAAAAAAAAAGUCUAAAAAAGGGAAGAAAAGGCUUUCUUCUCUGUCUGUUCGAAGAAAGUUGAGAAGAAAUUCACUUUCUGUUCGAAGUACAUCCCUACCAACCACUGACUCUGAGUGAUUUAGAUCUAAACCCUAUCUCCGUUACUCUCAGUCUCUCGUUCGUCGCCGACGCCGUUGCUUGCCGCAUCUGUCAGACUCCAUCGCCAUCUCUACAGAGUGAGCUCGCCGCAUCUGGUUACUGGUAUGUCUGCCUCUGCUCUAAUGUAGUAUGAUUGAUUACCGCAUCUGGUUACUCCAAUCAUAUUGAGAUGCCCCCUGACAAAUAUUAUGCGCUCUGAGUUUGUUAAAGUUGGUGUCUUGGUAAUUUUCGCCGCAGCUCUUAUGGUAUCCUUUGCAAUUAUGAGCCACUGGAAUUGGGACCCUGAUUCAUGCAUCUGUAAUUGUUGUCGGUUGUUUACAUUUAAUUGGGUAAGAAACCCCUACGUAUUUCUAGCAGAUGUUUUGAUUUGUCAUGAGACGACAAAUUGGCCUGGGUACUCUUAGACCAUUAUUCUUUACUUUCAAUUCUAGAAUCAUAGGCAUGAGAACUUCUUGUCUGGGUUGAUCAGUUGAUUAGCAACUUGCCAAGCUCUUCUAGUUGACCCAACUGGCUGAAAAACCAAUUCUGCUUUCUCCAUGUCGACUGAUGGAACAGAAUAGCUGCUCUGUUUUGUUUUCUGGGGAUUUAAAAGUUUGUUGUCUACUUCUUCAAAAGAGCCGUGUCUUAUAACCAAAAUCUUGGUAUAGAUGCAACCCAGACAAUGAAUCCUUAACAUUUUUUUAGCUACAAAAAUUGUAUGUACAAACAGUGGAGUUACCUUUUCUUUAUCAAUUGGCAUUUAGGAUACUGCUAUAAAUUGUUUAUGCCUUGUUUCAGAGCUGUGAAAAAUGGUUAACGUCUCUAGUCAAAUGCACUACAGAGCAACAAAAUUUAAUUGUGGUGACCAAUUUUUCUCAUUUGUUCUUUCUGUCUCAUUUAAAACGUGGCUGUCCCUGUCUUCUACAUACUGCUUAAUUGAUGUCUCGUUCAAUUGUUUUUUUAAUCUCAACUAGACAAAUUAUAAUCCAAAAGAAAAAACAAAUUGUGCUGUAGUUCUUAGUUCUUGAAAUUCAUGUAGCUUGUUGUGCUGUAGUUUUAAGUAGGUGCACGAAUUGAUAUACGGAGUUAUAUGGUUAUGAGGUGGAGCUUAAAAUGUACUUAUUUAUGUUCUGUACUGGUCCUCUUUCUUUUGUCUGUUCUGUGUAAAGUUCAUAGUCAAAGUAAAAAAAAAAUGGCACUUUACUGUCAUCGACUUAGAGGCUGAUAAGCUUUUUACAUGCUUUUUUGGUGUCAGCAUAGGUGAUACAGCUAUAGUGUAUAAGGUCAUCUUUGCUGGGCUUGUCUGCUUUCUGCUUCAUGCCAGCAUUUUCACUCUUCAAAGCUAUUCUUGUUCUGUUAGUCGAGUCAGGUUAGUGACAAGAGUUUUCAACUUCAUUCUUCUAUAUCUUUUUCAACACUUGUAAUUCUGCUAUAUGGUCCAUUUCUGAACCAGGAAUAUAUUUUUCUGACAGUUCUUUUUAAAGCAGCUUUCUUUAGUUAGUAAUUAGUGAUAUUUGUGGAAAAGGAAUUUCUGGAUAGAUCUUGGCAUUGGUUUCUUGAAUUGGCUUGUUGUUAUGGGAUAUUGUGGCUGUUUGAGAUAAUUGUUUGUCUCUCAUUUGGUGGCUCAGCUCAUGUUUUGCUGAGUUUUGGAAUUUUGUGGGGAAUUUUGGUUAGUUUGGGACUUUCGCAGGGUGUUAAAGAUGCUAACUGUGGGAGGUAGAAUGUGGAUACUUGUAUUUGUAUCGAUGAAUACAUGGAUUUUAUGCCUCAUUUACUCCAACUGAUAGCUACUUGCUUGCUUGUGGAUCUUCCCAAAACGUCACCUUGAUUAUAUGCCUCAUUUUUGAUCGAGUCGAGUCAAAAAGCUUGAUUAGACUCGACUUGAUAAGCUUGACUAAAGGUUGAGCCUAAUCGAGUCGAGUCUCGAGCUUAAGGGAGUUCUUCGAGUCAAGCUUCGAGUAUCGAUUUUUUGGACUCGGUCGAGCUCGAGCCUAGAUAUAUAUGAGUCGAGUUGAGCUCGAGUAUAGCAAUACUCGAGCUUGACUUGGUUCGAUUACAUCCCUACUUCUGAAGCCGCUUCUCUUCUAUUUCUUGUUCUGGGCCUCUCUCACCAUUGGUGAGCUUUACAUUCUUCUCUUUCCCUACCCUGUCACUCUCCACAUCUUGAAGCUUCACUUUCACUCCCAGUUCUCUUCGCCUCUUCUUCUCCCAUGUAGAAAUCUCAAACAUCGUUUUGUUGAUAAUUGUGAUUGAGAGACAAGUUUAGACUAAAACUGGUAUGUGUUGAGUAUUUUGGAUUUGAGAACAAAUUUAGAUUACAAUUGGUGACACUAGGACAAGGGAAAACAAUUCUAGCUGUUUAUUCUGCCAUCUUUUUUUUGGGUUGAAUUUUGAAGCUGUGAGGCUAGAGUCGCUAGACACAGCAAAUCUCGCUUUUAUAUAAUAUAUAUAUAUUAUAUUUUUAACACAAUUGGUCGACUGGAUCAGGACUAGCCAGAGUUCAUCAAGUUAACUCCGAUUCUAGCAUCUCCGAGUAAAAGUAGCCCGGAAUGGGGGCUGAGUCGCAGUGACAACUUGGCCGAAGUUAAAAUCCUGAUCAAAACCAAUCAGUAGCAUUAUUGUUCAAUGAAAACAGCUUUAGUACCGUAGAUUUUUCAUUUUUCUUUUUCAUUUUUUCUGUUUUGACCACUCCCCUAGUCUUUUCUAUUUUUCAUGAUUUGCCUCUAGUUGUUUGUUUAAAAGUUUUCAUUAAGUUUCGAACUGAAAAAUGUUAAUUGUCUAGCUUAAUAAUCUUCUUGUUUAGUUGAGUGUAAUUGGCUUUAAUUUUCCCUUUUCGGUACAGAACUCAUGCAAGAUAGCGAUGGAUGUCUUGCAAAAAGCAGUGAAAGAAUCCCUUUGAGUCAGAGGCCUGAAUAUGCCGAUGUGAAGCCUGUCCCCAGGAUACGGUCCAAAUCCAUUGUCCCUAUCUCCUAUACUGAUGAAUUUAGAGAGACAAUGGACUAUUUUAGAGCAAUAUAUGUAGCCGAUGAGCAGUCUCAUCGAGCUCUUCAACUCACCACAGAAGCCAUCAAACUUAACCCUGGAAAUUACACUGUUAGUUCUUGUUUUGUGUUGAUGCAUGCUUAUAUGUUUAGUACCCUCUAUAGAGAAAUUGAGUAAGAAAUUUUUGAAGUAAGACCUAUUGUUUUUGCUGUUUAGGGAAUUUGCAGUAAAUAUUUUAUGAUAAACAACACAGAAGAGUCUAAAUUUGACCUUUUUCUGCUAUUUUAAAUUCUCACAACAAGACCCUUUUUGUUAAAGUGAUUUUUUGAAUAAUCAUGACAUGCAUUUGGCUAUCUUGUUCAUGAUUCUUGAUGUAUUAGAUGGGCCCUUUAGGCUCUUGAAGCUUCGGAAAAAAGAAGAAAAUAUGGAGGGGAAUUAGUUUGUGAAGAAUUAUGUGUAUUAGGCAUUAUUUUGCGUGUCUGUUGAUUUAGGUAUGGCAAUUUAGGCGGCUAGUACUCGAGGCGCUUAAUGCUGACAUGAACAAGGAAUUGGACUUUUCGGAUGGCAUUGUGGAAGGAAACUCUAAGAAUUAUCAGAUAUGGUAUAGCUACAUUUUUCUUCUGCAUUUGGACCCUUAUGUAGAUAAUUGCAGUUUUGUUGUUUAUUGUACCUGGUGCAUUGAUCAAGGACAAAGUCUAGGUGUCUGCAGACUGAAUUGGUGAGGUGAUCCUUUUGACAAAUAGUUUUCUUGUUUUAUCUGCAUGUCCUCUUAUUUUCUCUCUCCUCUUAAGCUUUUAACAAUCAUAUUUGUGUGGAAGCUUUGUUUCGUUUAACUUCUGGGUUUGCUUGAAUUCUGUUUGUUGCUAAGGAACUUUUUCUAUGCUGGGACAUUGUUCAUUUCCAAAUCUAAAAAUACUUUAUACAUAACGGGAAAAAAAGGAUUAUCUUUGUACUAGUAGUAUUUGGAAAGUUAUCAGCACCCUUUGCAAUACCUAUAUCAUGUCAAUUCGUAUCAUGUCAGUUAUAGUUCUUUGGUUGGUAAAAUAAAGUGUCAUAAUAACAUGCAUAGUUGAAUGGAAUAUAAUCUGACAUGUAGUUCAACAUACAAGAGUAAGCUACUAAAUUUGAACAUAGAACUAUUGGCUUUGGGAUAUUAUCACAUGGGCAAGCUAUUUUGAUAUUGAAUUUUGCUUAAUUGAAUGGGAGGCCCCUAUGGAGUCGGUGAGGGUUUAAAAUCAUAACCUGACAUGUAAUUUCAAAAAAAGACCAAUGUCCAUCUGGGAACCAGCGAAAGCUGGAUUGGAUUUUGCUUGCUUGAAAAAAAAAAGAAUGGGUUUUUUUUUAUUCUUUUAAUACAUACAUUUGGCACAAGCAUGCAUUCAAAACUUUCCUUUUAUGUUGUUUCAUCCAGUUCUAUUGUUGGUUAGUUUCAAAUCAUUCUGUUUUUAGGGACUUGAAACUAAUUAGAAAAAUGACUUUCCAGGCACCAUAGGCGUUGGGUUGCUGAAAAUUUGGGAACUGAUGCUUCAACUAGGGAGCUUGAGUUCACAAAGAAAAUUCUUUCUAAGGAUGCAAAACAUUAUCAUGCCUGGUCUCAUAGACAGGUAAUUUUUGAUUUAGUAUUAUUCUUUAUUCUGUUCCAUUCUUUGAGGUGCAAGAGUUCUCAAUUGCCUUAAAUGACAAUCACCAUGUUUGCUCUGGUAAAGGAGGUGUAAAGGGACUUUUGUUUGGUAUGUGUACAUGAAGAGACUGAAUAUCUAAAUCUCUUGUGCAGUGGGUCCUUCAGGCACUUGGCGGAUGGAAAGAUGAGCUAGCCUAUUGUGAACUACUCCUCAAAGAUGACAUUUUCAAUAAUUCUGCUUGGAAUCAGGUAAAGAAUGAUGCUUUGGUUUGGAUUAGAUCCUAAAUGUCAUGAUGUCUAUCUCCAAACGUCAUCGGUAAAUAGGCCUCUUUUAUGUUUUGGUCUACCAGUAUACAUUGAGUAAUACAAGAUGGUGUUGGCUUGAAAAUAAAAAUUACCAGCUGGUCCUUAUCCUUUUUGCAAGUUAAAAAAUUGGUAAAUAAGGUACAGAUCAAGAAAACCAAUUUAUGCAAGUCCGUGAAGCCAGUUACUGUAGAAAAAUCAAAGAGAGCCAUGACUCUCUAGCCAGUCUUGACAUCACUUUAAAUAUUCCUCCAGUUUAGAUAUAUAUUUUGCUCCUGUUUUCUCCAUAAAACCUCCACUUGUGCUAGAUGCCUAGAACAGCCCCAAAGCCACUCCAAAUCCUCUCCUCUUUUCUAAUCGUCUUAGGUGGACUAUCUAGAGUUUUCUUUUUUGUGUCAGCAUUGUUAUUAGUAAAAUCUCGCAUUUCAUCUCACAUGAUGACUCAUUCUGCAACUUCGUGACCAACUUCGUGUAAAACCUUCAUUGUUUUAAUGUAAAACUAAUUUAAAUUUCCAAGUUCAUGACCAGAUGUUCUUGAAAUUCUUGAAAAGGGGAAAGAAAAAUGCUGACUAAUCUGAUUAACAACGUUAAUGUUUCGACCCAAUUUGUGGCUAGAUUGAAUAUUCGAAAUCUUUCCUAGUUGAACUGAUUAAAUCUUAGGUAUUUCCAGGUAAACCAAACUAAUUAGUUAGAAGCUUAUCAACUCAAACCCUCUGACCUUAUGCAACACAAUUGUAUUGUGCUUAUAUGCCUAUUUUGAUAUCUUGUUCACAAAAUCAUCUGUUAUUUGUUCUGUACUGAUAGAUAAAUAUGUAAAGUAUUCAAUGUGUGUCGGUGAACGUAUAAAACGUGAGAUUUAAAAUUCAGCUUUUUAUGGAUCUAAUGUCAAAACUUUACUGGUACCAUCAUCCCAAAUGCUAGCAGAUAGUUAAUUGUGUGAUUCCAACUUGCGUCAUAUAAUCAUCUGAUAUGCUAUGAGGAGGUCAUGUUUUAGUUGUCCUUGCAUGAUCUCUUGUCACAGUGUUGUACCUUUGUAGAUUUCUACAUCUGAGAAAUCCCAUGUUGAAUUAUUGGUUGCAGAGAUAUUUUGUUGUAACAAGAUCUCCUCUCCUUGGAGGCCUGGGGCAAUGAGGGAGUCAGAAGUAACUUGUACAGUUAAUGCAAUUAUGGAGCAUCCUGAAAAUGAAAGUCCUUGGAGGUACCUUCGAGGCUUAUACAGAAAUGAUACACAGGCUCUAGUUAAAGACCUCAAGUAGCGUCAGUUUGCUUAAAGAUUUUGACUGCCAAAAACAAUUACGUGCACGCCCUCAGCAUGCUUUUGGACCUUCUCUGCCAUGGUUUCCAGCCUAGCCUGGAGAUAAGAAAUGCUGUCUAUGGUCUUUCUGACUCGGGUGCCCAAGGUUCUGAUUUGGUGAAAGUGGUCUGUUCUAUCCUAGAACUUGUAGAUCCAAUUAGAGCAAACUAUUGGAAGUGGCGGAGGAACAUGGCGCCUGCUCAAGCAGCUCAAUGCUUGAAAGAUGAUGGAUUGACUGGUUUGAGUUUAUAAAGGUGCCCAUAGAUCUUUCGUCUUAUCUUACCUUAUUUCUCUACUCGUCGGUAUUAUCAGAGGAGAGAGAUCCUGCAUAGAAAAGAACUUCUUAUGUGGAAAGUCCUUGUGUUGCUCUUGACACCGCCAUAUUGAACUAUCCUUUUGUUGCAACACCACCAUAUUGAACUACCCACUGUAGCUGAACCUCUAAUUUACUCGAUUUGAGUACCGGAUAAAGGAUGCAAUCGAAACAUAUAAGCUCUGCAACUUGGUGUCUUCUGUCUUUCUAUUUUCACGAUAUUGACUUGUUUUUGUUUUUUUUUUUUCAUAAUGUAGCAUCCUCCUCCAUAAGAUUUGCAGAAAAUGAGUUUUAUGACAAUGGGAUGCUCCCCACCUAUUCCAUUCUCGCCCUUUUGGGCUCUAGACCGCAAGUUUCUAGUAACUAUAGGCGUUUCAAUGUCACUACUGACAAGCAUUCUAGGAGAAAUUAAACUAGUGAUGGACUUUGUCGGUUUAUAUUCCUGUAUCACUUGUUUGCAAGUAACCUUGUCAGUUUGUCUCAGUGGUUCACUAGUGUUGGAGAUGAAUUUGUUCAAAGCUCAAAUUCAUGUAGCAGGUGUCAAUUAAAACUUCAAAAUUCCGUAGAAGAGAUUAGGAAAAGUGAAGACAUGGAUUCUAACUGCUGAAGAGCUCGAAAUGAAGGUGAAUUGAAACCAUACAUCGCACGACGAUUAGCUAAAUCUCCUCGGCUUAUGAUUUACAGACUCGAGAUUCACUAAAUUUGAUCUUCUUUAAUACACUUUAGUUCUUCCACAUCAAAUUCUUCCAUAUUAAUCCAAACAUAAGAUAUCCAUCCUUCAAAUUCUCUCGGGAAAAUCCUGAGGCCUACUUGUUAUUUUUGCAGUGAUCCUCAUAUAAGCAAACUACCUCAGCUGAAAUAUUUUGGAAUUGAAAUGGCAGAACAAACAUUGAUUAUUUUUAUCGAAAUUGAAUUACCUGAGGUGUGGCCUCUGUUUCGUCGACUUCUUCCAUUAUCCUAUAGGCUGAAUUUGUCGUUACAGGGAAAAAACAGAGAAAGAGCGCGAAAAACUGAAAUUUAAAAUUGAUUCUGUGUUUUAGGCUUCAACUUAUGACAGGAAGGGGUGGCCAAUGCGUUUGUCCCGAAAUAAUCAGUCGGACUUUGCUGCUGCUCAAGCGUGAUGCCUUUGUAGAGAAGAGAGGAAGGCGUGGUGGAUUAAAGUUGUCAAAUACGCCUUCCAUAAUCAAGGGCUUCUGAUUUUGAAGGCGUGGGCUUAAGACGGCAGUAAACAACUGAAGGCGCUAUAAAGGGAGGAUUCUAUUUAUUGUGAUUUUGAAUUCCUUUUUAAGAGAAGGGAUGAAUUUAGAAACUUUCCCUGUGGUUAAUUAUCACUCGUUAACAUCCCUGCCCUCCUUACUUCUUUUUUUUUUUUUUGCUUUAUUGUUUAACUGUAUACAAAUUAUGAGUAUAUGAAUAGAAGGUUGAAAAUAUAAAAGCAAGAAGCAUGAAGGCGUAAGUUUGAUGAGCAAAAUAUAGCACCCACAAUCAUAAGUAGCAAGUACUAUCAAAAAUACCAAUCAGUUUAUGUUUAAAAAUUUACAUGAGUUGUUUUCAGGUUACCAAUAAAAAUGUUUUACUUAGUGAAUAGAGGUGUUUUAGUUGACUUGAAGGAGUUUCAUAAAUGGUUUUAAAUUUUUUAAAUUUCCUAGUUUUCUAUUUUCAAAUUGACUUACUCUAAGAUUUUUUUUUUAAAAGGAUACAAUAUUUAAAACUAUACUUGAAGACUUAUUUGAGGUGUUUUCAAGGGUAUUUUUAUUGAAAAGUAUUUCGAGUGAUAUUUACAACCUUUAUAUACUAUAUUAAUUUUAUAAUUAUUAUUGUUCACUCAGAUGACACGAGGGUUUUGUAACAACGUCAACAACUUGCAAUUUAUCAUUAAAGUUAAGGAAUUAAAUUGAUUUUUUAUGACAAUUAAGCCAUUAAGAGACCAUAAAAGCUUCAAUAUCAAAAUGAAAUAAUCUUCUUUCCCAAAAUUAAUUUUUAAAUCUUAUAUUAGGAAUUGGGGGUGACAAAAUUAUAAAAGUUAAAAGUUAGAGAAUAGCUAGUUUGGAUGUUUAGGUUAGAAAAGAAAAGAUGGGAAAUGUUAAGUUAUGAAAGAAAAUAAUAGAAUCAAAAGGAAGAUAUGAGAUUUUAACUUUGUUUGAGACUUUUAAAAGGAAAUAUAGUGAUUUUGGAUAUAUAUGUCAAUAAAAUUUCAUUCAAUAGUUUUGUGAGGAUAAAAUGGCAAUUUGAAAAAGUUUUGUAAGCUUCCAUCAGUUUUCUGUCAGCUGCAAACUAUAGGUCCUUAAACGUAAUAAUGGCUCAAUUUGAGCAAUAGUCAGUUAGCUCAAUAGAUUAGCAAAACGGUGCAGUUUUGGUCUUACUUAAGUACCAGUAAUACGAUGCCGUUCCAAUUAAUGAGGUCAUUAGGUAGUUAAGUCGAUUGUUAGCUAUCUGACAAAUCUGUUAGAGUUGGUUAUAUAAGUGGGACUCACGUGUAAGGAAUACGAUCAUUGAUCACAUUUCCUUUCCUCUUGCAUUCUUGCCUUCUUCCUCUCUCUCUCUCUCUCUCCUGCUCUCCCUCCUCUGAUUCUUCCCCAAUUCCUCUAAUUCUUCUGAUUUCUUCUUUUUAAUCCAAUUUCAAUCCUAACAAUUCCAGAAAUUAACCUCGAGUCCGUGACAUUUUCAUUCACUUUCGGCCUGCUUUUGGUCAAAAAAAUUGCACUGUAGUAGAGUUGGCAAUUUGUCCCAAGUCCCAAUGGGCUACCCAUGCCCAAAGGAACUUUGGGCGGGAUGGGUAUUAUAAUUUGGUAUUGGGUUUAAGUUGGGACACAUCCCAACUAUACCCAUUAAUGAAUGGGAAAGGAUGGGAAAUACUUGGGUACCCACUGGGCUCAAAUGGCAAGGGCUCCGUUUGGAUUAGCUGUUUUUUGUAGGUGUUUUUGAAAUAUUUUAUUGUAGCAGUGUAUAUGAAAAAUUUUUACUAUAAAAUUUUUUUGAAAUAUUUGAUAUAUUAAUAUGGAUGGGAUGUUUUUUGAGUUAUUGUAUAUUACUGUAACAUUGUAUUUGAAAAACUUAUUUUUUGAAAAAAAAGUCAAUCCAAACGGAAUCUUAGAUUCAAAAAUUAUCUUUAACAAUUUUUAUAGUUAUACCAGCGAAUAUAAUCUAGUAGUCUUCCUAGUCAUUAUCCACAAGAAUUUCCAGCAUUUCAGUUAGUUUAGACCUGUCAUCCUUGGACAAUGAUAAGGAUAAAUAUUCAACAUCCUAAGGACCUUGGCCAUCUUGAUAUAUGUUGGAAUAUGGUUGUAUAUCUAUCUUUUCCUUUAUUUGUUAAUCCAAUUUUUGGUGGGAAUCUUGAGUAUAAAGCACUUGCAUGUUUAUUUAAUAAAACUAAAAGAAAUUUAAUAAAUCAAAAAUAUUAAAAUUAUAUAAAAUAAAAAAUGAAUUAAAGGAAAAAAAUAUGUAGAAAAUGGAUUUGGGUAUUGGGCGAGAUCAAUCUAAACCCAUCCCAAAAUGAUCCCGCCCAAGUUAGUCCCAAAACACAUAUGGGUAAGGUUGAGCCCAAACCCAUAUGACUCGGUUCCAUCUCAAACCCAAGCAAAUCCCGCCCAUCCCGCCCAUUUUGCCACCUCUACACUGUAGUAGCGCGUGGCAUCUUUCAAAAUCCGUUCGUUUGGUUUCUUUUCAGUCUCACUUGAAAUUCCCAAACGUAGGAAAAUCCAUCUCUCUCUUCCUUUCUUUUUGAUUCUGUUGGAAUCUCAACUCCCAAAUUAGCCAUUAAAGUGAUUUUUGUAACAUUUGGUCCUUAGGGAAAUGCUUAUGAUAUUGUGGCCUACCGGAGGUUAUUGUACUCAUAGGGUACAGAAAACACCUAUUUCACAUUUUCACCCACUUCUCGUUGGACAAAAGGAAAGAGAAAAGUGGUCAUGACCUCCUCUCUAAUUGUAUGGGACAAAUCUAUGUGUAGCUUUAAUGCUGUCUAGUACUAAUUUCUUUUUCUUCUUCUUCUUUAAAUGUAAUAUGAUUUGGAGGUUUUGAAUUCGGAAUCUCUCACUUAUACUCUCUCUUAUCGUAUCACCAAAUUCAUUCAUUCCCUUUGAUACUAAUUUCAGUUGGUAGUAAGCAGAUAGACUCCAAGGCGGACAACACUACUCAAGCAUCAUGAAAAAAGAUUAAUAAAAAUCAGGAAAUAGAAAAAUGCUCAACUAAAUUGGUGUAACGUAGUGGCAAAUGGCAAUAUUCCUCCAAGCUCCCCAAAUCCAUUUCCCCUAAUAGCCAUCAUCCUUUUUAAAAAAAAAAGGUCAUAUCACUAAUGCCCAUCGCCCUAUAAGGCUCAAAAAAGGCCUUUUUCCUGCAAUGUAUUGAGGUAGUUUCAAUUUGUAUUAAAAGUACGAACAAACCAAUGGAAAUGUGACACAUUUCCAAGUGUUGAAAACAACGCUGUUUUGACCCAUGAGAUGGGCUUUCCCAGUUGAAGGCAAUAUAACGCACAGGCAAUCUGACAAUCAAAAGCAGUCUAAAACGUAAAACUAGGCAUGGCAACUGGGCGGGGGAUCCGGACCAAAAAAUUCCUCCCGCCUCCGGCCCAUCCCCUGUCUAUGUUCCCCCCACUCCCGUCCCGCCCCGUCUUUUCUACAGGGUGCUUGCAGGUGAUAAUUUUUUUUUUUUGUAAAAGUUUUUAUUUAAUAGAGCAAAAUUAAAUUCAAAAAAAAAGAAUAAAAUACGAACCUGAAAAAAGUGGAAAAAUAAAAAUGAAACAUGAAAAGUGUUGAAAUAAAACACCAAAAAAAUUAAGAAACUCAAUUGGAUUGUAUAGAUAACAUUUGGGAAUACUCAUAAAAUGUUUAACAUAUUUGUGUCAAAUAUCAAUUAGAAAUUUAGAGAGAAAUGAAACAAAAAUUAUGUUUAGUUAUCAAAUAUUCUAAAUGUAUUAUUAUUAUAUUAUAUAAUCUAUUGCAUUUAUGUAUAUUAAUAAAUUAAAGUGAGGGAUGGGUAGGAGAUGGGCACAAGUAUCGUCCCCCCCCCCCCCCCCACCCUAUUUAAAAUAGGGGGAAAAAAAAUUCCCCCCGUCCCGCCCCAUUCCCACAGGACGGGUACCCGCUUCCAUUGUCAUCCGAAUGUAAAACGUUUCAUGUAAUCGUUGGAUCACUUAUUAAAGUAAUCAAAAGGGUAAAUGAAGAAGAAUAUUGUUAAUUUUCUUUGAAAAAAAAUUAAUUCUCUUUACAGGUAACUCAUUAUGGGUCCCAUGCUGAAAUUGUUCAUUUUUUAAGCUGACAUAUUUGAAGUUGAAAAAUCUAAACGAUAGCGAGAGAACAAUUUUUAGUCCCACCCUCAACCUUUUUGGUUUCAUCAUAAUAGUCCAGCUCUCUACCUUUUUUACUUUGCUAUUGCAGUAAAUGUUUUCUGGUUUCCUUCUUUUUCUUUUCUAAUGUUUACACAAUUUAACGUAUUUUAUAUUAAUCGACUGCACAAGGAGAAGACAACUUUAGUUUUUAGUACUUUAGGGACUAAAACGUGUAAAACAAAAUUAGAUUUAUAUGAGAAUUUAAAAGUAGUUUGGAGACUAAUUAAAAAUUAGAACUCCAUGAGAAUUAUCUAAUUAAAAGGAAAUACAUUAAAUAGGUUUCAUUGUUUCUUAAAUUAGAAUGAUGAAAUUGAUGGGAAGGUUAUUAAUAUACUCAAAGAAUUAAAAAAGAAAAAUAUUAAAUUAACUGAAAGAUAUAGGGAACUUAAAAGCUUUAGUAAAAGAAAAUUUGUGACAACGUAAUAAUGCAAAGUAAAAGUAAAAUUGUGCAAAUAUUGAUAUAUUUACAUAAGUUAUAUAAGUUGAAAAUUGGAAAUCGGUGUAUUGCCUAAAAUUAAAACCAUAAAAUUUAGAGAGUUUAGGUUUAAAUUCUCAUUUUCCUCAUAGCAUUUUAAAUUUUAUUCCUUCCAUGUUAAUAAAAAAAUAAAAUGUUGGAAAUUGGGAAAAGUUGCAACAGAAAGUAAAAGGUAAACUUUGACAAAUAUUUAGGCAUUUAUAAAGUUAAACAAAUGUAACAGUUACGUGGACCAAGAAGCCAAAGCACAACUUUUCUUGUUGGAAAUUGGGAAAAGUUGCAACAGAAAGUAUAAAGUAAACUUUGACAAAUAUUUUGGCGUUUAUAAAGUUAAAAAAUUUAAGUGAUGCGUGGACCAAGAAGCCGAAGCAUAACUUUUCUUUAAAAAGAAAUGUAAAGUAUUCAAACGUUAAAUAAAUAAAAAUGGUAACCACAGGUAAUAUUAGAUUCAUUGAUAUAUUCAUUCUUUCUCCCUCUUUUUUUUUUUUUUUUUUUUUUUUUGUAUAAAUGGGAGGGUUCAAACUGAAAUUUCUGACUUAUAUUGUCUCUCUUAAACCACCCAAUUCAUUCAUCUUCCUCUUUUUUUUUUUUAAGACGCAGUAUUAGAUUCAUUGAUAAAUUACACACAUACAGACACACACACACACUCUCUCUCUCUUUUUCUCUUAUAUAAGUGAGAUGGCUCGAGUGUAAGAUCUCUCGCUUAUAUUUUCUCAUUCGAACCACCCAACCCAUUCAUCCAAUUUUUUAAGAGGAUCAAUAGUGAUUUUUCACUUAUUCCUUUAAUUAAAAUUUAUAAUAUGAGCAUCUUACUCAUGACAUGUAGUAUACGGCACUUUACUAGAAUUAGUAGAAUGAGUACAAUUAACCAGGCCUGCAACCAGAAAAAACGAUGGGAUCGGAUUUGUAAUAGAAAAAACGGUGGACAAGAUCAUGACAGACUAGCUAAACGAGUAAAUGUAGAGUCAACUUUUCAAGUUGAGGUAACCGCACGUUUGGAGGCAAAUGACUCGUGCAAGGAGUUUUGGCGAUGCAUCCCUAUGUAUAAAAACCAAGGAUGGCAAUUAUAUAUGUAUAUAAUUAAAUAUAUAAUAUUUAAUUUAAUUAUUUAUAAACUUAUGAUAAUGAUAUUAUUAGUUAUAUGUAUUAUAUAAUGUAUAUUAGUAUAUGUAAUAUAAUUGAUAUUAUCAAUUAUAUUAAUAAUUAUAUAUGUCUACUAAUAGAAAUUAUUAAUUAGUUAUACUAAAUUUACUAAUACAUUUAUAUUAAAUCUCUAAUUACACUUAAUACAAUAACAUUUUUCUCAAAAAAAAGCACAAAUAUAAUAAUAAAUUAGUGAUUGUAUUUGUGCCAAAAGUGAAAACUUGACUACUUUAGUUGUAUUUAUUUUAUCAUGUUAGAUUGUAUUCAAAUAACUUUUGUUUGAUUGUUUUUAUAAGUUUCAAUUGUGAAAUUACAAUGAAUAAUAAUUUGAUGAUGUGUUGAUAUUUUAGUACUUGAUUAUUUACUAAAAUUUAACUAUAAUAAAUUUUUAUUAGCCCCACAGGACACUCAGGGGGAAGUGGGGGGCGGGGGCGGGGGGCGGGGAACGGGGCGGAGCUAGGGGUAAUUUGUAGGAAGCAAGGCGGGGUAAAAACAGAUUGUAUCAGUCUAUUAAAUCAUUUGCAAAGCUCAAAAUUAGAGACCUCUUCUUUGGAAAUUAGAUCGGAACUUCCGGACAUUAUUGUCUUGGCUCAGAAUUUUAAUCCGGUCAUGUUUGUCAAAGUGGAUAGGACUGUGAUAAUGGGAGCUCAUGAGUUAGCUAAUUUAGCUAGAGGGGAUGACUUUGCAUGUAAUGACUUUUUCAAUUGUAAUAUGAUCUAAUGGAAAUGAUAUUUAUGUUUGGUUCAAAAUAAAAAAAAGAAAGAAAGAAAGAAUCAGGAGUAAAGUUCAAUGGAAGCUAAUGAUUAAUUUGUUCACGAGUUAAUUUUCCUUCAAUUAGUUUCAGUGCUUGUUUUGCACUUGGUAUUUUAAUUCUAUAAAAUCUAUUAUUGUAAUUCUUUUGUACAAGUGCUCUUCGUUUAAUUUUAAUUUCUUUAAGAUAACGAUGCCUGUGUAUUUAUGCAUACAUGAGUAGAAGGAACAACAUGAAUUGCAUACCUAAGUGCAAGUAUGUGUGUAUAUAUAGAGAGACAUACACAUCCAUGACAAAAAAUCAUGAAAUGGAAAUAAUUAAAAGAAAAGGAAAAAAAUUAACAUUGUAAAAGGAAUGGAAUGGAAUGGAAAGAAAAUAAAAUUAACCCAAUAUGACUUUCUUGAACCCGUACAGCUGAUUUUAAUACAAUCGUAUUGAAAAUCGCAUCAAUGCACCACAGAUGAACUGCUUCAAAAUUUCUCUCAAAUAUUGAUUAUGCGAUCUGGUUCUCUCUCCUCUUGAUUACGGAAAAUCUCAAGAGCCGAGUUCUUUCAUCAAUCAGGUAAAUUUACCGUCUUCAAGAAACCUUACCGUCUUUCAUUGUACUGUCCUGCUGCAAUCAAGUCCUGCUGCAAUCCCCUAAUUUUCCAUGUAAAAUGAGCAGAAGUCCAAAUCUAUUUCCUUAUUGGAAGAAGCCCUAAAGGGAACAUGACUUGGUCGUGGUCAUGGACCCUAUACAAAAGACCGACAUCGUUUUCACUAUAGCACAGAGAGAGAAACACUAGUCUAGAAUUGAACAUGGUGGAGGUAAUAAAAAUAGACCAAUCCGCCAUUGUCCACCCUGUCGAGUCUAUACCCUUGUUUUGUUUUCUUUCAUGGCAAAAAAUGGAAAACCAAACCUUUUAUUGCCUGUCUUAGCCCAAUACUAAAUACGUUAGAUCAAUUCCUGAGUUAAAGAACAAAAGAUUUUGGUUGUCAUCCACGGGUGGUUAGUGUUAUCGAAGAAAACUCAGUUUCAUCUUUGGAAUCCCAAGACUUUGGAGUCAAUUUAUCUCCCUCCUUUGCAAUUGCAACCUAAACAAUUCUGACAAUAUCCUAUUAACAUCAUCCCCAACAAAUCCUGAUAGCACUCUCCUGCUAUUUUUAUGUUGAUCCUCAAUGCAUCAUGUUCUGCUGCAUCAAAGACCAACGUGGUUUAAAAGAAGCUGCUGUAAAGUAAAGAUAUCAAGAGUAUAGGUGAGACGACUUUAGUUGGGAUAAUUUUUGUUUGCCAAAUUGUCUGUAAUGGUAUAUAUGCUACUAUUGCUUGCAAAGGUAAGCUGGUAGAGAUUGAGAUUUAUGAAACAAAGCCUUGAUAUAAGACCUCUUGAAUGUUAUCUACCUUUUGUUCAAUCCAUGUGCAAUCAACUAAAAACAUACUUGGUGGAAUUCGAUGGGAUGUCUUCGUGAUAAAUUUUGAGUUACACUGCAGGGAAGUAAUCAAAUUAAGACUGAUGGAUUAGACAUGCCUUUGACCUUAAUGAAUUAUAAUUUUUCCAAUUGCUUUUUGCUUUUACCAUGAAUUUUCAAAUGUAUUUUUUUUUGCUGCCCAUGUAGAGAAGUCAUGGCAGCAAGCAUCAAAGGCAUCCACAAGUAUAAAGGAAAAUGGCAGUAUCUUUGUAUGAAUCACAAACAAUGCAUGACUCAGUCGGUGCUGAACACAACCAGAAAGUUCAUCCUCUUUGUGUAUGUGUUGUGUGUUUUUUUUUUAUUUUGGUAAGUAUUGAUAUUGUAUAUACAAGUUGAAAUAUUUUGGAUAUCUACUUGUCACAGACUACUUAAAUUCCUAUGAGCCAACACGCCGUAUGACAAUCGUUAAAGAUUUGAGUAUAUGAACGGUGCUCAUUCAACCUUUAAGUCUAAGUGCGUAAAGAAUAUGCAUAAACUAAAAUAGUGAGUAAAGAAAGACAUUGGCAGCUAAAGGAAAUUUGUAUUACUCUUAUGAACACUUGCACAAGAUUGUUACAAAUGAGGAAGUUUGAUCUAUUUAUAGCAGUUAAGAAGUUAUACAAGUCUCUAGAGAAUUUUACACUGAAUUCUCUCUUUAGAACUUUGUGUUAUUCUUGAUUUUGAUGAUCACAAACACUUUGAAAUGUUUAUCUAAUUCUCUUCAAUAUAAGUUUUGCUUUUUAGAGAAUUAGGUAUAAAGGUGUCAAGGAAAGAAAAUCAACUAAAAGAAGAAGCAAAAACAGGGCACUCAUGUCGGACGUCCGAAAGGAUGAAGAACAUCAAGAAGGAAACUCUGUCGGACGCUCGUGAGGAAGCAUCGGACGUUCGGGAGGAUCGGACGCACGCUUCGGACGCACAUCGAUCGUGUUGGACAUCCGAAAAAUUUCGCAAAGUUUUGAUAACUCUCUGACGACGUUCGAACGCAGAAGCUGUCGGACAAUAAAAUCCCAUCGGACGUCCGAACGACAACUUGGCUGAUUUUCGGACGAUGGAUCAGACGAUGAUUAAGCUGUCGGACGUCCGACAGCCCCAACGGCUAGCUGACUCUUCAUCUGUCUUCUAUCCGUUGGAAGCAUUAAUGAAGCUAUUUUUUGUCCCCUUUAAAUACAAACGAUUCUGAACCAGGAAAGAACGAGAAGCACACUUCAUUUACAAGAUUUCAAGAGAUAUUUUAGCUAGAAAAUAGUCUCCUAAGCAAGAUUUGUUCUCCAAAUAGUGUGAAGUUCUUGUAAGCAUUCUUCUUGUGUUUGAAUUUUUCAAUAGUGUAGCUUUGUUAGAGUUAUCUGAGUGAUAGUAAACUUCCUAGUUUAACUAAGUGAGGCUUGGGGCAAGGAGAAAGUGAUCCCUCCAUUGUACAUUGAGUUGAUUAUCUUUCAUCAAAGAGAAGGUGCUCAUCUUUGUGAUUGGUCUUCAAGUUUGAGGAAAGCUUGGUAGACAAUCGGUUUGAUACUCUAUCUUAUUCCUUUUGUUUAAUAAAAUUAUCAUUGCUUAUAUACACUCUUAUUUCUGAUCAACAUUGCUCUCUUCUUUAAAUUUACUUGGCUGAUCACUACUAGAAAAGAAGGUAAAUUUAAUUAAAGAAAAAGUGCAUAAACUCAAUAAAGUAUUUUUAAUCAACCUAAUUCACCCCCCUCUUAGGUUGUCUUUGGAGCUUACACUUUGUAUACAAAACAACUCUUAUGUACAAAACUCUAUAUCAUUUCAUAAAACUCUUGAACAAUUAUAGCGUUUCGAAAACCUCUAGGACUUGCUAAAUAUUUCUAAAACUUAUACUUAGAUGGUUGUUAGAUAUUUGGCUUUGUUGAUUUAUGCAAAAUAUGGAAGAAAUGAUUGACUAUACUAUAUUUUUUAUUUCUUAGUUUUGUACAAAAGGGCAAUUUAGGAUUUUUGAAAGAAAAUUGAAGUUCUUAGGCCUAUAUUGUUUCUAAACAAUAAAAGUAAAGAAGGUAUACAUAAUUUUUAAAACCUGAGGGGAGCUCUUUGUAAUUGUGUGAAAUCUCAGGAGACGAUUGUCAAAUUAUCUCUUAAAAUUAAGUUGCUGUAAAGAUAUCAAGUAUAAAUGAGACCGACUAUAGUUGGGAUCAUUUUUGUUUGCCAAUUGUCAGUGAUGGUAGAAUAUAUGCUACUACCUCUUCAAAGGUAUCUGGUAGAGAUUGAGAUUAUGAAACAAAGUCUUAUAUAUAAGACCUCUUGAAUGUUAUCUACCUCUUGUUCAAUCCAUGUGCAAUCAACUAAAAACAUACUUGGUGGAAUCUGAUGGGGAUGUCUUCGUGAUAAAUUUUGAGUUACACUGCAGGGAAAGUAAUGAAUAUUGUUGUUUUAAAUUCGACUUCCCAACUAUGAUAUGGAACAGAGUGGAAAGCUGCCCAGAUAGAGCUUUUUUCUUGGCAAUAGCGAACCAAUCUCAUGCCGGACUAUGACAACUGAUUUAGAUCGAAUAGGAAAUCAGGUUUACUUUGCACAUUAUCAAGACAAGUCCCUAUACUCCUACCACAUUGAAGACAAAACUAUCUCAAUAUCUUCACCUUGUCUAGAUCUGCCGACACCCUGGAGCAUACCAAUUUGGGUGUUUCCUGACCCUGAGAGGACCGAGCAUUAUCAUCAACCAGCCAGAGAUAAAAAAAAAGGAGAAAAGCACAUAUUAUCUCUAUGGCUGAUGCUUUCAAGCACAAUUGAAGGAGUUGAAUGUUUGGUGGAUCCUGACUCGGUGUUGAGCACAAGUACUACAUAAGAAUGCCUCAGGUAAUUGAAGAAGCAAUGAUAUGUUAUUCCAAAUAUGGUUGGUUAUUAAUGUCCAGAGACAAGAGUUGGAAGCUAUACAAUCCUCUAACCAAGUCUAUUAUAUGUUUGCCUGAUUUUCGUCCACGCGGUCAAACCUAUUACUUCUCGUCUUUGCCUAAUUCCUUGGAUUGUAUAGUUGUAGCAAUUUCUUUCUUUCCUGAAGCUAUCUCCCUGACUCGUCCUGGGAUGAGUGAAUGGAUUGAAAUUUCUGCCUAUGACGGUUUAAGAUAUAUUUGUAUUUGUUUUUGUUUGGUGAUUUUCUGGAUCAAAAAUUUCUUUUAAUUGCUAUUUGCAAAUCUUAAAUCCUAAAUUCUUGUUAAUUAAUUUGUAGUUUAAAUAUACAUUUUUUUUGCCUGUGCAGACGUCAUGGCAGCAAACACCGACAAGAAUAAAGGAAAGGGGUCGUAUCGCUGCAGCAGUCACGAACAAUGCAAGAUAAGCUUUCUGUCUCUCCAGUUGCUCUACGAACACAACACCAGAGUCUAUAGUCUCUCUUUUAAAACUGUUAAAAAGACAGACCUAUGCACCCAACAAAUCAUUGAAAAAAAAUAAGUUAAAAUUGGCAAAACACACCUAAAAAUUCAGCUACUUGUGGAUGGAACUGAUGUAUAUUUUGAUGCCCCAAGUGGAGCACCUGGUCAAGCAAGCACUUUCCAGCCCAAAAUGAAAAAUAAAAAAUCAGCUCAGAUGGCUCAAGACAACAAUAAAGGCAAACGCAAACAACAGAACAAUGCAAAAGCCAGCAAGCAGAAGCCUAAGGAAACAGCCAAAGGGGAAGGUAACAUCAAAUAGGAAUGGCAAGACCUCACAGACCCAUUGACUUCAUCAUUUGCCAAAGCUAAAAUGUAUAAAGCUAUGUUUCUACUGCUUAACUACUAAGUGCAUAAGCAAUCUAGACGUACAAACUGAACAACAUGCAUCUAAAGCAAGCACAGUUGUGCAAAUUUAGCCCAGACAACAAUGCAUGAAUAUUUUCAAUGAUUAUGUCUAGCUUUUCUCAAGCAUUUGAUGAAUAGUUACUGUUUGUGUGUGAUACAAGACAUGUAGAGCAUCACAAAACUAGAAUCAAUAAAAGAAUAUAAACAGCAGAUAGAACUACUUGCAACUUGAGAUGAUAAUUGAGAAUUUCAUUUGGCUGGUUAUGCCUCCAUCCUAAACGCUCAUAUGAUUAGGAAGAAGUCGCCUCCUCUGGAAGAGCUGAUAGUGCACCUACUGAUGAGUUCCCAAAACAAAUUUUCUUUUUUUUGAGAAAUAUUAGGGGUUUGUUGAUGCCAUACAAAUAGCCAACAAUCUGAGUUUGCAAGUUAGAAUUGCAUAUGAAAUUCUUCAAAGCUUUUUUUUUUUUUGGACAUAAUGCAAAUGUAAUCAGUUUUAGACAGAAGCAUAGACAACAAAAUACCAACUCUUAACACUUGUAUACUUCAAGUGGGGAACAAAUAACAGCCUUCAUAUCCUUAAAAUUUACAUAUAUGCGAUCCACUUGGGAUAAAGAUUCAAUUCAUCUACAAGUACACUUGUGGUAACUGUGGUCAACUGACUUGCUUCAUUAGCCUAAAUACAAAUUAAUUGGAACAAUCCCAUAACAGCAUGCAGUUGAUCACCUUUCAUGCAACUAUUAAAUAACUGAAUAGACACAACCUAAUUACUGUCAGAUACAAACAUAACCAAAACAUCACCUGGUCUCUAUCUCUACAGUUUGAGAUCGAUGUUGAGAAGGCAGAGUCAUGUCAGAUCCAAAGAUUACAGAACAAAUCUCCGACUGUGUAAGGGUUCAGAAAUUGACGUUCUUCUUCUUGGCAUAAUACUGCAAUAUGGGAUCUCUAGAAGCAACUUCAACUAGUAGAACAGACCGAACCUUAAUUUGAUUCAAAGAAAAACUCCAUCAACAAAAACCCCAUCACAGAGACAAAAAAGUUUGACUUUCAUUUUCUACUAUUAUUCAUGUUAUCUUUUUAGAGAUUGGGUUGUCUUUUUUUUAUUAAAGGAAAUAUUUUAGUUAAUUUCAUCUUCAUCUAGUAAUGACCAGUAAAAGAAAGCAAAAUAUGAUGUGGUUCAAUGACAAUUAACUUCUCAGGCAACAAUAACAUCCUUGCCUUCCAACUGUCCAUAUGAAGUGUGCACAAGAUCGGAAUCAAUUGGAAAAAGCCAUCUAGAAGGAAACCAUUUUUAAGCCAAUCAUCAUAGAUGUUGACGAAAACAAUUUUUGGUUCUGCAGCUUUUAGUAUUAGUUAUCAAAUUUCUCAAACUUCAAGGAUGCGCGCGAACGAUAGCUGAAGCCCACUUCCAUUAAAUACAAUAUUUAAGAAAAUCCAGUAGGUGAACCUCCAAGACAUCCUACAUUUCCUUCUAAGGCUCAAAUAUUAGCUUCAGCUGUUCUUUCAACUGGUAAAGAAUGUAUCAAAGCAGCUACUUCCUUAGUGUUUUUUUCAAUUGGCCAGCUGCCCUACACAUUUGUGCCAGCCCAAAUACUUGCAUGCAUAAAUCAGAAAAAGGCAAACAUCAAAUUGAUGCAUGAAGAUCAAAGGGAUAAUAUGUUAUGCCAGGAAACAAACCUUGAAAAAAAGCCUUGUUAUACACAUUGGAAAUGAAGAUAGUCAACAGGACAGAGCGAAAGAAAAACCUAAAAGUUCGUUUGCUUUAGAGAAAUCACAGUACCCAAAUGUGUGAAUAUGCAUAUCGAUUGCGUGCUAGGAUUUCAUUAGUAUACAAAAUAACGUCUAGAAUGACUUAUUGCAUCUAGAUUUUCAAUUUGUCCAAAUCAAUUAUUAUAUCACGUCGUAAGAACGGAUUGAGCAUCACAAAGAAGACUCGCACGAGUGCAUGAACACGACCAUAAGCCAACUACUUCAAUGCCAAAAUUACCAAGACAACUAGAAUAAGCCAACUAAUUCAAAGUCAAAAAUUACCAAGGCAACUAGAAUAAGCCAACUACCUGAAACAAAAAUUACCUUACCCACGCAAGGAUAAGCAUCGACAAAGCAUAACAAACUAGCAGUAUGUAUGAAAACAGCAGAAAUAUAUAGGCAAAUAGCAAAAUAGCCAUGACCAAAGCCAUAAAAGAAAGAUCUUUGGUUGCCAACACAGGCACAAAACAAAAACAUUCAGGAUAUCAAAGUGUUUCCAUCUAAAAAACUAAUUUUAGAAACAAUAAAAAUGUACCAAAAAAUAGAUUCAGUUGUAGAUUACAAUUGAAAGGCUUCAAAUUAACGACCCCUUUUUCCCCUAGAAUCAGUAAUCCAAUCACGGAAAAAGAUAGAAAAAUUUAAUCUUUACAAAGAACAAAGAGAAAAGAAAAAAAACGUUACAGAAACCUUCUGUUUUGUUCAAAGGACAUUUAAAAAAGAGGGAAAAAGGGGAUCUUGCUGAGAUCAAGUCACAAAGAACGAUAUUUGCUAUCCAAAAACCCAAACUUAAAAAGAAAACACUAGAUGUCAAACUGUGUCUGCCCGAAAGAGAAAAACUUUAAAGGUUUCUCUAGACACUGAUCUAUUUGUUGAUUUGUUCAGGUGUAGAUCUAUGCAAAAGAGAUAGAAAUAUUAUCAGUUACAUGGAUAGCUUACCGAUGAAUAAAUCCCAGAUCAGCAUCAUCUUUUUUCUUCAUCUUCAUCUUGAAUUUUACAUUUAGGUUGUGUAAGGUUUGGCAUAGAUUAAGGUUCUUGGUUAAAAAGCGGCUUGGGGUGUUGAUGGCUGCGAAUGGUAUUAGGUUGUCGAAAAGACUUGUUUAUUAAUGUUGAAAUAAGGGCACAGGAAUGGUCUGUGAUGUUUGGUCCGUAAUGGGCCUAUUGUUGUGGAAACCAAACUGGAUCCGCAAGUAUGAUAUUUUUUAUUAGCUGAGGCAUUGUAUUUUUUAAUUUUAGAAUGCCAGACAAUAUCAAUUUAAAUAACUUUUUUUUUGUAAAUUACAAGUGAUGGGGUUAUUUGGUAUUUAUGGUUACUUAUGAAAGUCGAAAUAAAAACAUGGGUGGUGGAUUUAAUUCCUUUUAUUUCACUACAUUAUUCGACGGGGAUGGGAUGGACCGCUUUCUAACAGCAAUCAAUCAAAUAAGGACCAUGUUAUUUAAUGUGGUAUAGGCCGGAUAGGAUGCAGGGUUGCCAAAUUAAAUCCAUUUUUAGAUGUAAUUUGCUGUGUAAAAGGAGCAGAACUCCAAAUCCACUUCCUUAUUGGAAGAAGAAGUUCUAAAGGACCAGAACUCUAAAUCCAUUUCCUAAUUGGAAGAAGAAGUCCUAAACGACCAGGACUCGGUCGUGGUCAUGGACCCUAUAUAAAAAACAUGACCUACAUCGUUUUCACUUCAACACAGAGAGAGAAACACUAGUCUAGAAUUGAACAUGGCGGAGGUAAUAAAAAAUAGACCAAUUCGCCGUCAUCCACCCCGUCCGAGUUUGUAAAACAAGCAGGGUAGGAUGGGGGGUUGCCAAUUUAAAUCCAUUUUUAGAUGUAAUUUGCCGUGUAAAAGGAGCAGAACUCCAAAUCCACUUUCUUAUUGGAGGAAGAAGUCCUAAAGGAGUAGAAGUCCAAAUCCAUUUCCUUAUUGGAAGAAGCCCUAAAGGGAACUGGACUUGGUCGUGGUCAUGGACCCUAUAUAAGGACAAGACCUACAUCGUUUUCACUAUAGCAUAGAGAGAGAAACACUAGUCUAGAAUUGAACAUGGCGAAGGUAAUAAAAAACAGACCAAUCCGCCGUCGUCCACCCCGUCCGAGUCUGUACCCUUGGCUCGUUUUCUUUCAUGGCAAAACAAUGAAAAACCAAACCUUUUAUUGUCUGUCUCAGCCCAAUACUAAAUAUAUUAGAUCAAUUCCUGAGUUAAAGAACAAAAGAUUUUGGUUGUCAUCCUACAGAUGGUUAGUUUUAUCGGAGAAAACUCAGUUUUAUCUUUGGAAUCUCAAGACUUUGGAGUCAAUUUAUCUCACUCCUUUGCAAUUGUAACCUAAAUAAUGUCUAUUAGGUAUCCUGUUAACAUCAUCCCCAAUCCUCAAACCAUCAUGUUUUGCUACAUCAAAGACCAAACGUGGUUUAAAAGAAGCUACUGUAAAGAUAUCAAGAGUAUACGUGAGACCGAUUUUAGUUGGAAUAAUUUUUGUUUGCCAAUUGUCUGUGAUGGUAGAAUAUAUGCUACUACCGCUUGUAAAGGUAAGCUGGUAGAGAUUGAGAUUAUGAAACAAAGCCUUGAUAUAAGACCUCUUGAAUGUUAUCUACCUCUUGUUCAAUCCAUGUGCAAUCAACUAAAAACAUACUCGGCGGAAUCCGAUGGGGAUGUCUUCGUGAUAAAUUUUAAGUUACACUGCGGGGAAGUAAUGAAUAUUGUUGUUUUCAAAUUCGACUUCCCAACUAUGAUAUGGAAUAGAGUGGAAAGCUGCCCAGAUAGAGCUUUUUUCUUGAGCAAUAGCGAAGCAAUCUCAUGCCGGACUAUGACAACUAAUUUAGAUCGAAUAGGAAAUCGGGUUUACUUCACACAUUAUCAAGACAAGUCCCUAUACUCCUACCACAUUGAAGACAAAACUAUCUCAAUAUCUUCACCUUGUCUAGAUCUACUGACACCCUGGAGCACAUCAAUUUGGGUGUUCCCUGACCCUGAGGGGACCCGGCACUACAUCAACAAGCCGGAGAUCAAAUAAAGGAUGAAAAGUAGGAUAUACAAGUCAAAGCAAAAGCACAAUGUGAAAUUGAGGAGAAACUUGAGGAAACAAACAUAACAAGUUUGAAUGAUCUUGUGUUGAUGUUGGUAAAAUAAUAGCUAGGUAUUUUUCACCCUUAGACUACAUGAACUUCUGAGCUGUUAGCCAAUGGUGUUGAUUUUGGCCGCAGCAAAACAAUGGAGAUGUAUGUCUCCAAUAGUGGAGUUAGAGAAGCAUAUAUUAUCUCUAUGGCUGAUGCUUCCAAGCACAAUCGAAAGAGUUGAAUGUUUGGUGGAUCCUAAACUCGGUGUUGAGCACAAGUACAACAUAAGAAUGCCUCAGGUAAUUGAAGAAGCAAUGAUAUGUUAUUCCAAAGAUGGUUGGUUAUUAAUGUCCAGAGACAAGAGUUGGAAGCUAUACAAUCCUCUAACCAAGUCUAUUAUGUGUUUGCUUGAUUCUCGUCCACACUGUCAAACCUAUUACUUCUCGUCUUUGCCUAAUUUCUCAGAUUGUAUAGUUAUAGCAAUUUCUUUCUUCCCUGAACUUGAAGCUGUCUCCCUGACUCGUCCCUGGAUGAGUGAAUGGAUUGCCGUAGAGUUAUACAAGGAAGAAAACGACGGUGUUUAUCUUAGACAAACCCAUUUUCACCCUGUGUUUCUUCACUAUUAUUUCUACUUUUUAGGUGAGAAUGAUUGUUUGGGAGUUGUGAAAUUAGAAAACUCAUACGCGACUCUAACAGUUCACAAACUGAGAAGACCUUGUAGUGCUUAUGACGAAAAUUUCUUGGUAGAAUGCGGUGGAGAGAUUUUAGCAGUGUUUGUAGGCAAGGCUGGCGGAUGGCUAUGAGUUUUCAGAUUGAAUCAAUCGGCAAUGGCAUGGGAAGAAGUAAAAAAUUUAAGGGAAUACAGCCUAUAUCUAUGCAGUUUGUCAACUGUUGCUGCAAAGGCCAAGACUUCAGGCAUGAAAAACAAGAUUUACUUUCCUAGAUUUUAUGAUGAGAUGAUGAUCUUCUACACUUUAGAGACCGGGAAGUUUCACUCCUCGAAAAGCGAAGACACACUCGUGAACUAUUGUGGAACUAAGAAGCCGAUGGGGUCCACUUGUUGUUGGAUUGAACCAAGGUGGUGUAUGGAAGAAUCAAUGCAUUCAUCGUCAUUAAUAUUGGAAGAGCUAAUUAAGUUGUAAAUGCAAGAUUUGCAUACGUACUAGAGAACUGUGUGUUGAAAAUGUUAUUUAUGUUAUUGUUAAAUUUAUUUUUCAAAUGGAAUCAAUCAUUUAGUGGCAUAGAGUUUAGGAAUUUGCGGUACAUUGGAGUCUUUCAGUUUUGAUUUAGUCAGCAAAUUUGGUGGCUUAUUGGUCUAGUCUUUAGGAGUAGUUGGGUUAUGGAGAAGAUGUCAGAUAUGGGACCUAAUCUUUAGGGAUUUCAGUUGUGCAUUUUGCCUAUUUAAAGGCUCCAAAGGUUCUGAGUAAAACACAACUUUGGCUACAGUACUAUUGUUAUCUUUUCUACAAAUCUCUUAUCAAUGGCAUUAGAGCUACAAGACUCCUGAGACCCGAGAGUGAAAUACUUGAAAUUAUCUACUCAUUUCCCACUACCCUAUCCAAAUGGCCAAUGAUUCAAAUUAUGUGCAAGCCGCUAUCCCUCGCUUAGAUGGUCACUAUGACCAUUGGAGCAUGCUCAUGGAAAAUUUUUUACAGUCCAAAGAAUAUUGGUCAGUGGUUGAAUCCGAAAUUCAAGAGCCACCAACAGGUGCAUCCGUGAUAGAUGCGCAGCAAAUAGAUGUUAAAGCUAGAAAGCUCAAAGACUUGAAAGCGAAGAACUAUCUCUUCCAGGCUAUUAAUCAUCCCAUCUUGGAGAGUAUUCUUUGCAAAGAUACAUCCAAGGAUAUUUGGGAUUCAAUGAAGAGAAAAUAUCAAGAAUCUUCUAGAGUGAAGCGUGCACAGCUUCAAGCCUUGAUGAGGGAUUUUGAAGUUUUGCAAAUGAAGAAUGGGGAAUUUGUUACAAGUUUUUUUGGAAGGACGAUGGAAAUUACAAAUAAAAUGAGAUGCUAUGAAGAAAAGAUGAAAAAUAUUAACAUAGUAGAAAAAAUUCUGCGUUCUGUGAUGUGAGAAUUUAACUAUGUUGUUUGCUCAAUUGAAGAGUCAAACGACAUAGAUGACCUCUCUCUUUAUGAAUUAUAGAGCUCUUUGUUAGUCCAUGAACAGAAGAUGAACCGAAGCUCAACAGCAGAGGAACAAGCUUUAAAAACUUCUACCAAUACUCGUUCCAACAGCUCAAGAGAAAGAGGCAGAGGCCGAGGAAGAGGAAGGGGAGAUCGAGAUCAUGACAAAUCUAAGGUAGAGUGCUUUAGAUGUCACAAAUAUGGUCAUUAUGCUUCUGAAUGUUUCACUGAGCUGCCAAAUUAUAAAAAAAGAGAGGAGAACUCAAAUUUUGUGGUAGAAACGAAUUAACCAGAAACUUUGUUGAUGGCUGUACAUGAAGGAUGAAAGAUUGAGUCUAAUAUUUGGUAUGUCGAUACAGGCUACAACAAUCACAUGAGUGGAAGUAAGUCUUCUUUUUCGAAUCUAAAUGAAAGUUUUCACUCUACUGUCAGUUUUGAUGAUUUCUCUACUGUGAAAGUGAUAAAAAAAGGUGAUGUUAAGAUACAUACUAAGAAUAGUCUUGUGAAAAUAAUUUCUACUGUGUUGUAUGUUCCUGACUUGAAAAGUAAUUUGUUGAGUGCUGGUAAGUAGCAAGAAAAAGGGUAUGUCAUUACAAUUAAGAAAGGCGCUUGUGAAAUUUAUGACCCUGAUAGAAGAAAUCCUAUUGCGACUCUUCAGAUGAGUUCUAACAGGUUAUUUCCAAUGAAAUUUGAAAGCAUUCAAUCUUGUUUGAUGGCUGAAGUAAAGGACCUCUCAUGGUUGUGGCAUUUUCAUUAUGGCCACUUAAGUUUUGGUGGACUGAGGGCUCUCAAUAGAAAAACAUGGUGACAGGGCUUCUGAAAAUUACUGUUCCUUUCCUAGUUUGUGAAGAAUGUGUUGUCAGCAAACAAUAUCGUUCUCAGUUUUCCAAAGAGAAGUCUUGGAGAGCAAAGGAUGUGUUAGAGCUGGUGCAUUUAGAUAUUUGUGGCCCAAUAAACCUAUCUUCUAAUAGAGGUAAAAGAUACUUAAUUACCUUCAUUGAUGAUUUUUCAAGGAAAAUGUGGGUUUAUUUUUUACAGGAAAAAUCAGAAACUCUUACUACGUUUAAAAGUUUGAAAGCUCUUGUGAAAAAUGAAGCAGGCAAGACUAUUAAGUCUUUUCGAACAGAUCGGGGUAGCAAGUAUUGCUCAAAAGAAUUUGAAGAUUUUUGCAUGCAACAUGACAUUCGAAGAGAACUUACAACUGCAUAUACACCACAACAAAAUGGUGUAUCGGAGCAGAAGAAUAGAACAAUUCUUAAUAUGGUGAGAACUCUAUUAACAAGAGGAAGAUUUCCAAAGACUUUUGACCGGAAGCUGUAAUUUCGAGUAUUCAUGUUUUAAACAGAAGUCCAACUUUUGCUGUUCAAAACAAGACUUCUAAAGAGACUUGGAGUGGAAGAAGACCAGUUGUAGAUCACUUUAGAAUCUUUGGCUGCCUCGCUUAUGCCCAUCCCGGAUGCGAAAAGGAAAAAAUUUGAUGACAAAGCUGAGAAAUGCAUCUUUCUUGUGUAAGUGAAUCCUCCAAAACCUAUAAAUUAUUCAACCCACUGACGAAGAAAAGAGCACCUGGGAUUGGGAUGGGCAGCAGUCUAAACAAGUCCUUUAUGAUGAUGAUGCUAAACAGGAGCAAGUUCCAGCAGUUGUCAUGCCACAAAAUUCUUCAGAUACAACUCAAACAGCCACUAGAAUUUCACAACCAGUUGCUUAAGUAAAUGAAGAAGGAGCCCAAUCGGUUGGUCGAGUUAGAAGAAGGCAUGGUUGGAUGGAAGACUAUGAGGUAACUAGGUUAAGUAAUCCAAUUACUCAUUUUGCUUUGUUCACAGAUUGUGAUCCUACAACUUUUGAGAGUGCCGUCAAAGAAGAAAAAGGCAAAAGGCAAUGGAUGAUGAAAUCAAUUCAAUUGAGAAGAAUGACACUUGGGAGCUGUGUGAUCUUCCUAAGGGCACAAAACCAUUGGUGUAAAAUGGGUCUUCAAGACAAAACUAAACAAAAAUGGUGGUGUUGACAACUAUACAGAAGUAUUUUCUCCAGUUGCAAGACAUGACACGAUCAGAUUGGUGGUUGCAUUAACAGCGCAAAUUUCUUAACCUAUCUUCUAGUUAGAUGUCAAAUCAGCAUUCUUGCACGGGUAUUUGGAGAAGCAGGUAUUUAUUGAGCAACCCUGGCUAUAUUAAAGUUGGAAAUGAGAAUAAAGUUUUUAGACUGAAAAAGGCCCUUUAUGGAUUAAAGCAAACUCCAAGAGCUUGGUAUAAUCGAAUUGAGACUUAUUUUCUUAAGGUUGAUUUUUAUAAAAUGUCCUUAUGAGCAUACAAUGUUCGUUAAGAUUGAAGAUGGGGGGAAACUUCUCAUAGUCUUCUGGUAUGUUGAUGACCUUAUAUUUACUGGAAAUUGUGAUACUAUGUUUGGUGAAUUCAAGAAGUCCAUAAUGAAUGAAUUUGAAAUGUCUGAUGAUGGAUGCAUUAUAUUUACUUGGUUGGAUGCAUUAUUUUCUUGGCAUAGAAGUAAUGUAAUCAGAUGAUGGAAAUUUUCUCUCAAAAGAAAUAUGUGGGAGAAAUUUUGAACAGAUUUCAGAUGAAGGAUUGUAAUUCGAUAAGUACUCCAAUUGAAUGUGGCGUGAAGCUACACAAAGAUCAUGAUGGGAAGAAGGUUGAUAGCACACUUUACAAGCAAAUUGUAGGCAGUUUAAUGUAUUUUACUGCAACAAGGCCAGAUAUAAUGUAUUCUGUGAGUUUAAUCAGCAGAUAUAUGGAAAGUCCCACGGAGUUGCAUUUGUUAGGCGCCAAGAGAUUCCUUCGUUGUUUGCAAGAAACUCAAAACUUAGGGAUAUAUUACAGGAAGGGUGAAAAACCUAACUUGGUGGGUUAUACUGACAGUGAUUAUGCAGGAGAACAAGAUGAUGGAAUGAGCAUUUCUGGCUAUGUUUUUAUGCUUAGAAUAGGUGCAAUCUCCUGGUCGUCAAAGAAGCAACCAAUUGUCACUCUAUCCAGUACAGAAGCUAAAUUUGUUGCAGCUACGACUUAUGCUUGCCAAGCCAUAUGGCUGAGAAGAAUACUUGAGGAGUUGCAGUUCAAGCAAUAUGGAGUUACUAUAAUGCUAUGUGAUAACAGCUCUACAAUCAAGUUGUCAAAGAAUCCAGUGCUACACGGAAGAAGCAAGCACAUUGAUGUGAAGCUUUACUUUUUGAAAGAUCUUUGCAAAGAUGGAACUGUUGAUUUGAUGCAUUGCAAAAGUGAUGAUCAAGUUGCUGAUAUAUUCACCAAGGCGCACAAGAGGGAAUCGUUUGUGAAGCUCAGAGGAUUACUAGGUCUCUGCACCCUAGGUUCAGUCAAGGUUGUAAACUGAUGUUAGUAAACAUCAGUUUAAGGGAGGGAUUGUUGAAAAUUUUAUUUAUAUUAUUGUUAAAUUUGUUUUUCAAAUGGAGUGGCCUAGAGUUUAGGGAUUUGCUGUACGUUGGAGUCUUUCAGUUUUGAUUUAGUCAGCAGAUUUAGUGGUUUAUUGGUCUAGUCUUUAGGAGUAGUUGGGUUAUGAAGAAGGUGCCAGAUAUGGGACCCAAUCUUUAGGGAUUUCAGUUGUGCAUUUUGCCUAUUUAAAGGCUCCAAAGGUUCUGAGUAAAACACAACUUUGGCCACAGUAUUACUGUUAUUUUUUCUGCAAAUCUCUUAUCACUGUGUUGAAUCUUGAUAACUAAUUUCUUCUUUAGUAUUUGUUUAUUGAAUUUGUUUCACAUUAUAAUUGAUUUUGGAAAUUAUUUAAAAUUUGAAUUUUAUUGAAACUACCGUAAUCUGUUACGUUCCCUGGUUAGGUGGUUUUGAGAUUAAGAAAAUGGGAAAAUUCAGAUUCUGUUUGAUUGCUGAUGGGAAUAAGAGAAGAUUAAAGAAACCAUAACCAAAAUUUGAGAUUCAAAAUUCGCCUUUGAUCGAACUGAAAGAGCAGUCAACUUAGCCAUGGCGUGUCAAUUUGCCUAAGUUCCAUUGAUUGUUCUGUACUUAGGUCCAAUUACUAUGGUAAAUGGGUAAUCUUAGAAUUAUUUGGCUUUGGUCAUUUUGUGUUGUAAUGAACGAACUGUCAACUCAACCAGGCAUUUUGCAUAUUUUGAAUCUGUUACUGGAAUGAUAUAGAACAACUGUGAUGCAAGGAAUUCAAGGAGGAGACCGGCUUCGAUAAAGACAAAGCACGACUGGCAAGAGAGGAUUAGAAACUUAAGGAUAGGAACAAGAGGUGCUGAGGAAACUGAGAAAACAGAAAAUCCAACACUGGCCUUUGCACUUUUUGAUGAGAAUAUAUGCUUCGCAAGUGAGAGAGAAGUGAAGGUAUGUAUGUAAACUUUGUCGCUUGUUUGCUUGAUGUUGACUGAACAAACAUUAAUGAGAGUGUUUGGAUAGCACAAAUAUCUCAAAUAAUAUUUCGCUUGCAUCAUAAACAUAUUUUUCAACCCAUCUUUUUAUAUUUUCAAUUAUCUUUUUAUCUCACAUACAUUACAUCACAAAAAAUGUUACAGUAAUUAUUCCAAAUAAUAUUUCAAAUAAUACUCUAUCCAAACAAAUCAUAUUAUUCCUGUAACAGCUAUUAUGAGACAGCUUGCCGUAGCUGUUUGAGUAAGAUUUCACUUCACCACUUUUGGUGUACUUUUAGUUUUGAGUAUUUUGUUUCACUGGUUUUGAAGUUUGACUUUAAGUACUACUGUAUUAGGAUUGUAAACUCUUGUUUGGAUACAUUAUUUAUUUUUUCAAAUAAUAUUUUGUAUACAUCAUAAAUUCAUUUUUCAACCCACUUUUUUAUAUUACUAAUCACCUUUUUAUCUCACAUAUAUCACAUCACAAAAAGUACUACAAUAAUUAUUAUGAAUAAUAUUUCAAAUAAUACUCUAUCCAAAAACUUCAGCAGCAGCACCUCUUAUUCAUACAGGUGCUUGGUCCAUAUAUUUUGAUAUAGCUUACUGAGGUUGGGAUGUGAAUUCUUAAUGUGCAUGCCAAACCAUGGAAUAUAUUUUUCUUUUACACUUAAGUCCUGGACAGGACAAAUAUUGGACCCCCUAUUAUAUUUGCUUCUCUGGCAUUUCCUCAUUUCGCAUGCGAAAAGGAGGAUACUCUUCCAAUUUCUUGAUGCAAACUUGGCAAAUAGACAAACAAAUGAUAAUGCUAUUGGACCUAAAAGUGUUAUAACGUUUUAAUUUCUUGGGCACGUCUUAUCCAGGGCUGCCAAAGAAAUACAAUUGAUUGAAGGAUCUCCAGGCUCCAUCAAGAGACUCUUCACCUUUGAGAGAGAGGGCUGCGUUGAGCUUCUCAGCAAUCAGCAAUGAGGUCUUUCUCACUCUCGGGAAAAGGAUGAUAAGUUCAUCAAUGAGUUUGGGUCGGAUGAGAAAGUAGUCUCUCUGAUCAAGUCACUACUAGAUGCAGGUAGAUGAAUGCUUGCUGAUUUAUCAGUAUGUCUUGCCUUAGCAUUUUCUAGUCUUUGUAUUCAGCUUUUGCAUUGCUAUGUGAUAUGUUUUAUUUCCAUCAUAAUAUUUGCAAGAUACUCACAGGAGACAUUUUCCUGGGAAGAAGGGUGACCUUGGCCGAGGAGAAUUUAUCACUGUCUCAUCUCUGACUAGAGAUAUUCAUGGUGCUCCAGCUGAAAGUUUUGUUGUUAAGCUCUCUGAAGCAAUUGGAAGCUUGAAAAUCCUGCGGAAAAUGUCAUCCUUUUGGUGUAGAGUUGCCGUUGAGGUAAGUCGACGGUAUUGAACCUGAACUCAAGAUAUUUGGACUUGUUUUGCUGGGGAAAUUUAAAUUCUCUGUCUAUUUCUUUUUUGGCUUUUCCUGCAACCAAGGAUGUGCUCGACAUGUUGCUACAGCUCCUGUCGUAGUGAUACCCUCAUCUAAACGCUACCACGCGAGAAUGAGCAGAGCCCAAGCUUGACCUUAUGUGUACAUCCUGAGAUGGGAUUGUGUUAUUGCCGACCUUUUAAGCCCUCCCUCUUGUAUUGUGUGGUAAACGCUCUUUUCUCUGAAGUUGUGGCUCCUACCCGUCUGUGACUACAGUUUACUUGAAUAACAUGAAAUAAUUCUGACAUUAUGUUUUGUAUAACGACUUUUAGUACGAGUUGAGUUUUAUUACUUGGUUCAAAUACUUCAAUUCCUCUCGAAGAUUUUCUGAAAUGCCAACUUCAAAUAUUUUGUUUAUGUGCAAGAGAGAACAGAUGCUCUACAAAAGAAAAGCAUAUGAAACAAAAUUAGGCACAUUAAUAACACAGUACAUAGGUUAAAAUUAAUGGCAGUCGUAGCUCCAGCUAUAAGGGAUCACGACAUCUCCUAUCCAGUAAAUACUUCCCUAUCAGAAUCUUAAUGUAUAGCAGUAGACAAUAAACAACUUCAAUGUUCAAGAGUGACAAAUACCUACAAAUAACAGCAUAAAGAACUCAAUACAACAAAAACCAAUGCAGUUAUUGUCUUUUUUUAAGCCUUAUUUUUACUUAGAAAGACAUCAGAAGUGUAGCCACCCUGAACCUAAUGCAGAUGUGAAAGAACAUGUUGCUUCAACCUAAUAGUUAUUGGCAGAUACCAUUUCUGACCAUUGUAAUAUCAAUCUAGGCUCGUCCAAAAAAAUUUAUUGAGGGCUCCAUCAACCAGAGGUUUAUUUCUUAAAUUUCUAUACCAAUCUCCAUGACAAAACUUAAUCAGAAAGUGUUAUAUGCUUAGUAAACAAAGGUUUAAGUAAACUUAAGCAAUUUUUUUUACGCAAACUUGAGCAAAUAUGAUAUACUUUAGCUAUUAUUUUAGUUCAAAUUCAAUAAGGAGAUGAUCACACUGAAGCAGAAAAAGCCUACCUUUACAAAAGCUUUCCAGUCGCUACUUGUGGAAAAAGAACUUGGAGAAUUGAACUUCUUUAAAGACAGAGAAAACACACCAUGUUAAACUACUAAGAACAACUCUUUACAUGAUCAUCAAUGAUUUGGUUGUGCUAGACAAAUCCGAAUAAAGAAGUGCUUGAAGGGCUUAUUUGGUGAAACAAAGAGAAUAUGGAUGCACCUUGAGUAUGUGAGGAAUAUCUUUUAUGGACUGCAGUGUAUCAUGCAAAGUGGCCAAAAGUUCUUCAGCAGAAUGGAAGAAUGUUAUCUUGAUUUGUCGAAGAAUAAAUCUAAUAUGAACUGGUAUUCCACACAUCCCUGAAGCCAUCUUCAUUGCAUAGUCUCAAGGUAGGUAAACCUUCAACUCUGGGCUUAAAUUCUUUAGCACCAUGUCAUCAAAGAUUUCAUUCGAAUACGACCAAUCUCAUUUUCCAUCACUUCAAAUUAAUAGUAACUCCAAUAGCACUGUAUGGUGCUGCUUCAAAAUAGAAGGAUACAGCUGCUUCAAAAUAGAAGGAUACAGCAUCAAAACGCUUGUUCAGUUUCUCAAUGUCCAGUAUAGGCCUCAAAAACCAGUUCCUAGUAGACAAUUGAGUUAAUAGGUCAGAGGAUUGAGGUAGCACUAAUAGACCAAUACUAACAAUGUCGAUUCUUGAUUGUCAACUAACCUCAAAAGACGUCCGCCCAUUGGUGUUACACACUGGCACAGUCAGAAAUUAUCUAUCCAAUCAGCAAUUGCAAAUUAAGACUAGAACAGGCUAUUAAAACCUAACAGCAGCUUCUGACCUUAUUCAUCAUUACAAAUAAAGAGAACCUGCACUUAAGGGUAUUAUUUUAUUUCCAAGUUAAUAAACUAAGAACCCAAGAGUGGUUCGUCAUUUACCCUUCUUUUGCCCUGCCAAUCCCCAUGUGGCUCGGAUGUUUGUCAAUUUGGAAUAUUUGUAAUGCCUCAUGUGCAGCCGAGUCAACUUUGAGAAACUUGUUUCUGCAUUUUUUGUUAAUUAGAGCAUUGCACUGAACUUUUGGACAAAAUAUAACAAGAAAAUAGGAUCAUAUGAACCAAAAAAUGGAGAACUUAAUAUUCAAGUUUGUUAAGAUGCAGUAAGAUUUCAAUGACCGAGUCAACAUCAAUGGAUGCACUUCCACACUCCUUCUGUUCAAGGGUGUCUAUAAUCCUUUCAUUCUCUAGAACCGCAAGAAGCCCUCCAGUUGCACGAACUUGGACCUCACUUUGAAUGUCCAUCAUGGAGUUCAGCUGAAAUUAUGAAAAGAAACAGGUUAGAUGCGAUGCGAGUGAUUGCAUACAGUUGAUCUUUCAUUUCCAGUAGACAUUGGCGAAUACAUGGGAACAUGAGUUCUCUCCCUUAACCACCAAACUAGUUCUUUCUCAACUUCGCAGAUUUUAAAAAAUCUUUUCUUGUAGAAAGCACGAGGAAAGAGCAACAAACAUCUUUUUGAAUGAAAAGCCUGUGGAGUAGCCUAUAGUAUUGAACAGUCAAUUUGAGCUAAACAAAAGUGCUUAUAAUAAGAGGCAUGACAAAUCAAUCUAACACCGAAUCAAGAAAUUAUCUGUACUUACAAAAGACAUUCUUUCCCUUAUGUUCAACCAUCAUCCAUCCCUGUGACCCGAAGGUACAUUAAUCAGGGCAAGAACAGAAAAACAAACAAGAAUAUAUGUGUAAAGUUCUCUGUGAGAACAAAGCUAAUGAACUAUUUGAUGACAGCAUCACCAGAAGAACUCAUGAAAGAAACGCACAAAUGAACUUGGAAGUUCAGGAUUGCUUCAAAUGAAAUCAUAGACACACUCUGCCACAUUGAUUCUGCAUCAUAGCAGCCCAACAAGAAACCGAAAAAAGUAGCAAUCUGCUAAUUCCUUAUUUUCUCAUGUUCGUGAAGUACUUUAGUGGCCAACGAAUGGUUAUAAGGAACACAUAUCCCCAUUUUACGGAAAAAAGAAAGUCGCAAACAUUCAAAUACUGCAAUGAAACAGUAAGCAAGGACAAUGUACUGGUGAAAGAGAGAAUAAGGUGAAGUAUAGGGCCGUUUCAAGUUAUAUAACUUAUAUUCACUUCGGUGGAAAUUCACUUUAUUUUUUAGACUGAACAGAACUAUGCAAGGGGAUGUACUAAUGCAACAUCCUAUUGUAUCUUCCAUACCCAUGCCAUGCUUGCUCGUAGCUGAAUAAUGAACUCUUGAUAAGCUUUACAGUAGCUGCAUUACUUGUUCCAUCUGCAAUAUUUAAACACGUCACAGUGAUUUGACAUGCAGGAAAUUUUUGUUAGCCACUUUAACAGUGAGAAUAGCUCCUCACUUUUUGUGCUUGUGUGAAUGACGGAUGGUUUGGCUUGAUAAAUUACUGAAGUAGAGUAAAAGGAAAGGAUUUAUAAGAUGCAUGAAGAAGAAACAAAACAUCCCAAGCCAAUUUGUCCUUUUCUCAAAUUUCAGAUGGGAUCUCCAAAACCAAACUAUCGUUAAAUCAAAAGACACUUAGGAAUGUUACCAUUAAAUCCCAUUCGGAAAACCAUAAAGCUGGAAAAAUCAAAUUUAUGCUUUACUGGCGGAAAAAUCAAAUUUACCCAGGGAAUAAAUCCCAGAUUAGCAUCCUCUUUUUUCCUUCAUCUUCAUGUUGAAUUUUACAUCUAGGUCGUGUAAAUUUCAGCAGAGAUUAAGGUUCUUGCUUAAAAAGAGGAUUGGGGUGUUGAUGGUUGUGGAUGGCAUCAGGUUGUCGAAAAGACCUAUGUUUUCAGAACCGGACCGGAUAUCGACUCGGCCGAGAUCAGGGGUCAGGGGUCAAUGGGUUCGACCGGGGGUCGAUAGGGGUCGAACCGGAUGACGUCAUAAAUAAAAAUUAUUUAAAAAUUAAAAUAUUAUAUAUAAAAUAUCUAAUAAUAUGUUAAUAUUAAUAAAUGUAUAUUCAUAUAUAUUUGAUGUUUCAAAUAUAUUUAACAAAAAAAUACAAAGAAAUUAGAACAAUCAAGUAGCAGUUUAUGUUAUUUAAUAAAUAUUAACAAGUUUAGAAUUAAAAUUAUGAAUUUAAUUGAAAAAUAACAUCAAAUUUUAGGACAAUAUUUAUAAAGUAUGAAAUAUUUGAGAUAUAUUAAUAAGUUUUAACAAUUUAGGGGGCCAAAACAUAAUAUUGAAAAGAUUGAGUUUUUUUUUAAAAAAAAUGCCCAUUGAACCGGAAAACCGAUUUUUUUCGAUCAAACCGGUCAAAUUCGGUUUUUGACCAACUUUGACCGGGCUUUAAAUUUUCGAUUUUUUACCAUGACUCGGAUCGAACACUUGGCUGGUUCCCGAUUCGACCGGCCGAUCCGGUCCGAGUUUCAAACAGAGGAAAAGACUUGUUUAUUAACUUUGAAAUCGGGGCAUAGGAAUGGUCAGUGAUGUGUGCUCCUUAGUGGGCCUAUGUUGUGAAAACCAAACUGGAUCCAUCGACAUUUUUUAUUAGCUGAGGUAUUGUAUUUUUUAAUUUUAGAAUGCCAGACAAUAAUGACUUAAAUCAUUUUUUUUUAAGUACAAUUGACAGGGUUAUUUGGUAUUUAGUAUUUACAGUUACCUGUGGAAGUCGAAAUAAAAAAUGGGUGGUGAAUUUAAUUCCUUUUAUUUCACUACAUUAUUCGGCGGGCAUGGGAUGGACCGCUUCCUAACAGCAAUCAAUCAAAUAAGGACCAUGUUUUUUAAUGUGGUACAGGCAGGGUAGGAUGGAGGGUCGCCAAAUUAAAUCCAUUUUUAGAUGCAAUUUGCUGUGUAAAAGGAACAGAACUCCAAAUCCACUUCCUUAUUGGAAGAAAGAAGUCCUAAAGGACCAGGACUCGGUCGUGGUCAUGGACCCUAUAUAAAGAACAUGACCUACAUCGUUUUCACUUCAGCACAGAGAGAGAAACACUAGUCUAGAAUUGAACAUGGCGGAGGUAAUAAAAAGCAGACCAAUCCACUGUUGUACACCCCCUCCGAGCCUAUACCCCUGGCUUGUUUUCUUUCAUGGCAAAAAUAUGGAAAACCAAACCUUUUAUUGCCAGUCUCAGCCCAGUACUAAAACUGUUAGAUCAAUUCCUGAGUUGCAGAACAUAAGAUCUUGGCUGUCAGCCCACGACUGGUUAGUUUUGUCAGAAAAAACUUAGUUUCAUCUUUGGAAUCCAAAAUCUUUGGAAUCAAUUUAUCUCCCUCCUUUGAACCUGCAACCUAGACAACGUUUGGAAGGUAUCCUAUUACCAUCGUUUCCUGCAAAUCCCGAAGCAUUCUCUUGUUAUUUUUGGCUAAUCCUUAGAGCAUUACGUUCUGUUACAUCAAAGACCAAAGGUGGACUAUAAGAAGCUGCAGCAAAGAAGAGAUCAAGAUUAUAAGCGGGACCGACCAUGGUUGGCAUCAUUUUUGUUUGCCAAUUGUCUGCAAUGGUAGAAUAUAUGCUACUACCUAUUGCAGACAUCGUCUGGCAGAGAUUGAGAUUGUCAAACAAAGGCUUGUUAUAAGAUCUCUUCACUGUCAGCUACCUCUUUUCAAUCCGUAUGCGAUCACGUAAAAAUGUACUUGGUGGAAUCCGAUGGGGAUCUCUUUGUGAUAAAUUUUGAGAUACACUCCAGGGAAGCAAUGAAUAUUGAUGUUUUCAAAUUGGACUUCCCAACUAAGAUAUGGAACAGAGUGGACAGCUACCCAAAUAGAGCUUUUUCUUGAGCAAUUGUGAAGCAAUUUCAUGCCAAAUUAUGACAAUUGAUAUAGAACGAAUAGGAAAUCGGGUUUACUUCACAUGUUACCAAGACAAGUCCCUGUACUCCUACCACAUUGAAGACAAAACUAUCUCAACGUCUUCACCUUGUCCAGAUCUGUCGACACCCUAGAGCACACCAAAUUGGGUGUUGCCUAACCCUGAGGGGACCGAGUACCAUCAUCAUCUAGGUGGAGAUCAAAAAGAGGAUGGAAAGGAGGAUAUACAAGUCGGAGCAAAAGGACAUUGUGAAACUCAGGAGAAACUUAAGGAAGCAAAUUGAACAAGUUUGAACGGAAGGAUCAGAAAAUGGAUCAGACAAUGGAUGAGGAAGAGGAAGGAAGCUCAGACAAAUUAGACAAUGGAUGAGGAAGGAAUAGGAGUGCGAGUUGAACCACACUUGAAGAGAAGGAAAUGGGUGUUGUGCGGAUAGCCUGGCAGGCCACUUGAUGUUGUUAAGAAGUGCUUAAAUGAUGAUCUAAGGGGAGUUGCGUUCCACGUUUAGUCGCUGUGUAAAUGGCUUGAUGGCCUCCAUUGCACCAAAAAAAAAGAAAAAAAGAAAGUUUGAAUGAUCUUGGUGGUGAUUAAGUAUUGGCUAAACUCAAUCACAAGUGAACAAGUGAUAACUGUGCAUGGCUGUAAAUCUUUUUUAAAUUCAAAAAAUUUUGACCUUAACUUUUAAGUUCUUUAUUUUCUCUUUUAAAUCGAGAUUCGCCUUAGUUCAAAAAAAAAAAUCUAUCCGAGAUCCAAAAAGGGAGUUUUACUUCCAUAAAAUUAUUUUUCAGUGAUUAACUAGAAACUUGUCAACUAUAAAUAUGUUAACUAAGUUUAAUAUGUACUUUAGUCCCAAGAUGUAAAAUAUUGUAUGUUGCAAUGCAAUAACUCCAAACACUAACGAACUGCUGCCAAAGCCCAAAGGCAAAAAUAACCCAAAUAAAUCGUACUAAAACUAUACAUUAGCAUUGUGACAAGUAAUAAUGCAAAUUCAAAUAUUUUUUUUUGAGGGAACAAAUUCAAAUAUUCAAUCUUCUUUGGCCAUUUCAACAUCUCAAUCGAAAGAAAAAAAGUCAAUUCCUCCUUCCGCCACUGCCUGAUUUUUUCCCUGGACUUGGAGCCACUGAGGGAGAGGUCAAACUUAAACGUCGAAGGCCGCAAUCCGUAGUCCAAAAUCCAAAUCCGUACUCCAUAGCUGUCCUGUGAGCUCCCUCGGCUCUGUUUCUCAUUCCCUCCUUGAUUUUCCCCGCUUGAAAAUUAGUUCGACCAUGCCUUCACAAUUUACAGCCUAUCAUCAUUUCUCAGCAUAACCUACGCACUCCCGGCGCACCAAAAUGGAGGCCUCUUUCGUGUCCAAAGCUAGGACUGCCUUUCAUUCAGCUGCUGCUAAAGCGGAAAAAGUCUUUGCGGACAUCAAAAAAUCUGAUUCGGUUGCCGAUCGAGGUACAUAAAUUAGUUAAUUCCCCAAUCCAACUAUUUUGUGUAUUUUAUUUUUCUGUCAUGAAUUGCAGUUUACUAUUUUUAGACUCCAUAACUCGCGGCCUUUUCACUAUUUUUUAAUCAAUUAUUUUCUGGUCAAAACACGAUCGCGAAACUUGAAGCAGCGGAAGAUUCUGAUAGACAAUCGCCGAUUGCUUCGACGCCGGAUUCUGUGAGUAGCAAGGACGAAUCAAAGGUAUUGCAUUUCUGCUUUUAUUGGUUUACUCAAUUUGUUUCGCAUUAUAAUUGAUUUUGAAAUUUAUUGAAACUAUCUUAAUCUGUUACACUCCCCUGGUUUGGGUGGUUUUGAGAUUAAGAAAAUGGGAAAAUUCAGGUUCUGUUUGAUUGCUGAUGGGAAUAAGAGAAGAUUAAAGAAACCAUAACCCAAGUUUGAGAUUCAAAAUUCGCCUUUGAUCGAACUGAAAGGGCAGUCAACUUGGCCAUGGCAUGUCAAAUUUGCCUAAGUUCCAUUUGAUUGUUCUGUCCUUAGGUCCCAAUUAAUGUGGUAAAUGUGGGUAAUCUUAGAAUUAUUUGGCUUUGGUCGUUUUGUGUUGUAAUGAAAGAACCGUCAACUCAACCAGGCAUUUUGCAUUUUCUGAAUCUGUUACUGGAAUGAUACAGAACAGCAGUGAUGCAAGGAAUUCAAGGAGGAGACCGGCUCCGAUAAAGACAAAGCACGACUGGCAGGAGAGGUUUAGAAACUUAAGGAUAGGAAGAAGAGGUGCUGAGGAAACUGAGAAAGCUGAAAAUCCAACAAUGGCCUAUGCACUUUUUGAUGAGAAUAUAUGCUUUGCAAGUGAGAGAGAAGUGAAGGUAUGUAAACUUUGUCACUUGUCUGCUUGAUGUUGAAGAUUUUGAAGUUUUUAGGUUUUGACUGAACAAACAUUGACGUCCGUAGCUGGGAAUGUCAGAAAGUUCAUUGGCUACGUUACCUGGACUCUUCACUUUCCCUGCUGUACCCACGUCGGACUGUUCAUUUUGCACUAGAGUAGCCAUAUUGGCGGGACCCAUUCCCGAGUCCAGCUAUCAUAGCUUGUGGCUCUGACAUGCAAUUUGGAGAGCUUGUCAUUCAUUCACUUGGUUGACUUGUAGAUGCUAAAAGAAUCUUAAUAUUCUUAAAUUGCUGCUCAACAUCUGAAUUUGUCUCCUCAUGAUCAACAGUUCAAAAGAAUUGAAGGCUUAGAUGUUAGUCUUCUAUAAGCUAAAAGCUCUAUAAGUGUAGGCCAGUGCCACUGCUACAUGUUGAAAACAUAACAAGCUACGCAAUGUGUUUAUACUUUCACCAAUGGCAUUGUAUUGUAACUUUAGCGUCAGACAGGAUGGAGAUUUUAAUUAUUCUAUUGCCUUAGGAGACCCCUAAGAUGGGUGGACUGCAAUGAAUCAAUUGAGUAAACUUGGUAAUAAAUAAUGUCAAGAUGCAAAUGACUACAUUCUUGUUUUAUUUGGAAAGAUUGGAUUAUUACAGUAUUUUUGGAUAAUUUGGAAUUAUCUGGGCCUUCCCUUAGCUGUUGCCAAAAUACUGGAGUUUCGGCCAUGACGAGGUUAUUUAUGUAUCAGUCUGUAUUUUCAGGACUCAAAGCUGGAUUCACUGUCUGAAGAUUCGAAUAUCUCAAAUGAAAACAUUAUUCCUGCUACAGCUAUUAUGAGACAGCUUGCAGUAGCUGUUGAGUAAGAUUUCACUUCACCACUUUUGGUGUACUUUCAGUUUUGAGUAGUUUGUUUCACUGGUUUUGAAGUUUGACUUUAGUACUACUGUACUAGGAUUGCAAAACAAGUAAAACUCUACUUGUUAUAUCAGCACCUCUUAUUCAUACAGGUGCUUGGUCCAUGUAAUUUGAUAUAGCUACUGAGGUUAAGAUGUAAAUUCUUAAUGUGCAUAACAAACCAUGGAAUGUAUUUUCUUAUACACUUCAGUCCUCGACAGGACAAAUACUGGACCGCCUGUUAUCUUUGCUUCUUUGGCUUUUCCUCAUUUUGUAUGCGAAAAGGAGGAUACUCUUCCAACUUCUUGAUGCAAACUUGGCACACCUUGAUUAAGUCAAUAGACAUACAAAUGAUAAUGUUAUUGGACCUAAAAGUGUUAUAACAUUUUAAUUUCUUUGGCACUUCUUAUCCAGGGCCGCGAAGAAAUAUAAUUCAUUGAAGGAUCUCCAGGCUUCAUCAAGAGACUCUUCACCAGUGAGAGAGAGGGCUGCGUUGGGCUUCUCAGCAAUGAAGUCUUUAGUACUACGGGAAAAGGAUGAUAAGUUCAUCAAUGAGUUUGGGUCGGAUGAGAAAGUAGUCUCUCUGAUCAAGUCACUACUAGAUGCAGGUAGAUGAAUGCUUUGCUGAUUUAUCAGUAUGUCUUGCCUUAGCAUUUUCCAGUCUUUGUAUUCAGCUUUUGCAUUGCUGUGUGAUAUUUUUUAUUUCCAUCAUAAUAUUUGCAUGAUACUCACAGAAGGACAUUUUCCUGGGAAGAAUGGUGACCUUGGCCGAGGAGAAUUUAUCACUGUCUCGUCUCUGACUAGAGAUAUUCAUGGUGCUCCAGCUGAAAGUUUUGUUGUUAAGCUCUCUGAAGCAAUUGGAAGCUUGAAAACCCUGCGGAAAAUGUCAUCCUUUUGGUGUAGAGUUGUUGCUGAAGUAAGUGGACGGAAUUGAACCUGAACUCAAGAUAUUUGGACUUGUUCUGUUGGGAAAACUUAAAUCCUCUGUCUAUUUCUUUUUGGCUUUUCCUGCAACCAAGGACAUGCUUGACAUGUUGCUACAGCUCCUGUCGUAGUGACACCCUUCUCUAAAUGCUACCACGCGAGAAUGAGCAGAGCCCAAGCUUGACCUAAUUUGUACAUCCUGGCAUGGAUUAUGUUAUUGCCGACCUUUUAAGCCCUCCUUUGUUGUGUGCUAAACACUCUUUUCUUUGAAGUUGUGGCUCCUACCCGUCUGUGACUACUGUUUGCCUGAAUAACAUGAAAUAAUUCUGACAUUAUGUUUUGUAUAAUGACUUUUAGUACAAGUUGAGUUUUGUUACUUAGUUUCAAAGCUGUAGUUGAUUGACAUGAAAAAAUUCUUCUCGCGUCACAGUUAAGAUGGUCACUCUUCUACAGUCAUUUUAUGAGGCAAUUCAACAACUCAUUGACAUUCCUCCUCCUCGAGGAACAAGGCGAUGGAGUUAAACUAUCUUUUAAAGGGUGUCAACCAUGAUUGGUUUUUACUGCUUAGUUUUUUUUUUUUUUGUAAGCGGGAGGGUUCGAACCGGAGACCUCUCACAUACACUCCCUUCCCCCGUACCGCCCAACCUAUCCUCCCCCCAUACUGCUUAGUUGAUUGUCUUAAAGCUUACAUACAUGACGACCUUUGCUCGAUGUGGACUCCAAAUAUUCCCUGCUCUAGUAAAAAGCGUUGACCUUUUAUUUUCUUGCAUUUAAAAUCAAGUUUGAGUUGUGGUUAGUUAUGUUCCCCAGUUGAUGGAGUUCCUUUUUUAAGCUUUUAGAUCUGUUCAAUCAAGUGAUUAUCAGUUAUUGUUAUCAAAUACAAAUUACCAUGGUGAUUUUGCACAGCAUAUUUUUUUUGUGGUUCAGCAAGAAGUAAUUUAUGACCUUUUGACUUUAUUUCUCAAAUGCCUUUGUUUCUUGAGAAGUGAUCCUUACUGCAUUACCGAAUGAAACCUCAUUGACUUUUGGAAAUUAUUGAUACAGUUCCUGAGUACAUUUUCAAUUAAUUGAGCAAUAUAUAUUUCAUUUGUUAUGCAGCUUAGAAGAAUUUGGUCUGAAGGGCAGUAUAUUCCUGGCAUUCCACCAGAUGACGUCCCAGACUUGAAUUCAUGUCUUUUGUAUCAGCAGUUACAGGUCAUCAACUGUUGUAUUUCCAGAAAAAGACGUCGUGCUAUUGCAACUGAAUCAUUAGAUUCAGUCUUAAGACAAGCUAGUCCAACUGUCGACAAGUCUUCUGAUUCUGAAAGCUUAAAUGCUUUAAAUUCUGUCUUAUAUGCAAGAACUAGCACUGAGGAACUUGUUCUUCGAUUAGGGGCUGAUAAAAAAUUUGAUAACUUGACAAUGCUGGAAACUGGUGAACCUGUUUUUACACCUGUCACCCAGGUUCUGUUGAUAUCUGAUGCUUAGAGUUUUCAUUACUGUCUUCUAGAAACUCUAACCUUUUACUGAGUUUGUAUGCAUGCAUAUGUAGGAGGCACCUUUGCUAACGGAAGAUCUUAUCAAAGAAACAGAAGAGUUUGUGCUGCGAACUGGAAGGUUGGUCAACUAAUUCAGCAUUUUUUCCUGCUCUGUUUUUUCCCCUUGACCGCAAGAUUGGUUUUGAUUUCUGAAUUACAAUGUCUCUUUACUUAGAUUUGUCUUAACCUAAUCACAUUUUUGCUGAAAUUUUUGGUACGUUGUGGGGUUUUAGAAAUGGGAGAUAUGGCUCUCUACGUAAAAAUUGAAAGCACCAAUAGGGUGACCUUAUAGUAAAAGCAUUGGAGAAAUGCUUGUGAUGGGUAGUAUAACAUUGUAAGAGCUGACGUAUGAUAAAAGUAUAAGUUCUAUGUGAGUAAUUUGGUGAAGUCUUUCAAUUGAUCAAUAUUGUUAUUUUUUAUGCUAAAUGUAGUCUACUGAAAGUGCUCAAAUCUGUAUACCUGAUUGUGUAUCUCUUUGCCAACCCAAUUGUGCCGAAUUAUGAAUGCUCGGUGAAUCUUCCAGUUGUUUUUAUUACUCCUAACUCUAUGUGACCAAUCUCUUAAUGGCCGUGUUCCCUCGUUGAAUUGUGAAGCCAAUUGCCUUGUUCCAAAAACUAUCCCGGAGAGGGAGUUAAUUACUUGGACUAUAAUUAUAAUAAGAAUAUUUAUUUUUUUGGAGCAAAGAAGAAUAUCUUGGGUUGAAAGAAUGGUUUGACAAAUCACAUGAAUUCUAUGCUUUCUCAGCAUCUUGAGAUGGCUUAACAGACACAAGGUAGAUUUCAUCCAGUAUCCUGAGAAAUCAGGCUGGUGUUUACCCUAUUCUUGGAACUGUAAGUAGGAUUAAAUAUUAUGUGUUGUGGACUAUGGUGUGCAAUGAUUAGUUUGUGAAAAUAUCCUGGGUGAAAGACUACUGUUGGUUGAAGGACUGGAGAAUAAUGCAGGCAUUGAGGGUAAGAAAUUUUUAAAUCCAUUUAAUGGGGUCAUUGACAGGACAUGUUCAAAAUGGUAUCUUUCCAAGGUCCCCGUCCCUUUUUGUAAGCCGAAAAGUGGAAGCAAAAAAAAGAAAAAAAGAAAAAAAAGGGUCAUGCAUGCUUAAGAAUCUUAUCUUUCUCUUGACACUGGAAAUGAAGCAAAGAUUAACAAGCAUUUCAAAAUAUUAGAAAUAAUUGAACCUCCCAUUCUUGAACCUUGUGAAAAGCUGCCGUGCAGGGGUAAGGAACCUUUCUCCUUUUGCUUCCACCUCUCUUUAGUUUGGUAGGGAUUGCCCAUUACUUCUAGUGUUACUUAACUAUUUUUUCAUCAUUCACACAUAGCAGGAGCGUGGUGUGCUUAUAAUUGAACUAUUGGGGAUUUAUUUGAAGAAUGUAAAGGCUUUUCUAUUGUAUGUCUCUCAUAUCUGACAUCCCUAGAUUUUGUCUCCCAUUUUGUUUUGGUUCUUCAAGGAGAUGAUUAGUUUCCAUGAUAUAUGUAUGCUUUAUGGUUUGGAAACAUUAAAGGGAACACUUUUUUUUUCCACAUUAAUUGGUAUGGAUACGUUAGGCUUUGGAAAUUUGUAGUGGCAGAAUAGUUUUUUCUGUGUACGGACUGCUAUAAUUGUGGCUAUAACUUCAAUAUCACUUGAGUCAUUAUACUCUUCAACCUUUGUCCAUGCUGUAGCUCUUUUGUGUUGUUUACUUGCAUAUUCUUUAGAAAUUUGACAGAUAGGUGAAAAUUUGGAAUUACUGUGAUUCAUAUGCAUCAACUAUAUCUUGAAUUUUUGUAAUUUAAGGCACAGUGUGACAUGCUGCUUUGUCCUAUUGUGUUCAGUGUUGGUGCUGGUUGUUCCCAACUUCUGUCUGACAUGCAGGCUUUCAAGGUGACCCUCUGCAGUAAAUAACUGUCUUUUCAAGAUUCUUCUGGGGCCUUUUACUAUAGCAGAAAUUUGUGGAUUUUUUGUUUUAUUUAUUUAUUUAUUUUUGUUGAACGGCAUUGUGAGAAAUUUGUGGAUUGUGAUUUACACACCUAAGCUCCAAUGUUUUCUGUUAGGCAGCAAAUCCAGGUUGUAUAUUAGAAGAUUUCGUAAGGUGGCAUUCACCCCCGAUUGGAUGGAAGGUGACAUUAAUGAUGAAGCCGAUGAAACAUCUGAUGGUGGUGAUUUGUUGUCAACGAGAGGUCAACUUAGUAGGAGGAUGCAAAAAGAAGGUUACUUCUUUUGUUACAUUAGUUAACCUGGAACAUUGUCAUAACUAAUUUGACAUCAACUAUUUUACCUGAAAGGAGCAAAGCCAAACAUGAAAGAGAGAAAACAACUGGUUUUAAUUCCAGCAGAUUAUUUGCCUCUUUUGUUCUCCUUCUGGCAUCUCUUGUUUUGGAAAUCAAAUGUAAUUUGCACAAUUUUAUGUUUCUUAUGUGAAAAAUAUUAAAAUAGAUUAGUCAGUGGUUUGUUAUUCUGGGUGUUCUUAGCAUGAUAUUCAUCUGUAUUCACCAAUUUAUUGACUUUUGUGCUAAUUAUGGUGGAAUUAGCUGACUGAUAGAAUGGCUGUUGAUUUACGUCUAGGUAAUUUAUGGCGGGAACUGUGGGAAACUGCAAAACCAAUACCUGCAAUGAGACAGACUCCCCUCUUUGAUGAGGAUCUUGCUGUGUAAGUUGCAAGACAUAAACAAUUUUACUGUACAAAGACAUUAUUUUCUGAUGAUUUUCUGCUCCCAUUGCUGGGUAGGGAAGGUAUUCUUAAUAUCUUGGAGGACAUCUCACCUUCCGAGCUUUUUGAACAGCUGUUUAUUUCUCUUGUAAGUAUUAUGUACUUGGAUUUGGAAAUUGCCAAACCAUAUGGCUGGAAUUAAUAUGUUCAGCUGUUCCAGUCAGCAAUACUGUUAAGAUUUCAUGCUUGGUACAAACUGGCACUGAUGAUCUAAGUAUGUCAGCUGGGUUCAGGGUUUGUAAUCGCUGAGUCUACGCUCUCAACAAAUUUAGAUCUGUCAAAGCUAUUUAAUGAAUGCAAGGACUAUAUUGUUGCCACUUGUCAAAGCGGCAACUGGCUUGAAAAAAUUGAUGAUAUAUGCCAGGUAUGUCAUAUUUAGCUGAACGAGGAACUGUGUGGUUAUUGACUGAUUUAUAUUUGCUAACAAUCUGAUAUGGUAUUCCUGAAUUCUCUCUUGCCUGCUAAAUACUUAGGGUUUCAGAAUUGGGACUUCAUUACUUCCUCCACUUGUUUACUGCUUUCAAUACAGCAAUAUUCAUUUCCCAGGGAGGCUGAACUUCUUCAACAUGUCAUCGAACUGACUCUUGUCCUGCAGCAUGAUAACCAUUUUCCCUACACUUCGUGAAGUUAAAGAAAAAGAAACUUGAAAGGGAAAAUAAAAAUAGAAGCUUCUGUUGCUUUUUGUUCUGUUACAUUGGCAGUAUCAAAAAUGGUAUUGGCCAUAUUGGAAUAAUAGAUGGAAUUGAUCUUCUUGUCAACAGCUUAAGAUCAGCUGAUUAUAGUUUUUCUAUUCUUGACUUUUUAAGCUAAAAGCUGCAAUAAGGAGACGGAUCGGCAUGUUGACUAUGCUUAACAUGAAUACAGUCAGACUUAGAGAGUGGAUUAUCCUUAGAUUAGCAUACAUUAUUCACAGGAUUGCAUAUUCACCUACUAAUAUUCCUACUAUGACUUUUUAAGCUAAAAGCUGCAAUAAGGAGACGGAUCUGCAUGUUGACUAUGCUUAACAUGAAUACAGUCAGACUUAGAGAGUGGAUUAUCCAUAGAUUAGCAUACAUUAUUCACAGGAUUGCAUAUUCACCUACUAAUAUUCCUACUCGUCAAAUCUCCUUUGCAGGUGUAUGAAACAGUUGAGGCAAUGUUGCUAAAUCCACAUGAAGCUACAAAAAGUACAGUUCCACCCGAAGAAACAACACCUGCAGGUGAACUGAAAAACCAGUUCAAAAGGCUUAACUUCAUCUUUGGUAGCAAAGAUAGGCAGUCACAAAAAGACAAGAAGAAUAUGGAGGAUAACCCAACCCGCCAACCAUUCUCAUCAAUGUUCUCAAAGAAGCCUCCUAAGCCAAGUAAUGGAUCGUCAGCUGACAAAGCUGCUGGUUCUGUAGAUAAUGACUGGACAAUUGUGUAAAUUGUAUAUAUUUGGGAAUUGGCUAAAAGCAAUGCCCAGAUGCCAUCUUUACUGAUUUUUUCAAGGGAUUAGAAAUGGAAAACGUAGGAGUUGGAUAUGACAAAUUUUUCGCAGAAAACAGACAUUGCAAACAUGCACUCCGAUAGCAUCUUUUGGGAGGAGCUCCGUUGAUCAAGAGGACUAGCAAAGAGAUUUUGUUCCACAAAGAAGGAUAAUACGCAUACUAACAAGUUCCAAUGUCUUAGAUGCAAGAAUAUCAACUGCUGACGAAACAAGAAUGGAUAAAUCUCUGAACAUCCUCUGCUGUCAUUGCAUCGUGCCGUAAAAGCCGCUUCUUUUCUGGCCAGAACUUGACGUUCUUCUUCCUUGUCUGCUCCCUUACCGGUUGUCUGAAGAAUUUUCUCUGUCUCGCUUCCUCUCGUCAUUUGUUUUGUCAACUUCAAGAUCUUUUAGAACCCACCAUGGCACAACGAAAUUUGCAAUCCAGUACAUCAAAAGCAUCACUGCACUGUUAGCCACGUAAAAAAGGUUAUGCCAUGGAAGAAAUGUUACUAACAUAUUUGCAGUUCGUUAACUGGCCUCCCCAGUGACAAACUGAUACUGUCAAUGUGGGUAUCAAAAGAUGUCUUUGCUUCAAGUCCUAAAAUUGUUCAAGCAUUAACUCGUAACUAUUACCAAUAGAGUAUGAUGGCUUGUAUCAACCUGGAGAACUUUUAUGAGAUCAAGAGAAGGGUGAAUUUCAUCUCAAAAUGGGAGUUAGUUAGGAAGAAAUAGACCUUGUUUGAAACAGGACUGAGAAGUCUCCUGAAUUGGGCGGCGGCGAAGUGGCGGCUAGAAAAAGAGGAGCGGAGGUAACUCUGGUCGGAAACCAAAAUACUCUGUUCCGCUUAUGCAUACAGAGAAACCCACAAGUAGCAGGUUCAUAUUUACUGAAUUUGGAGAGCCACAGCAGCUUAGUUGAGCUGAUCGGGGGCUUCAAGUCAUUGUACGGAAAUAUAGAAAUGGAAGGGCACUGAGAGCCGAUGCCAUUCAUCUUGCAAGCUUCAGGUUCAUUCAUAUUGAACGAGUGAACGUAGAUAAAUUGAAGGGAGCAAUAGAUAAUAUGUUCCUUUCUAUAGGAGGUGGACCACACUCACUGGGUCCGGGGAGUUUGAGAUACAUUAUUGUUAAUUGGCCCAAUCUAAUUACUGUCACGAAAUUUUGUGUCAUGUGCAAAUAAUGCAUUCUAUGUGAUACCAAUUACCUUUUUACCAGAACUUUGUGCAGAACGUACACACCGGAUAUGCUGGUCUAAUUUUUGUUAACCCAUGUUUCUGCUAGUAAAUUGUAAAUACAUGCUGCUCAAUUAAACUCCAAAAUGUAUAUUGCAGAUUGGUUCAAUAUCUCUUGCAAAAACCUUUCAGAAGUCCAAGAAUUUCACCAUGCCAAAUAUUCCAAAUAGAUGGUCCUGUUGGUUAGUGUAUUGUAACCCUGGUUGGCUUGUGGCCCACUAGGAUACACUCAAAUAGCCAAUUGGGGCCUAGCUUUUUGUUUGUCUGGGUACAUCACGGACCCUAAAUAUCCAAUUAUUACGAAUUCAUUGUCAUUUGCCGGAGAAAACUACUGUCUUCCAAUUGACAAGACAAAAAACGCAACUGUAGCAGCCCAGGCCCCAUCACAAGGGCCCAGAACUAUGAGUCAUAUAAGGCUGUUUUUUUUUUUUUUUUUUUUUUUUAUCGUUACACUUUAAAUUAUUGAUAAGAUCAGAUUUUCUCUGCAAAUUUCAUGCAUUACCAUCUCCUAAUGUCUUACUAGAUCUCAAUUAAAAAUAAUUAAACAUGUCACCAAGACCCAUCGGCCAUCACACUUAAUAGUGAAAUACUUCAUUAGACUGUUAAAUUCUCCUCAUUAUGAAAUUGCCUUUGCAGAAGCUAUGUGAAUGAAUAUUAUUACAAUAAAAUCGUGGAUAACCUCAAAAAAAAAAAAAAAAAGGUAGGAAUCAGAGAAUUCUCUCAAUAAAAUCGUUCUGAAGAAAUUUUUUUUUUAAAAAAAUGUUAUUUGCAUUUCAUUGUGCUAUUUAUACUCCCAUUAUUUAUUUUAUUAUAUAAUUUUAUAAAUGCUUAAAAUGAUAAUGAAAGUGUGAUUAAUAAAAAUGGAGAUGUAAAUAAUAUUUUCAUUUUUAAUGAAAAAUAUAAAGGCUGCUAGACCAGGCAAAUUAUUUCACUUCCGACAACUCAUAUUAUGCACGUUAUAAAAGUCACAAUUUGACUUCUGACUUGGGAAAGCCACAAUCUCGGCAAAAAAUAAUCGUCGGCCUGUAUAUCAAUUACCAAAAGAAAAAAGCUAAAGGGCAAAAAAAUGAGAGAAGGUUGAGUAACAGAAGGAACAGAAUAUUGCAGAAGGGAAAGAGAGGAGGACGACCACCAAAGGGUGCAAAAACGCCGCCGUCAAGCCUAUACAAGAAUAACGAACCAGAAGCUCCGGAUUUUUGUUAGCUUACGCUGUUUAUAUCAGUUCGCCGUCGUUUGUUAGCCUUUUCUGUUCAUUGUCUUCGUCGAGGUAUUUCCUAUUAUUUACAAAAAAAAAAAAGAGAAGAAAGUGAACAAAGGAAUAUUUGCUCUGGAAAGUUGGAUAUUAAUUUGCGAAACGAUUUUUUUUUUUCUUCUAAAUUUCCUUAGCAGAUCGCAAUCAUUUUGCUUAUUGGUUUAUUUACUCUGCGAUUUGCCUUGUUCAUAAUUUUGAUUUUGUUUUUAAAUUUGUUUUCUUAAGAUUGAUGAAUUUCGGUAUUGUAAAUUGUCUAAAACAGCCUUAGGAGAUCAAAGUCAAUGAUGCUGGGCGUUGUAAGGCGAAAAGUGGCUUCUGAUGCUUCUUCUGCUUUGGUAUUUAAACUUCAAGUUUUGCAUGUGUGUUUAGAUAUGCAUUCAUAUGUGCAUGAAGGCAGAUUUAUUUUUUAUAGUAAAAUUUAGUUGUGUUUUUGUAAGAAUACCGAUCUCCUUUGUGUUUGCGGACGCAGAUUAAAAGGAAAUCAUGGCAUUGGAGUCGGCCUGUGGUUUCUACGCCUAGAGUUUCUACUGCUGUAGCUGAAGAGGUAACUCGCUGCUUUCUUUUCCAAUUCAGCGUUGAUACUGCUUAGUGGUGAUAAUAGUUUGACGUGCGAAGAGGCAUGGUGAAUCAAAUGAUGUUCCUGAUAUGAAAAUGAUAUUGUAGACAAACAAGUAGUUUAUACUUUUCAAGGAUGUAAUGUUGUAAUUUCAUUGAGGUUUGGUCAAAAUUGCUUGAGUUUAGAUUAGUUUUUCUUUUCUAGGCAAAUAAACUCAAUUUAUUAGUCAAGAUAAGAAAACGUUUCUAACUCAUUAAGACGAGUUUAGAUUAGUUAAAUGUGAUUUAGCCUUAUAUAGUACAAAAUUUAUUGCAUAGUUUAACAAGCUGGGGAAUUAUAUGGAAAUUGGGUAAGAGUUAAGUUAUAGAGGUUGAGUUGAGGUGGCUGUCUUUCUUGGAAACUCAGAGAACUCUGUUCCAUUUUCUGGUGUUGGCUUAUGAAGAUAGCAUAUGUGACAUUGCUUUGCUAUCCAGUUUUAGUUUUGUCUGGAGUUCGGUUAGGUUACAAUUCUCAAAAGCAGUAUUGAGAACAUGUAUGUACUGUGUCUCUAAGAUGUUAUUCAACUACGAGUUUAUGAUCAAAUAAUAUUAUUUACUGUUUCUGUCUCUUGAAGUGUCAGUUUCAGUUGUUUUCUUCCUUUUUGUUUCUCUUUCUACGUUUGGCCAUCAAAGCUUAUGUUUGCUGUUAGUUCUUCCUGUGCAAUUGUUCUUAACUGUUUGUUUUUGCUUUCUGAACAGAUCUUCUUCACCCAGGAUGCACUCGCAGUUUCUCUGACUUCACUUUCUCUGGUAAUCUCGGGUGUCUAUGUUAGUCAAUGCCACGUGUGUGUGUGUUUUUUUUUUUUCCUUUUUGGCCCCCUCCCUCAUGUCUGUGUUUGAACUAUUUUCUAUUUUCUUUCGGUAUAGGAUCUUUGGACUUGACAUCGUCAAGGUCAGUGGUAUCUUUUCUUGUUUAAUCUCCUCUUGAUAAUUGCUAUUAACUUGUACGCUAUCGGUCAUUGAGGAAUACUUAGGCUUAGAGAGGGUGGUCCCCCUUUCUGACAUAAAAGCAAUCAGAAUUCGAACACGCCGCGUUUUACUGGGAAGGAUCGACCCAUGGGAACGAAUCUACCGGGCUGUCACCUUCUUUGGCCAGAUCUUCCAAUCUUUUCGCAUUACAGUUCACUGCACUUUCUUUACUAGAAUGUUUUGAAUUUUAAUAUUGUUGUUCAGAGGACAUUAUCGCUCCAAGAAAAGUCAUUAUUUAAGAGCUUAGCACAGUACUCUAUCUUUUAAUUAUCAUUUUGCACAACUAUUUCCAAUGUGGGCAAGGCAUAGUGGAUUUAAUUGUAAACCAAAUUCUGCUUUGUAAAAUAAGUUCAAUUAGGUACUGCAUUUCAUGUGGUUUUCUGUCAGUGGUAAGAGAUGUAAUUACUAUGAGUAUUGACAGUGCUUUUCAUAUUUAGUUUGAUACAGCAUUAUUUGGCAUUGUGUUAGCUGACCUUAUUCAAGUUGACUGAGACAGUUUCACCCAGAGUCGUUCAAUCUGGUUUGAUUUUACCUAAUCCGUGGUAUAAACCAAAGAAAAGUUUGUCUGUAAAUUGUGUUUUUGUGAUUAGACUCCCGCAAGGGUAAUAACACUUGGACUUAUACAAUAGAUGUUUUUGGUAUGUGGAAUAGCUAGCUUCAAAAAAUCCAAGGUAUAUAAACUCACAUUAAGUCAGAUGGUAUAGUUGGCAGAUAAUGCUAUCAUUCAUGGUUGGCUGUUUUAUUUGCAGGGGAAUCAAAGACAAUUUUCUGCCUCAAUUCACCAUGCAUACAUGGAAAAGGCCAUUUUGUUCUAAUAGUGGUAUAGUACAGCACUUUGUCUUCCAUUCUUUGCUUUUCUGGCAAUGCAGUUGUAUUGAAAAAUGACAGUUCUGAAUUUGAUGCUCUUGGAAGGUUUUAGGCACUUUUAUAGGAAAAUUUUGAACCCUUCCUUUAGUAGUUUCUGUCACGUGCCCAUACUUUUGAUGGUUUAUAAAUGUUGUUUUCCUGUCUACUUCUAGAUGUGUUGUAGUUUGAUUGGUUUUACACCGUAACCCAGCCUUUAAUGGAAACCAAAAACUUCUAAGGCUUUUUAAGUGAAUUGCGUACAGUUCUGACAACCUGUUAGUAUAGUUUUCAUUUAUUAUUUCUAGUGGCCAAGUCCAGUAUUUUCAUACUGAUAUAUUUAGUAUAAUUUCAAUUUCAAUGAAGCAAUAGGUGUGGAGUCUUAAUAUGGAUGUGGAUUCAUGUAAUGGCUUUCAUUUGCUAACUAAUGUUUGUAUUCUUUCUCUUUACCACUUCCUAUGCUCAAGGUGAUCUGGUUGAUGCUGUUGUUCCUUUUAUGGGGGAAUCAAUAUCCGAUGGCACAUUGGCAACGUUCUUGAAGAGUAUGCUUCCCUUAAAUCGAUAUUCCAAUUAUGCCUUUAUUAAAGACAGUUUUGGUUCUCAAUUUCAUUACUGCCCUCAAUGUAUUUCUGGUUUUGCUUUCUCGGUUCCUCUGAUGGAUCAUACAAUUUUUUUCCCCAGAACCUGGUGACAGAGUAGAAGUUGAUGAGCCUAUUGCUCAGAUUGAAACAGACAAGGUACUUUCCAUAGUUCAGUUCUUACUUGUUGCUUUAAAAUGUUUGCAGUUUUAAAUGGAGUGAAUGUUUCAAUUUUCUUUGUUUCCAUUAGGUGACAAUUGAUGUUGCUAGUCCUGAAGCAGGCGUAAUCCAAAAGGUAAACAAUCAAGGGUUUUGGAAUAGUUAAUUGUGGUUCAUUAUUUUUUUUAAAUUUUUAUUUUUAUGCUUUCUUGCUUCUUUCCGAAUUGCUUAAUCCUGAUACUUUAUGUGAUUUGCAAUAGUUCAUAGCCAAGGAAGGGGAUACUGUAGAACCUGGCACUAAAAUUGCUGUGAUUUCAAAAUCUGGUGAUGGUGUAACUCACGUUGCUCCGUCUGAGAAGCCCGCCGAAAAAGCUACUCCUGAGAAAAAGGUGGAGCAACCAAAACAGAAAGUUGAAUCUGCUGCUGCAGAAGUAAAGAAAGCUGAGAAGCCAAAAACUGAAGCCAAGGCUUCUCCACCUCCUCCUAAAGUAACUGCCACAGAACCCAGCUUCCCCAAAAGAAAGGGAAAGACGAGUAAGCCCAUGAUCUUUAUAUCGCACUACAUCUUGAGGUUUAUCUGGAUUUUAGUGAUCUUACAAUAUGUUUUCGACAUUCUUUUUCCUCCUAUAAUGCAUUUGAAUGUGUCCUUGUAACAGGUUCCUAUGACAAGGCUCAGAAAACGAGUUGCCACACGCUUGAAAGAUUCUCAAAACACUUUUGCAUUGUUGACAACUUUCAAUGAAGUUGAUAUGUAAGCUUAGUUACAUUUCAUAGAAUUUAAGAAGACCAGUAUGUUUGAGAAUGGUGAAAUAUGCCAAAGGCUUAUUCCUAUAAGUUUGGCUUUUUUUUUUUCAAAAGAACUUCUAGACGAUCUUUAGUGGGUUGAUUCUUUAAAAUCCUGAGUUUACCAUCCUAAAAAAUAUCCAUUUUUGGGUGCAAGCUUCACAUGUACCAUUCUAUUUCCAUACUUGGUUCUGUUUAAUUGUUGCUUUUUGCAGGACUAAUCUGAUGAAACUUCGUUCCGAUUACAAGGAUGCCUUUGUUGAAAAGCACGGUGUGAAGCUAGGUCUUAUGUCUGGGUUUGUAAAAGUAUGUAACCAAUCAUGAAGUAUGUUUUGUUAUUUUCUCUGCGGCCAGUCUCCUUUUUUUUGAAAUCCUGUCUCCUUCCAUGCCCUCUUUCAGGCUGCUGUUAGCGGACUCCAGAAUCAGCCCAUAAUAAAUGCUGUCAUUGAUGGUGAUGAUAUCAUUUAUAGAGACUAUAUAGACAUCAGUAUAGCUGUUGGCACGCCAAAGGUAAUCUGAGACAUUCUGCUUGCAAGAAAUAGUAUAAAUUUCUAAUAGACUGAGAUAGAACCAAAGAAGCUUGAACUACUUGAACUUAUACUUUUAUCUGCUUAAGAAGAAUGCUACUGUUGAUCAAACUUGAGUAUGCAUGUAAGUUGGAUGGCUAGUUAUCAUGUGUUAGCAGCUUUUUGCUUCUGCAUGUCGAGAUCUCCAAUAAAUUGUGUUAUUUUGACACUUAUCGUUGUGAGUGGUUCCCCUCUUACCUGUGGAUUGCUUUGUUUAACGAUCAUAUUUAAAAUUUAAUAUAAUCAGACAUGUUUAGGUAAUAUCUGUAUCGCUGAUUCCCACAUAACAACUGUCUGUGUAUUUUCAUUGAUUUACCGACUUGUAAGGUGUGGGAUACAAAAUAUGCACCUAAUAUGAAAUUGUAACCUUUUGACGGUCUGUAUUCAUGAUUUAGGGCCUUGUCGUUCCUGUUAUCCGCAAUGCUGAUAAGAUGAACUUUGCUGAGAUUGAGAAGGAGAUCAACACGUUGGCUAAGAAGGCAAGUGAUGGAAGUAUAUCAAUCGAUGAGAUGGCAGGAGGGUCAUUCACAAUAUCCAAUGGUGGUGUUUAUGGAAGCCUCUUGAGCACUCCAAUAAUCAAUCCCCUCAGGUGUGGCUCUUUGAAAGUCAUUGUUUGAUUGCGUGCUAUUUUCUUUGUCGCUAUCAACAAUAAAAUUUGCAAUUCGUUUGUGCCAUUUUCCAGUCGGCAAUUCUGGGUAUGCACUCAAUAGUCAACCGUCGAUGGUUGUUGGAGGUAACAUAGUUCCCAGACCUAUGAUGUAUGUUGCACUGACCUAUGACCACAGGCUGAUUGAUGGGAGAGAGGCAGUGCUCUUUUUGAGGAGAAUCAAAGAUGUGGUUGAAGAUCCACGUCGCUUGCUCCUUGAUGUAUGAAGAAUUGGUCAUUUGGGGGUUUGAUUUUAUAGAUAUUCUUAAUAUACUGCAGUUAAAAGCACACUUCGGCUAAACGAAUAAAUGUUUAGCACUUCAGUUGCGGCCAGCCACGUUUUAAUUUCAAAUGAGAAGGUUUUUUUUAGACGCUAGUUUAAGUGUGCUAAACUUGUGUUUAGUGCUUUUUAUUUUGGGCAUGAUGGAAUUUGUUGGAAUUUGUGCUAAACUUGAAGAUCCCUUAGUUGGCAGCAUUAUUUCUCAGUUUCAAAAGUUAUUGGAUAAUAAUCUCAAUGAAGCGAGUUCGCCUGUAGUUUUAACCCAUAUGUUUUAACUCUGCUCCUGGAUUUUUGUGGUGUCUUGAUGCAUGAACAUGAAAGAGGACCUGGAGGAAUUCAGUUUAAGAACUUACAGAGUAGUAGAUAUAAUCAUAGCUUGUAUCCCAAUGCAAGAUGCGAAAAGUAGAAGCACAAAAUCGAAAACCACCAUGUUGCUCAUUAUACAAGAUUUUACUUAAAGUUAUACAUAGAUGAUAAUGAAGUCAAAAAGUCGAAUUGGAACACAAACUUUGCGUACGGGUUUAGGGGCAUUUUGCCGAGUUACAUGAGUUGGGUAAUUCCCAUGCUAGCGCAUAUAAAAUUACCGCAUCUCCAGCUGGUAUGGCAUAAUCCAGCUAAAUUCUAACCUCAAUCCCUGCUUCGCAUAGAUGCUCUUUAACAGACUGAAUAGACACCUGAAAAUGAAUAUGUUCAUACCGAGACUUUAUCCAAUAAUUUGUAUACAGAAAAAGGAUCUGAAGAAAUUUCUCAAAAUGCAUGAUAGAAAUUUAGAACAGUCGAAAUCUAUAGAAACCACCGAUAUUAGAAUCCAUGCGUUCAAAAGUUUGUCUAAUAUUUAUUGGUAUCUACAGAAAACAAUGAGUCAAAAUUCAUCCCUGAUGCAUCAGAGAUUGUUUCACCAGGUGAUGUAUACGUGUCCAAAUGCAAGAAAUUCUGCUGAUAAUGAGGAAGCAAAUCCAGUUCUCAAGUACCAGUUAAAGAAACCAAAGGAAAAAAGCAAGAGUACAAGGUGGACUUCGCACAUCUUUUACAAAAUUAAUACCUCUUUUCUGUGGAAAAUGCCAGCAGCAAGCGCAGCAGAUGCAUUUGUCUGGUUAAAAACUUCUGAAAAGUGUUCUGCUGCUCCAGCCCCUGCUUGCAAUCACUGGGAUGCUAACAGCAUCUGAGAUUAACUUCACCAGAUCUAUAUCGAAUCCUUUCCCUUGACCUAGAAGGGCAUCAUUUGCAUUUGAAAGGCUUUAGAUUCAUCAUUACUAUUAAAUAAAAGAUCAAUGAAAGUUUUGACAUACUCAUAAAACUUGGCAGAGAUGUUAGAAGACGAAUAUUUUUACAGCAAAAGCGUGAAUCAACUAUCCAGGUUUGUUCAAAGUAAAUAGCCUCCCGAUUUAGUCAUUCAAAAUGUUACCACCACUGCUAUAUGCAUUCCCCUGGGAUUUCAUUAACUAAAUAUCCUAUUGUCAGUGGCAUUUGGUAACAGAUUCAUCAUGCAUACCAUACAUUUAAAUGAUUAUUAGUGCCAGUUACUGGCAAUAGAAUCACACUUACCAUCACAGUCAAUACAAUUUAAUAGGAUUUCCCCAGCUCCAAGUUCCUCGAUGGCUUUAGCAAGCUCAUAUGCCCCAAUCGGUCGACCUUCACGACCACCAUUGACCUUAAGGAUAAUAACAAGGUUACUCUAGAAUAUUAAAAACAAUGGAAUUUAAUGCCAUGGGAUGGACCAAUAUGUACAUUGAGUAUGCAAGAAGCACAAAAAAGUUGAUAUAAGAAUGUAGAAAGCUUUAGAUAAGAGAAUCCGCAGAAAUGUAAAACUCACUUCUACCUAAGUCCUCAGCACUCUUCCCCAGUAAAGAUGAAGAAAUGCCAAAAGAAUUUAAGAAUAGCUGCCUUAUAUUUAAUGGACAAAACAGCACUAUAUAGUGAAAGUCGGUUAAAUUUUACAUCAGACCAGUUCCUGAAUUAUAGCCUCAUGAUGCAUCUCAGUACAAGAACCUACUACUAUUUUCACAUGCAAUCCAAUAGCAAAUGUCAACAAUUACUGCUGCUGAAUGCAACUCUCUAUCCUUCGAUUGUUUUAUAGCUGACGACAUGAUGAAGGUCUACAAGUUAUAUGAUUACUUACCGUGCAUUGAUACCAGGCAUAUUUUUCUCCAUUUGGACCUGAAAGUAAUCAGUAUGUCAAUCAAUAAGCCCCCAACAAGGCAAAAAACCAUUUCUUUACUUUCUAGUCUAUUUUAAAUGAGAAAACCUGUACCACACACAUGAAGUGUCUCUGCGUUCACCAGCUCAAGUCAUGUGGCAACCAAAAAUGGUUUUUUCAUCCUCUAUUUCCCACUCCCCACCCUCCCCCCCCCCCACAAAACCUCAGGGGUCUCUGCACUGCCAAAAGGUUAAAGAAACAAAGGAAAAUUUUAAACUGGAAAAUUCUCCUCGAAAGAUCCUGCUGAAUGAAGGGUAGCUUUGGUAUAUAUGAUCAACGUCACACUUGCAUUCUUGGAAUCUCCCCGAGUCAAAAUUUGCUAUUUUCGUCAAUUUUAGUCACAUAUUAUGUUCCACAUUGUCCAACCAGGAGUCUUUUACACAAUAAGAAGAUCAUAAAAUAAAUACCCAGAAGGAACCUACAGGAUAAUAUCACUGCAACUGCAAUGAGAUAUCCUACCUGGGUUUCUAACUGGGAUGGUCUUGAAUUUCACAGUAUCUGGAUCCUUCACGUAGACCCUCCGAGGAUCAAUGCUAACAACCACAGCCUACAAGAUCAACAUUAAAUGAAGCAAGUAAUCAGACCAUACAAGUACCCAUAAAUUGAAAACAAGACAUAUAAACGACAUAUUAACAGGAGAGAAUCAAGGAACUGCUAGCUAUUACUUUUGGCAUAGAGGAAAAUACAAUGAUAAAAGUUGAAAAAAGCUCAGAAAACAACAUUUGGAUGAACCUAUUAUGCAAUUUAGAGUGACAGAGAAAAUGAAAUCAAAAGUGACUACAAAAGCAAAGAGAUAUUGUAUUGCAACAAAACAAACAACCGUUCAACCUAAUGUAGCAUAGAAAGAGGUUGGCCAUCAGCAAGUUUCUGUACAACCUGUUCGAAGAAGUGCUUCUUCUCUACUACAUGAUAAUUUGUAAUGCCGAUGUUUUGAUAUGAAUAGCUAUGGUUUGAAAAAGAAAACGCUGGAACAUAUCACUAUCGUCUACACAGGACAAGCACAAAACGAACAAUCCUCAAAAUGAAUAGUCAAUCUUGAUUCUCCAGUCAAUAUUCUAAUAUAAGCACAUUUUUGUGCAAUGGGACAUAAUAUAGAACAUGUGUGAUGAAUUUACCUGAUUACCAUAAACCCAUGAGAUCUGCUCUAGACUGCUCUUCCCAGUUUUUUCCUUGAGAAAGCGGUUCAAGAAAUGUUGUUAGCAAAAUAAAAGACGUAAGGAAAAAAAAAAGAAUUAAUAAGCAGGUAUAUUAUUUGCAACAUGCUGCAAGUAUCACAUACUCCAGUUUUCAGAAAUUCUUCGGCAGCAUAAACUGCAUCACUUCCAAUUGAAACCUUAUCUGCCCCUGAUCUAAAAUAUUCUGAAGCAACCUCCAAACUGGAAUAGUAUCUGAGGAAUGAGAAGCCAGAGUGUUAAGUCUUUCAACCUCAGAAAUCACCUGCUACUCUCCUGAAGCAUGUGCAAGCACUAGAGCAGUACAAGGAAAUCAAGUACUAAAGUGUAAUGACUCCCCUCCCUUCUUCUAAAGAGGUGUAAAACAAUUGGCUACAACUAUAUGUUUUACCUUCCAUUUCCAUCAGUAAAAUCACGAAUGCCUCCACCAACUGUUAGUGGUACAAAAACAUUCUCUGAUGUAUAUCUCAGUACCUACAACACAAAAAAAAAAGAUAACGGGAUAUGAUAAGUUUAAGAUAGAGGAGAAUGGAAAGUAAAAAUGAUGACACACUGAUAUUUAAAUCAGUUGCAUACAUACCUGCAACAUUGGCAAAUCGCCAAGAGGGAAGUCACGGAAACCUGUAAUGUUUAAAAAGCUAACCUGAAAUACAGAAAAUUUAAUUAGCUUAUGGCGCACAUGAAUAACGCAAAGCUGUAGUGCUCUUAGAAUUAAUACAUACCUCAUCAGCUCCAUCUUUGUAAUACUGCCCAGCAAGUUCUACCGGCUUUCCAAGAUUUCGCACCUUUAAGAAUGAUAAAGAUACAAUAAAUUUAACAUUUUGCUCUCUAUCUUUACUGAUAGCUUUUAUCUCCGAUUCAAGAUUCUGAUAUGGUCAAGUAAAAUAGCAAGACCACCAUUAUGUCUGUAAAGCGAAGAAAUUUACGAAAUGCAAAUAUUGCAUAGCCUGACCUCAUUGUCCUCUGUGUGCUCUCUUACAUCAUAUUGGUCACCUUUGGUCACAACGAGAUCACCUUUGUCAUUAGUCCUCACAUCAAGGCAUGCAAUAACCUGAAAGUUGGAAAACCAAUCAUAGAAAGUAUCCCCUCAUAGCUAGAUCACAAAAAUCAAAUAAAUAUAACCUCAAUGAAUAAAGGAUAAAAAAGUGACAUGAACAAUUGGAUCAAGUCCUCACCCUCUUUGCAAGUUUAGAGGCCUUCCCUUGGACUGGCUUCUGCCUUCACAUGAAGCUUUCAGGUCUUAGAUGCCUUUGGCAAAACAUUUGAGAGUCACACAACAAUUUAGAGGGGAGAUCGGUACCUUUGUCAACUCGUUAUUUGGAUAUAAGAACCUUCUCAGGAUGGAAAGGCCAACAGCUGGAUUAUUUUUAAGAACAAAAUGACAAUUAAGAGAUUUUUUCUACAAUUCAUGAUGGUAAUCAUGCUACUUGAGUGCUCAAGCAAAAGCAGCAAAAAUAGGCAGGAGAUUCUAGAUUCAUGACAAUAACUGCAAGUGCAGAAUAGGAAACAACAAAAACAAGGGUAGACAGGAUAAUUCAACUUCAUUACGAGAGACAUCUUUCAAAGAUUGUAAAACAGAAAAACUAAAAAAAAAAAAAGACAAAAUCAAUAAAAAAAAGAAAGAAAUGAGCAAAAACUUCUUUCCACUUGAUUACAUGAUAAUAAUUAUUAUCAUAUCCAAUCAUACCUCCACUCUUCUCUGGGUGAAAUUGGACAGCAUGAACAUUUCCUCUUUUUACUGAUGCAAUGAACUUGUCGCCAUAAUUGCAGGUAGAAGAUAUCCAAUCUUUGUUAUCAUCUGACUAAAAGAGUAAAAGAAGCAAAACAUUACGGCCAGAGACCUUGAAUAAAAAAAAAAAAACAAUGAUGUGUGACAAUGAAAUGAGAAAAUGCUGCAAAAGGCAGAUGUGAAUUGCACUGGCAAAUAGGAUACCAUACCGGCAUUGCACGGUAAGAAUGCACAAAAUACACAUGUCGAUUUCCUAUAUCAUCCAAAAUGUCAGAGUCUUCUGUUAUUUGAAGAGCAUUCCAGCCAAUAUGAGGUACGCUAUAACCUUUUGAUGAGUCAAAUCUUCCAACUAUGCCAGGAAUCAAGCCAAGGCCUUUCACUAAGAGAGAUGAGCAAUUGUCAGGUCAUCCACAAAGCAACAGAUCCAUUAUUUGUGACGAGAGAAUAUUUAAGCUACAACAGCAAGUCUUGUGGUCUGACAUUUAACCUGAAUGGUUCACCACCUCCAGAGCACGAAUCAUACAAAUUGCAAAAUACACCAUUACUAGCACCUAAAAUAGCAUGAGGCUAAAAAUGUUGAAACAUGUAAACUCACAUAUAAUUAUAUGACUACACAACUCAAUUCACAAGUGUAUUUUCAGGCUGAGGUUCAUCACAUCCCACCUCCAAAUCUGGAAGAACUCAACUAAAAUAUGUUUUCUAUUUUAGCUGGGAUAAACUUGAUGAAUCCUUUUCCUUCACCCGCAAAGUCACAACUAAGCUUGAGAUUUACAUUUUGAAACACUUGAUUGAUUCUUAAGCUCAAAAAAAGCUGUUAUCUGCCUUACCCGGUCCAUUCUCCUCACUUGACUCAAAGAGUAGCUGAAGUCCAAGACAAAUGCCUAAGAAUGGGCGAUCUUGCUCAAUGUAACUGCAAAGAGCCUCAGCCAUCCUACAGAAGAAUGCACUCCUUGAGUUCUGAAACUAGUUUGAUUGACUAACACAAAGGAAUCCACAUUUGUGAAACCAAAAAAAUAUGGUAGAAGUGUGUUAUAUUUCUGGAUGUGUAUAUGUGGAGAUACAGAAGAAGAAACAGACAGAGACACAGGUCCAGACAAACACAAAUAGAAGUUUAUUAUAGAUUGCCACUUUUGCUUCAAAGUUAUCUUUCUUUCUAGUCAACUCAGUCCACGAUUUUUGUCCGACUUCAUAUAAUUGCAGUAUAGAGGACUUGAUUGCUUAAUAGUGCUAUAUAUAUAAAUUAAUAUAAUUGCAGUAUUCGGGACUUUUUUUAAUAAGUUCCUUCAAUUUACUGAUGUCCAGGAACUACAACAUCCAAGAUGGACUUUGUUAUCUUUAAAUCUCAAUUGUUUUUCACUUCUAUCCAAAACAUUUGGAACAGAUCAUUUAGGGAGUAAAAAAGGUGUGUUCCACUGGAUCAGAAAAAAAAAUGUAGAUAUUAGUUUUCUUAAAUGAUGAACAUUAUUAAGCAUUAUCUACGGACAAAAUUGAUGUAGUAAGAUUGACAUUUCACAGGACAAAUGCAGAACUGGAUAAAGAGUUACCCUCUCUGGUUCAACACAUCCAUGGCAGCAGCAAAUGCACCUACACCAGGAAAUAUAAGGCGUCUUGCAUUCAUGAUGUCCUCUGGAGUCUGAACCUAAAAGUUUUCCGGACAGAGUUUGAAAUUAAUAGAAGCACAAUUCUCAACACAGACUCAAAUGAUUAAUUUUUGUCUAGUCUCUAGGAUCCCCAGUUCAUUUUCAGAAACAAUUUUGCUUAUAGCUUGUUGAAUGAAUCUAUGCCUACCCUCCCUUUUCUCUCCUCGAAAACCACCUAGUCCACCCCCACACCUACCCCGAAUUCCCACCCCUGGAAUCAAAAAAGAAGAAAGAAUGAAGGCCACUUAUUUUAGACUUAAGAAGUCGCAUUUUAAGUAGAAUAUUUAGGCACAGUAUAUAACUUCGACAGAUAAAGUUCUCCAUGAAGCUUCAGAAUCUAAUUUUCUACCGUAGAUAAAGUAAAUCACUAGAUAAUUAACAGUUACAUACUUCCUCGAUCAUCUCACUUUCUAGACCUCAAAAACGAAAAGGAAAAAAGAAACACACACACACCAACAAUCCUUUCCCUGUGACUGGUCAACUUAGCAAUUCAAUGUCAUCAGAACGGCUUCAAAAAAAAAAAAAAAAAAUCUCAAAUUUCAAAUCUUGUAAAUCAAAAAGAGCCAGCGAUAUAUCUAUUGAUUUCUUAGUAAAUAACGUCAAUAAACCAAUAUUCGUCGGUAAUCAGAAGCUGAAACAAAGUUGAUAACCUAAAAGCAGAAGUCCUAACGAGUCUUAUUUAUAGCUUAUUGUUUACAUUGUUUUUACUUUAAAAAAUUUGAGAAAACAAGGAAAUGAAAUUAAGUUUCAUUCACCAAGAUAAUAACUAAGUCGGAAAAAUCAUAACAGCAGCAUGGUGUUGAAAAACCAUCUUUAAUAUUAAAGCCGAGGUAGCGAAUUGCAUUUCUCACGCUCCGGACAUUCCCGGCACCGUAAUCAAGCAGAGUGACCACUGAAAUAUUGAAUAGACGAAUGUUAAAUUCAAAACCGACAAUAUCACCUAUUUAAAUUCAAACAAUUCCACAUCGAGUAAUAAUGCCAUAUACAGUUAAAACGCCAUACAUAUACACACAGAGAGAGAGAGAGAGAGAGCGUGACAUUACCUCCGUCGCCGGAAGCGGAGGCGCGGACGGAGCAGCUUCUGGAAGUUUCAAAUUUGAGAGGUUCUCCGGCAGGCUUAGAGCGUAGAAAAUGGAGAGAGCAAGAAGCAGAGGGAAUGGGAAAAGAGACGACGAAUUUGAACGAGAUUUUAGCGUUAGCAUCCGCGAAGUAGCUGAAGCAAAAGUCGCCGCCUCCAUGGCUCCUUUGUCACUGCAGUUUCAGAGUUGAAUGGAGUGUUGUAACAGUAGAGCACUCAAAUGCCUCAGCGGUCGUUUACAUUUCCUAUUACCUUUCCAAAACUUGCGUAUUUAUACUUGUCUUUUGGUUCGGUUGAUAAAGGAUCGUGGGCGCCAUUAGAAUCUUUGAGUUCAAUGCUACUAUGGACUUCUAUCAACGCCCAAUGAAGUCCAAAAGCAUAGUGGGCUAAUUUAUUUCAUUUGCAGGCCAGCUAUAGAUAUCACGGAUUGGUGAUGGAGUUAAUGGAUGUAUUCCCAAUAACAUGUGUAUUGUGGAAGCCAUUUUUUUUUUUUUUUUUUUUGGAAACAUUGUGGAAGCCAUUUUGAGGGUGAAGAGGUGCGGGAGACCAUUUGAGUCAUAAUGUGUUGUCGACUACAAGGAAAUCGCACUUCUGUAUUUCGCUAAUUUUUAAAAUUCUGGGAACGUAAAAGUGAACGAAACGGGUGAAAGCUCUUCCGAAAGGUCACAUUCUAAUUGUAGUUUUUCGCCUAAGGAUUUGUUUGGAAGGUUGUUUUUUUACAAUUUUAUUUUUAAUUACUUUUUUAUUUCACAUACAUUACAACAAAUUAUCCCUUAAACAUGCAACUUAUCCCUUAAACGUGCAACAGCCUUUUCCUAUCCAAGAACGCGUUCGCUAAAAUAUGCAGCAAUGCCAAUCUUUAGCAUAUGCAUCUUGUUUUGCUUAGGAAACACUUGAAAACAGGCAAACGAGCUCAGGAAUACAUAAGGGAAAAACGAAAAUUUUGAAUUUCAACCCAUUGCUCAAAUCGGUGACAAUAUAUUGUCAAAACCUGUGGUAAAUUACGAGUGUACAGCUUUCUGUUUCAUAGAGAGAAGAAGACACGGCUACUUUUGUCCAUGUCUCUUACUUCCCCCGUCCUCCUCUAUUUUUCCCGUUGUUCGAUCAAUGCUGAAAGCACUUUUACCUAGUUGUCAUCAGCAUUGCCCGUAUCUUGGCCCUGAGAUCAUCAGAGAUUUGGGUUGUCUCAGAGGGUUGAGAAGAGCCCUCGAAUAUGUACUUGCCAUGUCUACAGAAGUUUCACGGCUAUGAUGACCACCCGCAACCCUAGAAUGAUCAGAGAAUUUAGGACUGAUCUCGCCUUCCUCCAAUUCAUCUUUUUCUGAGUAAGAUCUCUUUCUAUCUCCAACAUAUCUAUCAUAAUGCUCAUUCUCGGGACUAGAAGAGCAGUCACGCUUUUUUAGUUGAAUGUCUCCAUCCUCAGAUGAAUAAACUUUCUGGCGCUUAGGACUGCCUCCACUUCGAUGUGAAGAACGAUAAGACUGGUGCUUCUUUCUACAGUGCUUGUGAUCCUUUUUAUCCUCUUUUUCAUGUGAAGAUCGACGAGAUGAAUGCUUCUUGCUCGACUGUUUAUGAUAACUUGUAUCAGUAUCUUUUUCUCCAUCAUCAUCUUCAUGAGAAGAACGAUGAGAUCGGUGCCUCUUUCUGGAUCGCCUAUGCGACUUUUCCUUCUUGUAAUCGUCAUCAUAAUCCUUUUCACGGGAAGAAUGAUGCGAGUGAUGCUUCUUUCUGGAGUGCUUGUGAUUCUUUCUCUCUUCAUCUUGUCCUCCUUCAUGCUCCUCCUUAGAGUUAUCCUGUUCCAAUUCUUCCUCAUCAUUAUUUUCAUCAUCAUUUUCUUCACAUCUCUCAGGUCUUGAUCGGUAAUUCCUCUUUGAUCUCCGUUCAUCACUCAAACUGUUUCUCUCAGGAUUUUCAUUUUUCUCCAACAUAAUAAUAUCUGUAGGGGCUGAGCUGCAUUCUCUUUCUUUAAUACCAUCAUUAACUUCAGCAGGGGAUCCUGAAACCCCUGGUUCCGAAGGUUCUACUGACAAAGCACGCAAGGCCUCAGUUUUUGAGGGCACAGCUCCACUUUUUAACAUGGCCACAAACAUCUUUGCCCUUUUCAGUCUUUCAGCUUUCAGCUUCUGCUCUCUGGUCAAGUGUGCUUCAGAGUCAGCCCCACCGCUAGUUUCAAAAACGGCAGCUUUUUCCUCUGCCUUAUAGCCCAAAGAAUUGGACCCAAAGCCUGAGGCCUGUCCAACGUCCUUGUCAUGGCCCCACUGUUAUCACUGCGAGCUGUGCUCGAACUGACGCUAUUUGGAAUUCUGAAGCCCCUUGUGGCAGCCUGAAGAAUAGCUGCAGCAGCUUCUGCAUCUAAACUUACUCCACAGUCUUGCUGGGUUGCUUUAGAAGGUGGGUCCUGUAGAUCCUUUCUUGAUUUACCAAUUAUCAUUUUAAAUUUCUCUUUCCUGUCAGAUUCAUCUGGAAUAUCAGAACAAAGAUAGUUGGACGACAUAUACUCAUUCUUGUCUAGGCCAAGUCUUGCUGAAUCAUCCUCCCCAUAGGUGUUCUUGGCACUCACUUUUGACUGCAAAAAAGUAAAGGAAAGUCAGCAAAGAAAUGGAGUCAAAUAAGUGGCUGUAUACAUAAUCUAUCAGAGGAAACAAAUACGACGCAUGUUCGAUAUGAGAAUAAGAAAUACAUUCCAAAACUGACAAACAAUGGGUAUAGCAGGUAUAUAGAGAGAGAGAGAGAGCCCAAAUUUGAAGGUAUACAAUGUCAAAUAGAACACCACCCAUAUACAUUCACAAACAGCACCAUAGACAAAGGUAAAGGGCACACCUCCUGAGCUUUUUGGAGGCUUUUUAGGUAGUAUGGAUGAUACUGGUCAGACAGCACAAGAAACGGGAACCUCCCCUGUUUACUGUCCUGCUCACGGAGUGCAGCCUCAAACUGCUUUCCAUUCUUCAGAACAAAAUCAACAACCUUGUCAAUCAAUCUCUUCAGAUCAGAAGGAGGCUCUAAAAAUAAAGGUUCCUUUAACUUCUCCGAAGAAGCCAAAUAUGAGCCUGAGACAUGAUCCUUUUUAACAUUAGUUGUUCUUCCAGGCUUAGAUGCUGCAAUUGAAGGAUUUUUCUUCAGAGCAGAAAGCUUGUCAUUAGUAUGAACUGGACGCUUUGCAAGAGGUUCCUUUUUCUCAGGCGCAUUUGAACUAGAAUCUGUCUUUUCUGAACCAUGAGAAACAACUGAACUGGUUGUAUUCAUGACUUUGUCUGGAACAGCAUUUCCAGUUUCGUUUGCAUCCUCCUCAUCCUCUCCAGACCCAUAUACAGAACCUAGCAAAGACAAAGCGCCUCCAACACCCGCCUUAUUCUGGUUAGUAUCAGCAGUUUCAUCUAAAGAUUGAGUUUUGCCAUCACUAUCUGACUGCAAUAAUUCUUGGUGAUCGACAAGAAACGUGAAGUAUGCGUGAAGAUUAUGGUCAGGCAUCAAAGAACCCAAAUGUUGAUUGUCCCUUGUUUCACCCUCAAUACAAUUUCUGACUGCCCACCAUGUUUGCUGACAAAUUUAGCAGUCCUUGCAAUAAUCUGAUGUACUUUCUCUGAUGGAGGCUGGAAAAACAGGCAAAGCAAGAAAAUCACCAAAGGUCUGUCAGAAUUUGAAAUUCAAAAUUGCAAAUCCAAAGCAUAGUAGCUUAAAAUCUCACAUUCCAAAGAUACAUCAAAAUAGUCUGACAUAACAAGUAUUUUAAUAACAUAUACCCACAUUGAAAAGCUGUACGAAAUAUUUCUUAUGCAGUUGCCUUCAAGAAGUAAAUGCUACUCCGUACAAUGAAAAUAUGUACAAUCCUAAUCCACCUGCACUGCAACUUGGUCAUGACAUCAAAACGACACAAGGUUCCAGUGAAUGGCAACCUUAGAUCACAAUAACUCCAUUCCUGCUCCGAGCAUCUGAAAACUUAGACAGGGUGAGCCUUAGAAUAGCAUGCACAUUACUGGGGUUACUAUUGGCCACAUUUGCAGUCAAGUUAGAGCAAGUAAAUAAACAACCCUGAAAAUCAAAUGGAAAUGUCCAAUGAAACAUGUUCACGAUAAUGAACUUACCAAGCUAUGAAGAAGGCUCUCAGGCACAGGGAACGGAGGAAAGAAUUUAGCACAUUCUAGCCCCCAUCUGCGUCAUUCUGGUCAGCUGAGCCAUUGGUGUUUCAUAAGAAAAGGCCACAGCACGAUAACCCCCAGCAUCCCCAGGCUUUUCAGCCUCUUCUGCUUCUAGGCAAAACAGAUAUUAGAAUUACCCAAGUCAGUAUGUUCAUAAAAAAAAAUGAAAAAAUCAAUAUGCAAAUCCAUAAGAACUAUCCUAACGGGGCUCUAAGAAAAGGAAAUUCACCAUAGAUAAGUCAAAUUUUAACUUUUUCACAAUUUGUGGACCUCAAUUAAGUAAAGCAGCACAAAAUUUUACGAAAUCUAAAAAGAAAAAUGUUAAAAGUGGAAAAGGAGAACAAAAAUUAUCUUACCUGGUUCAUCGGAAGGGGGAGGAAGGUCGAGGUAGCGUUCGUGAUCGAGCUCAGAAUUAUGUGACGAUUCGAUGAGAUGAGGAGAAGUUUGAGGAUUGCGCCGCCUGCGGGAGGCAGUGGACCGGAGAGGAGGUGGCGGACGUCGUAGCGGUCGAUUAGUAGGGAAUUCCACUCGACGAGUGCGUCACCGGAGUUCACAAACGACGCCAUGGCAUCGUCGUCGAACAGCAGGGCAUGGCGCCCACCACCUCUAGAUCCAUCAUCGUCUAUAGCAAUUUAUCGGGAUCCAAUUGAAAUGAAACCCUAGCUUACAAGUUAUAUUUAAUGCUACUGUCAGGGAUUAGGAUUUUGUAUUGCAAUAUUACUGUCUAUUGGCUGUAUGUACGUAAUUUUGAUGAUUGCGGGAGGUGGCCGGUUUGUUACCUAGUUUAGCGGUUUUGGGCUUAUAAAUGGCCUAUAAAUUGUUCACUUGCGGAAAACAUGCUCUUGGGCUUUAUGGGUUUUUGAAUGACUUCCAUGCACUUGGGCCAUUCUCAUUGCAAAUUGACGUACAUUAGUAAUUUUAAUCUUCCAAGUCAUUGCAAAUUCAGCAAAUCAUGCAACACAAGGUUAAAACUUCUAGAGUUUGUUUGAUGUUUUUUCCGUGUGGCUCAUAUGAAAUAAGCUCAAGUUGAUACAGACGACUUGGCCAUUAUCUCCUAUAUUGAAAGAUUAUUUUUUUUCGUUUGGAAGGGAUUCUACGCCUUAGUGCCUUACAAAGGGAAGAGGAGAAAUGAGAGAGCUUGGGAGCUAAGCUAAAAACCUGAUGAUUACCUAGUCAAUAUCCUUCUUAAUUGAGUUGGGUCUUAGAGAUAAAUCUUAAUGAAAGAUGCGGCAUCUCUCUUUGCUCAAAAUUUGAAAAAUUUCAUGCAGGCACAACUAGAAUUUUCCUUUAUACAGUACAUGGAUAUUAGUCCAUACAAGGCACGAAAAUUUUCAGCAUCAAGAAGCCCAUUCUCUAGUUGUGCACCCGUUUUGGUCCGGUGGUAGUUCAAUCCCCUUGGGGUUAUCUCUGGGCCUCCUUAGAUCCGCCCCCUCUCCCUUAGUGUAGAAUAAAUUAGGUUAUACGACAGUUGUCGUCUCCGAAAAAAAAAAAAAAGAAGCCCAUUCUCAAUGGCUCCAAGGCCACCAUGUACAAACCACACCCCCGCCCCAAAAAAAAUAAAAGAAAGGCGAAGUAUUCUGCCCCCAAGGGAUGAAAGACUAGAAAAACAGGGGGAAGAAAGUGCAGAAACAAAUGGAGAUUUUCUUCCCCGAAGUCGAGCAUUUACAGCCAGAACAACCCUUGUAAAUAAAUGUCAUGAGCUAACUACUGCUAAGGCUAUUUCCUUCAGAAAACCUACUGCUAAGGCUACAACAUUCUCUAUACCACGAAACUCUGAUAACUGAAACAAGAACUCACUCUUUCAAUGUGAAAGAGAAAUCUAUGAUUCUGGAAGAUGAUACCUUGUCAUGAAACAGAAGCUAAAGACGUGAAACAAAGAAGCGGCCUUUAAGUAAGUAACUACAACAGGCGGAAGGCGUGGAUUCUGGCAACACGCUUUUAUUAAGUAAGAAGACGUGAGAAACAAAGAAGAUUGAAGGUGGAGGCGUGGGAAACAAAUCACGCCUUUUCUGGGAACAAGCUCAAGCAACGUGAGUUUCUGAGCAAGUGGCUCUCCAACAGAUUUCUGUUAUCCCUCACAUGGAUGAGCUGGAUUGGGAAGCAUCAGAGGAGCGGGCUAUUAGUUAACUCUAUAUAAAAGAUCAGUAGUGGAAAGGAUUAUCAUUUUGUUAGUCAAGUUGUAAGGGAUCAUUCCCUGGUUCUUUCUCUUCUGUUUUCCUAACAGCUUCCAGGUUCCUUUCCUGCAACUUAGCAGCUUCAAUGGUGUCUGCUAAGGUGAGGGGUCUGGUCAUCCUAACCAUACUUACUAUUUCCUCCUUUAAACCACUAAGAAAACACAUUUGUAAUAUGAAUCAGGUUGACCAGGGAGAGAUAACAUUACCAUAGAUUUCAGUUGUUCAAACUUCUCCAGGUACUCAGUGACACUCCCUGUCUGCAUCAGCUUGUUAAAUUCCUCUAUGGCCUCCUCUGGAUCUCCCUCCCCAAACCUUUCACAAACCGCCACUAGUUCUCUCCAUGGAACUGUCCCCUUCUCGUGGUACAUGCCAUGGAACCAGAUGUCUGCCUUCUCCUGGAAAUGGAGUUGAGCAAUGUCUGAUUUCAGGCCUUCCUCCACUUCAUGGAUCUGGAAGUAUUUGUUUGCUCUUCUAACCCACUCUCUGGGUUUAUUUCCAUCAAACGCAGGGAAGUCCAUCCUUGGUAGUCUGGCUCCCCCUUUACUUCCCCUUUCUCAGUUAAAUCUGUGGUAACUGCUAUCCUAGCCUCAUUCCUAGAACUACCCCCUUCUACCUCCUUCCCCUUGUCGUUUAGUUUGGCCAUGAUCUGAGCCAUCAUGUUCAUCAUCCCCUCAUAUUUCUGAUCUAAAUUUUUUAUGGCUCUAUCUGUGCUCUCCUGCCUAUGCUCCAUUGCCCUUACAGACUGUUCUACCCCAUCAUUCUUAUUGGCAAAAGUCCUCACCACACUCCCCAACUCAGUGAGCUCUCCUUUCUCAGAGCUUCCUCCUGAGUUUUAGUCAUGUCCCAAUGGCUUGUAGCUAGCUCUGAUACCACUGUAAUGGUAUCGAACAGUAGCCAGGCAACAGACCAGCUCCCAGUGGCAGGUUUAUGAACAGCACAGAACUAAUUUACCAACAGGAAGAACCAAUAUGAACUGAUGAAUAAUCAAUGAAUUAGUAUUGAUAUUGAUUGAAAUAGAAGAUUACAGAGUUGGCGGAAAUAAGAAAGGAAAUGAAAGAUUGAAGGAAAACAGAAGAGAAAGAACCAGGGAAUGAUCCCUUACAACUUGACUAACAAAAUGAUAAUCCUUUCCACUACUGAUGAUAUACUGAUUUACAGUCCCUCUCUGGAAAGUGCACCUGCAGCAGGUGGCAGAAGUACUAAACAUAUUGCAGGAAAAUCAACUGUAUGCCAAGAGGAGUAAAUGCUCCUUCGCACAAACUGAAGUAGAAUACCUUGGCCACAUUAUCUCAGGAGAAGGAGUAAGGGCAGAUCCAAAGAAAGUGGACAGUAUGAUGAAAUGGCCUAAGCCAGCUUCUGUCAAGGAGCUCAAGGGAUUUCUGGGUUUAACAGGGUAUUACAGAAAAUUUGUCAAGGGAUAUGGAGCUACUGCAAAGCCACUUACCAUAUUGCUAAGAAAAGAUGGCUUCCACUGGAAUACAGAAGCAGAGGAGGCCUUCCAGAAGCUCAAACUGGCAAUGUGCAGCACACCCGUGCUAGCCUUACCUGAUUUCACCAAGCCUUUUGAAGUGGAAACUGAUGCUUGCUAUGGAGGAAUUGGAGCAGUACUGAUGCAGAAUAAAAGGCCAAUCGCAUUCAUGAGCCAAAGCCUGGGUCCCAAGAACCUGGGAAUGUCCAUUUAUGAAAAGGAAUUGUUGGCCUUGGUAACUGCUGUCACUAAAUGGAGGCACUACCUGGAGGGGAGUCAUUUCAUUAUUAAGACUGACCAUCAGAGUCUUAAGUACCUCCUAGACCAAAGAGUCACGACAACACUUCAGCAGAAAUGGCUCACCAAACUGCUAGGACUAAGCUAUGAGAUCCAAUACAGAAAGGGAAAGAAAAUGUAGCAGCAGAUGCUCUAUCCAGGAGGGCAAGCAGAGAAGAAGGAGAUUGUACUGAGCUGACAUGUGUCAUUCCAGAGUGGAUGAAGGAGGUUAUAGGUAGCUACCAAGGGGAUGAAGAAGUACAGAACCUGAUCAGACAGUUAUUGCUCACUCCUAGUAAUCCAUCAGAACACUCUUAUCAGGAUGGAGUGCUCAGAUACAAAGGAAAGAUAGUAGUUGGCUCAAAGGGAGAUGUGAGGAAGAAAAUCAUUGCUGCAAUACAUGGUUCACAACUUGGAGGUCAUUCUGGAAUUCAGGCUAGCUACUUAAGAGCCAAGCAGCUGUUCCACUGGCCAGGGAUGCACAGGGAUAUCAAGGAUACCAUUUUGCAGUGUGACACAUGCAAAAAAUGCAAGGAUGAGCACGUUGCUUAUCCUGGACUCCUGCAACCUCUUCCUAUACCUCAGUACUCAUGGAGUCAUGUCACAAUGGAUUUUGUCGAAGGCCUGCCAAUAUCAGAGAAGAGGGACACUAUUAUGGUAGUGGUGGAUAGACUCACCAAAUCAGCACAUUUCAUCAGCCUUUCACAUCCUUUUGAUGCCCCUACAGUAGCCAGACUCUUUUUGGAUCACAUCUGCAAGCUGCAUGGAAUUCCUUUAAGCAUGCUAUCUGACAGAGACAAGGUGUUCACCAGUCAAUUCUGGACUGAACUCUUCACUUUGUUGGGUACGGAUUUGAAGCUAAGCACAGCCUAUCAUCCCCAAACAGAUGGCCAAUCCGAGAGGGUCAACCAAGUGCUGGAAAUGUACUUAAGAUGUAUGACACAUUUGGAGCCAAGAAGAUGGAAUGCAUGGCUCUCCCUUGCUGAAUGGUGGUAUAACACUACCUACCACACAACUAUUCAGAUGAGUCCAUUCGAGGCAUUGUAUGGAAUGGCUCCUCCUCAACUGGCAGUAGGUCCCUAUUUACACCUUAGAGUAGCAGCAGUGGAGGACCAUCUGAAGGAUCGACAGAGGAUGGAUGGAAUUCUCAAAACCAACUUGCAAGAAGCCCAGAACAGAAUGAAGUUUUAUGCUGACCAAAAUAGAAGUGAAAGAUCAUUCCAGGUAGGGGAUUGGGUCUACUUAAGAUUACAGCCAUAUAGACAAAUGUCUGUGGAGUUGAGGAGCAACACCAAACUGUCAGCUAGAUAUUUUGGCCCUUAUCAAAUAGUUCAGAAAAUAGGAGAGGUAGCAUACAAACUUAAGCUACCUGAUGGAUCCAAGGUACACCCUGUGUUUCAUGUAUCCUUACUAAAGAAAAAGGUAGGAGGAAAUACAACUCCAGUGCUCCAGCUACCAAACUUAGACGAAAAAGGACAUUUGAGGGUGACACCAGCAACAAUUCUGGAUCGCAGAAGCAUCAAGAAGAGAAAUGCAACAACAGUGCAGUGGCUCAUUCACUGGUGGGGAACUACUCCUGCUGAAGCUACUUGGGAAGACGCAGAGAAGAUAAGGAAGGAAUUCCCUGAAUUUCAAUCUUGAGGACAAGAUUGAUUGAAGGAGGAGCAAUUGUCAUGAAACAGAAGCUAAAGACGUGAAACAAAGAAGCGCGCCUUUAAGUAAGUAACUACAACAGGCGGAAGGCGUGGAUUCUGGCAACACGCUUUUAUUAAGUAAGAAGACGUGAGAAACAAAGAAGAUUGAAGGUGGAGGCGUGGGAAACAAAUCACGCCUUUUCUGGGAACAAGCUCAAGCAACGUGAGUUUCUGAGCAAGUGGCUCUCCAACAGAUUUCUGUUAUCCCUCACAUGGAUGAGCUGGAUUGGGAAGCAUCAGAGGAGCGGGCUAUUAGUUAACUCUAUAUAAAGAUAGGAUCAGUAGUGGAAAGGAUUAUCAUUUUGUUAGUCAAGUUGUAAGGGAUCAUUCCCUGGUUCUUUCUCUUCUGUUUUCCUUCAAUCUUUCAUUUCCUUUCUUAUUUCCGCCAACUCUGUAAUCUUCUAUUUUCAAUCAAUAUCAAUACUAAUUCAUUGAUUAUUCAUCAGUUCAUAUUGGUUCUUCCUGUUGGUAAAUUAGUUCUGUGCUGUUCAUAAACCUGCCACUGGGAGCUGGUCUGUUGCCUGGCUACUGUUCGAUACCAUUACAUACCUACAACAAAGACACUAUACAAAACUACACAAACCUUUGCACCAAAAAGUCUAACCAGUCAUGCUUUCUGAAUUCUGCAAAUGUCCAUCCUCCUGACAACAAAGUUGGCACGUAUUUACAAAGUUUUUGGUAGACACCAAAUAUCUAUCAUCAGAACUCAGGCUUAACUCGGCUAUUUCCAACAGUCUGGAGCAGAUUGUGAGUAUGUCUGUGCGUACCUGUCCGAAUAAGCAGAGCAGGCUCAGAAACAUAAAAGAUGAAAGGAAGAACCACUUACAACAAUGAGAUAUCAAAAUAACCAGCAGACAACACCAAAGAGCAACAUGAUUGAAAUUAAACAUGACACUAAUCAGUGUAACUGAAACAACAUUCGUCCACUUAAAAAUCAAAGCAUUGUAUUCUGGCAAUCAAAUUCUUUUCAUGCUAAAAUGUAAUAAGCCCUCGAGCACGAAAAUAGUUAUUAUAUCAACUCAAAUAUUUAUAUAGCCACAGAAGACUUGUGACAAGAGACAUCUCUGAGUUGAGGAAGAUUAAAUGCUAGGGUAAGACAAGAUUCUACCUCAUUUUCUCUCUUCCAAUAAUUUUGAGUUAAAAAGAGAAAAAAAUUGGAACAAGGAAAACAAGAUACUGUACUAAGAGAAUAUUCUUCAGCAACUCUAAUGUUGUACAGAUCCUUGCCCUUUUCUAUCAAUUCCCCCUCAUUACAACUACUGAAGUAACUUAGAAUAUCUCGUAUCAAAUGGUUUGUUUGUCACACAGAAACCAGCAAAUGAUGCUCGACUUACUCUAAAUGAUGAAGCUAUGGAGCUGCAACCUUCAAGUGCAAGAUUUCCACUAGUAGCCUAAAACAAAGAAUAAAGAGUUACAAGAUGAGAAUGGUUGUGAUGGAUCAAAUAACAUCUCCAUGGACUUUCCUUACUAAUUACAAGCAAAAUGGAAGGAAGAAACAACUAGAAAGCAGAGAGGAAGUAUAAAGGGAGGGAAGAUGUCAAGUUACCUGUGAAGGCUCUUGUAAGACAAUAUCCACAAUUUUCUCAAUAAUAGCACGAGAAAAUGACAAAAUUUCUUCUGAACAAGUUGGAUCACCAUAAAUUAACUCAUGAUUGCCUAUUACCUGGUUGUAUAAUAAAUCACUAUUAGCUCAGACCACAGUGUAAAGCAUAUGCAUAUAACACAUAAAUCAAUCAGAUAAAAAGAAGGAACUCGAAUGCAAAAUCAUAUGGGCAUGUUUUGGUGAACUCCAUUAGGUGAUAUCAAGGUUGUGACUUUAAAGACAUAAUUGGAACUGCAGAUUGCAAGUUUUGAGACAUAAUUGGAACUGGCUUUAAUAUUUCAAUCUCAACCCAACUAUUUCUACACAAAUGCAAAACUAAAUAACAAUAGCAGAGCUCAAUUUACAUUUUAAGGUGUUAUCCUCAACCAUUUCAGUUUCAAUUUGACAUGAACAUAGGGCAAAGAGUUACAAAGUUUGAGUAAAGUAACAAAAUACCUUCCCAGGUAUUAAUUGUAAGGGUAUUGCAUUUUGGGAAAAUGCUGCUAAAAUUGAAAUAAGAGCGCACAUCCCCUUGAUCUUUAAUUUUGAGGUCAUCCUGCAAUAAUAGGACAGAGCAGUAAUGAAAUGUCCACACUGUACAUAAGUAUACAAGACAGUUGGAAGCCCUUACCAUGGUUGGGAAUCGAGGAAAGAAAAUAUUUUCUUGGGGCCAUCCAAGAAUCCUUGUUCAACAUUACCUGAAAAAAUAUUAAUAGAACCAAGUAAAAAUACCAAAAAACAUGAGACAAAAUCAGAAGUCUUCUCUGUCUUCCUCUCUCAUCAUUUCAAUAUAUGAAGUGCUCCACUCACAUACUACAAAUUCUUCCAGCUAUUACUGUAAAACAGAAUCAGCUAAUUUCCCUUUAACAUACAUUCACAUAUGUAAACAUUCAGUGGUCAUGGACCUAUCAUUCUAAACAAUGAAGAAAAGUUAGAAAACAAAAUUUUAGAUGAAAACUAACAGGUACAAUAGCUUAAAAUUGUUAGUGUAAAUCAAAAACAUAUUCAAUUUUAACAAGGUAAUCAGCUCAAAAUACUUCCUGUUCUUUGAGAUGUGCAGGUAACAGUGGUAGGAAGAAGGCCCCACCAUGACAUGUGAUGGCAUGGGAGAAAAGCAUGAGAUCUUAAGUCUAAGUAUAGUAGGUGCCUUCCUCCCUCCACCAAAGAGGAUAAGCACUAAAUUUUAGAUGUCACCCCCUUAUUUAAUCACACUCACUGUACUUAUAUUCAGCGACCAUUCAUGCAUUUAGUGGCAUCAACUUGUAAAUACACCAACCAAAUAAAGCAAAAAAAGCCUAGGCAGAUUCAGUAGACAACAAAUAGAUUUCUGUAAGAAGAAAAUUCAUAAGGUAAAUCAAACCUGGGACCACAAUCAUGAGAUUGCAUAGCUUGCAUAUCAAGGAAAGAUUUGCUUCAGUAUCGUUAGUUGUCCGCAAACCUACAAGAAGAGUUGCGCAGAUUUAAAUGGAUAUCUAAUCCUAUAAAAGCAAAAAACAUAUAUCAGGGAAAAAACAUGAUAAACAGAAUAAAUUCCAAAUAUUUGGUAGAUAAGUCUUUAUACCUUAACCAAGUAACUCAGCUAUGCAUUGCACAAACACAAACCACCAAGAAAGAGAGAGAGAAAUGACCAAUGAAAAUAAAUUUCUAUCCUUUUACCGUCUAUAGAUCUAUCAUUUAGAGCUGUCGGGCCAAAUAAGAAAAGACCAAAAAUAGUAAAGGGGAAAAAAAGUAGACUUCCCUGCAAUUAUUUCAAUGAUACAUUCAACCAGUACAAUUAAGAGAAUGAACUAACCAUCCACUAAAUCAAAGUCCUGCAAAUAGCAGAGCGCUGAAUCUAUAAGUCCAUCUGCAUGAGAAACUAAUCCACCCAUCAAAGCAACCUGAUAGAUACAGAAGGCAAUGUACACCAAAUGAUAUAUGCAUCUGCCAAUAAUAUUACCUUAACUAGAAAGAAAGACCCAAAUCAGUACCUCUGCUGUUUCAAGAUAGAGACUGAACCGCCUAAAGCAAUCAGGAAUAGCAGCUAUUGUAACUUCACUAAAUGUUAGGCAAGAUUUGGCAAAAGCGAAAAGAUUACUGCUCUCUUUCAUAAGCUUAAUGGAUAAAAGAUUGCUGGAGUGAACAAGCGUCUCCUGCAAGUCAACCAAGGAAUCUUACAUGUAAUUUCGUAUCUUACAGGCCACUACUUAGACUUGUACCAAGCAAUUCUACAUCAUACACCAAUUACCAAAAAGGGAAUACAUAAUGAACAUAUGCUGUUUCAUAUGCAUUCAAAGAGGAAAAGCACAUAUAAUCAGCACAUAAAGUACACAAACACAAAACUGGUGGCAGAUGCCAUUGGAUUGUCCAGUCCAACCAGUGUAUGUAUAAUUUUGUCUCUGACAGCAUGUUUCCACAAACACAAAAAAUAGAAAAUUAUUAGAGAGAGAGAGAGAGAGAGAGAGGAGAGGACAAAAGAGACAAAUUAAUGAUGAGCGACACUGAGUCCAUCUUAGAUUAGUAGGGAAGACGCAUACAACAAACUUCAGUGUGCUAAUUUUUGCUAGACUUCUGUUCACUGAAUUUCAGGUUGAGCAAAAUGCCAAAUCCAAGCAGUGGAAGUGAAACUAAUCUUUUCCAAACACUCACAUCAUAAACAUAAAUAGCACAAUCUCUUAAUCAUCUUCUUUUCCUUUUUGGCAAACAUAAAUGGAUAGAGAACCUUGAGUUCAAUCAUGUCACCAAAGGCUCCGCGGCAAUCAACCAGAAAUGACAAAUUGCGUUCAAAAUCUCGCCCAUAAUCAACCUGAAAGUGUAAAACAUCUCUAUAUUAAAAUAUAUAAGUGCAGCUGUAUAUUUUUUACUUGGCAGGAGCCUGAGAAGAAUUUAUCCUACCAUGUUCACAAAACGAGAAAUUAGGCGUGCUGAAUGUUGAUUUUCAUCAUUUCUUAUGUUUGAGAAGUCUGUCCCAUCAUGCAACACCUGAGAAACUUCAAACAGAAAAUGAAUGAUAGUUGGAUCGUCAAUGCAAGUGUUCCUGCCACAUAUACAAAAGGUACCGAGUCAGCAGAUUUCCAGAAUAAGAAGCAAUAGUAACACUACUUCGCUUUCUUCUCUCUCAAAUUUUAGAAGAAGACAUUUCCAAAUUGAUCUUGAGGCUUCUUUUCAGAUACAAAAGAAAUAUGAUCAGCUCUGUUUGACAUUAUGUCAAAAUUAGGAUGUAGUAGGUUUUCAACUAAACAAGUGAAUCUCCCAAUCAACCUAUGCCAGCAAACUCCAAAAGUGAAUGUCCCAUUCAACUUGGGCAGUAGUUGGAAACUUUAGUCACCACAUCUUACGCAUGAAGACCAGUAAAUUCUUUUAAGCAGCAAUAAGCACCGGAAGUUACAAAAUUUUAAAAAGUCACCGCAUUAUAUAGCACACAUGGCACCCAUUGACCAGGUGAAGAGGUUAAGUACUUCAGUAUGCUAAGGGCUGGCGAUAUUGCCAGCACAAAAAUUUUUUUGCCAGAGCAAUGCUGACCUGAAUACCUAGACUAUCCCUUUGAAGGAAAACCAGUGCUCAUGGCUCAGCAUCACAUUCUUCUCUCUCUCUCUUACUCUCUCUCCAUUGAAUUCCAACUUCCAUGUCCUCCUUGUCCAUGGUAGCUUUUUGCUGUCUUCCCCUCUACCUCAUCUAUGCCUGAGACUUUUGCACCCAAUCCCUCUAAUUUCUCAGUGGCUCCUUCACCAAGCACCCUCUGGUCUAACCCCUUCACCCCUCAAAGAAAGGUCACUCCAUGUCUCAAACAGGUUACAAUCUCUUAGCCACCUUAUCCCUCCCUUUAAUCCACCUAUUUUCUAGUACUAUAAACUCCCUUUUCCAAUCUCUCUCCUCAAUAUCACUGUCACCCCAAACCAGAACUUUUAAAAGCUCUUUGUCUGAUAUAAUUGAAGAUUAAAAAGUUAGGAGUAGACACCUUCUAAAAACAAAAUUUUGUCAUCAAAUUUUUUGUUUUGUUUCCAGGUGAAAACUGGAGUACCACAGUGGUGUUGUGGUUGUUGGUGGCUCUGUUGAGUGGCUUUUUAACUGCAAUUAGGUGGUUUUAUUAAGCAUAGAAAUUCAAGAAUGGAAUGGGUAAGAAAAGGAGAAGCAGCUUUGUCAGGUCUGCAAAAUUCAGCAAGCUGUUGUUGACUUUUAUAGGGGUAUUUCUAGCAUUUAGAUGAAAAUUACUCUGGCAGGAAAGGUUUUGCUCUGGCAAUAAUGCCAGCCUAUGCUAAACUUUUAAAGAAAAAGAAUCCAACUUACUUUCCCGUGAAACCGAGAGAAUAUUGGUGGCUGGCUUGAAAGAGUGCCCACAACGUUUUGAAGAAAGUUCAAUUUUAAUGUGACUGACAUAAACCAAUACCUUGUUGCCAUUCUAAGGAUGCUAAUGUUGAUGAUGUUCCUUGAGCUUCCGUGCAUCACGUCUAAGAUGUCAACAAAAUGGCUCUGCAAAUUUAUUAUAUCUGAGUCAAUUAUAGAUAUUUAACAAUCCACAGCAACUGUGAAACAGGCAAUCUUACCAAUUAUUUACUAGUUUUUAAUUAGUAGCCACUUCUUAAUCAAAAUCAAAUUGAAGCUGAUGGGCAGAGUGAGGGAGCAGAAGCAGAAGUUUAAUGAGCAAUAUACCAGUGAUAAUAUAUCUUCCAAAUGAUCAAAAUGAGUAACGAGCUUCAAAAGGAAAGACUGCAAGCCUGAUAGAGCAUUCUUAUCAAUCCCUUUAGCACAUAAUCGCUCAAAUAUUUCAUUCAAUAUUGUGUUCAAAUAAAUGUGCUGCAACAUCAAGAAAGACAAGGUCAACUACAGCAAAGUCUCUUCAGUCUGCUUAAAAGGUAAUAUACAUGCUCAAAUUUUUACUUUUAGUGCAAACCUUAAGUUACAGGACAGUGAGUAUUUCAUAUAAUCCACAAUUAGAACACAUGCUUGAAAUUUGUCUUUAAACAUUUGAAUAGUUAUAAACAAUGAGAGGCUCAACAUGUAAAAAAUAAAUAAAUAAUUUGGUGAUGUAAGUGUAUUGGCUCUAUCCAUUAGCCUCCAACAGUUACUUGAUUGGCAUUCCACUUUGGACAUUAGUGUUGGUAUCAGAGCAGGCUCUGGAGGUAAUCUAUGUGUGACAAACUAAGUGCACUAGACUGGUCUCUACCAGGACAUAUACCAUUACAAACUUAGACUUGAGCAUUUAAGACCAGGAAGAGUACAUCACUAGGUUACUUCACAUGUACCUAUAGCACUGUAUGGGAGAUCCUCACACGCUCUAUAUUCAAAUCUUCAAGAUCCAUAAACAUAAGCAAACUUAAAACUAUGGAGCAAAAUAAAUGCACCUCUUGUCAGGCCAUAAGUAAACCAAUUAGAAAUAUAAGCAAGAAAAAUUUUGCAAUGUCAACAUGCUGAACUGCAAUACAGGCAACUUACCAUUUGAUUAUGCAGAACAAUAUCCACAUAAGCAUCUAAAACCUCCAAAUAUUCAUGUAGUCUAUCAUAGCAAGAAAUGACCUGAAGACAUAACAAACAAAUCAUGAACAGUGAACAUUAAGGAAAUUUCUUCAUAAAAAUUUACAAUUUUCAUACAUAACAUGUAAUGAGAUAUUGCUUUGAGAAUACAUCUAGAUUUCUGCACUCAUCCUGAUUGUGGAUAUUUGAAGGUUGGUAAGACUCUAGAUCCCUUCAUGCAUAUCAUUUUGUAGAAUCUAGACACAUCGAAUGAAGUUUCUUCUGCAUCUCUAUACUUUUUUUUCGAAUUGCCAAAAAACCAAUCAAACCUAGUAUGCAAAUUAAAAUUUGAAAGCAGCCUCAGGACUUUUUUAGUUAUAACAGGAACCACAUUAAUGAGUUGAAAUUUCCAAUUUGCCAUGUAAUAUGCUUAACGUCUAAUAAUAACCUUUUCUAGAUGACCUAGGGAGCAAGUUAGCAUGUGAUGCAAAAUAUGAAGUUCUGGUAAAAUGUAAACAAUAAAAAUCAAAAGAAAGUACCUGAAUGACCUUAUCCACUAAAGCAUGGCCUCAUUCACUCGAGAAAUGUUUUCACACAGCCUGAGUCCAAGCAACUUGUAAUUCAAAUACUGCAUUCAAAGUGUGAAAAUUUUGCACUAGGAUAAGUGUCAUAAAUGACAGUAGAGAUAUGUAACUUGAACACUAGAUAUGUAGAAAUUGUGCAAGAAUAAAAUAUUAGCUACCUGAUCAUAUGAAAAAUCAAUAUUGCACUCAAUCAGAUGAAGAAUACUCAUGGCAUUAGCACAGAUUAGUCCAGUAGGGAGCUCCUUUAGUAAAUGAUGAAGAAUAACUGAAAUGCAUGAACAGUCUCCAAAUAAAUGUGACUUGUCCUUUCCAAGUCCAAGCCCCACAAUUACAUCACGAACUUGAACCUUUUAACAUAAGAGUGAUACUCUCGGUCAGAUCAUUGCCAGGACAGUUCAUAAAAAAUUACUACCAAAAAAUGCAAUUUAUUGUUUCCACAUGAGAACAAUAGUAAAUAUACACCAUUCUCUGUAAAACAGUAUUACACAAGAUGACUGACACCUAAUUUCUACUCCCAAAUCCAAGUUGCUCAUUCUAACCAGCAUAUUAAAGCAAUAUUGGUCCUAGUAAUACCAGAAAGAUUUUUAUCCCCCAAAAAUUACUGUAAAACCAGCAAACAAGUAUGCAUAUAUGUAUCAUGCAAUCAUACCUGAUUUAAAUCCUUAAUAUGCAUCUCAUCAUAUACUCAAUAGCAGGUUCCAUGAGGCUCAAAAGCAACCUUCUAUCUGCUAGAGAGAUUAUGCAAGUUGUUUCUUGCAGUGAAAGAAUGCGCAUCAUUACAAAUUUCAAGUCAUUGAUGCCAGUGACAAGGUAUCCUGUUGGAGACCGAAACGCGCAGUUUAAAUUGGGAGAAAUAAAUCAAAGAUGGUAAGAGCCUAAGAGUAAACUUGAUAUACCUCAUCAAACAUAUCUAAUUUCAAAUAGAAACACACAUGGCCAGAAUGAAGCCAAGUCCAGAAAUUUUUUUUAAGAUUGUAAAUUGAUUUGUUCCAAGUUCGGAAAACAAUCCAUAUGAACAGCCAAAGAUAGGCUAAAUAAGUUUUUCAACCUUAAGCAGUCCUAAUUUUUUUCCCUUAAGCUUUAUGCUUUGCCAGAAAAGUUUCCAAGUACAAGGUUCCAAAGGGAAAAUGAAGCAAAAAUUAGCUUCAAGCUUUUCAAUAAGCAGCAUCUAACAUGCUUGGCAAUAAAACUGCAAUUUCGAUAGAUAUCCCAUGGACUUAAGCAGUAAAAUUAACAGGUUUUCUUAUUAUCCUCCAUUAAAGAACCAAGUUGAAGGGAAUUGGCACUGAACACCAAAAAUUUUAGAUGUGCAGAGAUUAAAAAUGAGAACAAUACAUGUAAAAGUAUACAUAUGAAUGUUCAAACAGUAAUGACUAUCUAUGUUGUAUAAUAAAUUACUAGCAUGAACAAUCUAUUCAAAUAAUUUUGAGUCAGAUCCAGAGUACUAAUCGCAUUCUAGUAUAACUCCAUAUAUAUGCCACAAGUCAUACUAUUCAUACACUAUAUACUCAUAUGCAGAGGAUUUUGAUCAACUCUGAAAACAUUAAGAUUUCGGCUUAAGAAAAUUGUAUACUGAAAAGACGUAAUGUAUAUUUUGCUAGUUUAAAGCUUAUUUUCUCUAUUUGGGAAAUUUACGUACUUUCAAACCUUAAGUAAAAAGAACGUGCACCAUUAAAAAUAGUUUUUGGAUAAAAGUAGUUAUACCUAAAUCGUGUUGAGGUAGUUUUUGAGCUCGGUGAACCAUAUAUAAGUGGCAGUAGGCCAAGGCUAUUGGAUCUGCAAUGCCUCUUGUCAUCAUGGCCAAGCGCUGGAGGCUACUCAUAGGAUUGUCAACAAGGAAACGCCAGCAUGGCAGUACGGCCAGUUCCAGAUAGCUGAUGAGGACGAUGAAAGCUGUUAGCACAUAUGAUUACAAACCAACAUGCAAAAAACAGAUCACUAAAUUAUUAACUUUUACUUUCGUAACUCUUCCCACCAACACCCCCUAAGUUUUUUUUCCCCUGAAUUUACAUUCAACUUCUCUUGGAAAGUCGUGUUAAAAGUUAUUCACAAGCAUCAAAUUUAACUCUUUUACAUGACUAACCAAAGCAAGUUGAGUGCAGAUUUUCCAGAAGGGAUUUACAAUAAAGGCACUGAGAUAACCUCUAUACAAUAAAGACACUGAGAUGAUCUCUAUGGUAAUUUUCAUCAUUGUACUUCAGGGAUUUAUCACAAUUCCUCAUCAGUUUAACAAUUUAAUUUUGCAAAAAAAUAAGAAACAAAAAUUCAGAUUUAAGGUGCAACCAGCAUAAAAAAAUCAGGUUCCCUAAUUUUGUAACUAUUAAGAUGUAUUAGAUAAUUCAAACAGAGUAAAGUUAUGUACUUUUAGACUCCAUUACCUUCACCAUCCCCAUAAUUUUAUUUGUUUUAUUGUUUGUUCUUUUUUCUUGUGGGGGAGGAGAAAAGACAUUUACCAGGAUAAUUUUUUCUUUUUUUUUUUUGAAUUUGGGUGCUUAAAAAGGAGAAUUAAAACCAAUGGUGCACUGAGGUGUAUAUAUUUAAGUAAUAUCAAGGACAUGAAAUAUAAAAUUGGGGCUUAAACAAGUUAGCAUAUGGCUUGUAAUUGACAGUAAAGAAGCUUGGGUUGUUUGAAACACACAGGUGCAUAGAAAAGGUGAAGGGGCAUCUUGCUAGAAAUUUUCGAAAUUUCUCUUGCACGAUAACCUAAUCUCUAUUUCAAGAGGUACACUUAAAGUGCUACUUUUGCAAGAUUGAUUUUCAAAUAAGACGGAGAACCUAAUGAGAGAGCUCCUUGAUGGAGUGGACAAUGACAGUAAGCAAAGGAUAUUGGUAGAAGACUACCAGCCAAUGAUGGACCUAGGCUUACUUCUGCCAAGUAGUCUAUGAAAGUCUCAAAUUGAGUACUGAAGUCAAACUACUUGUCCUCCCCAAAAGAGCAGCUGAAAUCAACCCAUGGCAAAGUAGCAUAUCUGUUUAUUGAGCAUAGUCGCCCGACUAAGGUUUUGGGACAAGAAGAGAGGCAGUUCCAAGUGUUCGUGUGCCAAUUCCAAUUGAGGUAAUGCUGGUUGAUCCUCCGCAGUUAAUGAACCUCUUUCAAGGAUCAAAGAAAUCAUAUUUGGGUUCCAUCAUUCUUCCCAUGUAUUCAGAUUGGGAGAAUAAGACUAUAGUUUACUACACCAGUACAUCUUCUAAGUGGAAAAUCCUAAAAUUUGAUAAUGUGCAGGAUUAGCAACUCAUUCAAUGACAACAAUAUGUUAAUACUGAGAAGGCAGUUUAAAGACGUCACAUGCGCGGAAGAAGCUCACGGAUGGAACCGAUUUUGGAGAACCAGUUGUUGCAAGUUUCUUUAGCAUCAUCAGAAAUACUAUUGGCUUCAAAAUCAUCUGCCACAAGUUACACACAAGUUGAUGCAAAUAUCAUAAUGAAUCUCUUAAAAAUUUCAAUAUCCAAAUAAGAAAUUACAUGAAUCAUCUGCAGUAUAUAAAAGUACAGAGAUUUAGACUUAAGCUUCAGAAAGAGGGUGUAAAUCUGCAAGAGAAGAAGAGACAGGAUUCUAAGUGUCAUGGUUAAACCUGGCAAAGAAGAAACGAAUUUUCUAUCUUCCGUGUGCUCAGCUUUCUGUCUAAUUCGUUGCCAUACCAUAUCACCCAGCAUAUCCAUCACAUCUGUGGCUAGAACGAAUAGUGUUGGAUAAAAUUGUACAACAGAUGUGUCCAUCAGAAGUCUGGCAACCUGGAAAGAAGAGAUACUAUUUCAAAAGGCAACAGCUAACAAUAUCUCUCCUAUUAUCCACUUCUUGACUGUUUUUGUUGAUGCCAAAGUAAACAUGGCGCAAAAUCAUCUAAGCGAAGCAGAGGCCAAAAACGCUCUUUGAUCUCAAGGAAGUUUCGGAUCUUAGUUCAUUACAAGUUAACAGCAAUUUAGUCAUAACUCUACAUGUUAAUAUGUUGCAGUACAGGUUAAAAUUACUUAUCAAGUGCCAGAGACAUUAGCAAAAAAAAAAAAAAAAGGACAGGUAUCCUCAUUUAACAAGUGCCCAAAGAAAGUUUCUCGAAGAAAGGUGAGCAAAUAAUCUUUACUUUCAGGAAAGUAGUUUUGUUACUAUAAAGCUUCAGCUUUGUUUCCCUUGUUCCAGCUGUUUUUGUCAGCCCCAAUAAGAAAAGGCUAGCAUAAACAGAGGAUAUAAACCACACCCAUUUACUGAAGCAACUGUAGUCUGAGUUCUCGAAUGACAGGACAAAAGACUUCCUCAAUGUUGUUAUAAAAACUUCCACUACUUCCUAUAGUUUUAUGAUAAUAGUUGACAAAAAUUAGCAUCAAAUACGGCUAAAACGAUUUGCAAAACAAUAAAGCUCACCCUGAUGCACAAUUUCAAAGAUGUCACAUGCUCCUUUUUACUCCAAGAAAGCGCAAUCUCAUCUUUGAGUUCAUAUAAACGUAAAACAUAUUCCCUCUGACUUAUAACUUUAAGACCUUCUUCUGUAAAUUUUUGAGGAUCAUCCAGUUCUUCCAAAUGUGAAUCCACAGGUGAUUUGUCAGUUACUGCAAAAUAUUUAUACACCACAAAGUUUAAAAGAAAUUUGAAUGCUAAUAAAGAUAAGCUACCUUGCCAUUACAAUCCAAAGGUCCUUCAGGAACAAUAGAGACACUUAAGCUCCAGCAAAAGAAAAGGAAGGGGUAGAAAACUGAUUACCAAGCAAUUGCGACUCCUAUAAAUGCAGGGUCUUGGAAGAAUUAGGUUUUGAACAGCCUUACCCCUGGGAGCAAUAAGCUUAUUCUAGGUACAGAAUAAAAAAGCCAAUACAAGAUGCAUCAUACCCUUUCCAGUCUUCAUAAUUGCAUUUGAAAUCUGCAAAAUGUGGCCGAUAAACAUUUACCAAUUGAAAUAGAACUCUUAUGCAGAAGAUCAAAAUGGCAUCAUGCUUGUUAAGAUGACAUGGGAGUGGCGGAGUAGGGGAUUGGCAAUAUUCCUCUUUUUUAACUAAGUUAAUAUUCUUCAUUUAAAUUACACAAAUUGUACCUAAGCUGUAGAUGAGACUACAUCUGCCAUUCUUUUAGAAGGGUAUAACAGCCCUGCAAACAAAACUUAUGUCUCAUAGGUCUUGAGGAUAGCAAGAUAUGAUGUUUAUAAUUCAUCCAGCAUUUCGAAAGACUAAUUAAGUCGCAGAUGUCUAAUAAUGCAAAACCUGUGAGGUUUGUAUGCAGUUGUUUCACCAUAGACAAAUGCAUGAAAAUCCAAGCAUGUCAUACUGAGUUUGCAAACAUAAGAUCCUAAUAAAAAAAGAUCCGGGUUAUUUCUUGCUGAGCUUCCAACACUACAAUGAGUUGUGGAGAGUUACCAUUCUUAUAGACAAUAAUUUAUAGAACUAGUUCCUAAAUAAUACAAAUACCACAGGAAAACAUGAACAAACAUAUACAAAAAUUACAUUCUUAAUUAAAGCUUAAAAAGCCCCAAAAAAAAGACUUACUGAAGAUAACGGGAUAUUCUUAGAUGCAGAAAAUCUCUGCAUCAAGAUUUUCUUAAAAGAAGUCCAUUCCUUGGAAGAAGACUGGACAGAAGCUUCAUUGGACGGUCCUCCUGUAAUCUCUUCAUCUUGAAAAUCCUCAAAAGAAACUUCCUUUUUCUCAUUGAUCUUGCUAAGUGGAUCAAAAAAAUCAUUUUCUUCCUUCUCCUUAUGCACCAAAUCAACCUUUAACAGAUUCCUAAGUACCAUCAGCAUAUUUUAUACGAAGGAUCAAACAAAUGUUAAGCAGAUUUGGUUAGAACAAGAAAAAAAAAGACAACAUUCCUUAUUGAAGAUGUGAAAUUGACAAGCUGUUGAACUUAAGCAUAGCUUAUUCUUUAUGCACUGAUUAUGGAUCAUAUUGAUGGGGAUUAUUUACUAAAAGCCAUUAUCUAAUCUUUCUUUGACUUUGGUAAUCCAACUUGAUUUGUGCAUCACCACCUAUCCUAGCGAGACGUAAAAACUCUCAAAGGUGGCAAAUCCCAUCCCUUUAAUUCUAUCACACAAGGUGGCAAAUCCGAUCGUUUUAAUUCUAUCCCACAAAAUUUCAACUAAAAUGUUCAAUUGUUUCGAUAAUUACCAACAAGAAGUCGCGCUCUAUGAUUAAUUCAUAGAGCUUCCCGUUUCUCUCCAAAUCGUCUUCCAUUUUAUCAUUCACACUUAAAUAACAUAACAAAACAAAACAAGAGAACCUAAAAAACCAUAUUCCGACUUGCCACAUUGAAGUAGACAACCUCAAAAAACAAUCAGAAAACAUAGGGAGAUUAAACGUUUUGGGCACAGGCAUUCAAUGAAGUCCACCAGAAACUCACUUUUGAGUCCAAGCAAGCAGUGUUGUCAUAUCGUAUCCAGAAAAUUUAGUUAAGAGUACAUAAAAGAUUCAAUUUUGGACCAUAAUUCUAGCAGAUUCUUCUUAUUUCAAUUCAAGAUUUUUCAAACUUUAAGAUGGGGAAGAUAAAAUGUUUAAAAGACCUGGUGAAGGUUUCAGGGGAAGUGGACAGAGGAUGAGUUCCUGCAGUAGACGAGGAGAGAGUAAGCCUUUUCCUCUGUUAUAUAAUCUCUAUGUCUGAACUCGAGCUCCAUCCAGGAAAUUUAGCUCGCAAGACACUAGCGAGUGUGUGAAUCGAGAGUUCUGGCGUUCCAACUCCGGUUCUGGGUUUCCGUCAAGGAAGGGAAGUGAAGAGUUUUGACCCCGUUUGGUUGACGGGAAGACGUAGAAAUGAAGGCUCCUAUACCACGCCUUUUCAAGUGGUCCAACUACAAGUCUACAAUCAAAAUUUUUUUUUUUUUUUUUUUUAAGGGAAAGGAACUACAAUCAAGAGUCAACUCACCGUUAUAAAUUAUAAUCAAGCUUUUAGUUGCCCUUAAAUUGAGUAAAAACCAGGUGAGGGUCUCCAUCGGCCUGUCGGUAACGCGAUAAAAAUUUCGCUUUUUUUCAAUUUUUUUUCAACAAGCUCAACAUUUAAUUUACUGUCUAAACUUUUAUUUAAUAAUAAUUUGGAUAUUAACGGAUUAUGGCUGAAUAGUCAUUAUUUGGGUAAUAUCUAAAUUUUCAAAUUGCUUUUCUUAUGUAGAUUAAUUAAAUAGAUUUAAUAAAUAUUUAACAAUAUGAGAUUAUUAAUAUGUUAAUUAAUGUGCUUUUAAAGUCACAAUUUUGUAUAGGAUAUUUAAUAAUAAUAUGGAUAUUGAUGGGUUCGGCUGAAUAGUCAUUAUUUUGGUAAUAUCUAAAGUUUUAAAUUGGUUUUUAUGUAGAUUAGUUAAGUAAAUUUAAUAUAUAAUUAACAAUAUAGGAGUUAUCAAUAUGUUAAUUAAUGCGCUUUAAAGUCACCUAUUUGUAUAGGAUAGAAGUUAUAUGACUUUUCUAAUGAAUGUCUAAUGAGUAUACAUUAAACAUCUAAAUUUCAUUUAAUCUACUUUGUAUAUACACAUAUUAACAAUUACUACCCACCUUUACAUUUAUGCACUUUUCCUAAUUUAUCUUAUAUUUUAAAAAUCUAACACUUGAAGUACAUCUUAACGUGUGUCUAAUGGCACCCGUUACUUAUUUACUUUUAUUAAUUAAUUUACAUUUAAAAAUAUGACAUUCAAAUUAUAUCUUAACUAGUGCCUAUUAGGCACUUGUUAAAUAGGGAUCCGUUAGACAGACUUAUAAUAUAUUAAAGGUAUGAAAUAUAUAUAUGUAUGUAUGUAUGUAUAUUAUAUAUAUAUAUAAUUGAAAUAUAAAAUUUGGUAAGUCGGUCGAUAAUUAGGAAUUCGAGAAUCAAAUUUCAAUAUCCAUUGUUUUACCAGAGUUUAAGAUUAUAUAUUAAUUGAUUUUCUCAAAUUCCGCUUUUACUUACAUCCAAUCUCUGAUCUUAAUUUAGUCGAUUAUUCGAUUUUUUUCUAAAGUGUAAACAUUCAUGGAGCCAGGGGAUUUGCAGUUAAGUGUCAAAGGGGUUGAGCUAGAGAUCAAAAUAAUGUAUAACAUUUUAGAUGGGUUGUGAUAAAAUCAAUGACGGAGCCAAGGGGGCAGAGGGGGGCCAUGGCCCCCCCCCCCUAAGUUUAGAGAAUUUUAAUUCAUAAUAUGUAAAUAUGUGUGUAAAAUAAAAUUGGCCCCCCCUAAAUUUUUCAAUUUUAGUUUAUAUUAUGAGAGUUGAUAUAUAUAUAUAUAUAUAUAUAUAUAUAUAUAUAUGAAUUAAUCAUCUUUGAAUGGAAUUUCAAUUUUGGCCCCCCCAAAAAAAAAAUCCUGCUCCGUCACUGGAUAAAAUAGGAAUGUAAUACUAUGACCGCCAAUAAGUUAGAUUUCACAUAUGAUUUGAGUAUAUGGGUUUGUUUAGAUUACAAGUUUUCGUACAUAUUUUUCAAUCACUUCCUUGCCUCGUAUACAUCAUAUCCCUACAAUAUAUUUUUCUCAAAAAACACUACUAUAAAUUUCUUGCUUUAUUGACGAAAUCAAUGGCUACCAAUUCCAUCAUUCGCACUUAAAACGGACGCAAUGAUACUUGGAGUAGAGCAUAAUAGGUACAAACUCAAGCAAUCAAAAUAACUUCUGCAUGAUUUUCACUCGGGACCACUAAUUCAUCUAUACUCAAAUCACAAGCUACUCAGCUUAAUUGAGUUUCAUAUAUUUUAGAUUUGUUCACACAUAUUAUCGUGUGUGCAUAAUAAACCUAUCUACAUUGAAUAAUAGCUUAAACUAGUCAAGUUUAAUAAAACUUCACACCAAUAUUACAUCUUUAAUUUGCAAGUCGAUUUAGUUGUAUUCGUAGUAUUCAAUUCUAAACGAAAAUUGCAUUUGAGUCAAAAACAAAAAAAUUAGAGUUAAAAUUUAAUUAGGUGUGAGCUAUACAAGACAUUUCACUCAUGCUCAACUCGAUUAGAUUCCAUCGACCAUCUGGCCCAACUUCAGAGACACUUGCAAUGGGAUCCGAAACCAUUAACGCUCUCUGUAGGAGCACAAAACCGAUCAUACACGAAUGGUUGGACUUAUGAAAGGAUGCAAAUGAAGCUUCUCCCUUGGAUCACCAAGUUUUUUGACAAGGUAAGCCAGACAAAACUUCCCCAACUGGGGAGAAGUUUAGUUUUAACUGGAUACAACAAAAUGGACCGCCCGUCGUAAGAGACUAGUUCCAGUUCUGUCCACAGUCCAGUUGUGUAAACUAAUAGAAUUUUAAUAUUGUAUAUUGGUAUAAUUUUGGUCUAAAUGUGAAUUAUAAUUAAAUUGAUGUAAAACUCAUAAUUGUACCAAACAUAUAUUAGUUUAUAUUGAAAUUAUACCAUUUUACACAGCUAGGCAAAAAUUAGAUACAAGUCAUAGAACCUCAACUAGAGAAAGAAGCACCGAAUCCUGCUUGCUACUGUCUUAUUGAGUGAGUUGCUACUUAAAAUUUACUGACAGUCUUUUUUCCCAUGCGGAGGAAAACUAAUAAAAGGUUAUUGACAUUGACAUCAUUUGAGAAUGGUUGAUGGGUUGCGCGUGAUAUAGAUUCAUCGUAGAAAUCAUUCAAAAAGAUAGCAAAAAUUAUCAAAAUAGUCCCUCAUAUUUCAAUAAAAUUAUCUUUUUGUUCAUUACAUGUAAAACCAUGCAAAAUGGUUCUUCACAUAUGACAAAUAUCAAUUUGAUCCUAGAACAUAUUUCCUACCAAAUUUAUAGCCAAAAGAUACAUGUCCAAUACUUUCAACCGCAAAAUAAAAACAAGAAUAAUAUUUUCUUAAAAAAGUCAUCCCAACUCUCCUUCCCACAAUGGCAAUGGGAUGGAUUUUUUGAAGAGAAUAUUUGCCUAAUUAUUCUUCUACUAAUUUUUAACAACUUUAAAUACAGAAACUUUAAAAAACUCCUCAAAAUUUUUAAAAUGCACACCUUAAAAUAUCGAAAAAAAAAGGCACAAAUUAUUCUUCUUCCUACUAAAAGUACGAAUAUGUGACUUAAGUGAGCAUUUUUUACUAGAAAUUUGGGCAAAAAUAGAUUUUGAAACCAAAUUUAUGCAUUUAUUAUAUGUAAGGGAUUAAAAAAGUUUUUUUAAAAAAAUGUGGGAGACUAUUUUGAUCAUUUUCCCCAGAAAAUUUUGCUAAAAAAAUUCGGACGAUCUUGUUGCGACAUGGUUGAAAAAAGAAGUGUAUCUUAAUUUUCUCCCAUAAUUUCUGAUAUGUAAUCAAUAUUAAAACUGACUAUCUAAAACUUACGGUUUUUUUUUUGUUUUUUUUUAUUUUUGCUUCUGAAUCUUAUUAAAACUUGAAUUACCCUCCUCUAUGAUUAUUGGAUAAAGAUAAAGAGGCAAAACAUGAAAUUGUACAACUGCUAAAGACUAGAGUUCCGAGUAACUGGCAUUUCUAGAUUUCCAGUAGACUAUUACAGUUAGUUUUACACUGACGGCGGUAAUUGACACUGAACCAGAAAGAUUCAACCUGCCAAGUCACAUGUAUACUAAUCUAGAAGGGUUAAAAUGGCUUCCACCCCGAUGAAUAAGGAUGAAAUAGUUCUUGAGUUGACAUUCAUUUUUUCAUGUUAAAGGAAAAAAGAAAACGUUUGACUUAAAUUUCUUCAUCUGUGGUCAACCCAACUUGCACUUCAUCGGUGCCCUUGAAAUAUAUAUAUAUAUAUAUAUAUAUAUAUAUAUAUAUAUAUAUAUAUAUACAUAUAAAGAAUUUGACGUUAUUAACUUAAAUUAGCAGCAUGGUUAUGGUCAAUACACGUUAAACUCUGCUAGAGUCAGAUGAAAGGAAGCUAAAUAGCCUGUGAUGUUACGGUCUACGCAAAAGUCAAAAGACCAAAUCACCUGGUGGUGGUCAAAUACAAAAUGAAAAAAUGCAGAAAAAGAUCAAAUACGAAGAUGGGAUUUGAUUGACUUAUGGUAUACAUUGGGUUACUGGUUCGAAAAUUUUCUGCCCGAAUUUAGUGGUCGUGACAAUUAAUGAAUAUUCAUUACCAAUUCUCCUCUUCCAAAUCCCAAAAGAAAAUAAACUUUUGUGACCCCAGUUGAGUUAGAAGAUUCAAACCAUGGAUAAAGCAAAGAAAAACAGAGAUCCAAUAUUGGUAACUUGAGCAAAAUGAGAGCAAUAUGACCAGUUGCCAAUGGAUGGUCACAAAAUUUUAGGCGCAGAGACAGGAAUCUGAUGCAUAAUUCCUCGUUACUCAAUAUACGUGUAAGCAGUUCCUGUCUCAGAGAUAUUCUGAUUGUUGGUUGACUUCUUCGGCCAUAUGAUUCUUGAAUCUGAAUUGUAAUCUGAACCCUCUGAAUCUUGCGGAAAACCCAAAGCCAACUUCCAGCUAAAGUUUUGGUCUGCAAAUGCACUCUAUUGAUCAGCACGAUGUUUUCCGCCCCAUGAAAUGCUUUCGAAGUUUUUCCAUUUCAUAAUUGUCUUUUCCCUUUGCUUCGUCCAGCAGGCAUUUACCAGUUUUCUUCUUGCCUCUCUAUUUCUGAUAAAUGUUCAUUGCAUCAUUGCAUGUUGACCAAUGCUAACAUGCAAAUAAAAUUUCAGUUCUACCCCUUUUAAGAAUAAACAAAACUGAUUAAUGUGAAUCUCCAGCGAUUGAGCUUGCUUCUCGUCUUGUUAUCCAAAAAGCUUGCCUCUAAUUGAAUUCCUUGUGUUCAAAACUGCAACGGAUCUUCUGUCUCAUAUCCUGUGCCACUCUCUGUCUUACUUUUUAUUAUAUUGCUAUUUCUCCUAUAUAAACAUCAUUUUUUAAUUCUUUUUUAUUUUUUUAAAAUUCAAUAACUAUUAAUUGAGUAAUACACAAAAUUUAACAAACUUAAAAAAUCAAAAUGCAUAAAAAAUGAGAUUUUUUAUGAAUUUUCUGCUGUAUUUUUAAAUUUUCUAUUAUAUAUUGCUUUUUUGAAAUUGUUGUAUUUAUGUUUUACUUAAUUAAUAGUUAUUGAAUCUUAAGGAAACAAAAAAGAAUUAAAACAUGAUGUUUAUAUAGGAGAAAUAGCAAUAUAAUAAAAAGUGGGACAGAGAAUGACACAGGAUGUGGGACAGAAGAUCCGUUGCGAACUUUUAGCAUUCAUCUUUUCCUUUCUUUUUCAAUUUUAAUUUAAAAUAAUUAAGAAUACUUUUUUUUAAUAAAAAAGAGAACAGAUAUUUAAUUGGGGGCAUGCAAAGGUCUUGACGUAACAAAAGAGCUGCCAAAUAAAAAAUUGGCAGCUCCAAAAUCACUGGCGGCAUAUCUUAGAGAUAGAAAUAAAAUAUUCCUAGAAUUCGACCAUACUCUUUGCAGCAAAUCCCUUGCUACUUUUACCACAUUUCCGCGUCAACUGCACCCCUCUACAUAUCACCCCAUGAAUUGCUAAGUCUUCCCAACAAAUUCACUCAAAUUCCUCUCCAGACGGGGAAUUAACAACACGAAGACCUCCACACAUCUUCCCUGCCCUCCCUUCUACCUCACGGCCUGCACGGACCAUGAAGGUGAUCAGACUCAUUUUCAUGGUCGCCCUAGCCAUGGCACUAGCCAUAACUCUAGUCACCAUGAAAAACACUGCCGAAGAAUCAGUAAUGAAGAACAAGAAGAACUCGGAUUCCGAACGGGGAAGAUACUGAUGCCGUCAAAAGGUUAAGCCGUUUCCUAGCUCAAAAACGAAAGCCAAAGAAUCCAGAGCAGCUGAUCAUUGCAAAAAGAUAAUGACAUUUGUGGCAACAUCCCGGGUGAAGAGGAGAAAAUUCUACAUGCUGCAACAACAAAUGUGUGGAUUUGGUGUACGAUCCUUACAAUUGUGGAGCAUGCAAAAACAAGUGUUUGCCGUUUGAAGCUUGCUGCAAGGCGAUGCGUUAAUCUUUCGUUUGAUAAGAGGCACUGUGAUUUUGCAACAAAAGUGCAUGCCGGGGAUUGUAUAUACGCAUCUGCGAUUAUGCUUAAAACAGAGCUCUCUCUCUCUCUCUCUCUCUCCAUUUAUUUGGGCAACAUUACAGCACUAUUAAUUAUUGCUAUACGGUUUGUCAUUUGUUAGACAUAACAAUAAAAGGCCGCAUCUAGUAUGGUGGUUCUUCAGAUACUGAUGAAAUACGUACAAGUCGUCAUAGUGUCUUCCUACUCUAUACGUCAAGAAAUCCUCAAGGAUUACUUAUGCCCCAAGGUGUAAUUAAUUCUAAUAAUCUGUAUGAAAGCCCCCCAUGUAUCAUGAGCAAUUAUUGAUACUUAGCUAACUUUUUUGCUAGCCAAAGAGAUAGCAGCAGUAUUAUGCAACUAAGAAAUUUUCUUGGUUCCUUCAAUGAAUAUUGUUUUGAUGGAAAGCCAGCCAGUCGUACUCACCUUCAACUCCAAGGUUGCUAGCUAUUUACCACAUUCAACCUAUAAUAAUUAAUAAUGUAAUAUUAAUAUUCUACUCCAUUUGUCGCCAAAUAAAUUAUUAUUAAUUUUUUGCCAGAAUGAACAGAAAAGAAAUAUACCGUUGUUAUUUCAGCAAGUAUACAUGCAUGCAGCGUAAAUGUUAGUAUUCUCAUCGGUCAAUUGUUUAAUUAACCAGCAAGCAAAAUCUUAUCGUGUAGUCGUCAUAGUUAAUUGAUCCCGCGAGUACAGUACAUCGCGCAAAUUCUUCAUGGAAGUAUAAUGAAACUCUCAAGGAGCCGAAGAAUUAAGCAACAACCGUGCAAGAAAAUCUUGUGUUCCACAUGCCUUUCCCUUGCAGGACACCCCAUCACUGGUCAUCCCCCGGCCACUUGGCUUCCUAAAUCACAUGCCAUCGUUAAUUGUGAAGAUGACUGAUUUCCCAAACGUACAACAUUCUCACAUGCCAUGUUUUGAUUGGUUCAACCAAUUCGAUCUCGAUUCAAAGGUUUAAUAAUUUUUUAUUCAGUUUAGCAUUAAGAAUUUUGAAUAAAACUAAAAUAUUAUUUUAGAAAAUAAAUACUUAAUAAAAAUCGAUUGAACCUCCCACUUUUUACCGGUUAUUGACCGGUUCAAUUAAUUCUUUAAUUUUUUAAUUGAAUCGGACCGAAGACAUGACUGAUUUGCGAUUCAAUCGAUCGAACCGGCCGGUACAGUCCAAUUUUCAAAACAUUAUUGUUUAGGUGAGGUGUUUCGACCUAUAUUUUAAAAUUAAAAUUGGAUAAUAUGCUGACACUAAGAGUUAAGAAGUUUGACCGGCUGAACCAAUAAUUAAAAACCAAAUGGCAUUACAAAAUAGCUAAAUUACAUGAAAAAGUACAACAAAAAAAAGAAAAUUGAGAAAAAGAUUUUUUCUCUAAUUUUUUUUUUUUGGGUUUCUCUCAAUCAAACACAAUUUUGCAAAAACGAACAAAACCGAGUCGAUUGCCUGCUUAGUUUAAGUUACGCCGUUCCUCUUUCAAUCGGUCCAAUCGGACCGUCCUUUCCAAAUUUCAAACCACUGAUACGAAUUGAAUUUUAAACGUAAAAGGAAAAUUCAAAAUGAAGAGUCAAGAUUGGUUUGUAAACUUGAAACCAUGUCCUCUUGUUUUCCUUGACUGGAAGUGUGCCUAAUUUGAGCUUUCACUUCAAGUCCAGGGUGAGGAGUCUUGACAAUUUCACCUCCAAAUCCAAUCUUAAAAGAUAAGAAACAAUUUGCAUUCCACUGGAUUUGUAGAAAAAUCAGAAGGAAGAGUCAGGAACAGUAAGUAAUUUUGAAAAUUUUGACAGAAGAUCAGUUGAUUGGUUGUGUACUUCCAAUUUAAAACAUCGGUGCGUUAUGCAGGGAUUACAAUAAGAAUAGCUUCAUGAUGUAUUGGGACCUUGGUGUGAUGCCGAUCAAUCGCUUUAUGGAAGCAGUAUCCAAAAAAAAAAAAAAAAAUCCCAAUUGCUGAUAGCUAAAAUCCAUAAGUCAAAGGUCUCUCAGCUAUUGUUCUAGUCCUCCUUAUCAAAGCUAAAAAGACAUUCGAUGGAAUUCUUCAUGCUUUAUGUCAUGCAGAAGAAACAACGUGAAAAACGGCCACACCUUUUGCAUCCCAACUUAACAUCGAAUUAAAUGUUAAUCUCCCUCUCGGAGUGAUAUUAUCCUCGAGGUUCAUUAAUUUAGAGAGUUUUUUUUUUUUUUUUGUCAACACAGGGGGUGUCGGGAUCAAUUCUUACGGGGUCCGACUAAUCCCCUGCUGUCCGGAAAAGGAGACCCCACUCCACACCGAACAGAUUAACAACGGGACUCGAAUCCUGACCGAAGCCAGGUAAGUUGCUAUACCUUAAGGAGGGGGAGCGAACCGUCCGAGCUACUCCGCGGGCAUUAAUUUAGAGAGUCAAGACACCCUUUUUUUCCUAAUCAGUAAGUGAAAAAAAAAUGGUGAUUUAUUCUUUGCCCCAACACUAGUAAACAAGAAAAGGAUGUGUCCACCACGUACCACAACAUAACACAGCUCCCAAAAAAAGAGCACAAAGAAAAGAAUAUUUUAUAUAGCGUGCUCUUAAAUCCGGUAGUGGUAAUUGGUAGUAAUCGAAUAACAUCUUCUCCUGAUACAAGUCUCUAUCUGGCUCUUGUCACUAGCUGCUAAAUCCCACGCACUUACCAUAAUAUAGUAAAGCAGCAUCACUCCAGCAAAUAAGGAAAAGAAUGUCCCCUGAUAAUCGUUUCAGGGUAGCCAUCGUGUUAUCUCUGUUUCUCCCUGUAUUUGCAGAUGUCCCGCACUGUAGUAAUGGAUUUCGAGAAGAAGCUGCCAAGAAAAUAAACAUAACAAGUUGCAGGAAGCAAAGUUUGGGAGCUGAAUUUGCUUGGAAUUACAACAAUGGUACAAGGAGACUUGAGAUUCUAUUCGGGGCAAAGUUACACGGUGACAUGGGGUGGCCUGGGGUUUGAACCCUGGGAAACAUGCAGGGAUGGUAGGCACCCAAGCCCUUAUAGGUAUCAAAUUAAGUAAUGGAACCUCAUCGCAUGAUACAUACAGCAUUACUGAUUCUACCAAGUUAGGUUGCAAACUCCUACCAUCCAAGAUCGAUUUGGAAGUUGGGGAUUUUAGCUUUUCUUUCCCGGAAGCUGAGUUCGCCGUGAUACAAGCUACAAUAGUUCUUCCUCGAGAAUACAAUGAUUCAAGUACAAAUGUCGUCUGGCAAGUUGGCAAUGUUGCAGCUGAAAAACAGCCCUUCAUGCAUCCCAAGAAUAUCUGGCAUCUUAGUUGCAAAGAGACAAUAAAUUUGAUUUCAGGGAGUGUUCGAGGCGACGGAGCUCAUAAACUGCAGAAAUUGAGAAAAGUAAGUUAAUACCAACACAAAAUGGAAUUACUUGUAAUCUUGGAUAGCUCUUCUUUUUGAUAAUCACCUAACCUAUUGAAAUGCAGCUUGAUUUGAGCUAUACAAUUCCAUUUAUUAUACAGUACCAAAGACAGCGCUGAAAAGUUAUUAUGGAACUCUUAUCAUUGUCACUGAAUUCUUGCAGGUUCAUGGGAUAUUGAACAUUGUGGGUUGGGGAUCAUUUCUUCCAGUGGGUGCAAUUAUUGCGAGGUAUUUCAGAAGAUUUCCCGUGGAAUGGUCCCAAUGGUUUCGUCUUCAUGUUUCAUGUCAAAUUCUUGGAUAUCUACUCGGCACAUCUGGCUGGAUCAUUGGAUUAUGGCUCGGAAACGCUUCCAAAUACUAUGGUUAUCAUACUCAUCGAGUUUUAGGAAUAAUUAUCUUUACAUUUACGACACUACAAGUAAGUCUAUCCAAUGCAGCACUUCAUAUAUCCCCUCCCUGUUGAUUUUCUCUGUCUCUGCAAUGGCAGCAAAGAGCAUAACGUUAUAUUUAUCUGCAGAUGUUCGCAUUGCGACUAAAACCAAAGCGUAACGAUGAUUAUCGUGUGUACUGGAACAUGUAUCAUCAUUUUCUGGGCUAUUCAUUACUGGCCAUUAUCUCAGUUAACAUAUUUCACGGGAUUUCCAUCUUAAACGCAGAUCAUACCUGGAAAUGGCUUAUAUUGGAUUGCUUUGCCUGUUAGGAUCGAUUGCUGUAGUACUUGAAAUUUACACUUGGAUAAAGUUUUGGAAACGAGAAUCGCCAGGCAUUCACAAAACUCAAGAUCAGGACCAAAAAGACUUGCAAAGAGGUAACAAAAACGAUUCAGGUGCAAGCACAGCAUCCCAUUCCUAGCACCGUACCAAGUUCAAGACUUCAAGAUACAUGAACUCAUCAACCAAGUUGUGAAAAAAAAUUCAGGUGGAACCAAAGACCAAAAUGCAGCCAUAACUAUGAAAAGGCUGGGAGGCCAGAGUGCUAAAAUUCAAGAAAUUGUUUCUGCAUUUCACACCUUAAGGUAGAGAAGCUAUGACUAGUUUCAGGUUGGGUUUUGGGACUUAUGUACGAGAUUUAUUUAUUUUUUUUUUUUAAAUGUUGGUUCUUUGUAUACUUGUCAUUUCCUAAGUGAAUCGUGUUUUUAUAAUAAUCGCAUUACUUGGUCUACAUGCUCUAAUAUGAGCAGAUUUGUCCAAGCAAAGAAUGGUCUUUUAAGUCCAGACAUAAACCAAGCAAUAAAAGCAGAGCCUCCCAUAAUUUGAUUGUCGUUUAUGAAUCACCAAUUAACCUUACAACAAUGGUAAUCUUGGUAAGGCAUGCCAUUUCUUUCUUUUUGUCCUACUAGUUUCAUAGUGGAGACAAAAAAAUCUAGAGACACCACAAAAGUUGCGAGCUUAUGAACAUUUUACCUACCUUGCCUACGGUAAUAUUCAGUUAUUUGCGAUGGUAAAUUGACAUACUUUUCAUUGGUGAACCCACAAAAUUGGUAACUUGCCUACAGUAAUAUUCAGUUAUUUGCAAUGGUAACUUGACAUACAUUUCAUUGCCCAGUCUGGGUUCGGUCCGGUGGUUGUAGCCCAGUUGGGUGAGAGCCACCAACCAAGGAUCGAAUCCCAGUCGUUACCAUUGACCGAUGAUGUCGGGCAGCCUCUCGCAGUCACGCAGUGGGAUUAGUUGGGACGUACGGUAACCAGUCCUCGGCCCCAGAUACCCACUGUGAUGAAAAAAAAAAAAAAACUUGACAUACAUUUCAUUGGUGAACCCACAAAUUAAAAUAUUAAAUUGAACUUAACUGUUGGUACAAAAGUUUACAAUUUUGUUACAGAAAAAAAGGGCCAUAAAAAAAAUUUAGUAGUCCGAAAAAAAAUUAACUUUUCAUUUUGCUAUUCCAUUGGUAUUUGGUAGGGGAGCUUCAGCCUCAUGUUAUCAUGAGGCUUCAAUUUCACCAGAAAAUGAGAUUCAGAAAUUAAUCUGCUCAGAAAAAAAGAACUUAUUGAUAAUAUGAUAGACAGAAAAAGAACCUGGGACAGACUUUGGUCAUGUCUGCUACAGUUGUAGAGGGCGUAGCUGCCACGGCCCUCAGGUCAGUUCUCCACCGUGUACGGCAAGCUGCCGAGCAAUCCGGUCGCCAUGCUGAAGAUGUCAGGGUAGUAGCUGUAGGCAAAACAAAGCCAGUCUCUCUUAUUCAGGAAAUCUAUGACGCAGGUCAUAGGUGCUUUGGCGAGAAUUAUGUUCAAGAAAUCAUUGAUAAAGCUCCGCAGGUGCCUUUUUCCCUCUCUCCCUAUCUGGGAUUUGUUUCGUCUGAAGAGUUUCUUAUUAAUGAUUGGUGGAUCAUUAAAUAAAUUCAACCAUUAUUAGAUUAGAUCAUUGGGUUCUUGAUGAGUAAAGGUUUGUUAAUUGGACCAUAAAUAAAAGUUUUUUUUGGGUGUAAGAAUUGCAGCUUCCUGAUGACAUUAGGUGGCAUUUCAUUGGGCAUCUGCAGAGCAAUAAAGUGAAGUCACUUCUUGGUAUGCUGUAAUUGAUGUUUGAACCAUGUGGUUUUACUAAACUCAUAUAUCUUGUGUUCUUGAACAUUUGAACUAUUGAAGAUUAGACCUUUUCUUCAACUGAGAAGUUGGCACAUUUCCUUCUAAUUUGUCAUUUAUUAGGUUGUACUAGUAACGGAAUGUUCAUUUUACGGUUCGUUAUUGCUAACAGCUCAACUGAAUUCUACCUUUUCCUUGUUGCCAGAGACAUUGUUAUUGAAAAUUAUAUCUGUUUCGGAGACAAAAAUCCUUGUAAUCAAGAUGUUUUACUUAUUAAAGAUGAUAUUCUGAACUCCAAAAAUCUAAAACUCUAGGCAUGUCGCCCGUAUUUUUUAAGGCAUCACACGGUACUUAGAAACUUAAGCUGUACAGUUAUAUAAUCGGGGCCUAUGGAUUUCAUCCCAAGUCUCUAGCAAAACACCUUUGUUCAAAAGCCAUCAAACUGGGCAUGAUACUCAUUUUGUUUUGGUGUGUGGUUGCCAAAUUGGAAUAUAAGUGAGAUUGUGAUACAUGUUAAGGCUGAUCUCUACCGCAUGCAGCUGCCAUUCCUAAUCUAGCAACAGUUGAGGGUGUAGACAACACAAAGGCAAGUAUUUGAUUUGAAGUGAAUUUUGGAAUUGCAAGAUUAGAGCUCAAAUGAAAUCCAGAUGCUUAUGACAGAUGUUCUAGGCUAUAACUCACAAGGAUAGUUGUAAAUAUGCCUUUCUCCAAUUCACAUAUAGGUUGCAAAUUAUCUAGAUCGUGAAGUUUCAAGGCUUGGGCGUCCACCUUUGAAGGUGUUUGUCCAAGUGAAUACGAGUGGAGAAGCAUGUAAGUGCUCACAUUUUGAUUCUACAGCAAAGUCUAUCUAGUCAGAUUGUUUGAGCUUGACAAUUGAUAACUAAUGCAGCACCAGAGCUAAUAUAUUUACUUCAGAACUAUCCUGAGUCUUGUUAUCUUUAAAAGAACAUUUUUUAGUUAUUCUUCUUGGUUGGCAGUAUGAUACCAAGAGCUGCACAGCAACAUUGGGAUAUUUUUGAGUUAUUUUAGUAAAUUAUGUUAAUCAGUCAAGUCAGCUGUAGUUGUACUGUGGAAGCAUGUUUUAUCACUUUGGAUCAUUAUAAAUGGGGAAAAAAACUUUGUUCUUAUUUUCUUGCAAAAACAACAUUUUGUCAUGAUUCUUACUCUGUAGUGACUAGAGCUGCAUUAGUAUUGCCUUAUCUUGAUUUCAUUAAGGUUCAUUAGUCAACAGUUAAAUUGGUGAUUACAUGCAGCAAAAUCUGGUGUAGAGCCAUCAGAUAGCAUAGAGCUUGCAAAGCAUGUCAGGCUGGGUUGUCCAAAUCUUGAGUUCUCUGGUUUAAUGACCAUAGGCAUGCCAGAUUACUCCUCAACUCCAGAAAACUUCAAGGUAAGUUCCUAACCUUCUUAGGCGUGAUUGAAGACUGUAAUGGCUUCACUUCUUUGCGCUUUUGCAGAGGUAUGAUAUAGCUAUAUAAUCCACGCAAGAAGCAGUGGGUCACAGGGUUAGCAUUCAUGUUAUUGUUGCCUCUUUGUGUGUCUUUUGCUUAACAGCAAAAGUUAUUUCUUUUCUAUUUUCUUUUGAAUAUUCUUUUGUUUGAGCAAUGAGAUAUGAACUUAAUUUUUAUGGCUUCUUCGUAUGUGAAACUGUAUGCUAAAUAUAUCUGUGUGAAGUGCCAGUUUGUAAAUGUAAAAUUUUGAACAGAAGCUGAAUUCUGGCAGAUCAUUUUUCACUUGCUAACCACAUACGCAUCCACUUUAUUUGUAUGGCUUUAUUACAGACUCUAUUCAAGUGUAGAACUGAGGUCUGCAAGGUGCUAGGGAUGGCUGAGUUCCAGUGCGAGUUGUCAAUGGGCAUGUCUAAUGACUUUGAACAAGCAGUAAGCCUGGAUUCUUGAUGCCUAGAUUUUAAGAGUUGAAUUUUUAUUGUUGAUUGAGUUCUGUGUAAUUUCUAUUUACCUCCUGUUCAAUUUAUGAAGGCUUACAUCUGAACGAAUACGUGCUACAACUGAUUCCCCAGUAUUAUGUAACUUUGGGGUUUGGUUUGUUUGAAAACUGGGACUGUCUUGCAAAUCUUUCACCAACAGUUUUUCGCCAUUCCUUUGAUCUUAGAAUUUGAACUUGUCGUUAGGCUAAAGUAGUCUCUUACUUUCCUUUAGGCUGGACUUUUGUAAUUUCUUUGUUGCUUCUAUUUAUGGUCUGUGUGCAAAGUUUGAACUUUGCUUCAAUUGAAAUCUUAGAAGAUUAAUGGUGUUUCUGAAGCUGUUAUGAUACAUAACCAUGAGCUCAAUUUUGCUGAUAAUUACAAUUAUAUUUAUGUGUGUAUGCACACACACACACACGUAUAUUAGAUAUAAAAUCAUAACCACAAUGUUUGUCUAAGAUUAGAAUCUUGAUUGUAUGCUGAAAUUCUCAAUCUGAAGAUUUGCAUUUAUCUGUUGGAAAUGAUGAUUAUUCUCCUUCACGUAAAAAGAUUAUGCUAGUUUUCGCAGCAAGUCUCACUCACUAUCCAUCUUAAACAAUGAAUCUAGAUCGUUUGAGGCUAGAGCUUGGAUAGGUGUUUGUGAACUCUGACUGUGCUUUCCCAUACAUGCAGAUCAAGAUGGGCAGCACCAACGUGAGAAUUGGAUCAACAAUAUUUGGACCAAGAGAAUAUCCAAAGGGUCAAUAGAUUUACAACUAAUAGUAUCUUUGCUGCAUCACUUUUGUCAUGCUAUAUUUAUUAGCUUUCUGAUAGAUCCAACAUGUUCAUUGACCUGCAAUCAGUUAAUUCAAUUGAAUUAUCCUGCGAAGACCAGAUGCUUAUGGAUGUGUUGGUACUUGGUACUGGUGUGGUCACACGACUGUUUGUGUUGGUGCUUAACUACUGCAGUUAUGCCACGUCUGGCGUUUACUUUCAGGCAUAGAAAUUCUUGUUGAACCUGGACAAAAUUUCUUGAACAUUUUGACAUCUGCUCCCCUCAGAUAACCAAGCGUAAAUGCACGCCGCAUGGGACAAUUCUUCAAUCACUUCUCUUGCUUUGGUGGUAAAGCAUAUUGAAAAUUACUUCUAUGCCUGCAAAUAAGCAUUGAGUAGCUACCAGUCCAUUGUUAACAAAGAGAUUACAAUCAUGAGAAUAAAGUCGUUAAAUUAAGUUGAAGGAUACUAAGAAUAAUGUGACGUCUAUGCUUAGAAGUGAGACUCGGAUAAAUACGAGAGCAACUUUAAAUUAAAGAUCAGCUUAUAGCUAUAUCAGCCAAAGCCGAUCAGAUUCAGAGCCAUCCCAUCAAAGCUUAUUAUUCCAGGAUCAUUAUGCACAUCUUCAGCAAAGCUGAACGAUCAAGCUCCUGAUAAACGUACUAUGGCUUGCUGAGUAUAUUGAGACCCAUAAAUGUCAUCGUGACAGAUGUAAUCGAAUCGAGUCGAGCUCAAGUAUUACCAUACUCAAGAUUGACUCGACAUGCAGGAAAGAUACUUAAGCUCGAGUGAGUAGCAUUACUGGAACUUGAGCUCGAGCUCGACUUGUAUGGGCUCGAGUCAAUGCGAAUCUUAUCAAAUUCGAGUUAGAAAGAUUUGCGGAUUUUAUUUUUCUUGACAAUGUUUGAGCGAAAAGACAUUAUUGACCUUUAAAAAAUUUCAUAUGACCUAAAGCAUUUCGUAAAUUCAACCAUUCUUUUGGGUAUAAGGGUAAUUUAAUAAUAAUAAUAUAUUAAAGAAUUAAAAUUAAAAAACUCGAUAAGGUUUGACAAGCCUUCAAAUCUUACUAUUGGAUAUUCGAACUCGACUUAUCGAGCUACUCGAAUUUGAUUCGAACUUGAUCAAUUCGAAUUCGAAUUGAGUUUUUGACCAAUUUACUUGCAAACAGUUUGAUUCGAUUACAGCCCUUGUUAUCGUAUUUCCUAAUUGCUUUACAAUUAUUCUGGAGGGAACAAGAACUCAAGCGUCCCUCCAAAAAAAAAAUAAAAUCAAGUGUCCAUAUUCCUUUGGCAGAAUAUUCCUUUGGCAGAAGGAAGGAAUUCGAAAAUUUUGCUGAUCCAAGACCAUUGAUGCCGCAUUCCAUCAUCUCUCAAGAUUUCAAUGGGCUCCUAAUUCAUAAUGAUGUUGGUGGAAAAGGGGAUUUAAAUAAGAACGGGGCAAAGGGAAGCGUAGAGUCCUAGACAAAAGCAUCAAAUUUGGCCUUGGAAAGUUCAUAAUGUAAAUGCUAUACAGUAAUACAGAAAUGUAUCAAACUAACAGGGGUUUUAAGAUGUCUCGUUUUUUCUGUUCAACUCACAAAGAACUGGAUGGAUAUACGAUCACUUCCCUUCUAUUAAUUUCUUUCCUACUUCUAAGAUUUUCCUUUUUCUUGGGUUGGAGGCAUUUUUGUCCUCAAGGUACAACCCAGCAGGUAGUACUAUAUAACAGUCUGCGCUACCCGCCUGUCAUCAAUUUCAACUACGCAAGCUCCUCUCUACUAGUGUCUGCGGAAGCCUCCGCUCUAUACUUGCCAGCAGCGGCAAAAAUUUAGCAGCAGCGAUUAUGAUGGUACCAUUGACAAGCUCAACCAAAAUUGCAUUACUUUCCACCAAUACCAACGGAUAUCCUCCUCUCAAAUUCCCCUUCCAAAUCGGCAAAAAGAACACUUUCCGGAAAUGCAACAGUUUCGGAUUUCGGUCCCCAAAGAAACAAAGUUGGAGCUGCUCUGCAUCCGAGCAACCCCAACCCCUAAACCCACCUCAACAAAACGAGAAAAGACAACCCAAAUUCAAGAAAAAGCAAACCAAACAUGCUGAUAAAGGGGUCGACCCAGUUGGGUUCCUCACCAAACAUGGCAUUUCACAUAAAGCCUUCGCCUUUUUCCUUCGUGAAAGGUAGUAUUGUUUGUCCCUUAGCUCUUCUUCUUUUCCUCGUAAUUAUGAAAUUAUGGUUUCUAUUGGACCUUUUAUUGGAAGAGGUACCUAGUUUGGUUUUACUUUAUGCCAAGGUACAAAGCGUUGAAGGACUUGCGGGAUGAGAUUUUUAAUCGUUACCUCAACCUAAAGGAGCUGGCUUCUGGGUUAGUGCUUUCUUUCUCUUUCACAUAUUAAUAUUGGGCUAUCUUAUACUGUUAUUUAAAGUGCUAGUUUCUCAUGUUUUUGAAAGUUACUGACUUUCUGAGAGUUGUUUUUGAUAUCUAAGUGUUUGUCAGAAUUGUUAGCUGAACUCUCUCUCCCUCUCUCUCUCUCUCUCCGUAAUUAGCAAUUAUACCAUAUGUGUUACCAGUGAUGCCUAUGUUUCUUAUUACUAGACGUGAACUACUAGAGUGAUGCCUGUGUUUUUAUUUCUAGAUAUGAACUACUGGGAAUGCAACGAAAUGCGCAGCAUCGGGUGGAUUUCUUGGAGUGGGCUCCAGGUUUGACACCAUCUCUGAGGAUAUUUUUUUCUUGUAGAAGGGCAAGCGUCAUUUCUUGCUUAGUUCAAAUUCGAGCUCAUCAGUGGGCAUGUCUGGAAGCUUAAGUAUCUAAGAGAAGUUUUAGUUACAUGCUAUCAGUCUCAAAAUGUGUCUAUAGAUGUUAGUUUAGGAUUAGGAUUUAGCAGCUCCACUUUAAGUUCAGACUUGUGUUGUUUCUGAAUGCAAUUACCAUUGCUCGUGUAGCUCACAUGUGAAGCUGAAAAUCUUGACAUUAGGUGCUCGUUAUUGUGCUAUUGUUGGAGAUUUUAAUGGCUGGUCACCCACAGAAAAUUGUGCCAGGGAGGGUCAUUUUGGCCAUGAUGACUAUGGUUACUGGUUUAUUAUUCUUGAAGACAAAUUACGGGAAGGUGAAGAACCAGAUGAAUUCUACUUUCAACAGUACAAUUACGUGGAUGAUUACGAUAAAGGUGACAGUGGUGUUACAGUUGAAGAGAUGUUUAAGAAAGCAAAUGAUGAAUAUUGGGAACCUGGUGAAGACCGCUUCAUUAAGUCACGUUAUGAAGCGGUAGCUAAGCUGUAUGAGCAGAUAUUUGGCCCUAAUGGGCCUCAAACGGAAGAGGAGCUGGAAGAGAUAGCUGAUCCAGAAACUAGGUACAAGGCCUGGAAAGCGCAGCAUAGAGAUGAUCCACCAAGCAACUUACCUUCUACUCAUGUGAUAGAUACUGGAAUGAAAGAGUAUGAUGUUUUCAACAUCAUAGACGAUCCUGUAUGGCUAGAGAAAUUCCGUGCUAAGAGUCCUCCCAUUGCCUACUGGUGGGAGACACGUAAAGGAAGGAAAGCGUGGUUGAAAAAGUAUAUGCCUGGUAUCCCCCAUGGGAGCAAAUAUAGAGUAUAUUUUAAUACUCCAACAGGGCCUCUGGAAAGGGUUCCUGCCUGGGCCACUUAUGUAGUCCCAGGUAUCCAGUGGUUGCUAGCAUCUCUUAUCUGUUCACGUAGUUUGCAUAGCGAUGCUUAAAUAGUAUAAUUUGAUGCUCACACUAUCAUACGCCACUUUACUUGUAAAAAGUAAUCAUUUUCAUGCUUUGAAUGUGUGAUCUGUUAAUUUUUUUUGUUUUUAAGAGGUCCAUUGCUAAUCAUGUAUUCCUUUUAUUUUUUAGGUAACUGUACUUGUUUACAUUAAUUAAUCUGCUUAGCUUGGAUUUUGGUCUCAGAAAUGAACUUUUCGGGUACAUAUUCUUGUGUCAGUAUCGGUAUUGUUCUUUUAAUGGUAGUAAAACAAGUUUCGUGAGAAAAAGAAAUACUACUUAAUUUUUUUUGUAUUCCUACAAAGAUAGAGCAAAUACAAAGUUUAGACAUUCAUGCUGCACUGAUGUCAGAGUUAAAUGAAGAAUCUAUCUUUACCUCUACUUGACUUCCCAUCAUUGUCGCACACGUUUUGUUUAUUGAGUUUGCAUAUCUUUUGUUUCUAUACUGUCUUCCUGUAACAGUUCGAUAUUGAAUGCUAUUUGAACAUGCAGAUGCAGAUGGCAAGCAAGCUUUUGCAAUCCACUGGGAACCACCUCCUGAAUCUAAAUAUAAAUGGAAGCACAAGCAUCCACCAAAGCCAAAGACUUUACGCAUAUAUGAAUGUCAUGUUGGAAUCAGUGGACAAGACCCAAAAGUUGCAUCUUUUGAUGUUUUCAUUCAAAAGGCAAUUCUUCAAGUUAUUUUACAUUUGUUUUCCCUUUUGUUGUCCUUAUUUCCUGUUAUAUUCUGUCCUUCAAUUGCAACUUCCUUCAUCUUUAUAGGUCCUGCCUCACGUAAAAGAAGCUGGUUACAAUGCAAUCCAAUUGAUUGGACUUGUUGAGCACAAAGACUACUUUACGGUUGGGUAUAGAGUGAGUUCAGAAUUAGAUGUUCCUUAUCCAUAUGAAGUAAUGAUUAAGUGUUGAAAUACAAUCUUUAAUGUACCAUGACAUGAAUUCUUGAAUUUAGUAAUUAGCACCAUAUUGUUUUACUUGCAUAAAUCUUCCUGUGGAAUUAGGAUUUGAAAAGGCUGCAAGAUAGGACUAUCAAAUUGGAAGUAUGCUUGUGAACUAUUUAUAUUUUGGAUAAAAUAUUUGUUUAAGGUCCUCAUGUAUUCUGUAUAAUAUGGGGAACUCCUGCGACCGAAUGCGCGGACUAACAAAGAAAGUUAUGCUUCCUGCUUUUUACUGUGGAGAGAAUCUCAACUGCGCUAGAAUGCAUCCUCUAAUAUUUCUAGCCACUGAGUGUCCUAAGAGAUGUACAUGCUCAGUUUGAAAAUAUUUUCACCCAUGCAACCUGGUUAUCCAAUGGAUUUUCUAGUUCAGUAAAAGCUAACCUGCUGUCAAAUUACCUUUCAGUAGCAUAAUAUUUUAGUUCUUCUACAGGUGACUAAUUUUUAUGCUGUUAUCAGCCGCCUAUGAUUCAGUAGCAUAAUAUUUCAGUUCUUCAACAGGUGACUAAUUUUUAUGCUGUUAGCAGCCGUUAUGGUACACCAGAGGACUUUAAGCGCUUGGUUGAUGUAGCACAUGGUAAUUCUUGAAAAUUGACUUAUAAUUCAUAGCAAAAUGGAUAUGCUUCUAUUCUUUUCUCUUAUGACCUCUAAUUUCCAUCUUUGUUCAUUUGUGUGCCAAAAUUUAAUCUGUACCAUUGACAUCAUACUUGGAAGAAUUAGUGGAUUUCAGGUAUAGUGAAAUUUGUCAUCUGAAAUCAGUUUUCUUGCUACUUAUCAGAAUUAGGAAAUGAAUUGGAGGUCUUAAUUUUUCAGUAAAACAAUAUUAACUUGCUGUAAGAUUUUAGAAGAAAAUAUUGAAGCCAUUCUCCCCUUUAAGCGUGGAGUGAAUUUUAUGUAUUCUUGUUGAGAAAUGUUCUUCACAAACAAUUUAGUUUUGUUUCAACCCAAAAGACUAGAAAUAGUCGAUGACAAAUUUGAGCUGUCCUUGUGCUACCCUUUUAAAAAGCCUUAAAACAAACAAAUGAUUGAUUGGAGAGAGGAGAAGAAGAAUAACAGAAUUAUAAGUCUAAGAUAUUGGUUUUUUCGCUGUUUCUUGUGAACCAUGUGUACUCAAUGAGGAAGUUUGGCCUACAUUUUCCAUAUAGAUUUUACUUGACAUGCAAAAGUCAAUUGUUACUUCUUUGAAUUGAGUGUCUUUGUAUAACUGACUCAGACACGUACGUCUCUCUGUUGCUAUUAACCUGUUUCUGGAGCAGUGUUCUUUCUUUCAACCUCGUAAACCAAUUAAUUUCUUUCUGGCUACAAUGCUUAUUAGCUGUCAUUGUCGUGAUAAUUUGUACAUCUUUUUUUCAAGUGGUUUCUAAUUGCAUGCUCAUGUCAUAAUGAAUUUUACCCCUUGAGCUCCAUUUGUUUUUUGCAGGACUUGGGUUACUAGUCUUCUUAGACAUUGUCCACUCAUAUGCAGCAGCUGACGAAAUGGUUGGUUUAUCACUUUUUGACGGAUCAAAUGAUUGCUACUUCCAUUCUGGUAAACUGUUUUUGGCAAGAAAAAAUGAAACUACUGUAGAUGACCAUUGACUAUAUUUCCAGAUUGAUCCUAUUGUUGUCUUGCCCGGCUACUACUUCAUGUCCUUUUGAGUACUGUUGCGUGGUCCCGUCUCAUCUUAGGAAAUUAUUCAAAGUAAUAUUAAUUCGCAUGUUCAUUCAGUAACUUUGCAAGUCAUAGGGUGUUAGAAUUGUAUGUCAGCUUCAGUGGAAACCGGGCUCUCUAGUUUAGCACUGUGAUGUUGAUCAAGAUUCUUACUGACAGUAUGCUGAUAUUGUUUUCUUGUUGGUCUAGACUUUACAUACUAGAAAUAGAAGUUAUAGGGAAUAGCAAGAAAAAAAAGAAAGAAAUGUACUUUAAGCUGGUCGUAAGUUAUGCUCCUUUCUAUUCCAUCACAGAAAAGUUUUUGACCGUGCCAUAUGAGCUUCUGGCUUUUGGAAGUUUUUGUCAUUGUAUCAGUUUUUUAUGGGAAGCUAGGAAAUUAUAUAUUUUUUGGUUCAUUAAACUUUUGAAGUCCAUUUUUUUUUCCAUUUUUAGUCAAUCUCUUUUUCUCUCUCUCUGGCAGACACACAUAUGCAGACGUACAUACACACAGACACUCUCUAAUAUGGUGCACAAGGAGCAUAAUUUUAUGUUUGUCCAACUCAUUUUGCACUGAUAGGUAAACGAGGCAAUCACAAAUUCUGGGGUACAAGAAUGUUCAACUAUGCAGAUCAAGAUGUGCUGCACUUUCUUCUUUCAAAUCUGAAUUGGUGAGUAUAGCAUACCUACCUUGCUCAAAAAGUUUUUCUUUUCUGACCUUGAUCAGAGAAAUGUGGGAUUUCUGAUUGAUAUUUUCUUAUCACCUAUCUCCUCCUUCGUUUCCUAGAAAUGUGUAGCCAAUUAUUCCAUUUGUGUUGAGUAUCUUUCCAUUCUUAUACCAAUUGCAAAAGUUUGCAUUUUAUUCAUUGCUCAUGGAAUGGUGUUUGUCAGGUGGGUGGAGGAGUAUCAAGUUGAUGGUUUCCAUUUUCAUUCCCUUGGAUCAAUGAUGUAUACACAAUGGAUUUGCUACAUUUACGGGUGACCUGGAGGAGUGAGGCUUCUGAAAUCUUAUUGAUCUACUUGACAUCUUUUUGUUUUGAUUUUCUCUCUUUUACUAAUGCUUUAAAUUUCUAUGAAGCAUAUUAUUUUCCCAUGGCUUGUAAGACCAUUUAUUUCUUUGUAAGUUUGGUCACCUCCGGAAUCUGUAUUUGGUCUUAAAAUGCAUAUACAACCUCUGCAGUAGCAGCUAAUACUUUUCUGUUGCAAAUAGAUUUGUGUAUCUUAUUUAGCUUUCAGUGCACCAAAUUUAUGUCUAUACAUAGUAUAGUAGUGGUUGCAGAUGUUGCAUUUUUGCCUAGAAGGUAAUUUUAUUUUUUCUUCUUGCAGGUAUUGCAAUCAAUAUGUUGACAAGGAUGCAUUGUUAUACCUAAUUUUGGCAAAUGAUAUACUACAUGCUCUUCAUCCUAAUAUUAUCACCAUUUCUGAAGAUGUGAGUAAUCUUGUAUUAUUUGUCCUCACUAAAACUUUCUCACAGUUUUAUGUUGUUUGGUCAAAUAUGGUCUUGCAAUUUAAACAUUAUGCCUUGAUCAAUAGACAUGAAUACGAAGCUCAGUGCAUUGUUUACAUACUCAAUAGAACUGUAACUUUGGGAUGGGAAUUAAUUUGGUUUUGUGUGUGUAAAUUUCAUUAGAGCUCCACAUUUGGGUUCUGUGGUUAUUAGAAGGAAUCAAGACAGCUAGUGAAAUUGGUUGGCAUUAAAGUAUAUAGAACUUGGAAAUAUCAGUUACUGUAAUGGAGAAUGAAGAUGAUUGUAUGGUAAAAGUAAAACACUAAGGAGUUGGAUGUUUUCCCAGCGUUAAAAUCCUGGCUUCUCUCUUUUUAUAAGAUUCCUUGAAUGUUUAUCAUUCCUUUAGCUUUGAAGCCUUCUCCACCCGUUUUCAAAGAAAGCCUUCUCCACCCAUUACAAACCCUGUGACUUUGAGCUUGUCCUUUCAUGGCAAAGGUCAGUAAUUUCUUUCACUUCUCAGGCAACACUUUAUCCUGGACUAUGCGAGCUGACUUCCCAGGGUGGAUUAGGAUUUGAUUAUUUUGUCAAUCUUUCUGCACCGGAGAUGUGGUCAUCAUUCCUUGAGAACACCCCUGAUCAUGAAUGGAGCAUGAGUAAGGUUGUUCCAUGCUACUGCCUUAGGAUACUUGACAAUUGUUUGUGCAGAAUUGAUUUUCCAAAUUUUUUGUCCUCUGAUGAGUACUUAUAUUUCAAAAGCUUUUUGUUUAGGAGAAUAGUUUAUCUCUUGGUCACUUAUUCAUUUCUAUUCUUCAAGAUUGUGAGCACCUUAGUAGGCAACCAACAAAAUACAGAAAAGAUGCUCUUGUACGCUGAAAACCACAACCAGGUAUCUUGUUAUUUGCCUGCCUGUUCCUCUUGUAAACGUUUUACCACUUUUGGCAACUUUAUUAAUCCUAUCAUUAAGUUGUAUGUCUAAUCUAACAAUUGAUUCGUUUACAGUUUUGAAAUUAUCUUGCUAAUCACUGGUUCUUUGCUUUCCAGUCCAUAUCUGGAGGGCAGUCCUUUGCAGAAGUAUUGUUUGGUGAUACAAUUGGCUGCUCUUCUGUUACGGAGGAGUCAUUGCUUAGAGGUUCUUCGCUGCACAAGGUAACCUUUUUGAUCAUUGCAGAUCAUACUGUGAAAAACUAUAAAAUUUCUAUGAUUUGGUCAGUUGUUCACUAGCUUCAUCAGCUAGAAGACAGAAUACUUCUCAUAAUCUCUCUCUGUCUCUCUCUAUAUAUAUAUCUAUGUAUUUACAUUUUGUAAUUGUUAUGCUUUUAAGAGAAUUUUAGUUCUUGAAGAAUCUCAUGCUACAUGGAGUAGAUAGAAUCAUUUUUAUGAAUGAAGUUGGUUUAGAUUCUUACAUGGAUUACACAGAAAAUAUUCAGAUUUUGAAUAGUUUCCAAUCACAUUGUUUGUGAUCUACCUGGAGAGGCACUUCAAACAAUAUUUCUCAAAUGGUUGAGUUCUUCAAUUUUUUAAAUCAUUUUAAUCAAAUUUAGUUUCUUCAAAUUUUAUAUCUCAACAAUAUUACUCUCUAUUUUUGUAUCUCAACUAGUGUAAGUUCAUUUUUUUUUACCCUCAGUUUGUACAGCAUUGUCUAUUUACUCUCUAAAAAUUUUCUUACUUUUGUACUUAUUGUCAAUUCAAGGUGACUGUGUGCUUGUUAUUUCUCGGUUUAACUUGGGGUGUUCUUUAACAAGAUGAUCAGGUUGAUUACAUUUACAAUUGGUGGUUCAGCAUAUCUCAACUUCAUGGGUAAUGAAUUUGGGCACCCAAAGGUGAAGCCUAUAACCUAACUGUGUUCUUUACUGUACAUCUAUCCACAGCUAUGUCCUCUAAAUAUAUUACAUAAUUUUGGUUUGCUAGAGAGUUGAAUUCCCUAUGGUGAGCAACAAUUAUUCAUAUGCACUUGCUAAUCGUCAAUGGGACCUCUUGUUGAAGGAAGGAGUGCACAAUCAGUUGUUUACUUUUGAUAAGGUGAUGAUUAUGGUAUUGUGCUUUUAGUAUUUUGUCUUCCUUUUAGGCUUUCUAGCCAAAAACCACCUGACUUUUAACAUUUGGCAUUUCUUGAAAUAUGUGUUUUCUGUUCUGAAUUAUAUAUUCUGAUAACGAUCUGCGUUCAAAACCAAUAAUGUUCCUCAUCUAUGAAUUGCUAAUAGAUUAUAGGUUACAAAUAAGAUGGGCCUAAUUGAUGAAGUUAGAAACAUAAAAAAUCUGAUCCAACACAUGUUGGGUACAUCAAAAAAUGUAACUGCUACGUAAUCACCAAAGAUGGAAUUAUUACUCUAAUAUCAUCUUCUUCCUAACCAGGAUAUGAUGCACCUGGAUGAAGUUGAAGGAAUUCUUUCAAAAGGUUCAGGAGGUCAUUCCAACAUUCAUCACGUUAAUGAUCCUCCUAUGGUAAAUGAGUAACUUUCACAUUUACAUCUGUUUUCACAUGCUUUUGCUUGUGCUUUUGUUUGUAUGUGUUCUUUUUUCAUUGCAAUUCAGUUGCAGGAAAUGAAGAUGCAACAUCUUAACUCAAAAGUGGGCACCUCCACGUUACCAUGAGGAAAUUUAUGGUUCCCUUAUUCAGAAUAAAUGCUAUAGUUCUUUUGACGUUCUAGUAGUUGUCAUAUUAUCUAGCAGUCAACGUAUAUUCCUAUUACUUGAAUAUAUGAAAUGCAAUUUACUAGUUGUCUCCAUUUUUUUUUCUGAUUUUUGAUCUCCAGCAUGGGUUACUAAAAUUCUUAUUUUGUGGUGUUAGAAGAGAUGCUACCGGAAAGUAGAUGGUCAAUGCCUUUAGAUUUUUUUUUCUCUUGUUUGGCAGCCUUUGCUUUUAUCAUUAUUAGUCUGUAUGGCUGAUGCAGAUAAUAAAUUAAUCAUAACAUGCGUAGCAAUUUUGCAUAUGCGCUUAUAGUUGCUUUCCAACUCAUUUCAUUCUAUGGACAAAUUUAAGCAUAUUUAUCUCAUCAUUUUUAUCAUGGCUGAACAUGAAAGUCCCUUAUGGAACAGGUUAUUGCCUAUAUUAGAGGUCCUUUCCUCUUUGUGUUCAAUUUUCAUCCCACAAAUUCAUAUCACAGAUACAGCAUUGGUGUGGAGGAAGCUGGAGAGUAUCAUGUAAGUGAUUUUAUGCCGUGGUAUCAUCUGACAUUCUAACUAAAUCAUAAUUUCCAACUCCAUGUUGGUUUGUUCUCUAAGAUCUAAGUGAGGGCAUAGUUCGAAAUGAACUGAGGACAUAAUUUCUUCUCGAUACACUUUGGCCAAUUGGUUAAUAGAAGCAUCUAGCAACGCCCAUUGGUAACUUUCCUCAUUGCACCUGCACCUAGAAAUUACUCUAGAAAUACUUGAUUCUUACUGACAGUUAGUUCCUAGUAGGCAGAAUAUGGUUCUUUCCCCUGGGCCACCCUUCUUGAAAUUUGAGAACUAUACAAAACUUUUCAAGGGAAUAACAUUUGCAAAUAGUAAUUUAAUUUUGCAAUUAGUAGACUUCCCGUCGAUAAAGAAAUUGGAACUCUUGGUUCUUCAUUCAUCCUUUGUUUCAAUCUAAGCCUGAGCUAGAUGUGCCGUGUUUUUUUAACUAGUCUAAAAACUGGUGAAAUUUAUGAAAUUGAGAAAGUUUGAUAUUGAUCAAUGGUUAUUUCACUUGGUGGUCCAACAAAACCACAAAAUGACCAGCUAUUGUGGUGACAAUCAUUUGAGAAUUUUGAUAUAAAAGCAUUUCCCCCAUUCACAGGGAGAUAUCUGAUUCUCUAUUAUGGCUCAAUUUUGAGUGUGAUAUUCUUAUAUUUAUUCCAAUGGCAAGUUUAAUCUUCCUGUUUUACAUAAUAAGGGAAGUUAUGAAUCUCUUCUUCAGAUUAUUCUUAAUACAGACGAAAAGAAAUACGGCGGUCAAGGAUCUUUUGAGCAUGACCAGUAUGUUCAAAGAACUAUCAAUAGAAGGUUAGUAGUGGCUCAAGUUAUCUUUGCUGGUCUUCCUCAGUUUGACAAGCUGUCUUUGAUAAGGAACCACCAAAAUUUGUUGUUAACAAGCAUGAUCUCUUCUGCAGAGUUGAUGGAUUGCAUACUUGCUUAGAAGUGUUUCUUCCAAGUAGAACUGCUCAGGUUUGUGUUUCUACAGUGUUUUUUUCCCUUUUUAUUUUUCUGUUAACAGAAUGACAAUAAGGGGGGGAAUAAAGGAUCAUAAUUUGUGUUGUCGCAUGUGUUUCAAGCCUUUUUAUAAAAUGGGCACUUCUGCAAAUGCACCAUCUCUGGCCUAGGGGUGUAUGGACUUGUCCAACUGUUUCUAGCAAGAGCUAGGGACAAAAUCAUUGGAAUCUGAAUCUAAGUAGUUUGAUCUAUCAAGUUCUCUUGAGUAUUUUAAUUCAAGGUCAUCGAAGCAUGUAGAAAAUCAUAAUAGGUACUCUUUUGGCAAAUUGCUUCAGGAGUAGUUAUACUGUUACACUUUUGGAACACAGAAAACAGAAAUUGCUUUCCUGUUCAAUUGUAUUAUUUCUUCAUUAUCAUCGGAGAAUUGUUAUGGUAUGGUGCUAGAUUAAUAAUUUUGAGAGAGAGCUGCAACAAAAUUAUUUUACUUUCAUGACCAUUCUUGGUUUUCUGGUGGCUAACUUGGGUAGAUUUUUUGAAAAUUUGGAUUCUCCAAAUCAUAUGCAUUCUCUAUAUGUGACUAUGUGAGCAUCAGUUUGACUCUAGGAUGCCUAUGUGAUCUGCUUUCACUUUGGAUCCUAGAUUUGCCUUCCAGAUAGCACAACUUAAGCACUUGUUUGGUGUCACUGUUUCAAUCUCUGCUCUGUGCGAAGUUCAGUGUCCCCAUGAUUGAGGAUCAGUUGCAUCUGUCAUUGCAGGUCUACAAGUUAACGAGGAUACUAAGAGUAUGAACUCUUUGCUGUAAGAACCCCAAAUAUCUUCAUAUAUUUAGAGCGGAUCAGGAAGCGUAAAUUCAGGAUUCAAGCUUGAUGAUUUCAUUGGCCCAGUCCUAGAACCUUCAAUAAUGUGUCCAUGACCAUGUCAUCCAUUUGUGGUUCGUUGGUUGUUGGUCAUUGUCCAUGGUUCUUGAUCCUAAGGUUCUCCAACUACUCGCCCGCCCUGAAUCAGGACUCCCAUCUGGAAAUUGUUCAUCUUGUCGGGCAGGUUUUGGAUAUAGAACCACUGGCUUUGCCUUUUCGAUUCAAAGAAAUGGGAGAGAGUUUUGGACUCUCGAUGUUCUUGGAUUCAUGGUACUUUGCUUCCCCGUAAUUAUCAUUCAAUAUACAGAUGUAGCUCAAUCUUUUUUUGGAGCCAUCUCUGUAUACGUACUCCAGUGUAGUACAGAUAUACAACGAAAUGAUGGCAUAGAAACGCGUUGAAAGCUCUCUAAUUGGAAGCAACAGCCUUCGACAUCGUAGCAGCAGAUUCUCAAUGUAGUAGACUUGUAAAGUUCAUUUUUGGAUUUUUUAUGACUUGUUCAAUUGAAGCUUGACAGUUUAUCUGCAAAAGUGAACACGAUAAUAUUUUAAAGGGUAAAAAACAAAAAAGUCCCCGUGGUAAGCUUAAUACACAGAAAAGCCCUCUAUGAUUUCAAAAUAUACAAUACGAUACCUCAUGUUUUGAACUAAAUUGUAAAGGUGACGGAAUUCGUUAAACUUAACGGAAAUGACUUAUUGGAACCUACAAAAAAAUUUUUUAUACCUAAUUUUUAUUAAAUAUACCUAUUCUACCCCUUAACUCUCAAUUCUCUUUAUUUAGAGAAUAAAAUAAAUGAUUUUUUUGAGUUGUCUUUUGUUUAAUUAUAUCAGGACAUUUUGGUCAUUUCGUCCAUUUCCGUUAAGUUUAACGGAUUUUGUCACCUUUACAAUUUAGUUCAAAGUACGAGAGGUCGUGUUGUAUAUUUUGAAACUAUGGGAGAUUUUUCUAUAUAUUAGAUUUACCACAGGAGAUUUUUUUUUUAUUUUUUACCCUAUUUUAAACUGCAUUUACUCAGUGAGCCUUGUAGAAUGUGGAUCAUUUUCAACAAUGGAAUAAAAUUUACAGCACCCAGUUCGACUGGUGCAAGACGCGGUUGAAUGAAUCACUUAUAAGAGGAUAGAUAUUUCCUGAUUCAAGUUCGUUCACAUCAGAGUACGUGAAAGUUGAUUAUUUACUUAUUUAUACACACAAAAAAAAAAAAAAAAAAUUUGCACAAUUGUAGCUUAAGUGGAUUACAUAUUUAUUGGACAAGUUAGGAUUAAACCCGGUGUCUAAACACCAGAAGCAAUGGCAAGCUGGCAUCAUGAAUAGGCUAACGUAAAGGAUAUAUGGCUUUCGAAUUUUAUGCUUUUAAUAAUUCAAACUAAGCUCCGCGAUGCAUAUCACUUAAUAAUUAGCUCAAACACUUUGAUUCAUUUAUUUCCGUGAACUUCUAAUAACCAUGAUUGUUCUUCUUUUCAAUAAAAAAAAAAAUUUUUAGAAGUCGAAAGGAGGGAAUUGAGUCCUAAAAGUUGAAUAAGGGAUCUCAUGAUCAUCUAGUAACCUGGUGGUUCAGUGCUAAGAAAGAAGCAAAUUCUUUGUCACAAAAAUGACUAAUACACCCCUAAAUACGCUUCUCAAAUAAGUUGGAGUAACUAUUAUACUAUUUAACAUAUCAGUCCACCUAGUUACCUAAUCAGUGUAUACGCUAAUAUAUAUUAGUUUACACCGAGAAAAAGAUAUACAAAAUCUUAUUAAAUUUAGAGUAUAAUAAAAGUGUAACACACAAAUGUACAUUUUUUGAAAAAAAAAAAAAAAAAAACCCGCAUGAACGAUACAUUUGUAACAAAAGACCCGGAGCAAUGGCUGUAUCGGGUGAGCUGGUCUUGAGACCAACAACUCGGUUUUUGUCUGUGUCAUGCUCGCUACUCUAUUAUUGGGCCCUUUUGCUAGCAAUUGGGCAAGUCCAUUUCACCAAAGAGCACAUACUUACAUUGCAAUCCAGCAGUCCAGGCAACAACAUUAAAACCCAACAUAAGACAACCUUCUCCGACAUCCAGAGUCCAAAAACAACGUUGUUUUGGCAUGGGCUGCACGUGUAAGCUAACUUAAAAGGCUUCAAUGGAAAACCACCAAAACGGAUGACGAAAUCCAACCAAGCGCUACUCCCUCAGCCUCGGUUCCUCUUCCAAUUUAUGGAAAUACAGUACCACUUUCUUCUUCAGCUGUCUUUUCUUUACUGCUUACCUUAAUUUCUUCAUCGAAGAUUUCUCCAAUUUCCACCUAUAAUUAUCCCUCACUUAUAGAUAGAAAAUAGGUUUCCCCAAGACGAGAGAGAGGGGGGAAAAAAGGGAAGAAUAAAAAAAAAAAAAAAAAGCUUUUUGAUUGAGCGGACGACUGGUAAUGGCGAACUUACCUCAGUCCUUGUCGAUGAACGCCGCCGCCGCUUUUGGUGGUCCAGGCUCGUCGUCGGCUAGCCCUUCCGCCGCUGGAACUCAAGGCAAUAAGGAUCGAAAAAUGAUGUCUGCCGAGCAGCUUGUACUUGAACUUAGCAACCCUGAUCUCCGAGAAAAUGCCCUUCUCGAACUCUCCAAGGUUUAUAUAUCAAUUUAUGACAAUUUUACAAUUACAUUAAUGAUUAGGAGAAUUGCCAUGUAUUUUUACAUUCUUUUUGGAGCAUUUACUGGAGAACCUUUUUUCUUUUUUUUCUUUUUUUUGGGCUUCGCUGAUUUAGUGGAUUAGUCUUUUGCACUUUCUGAUUUGUAGGGAAUUGUCUGUUCUUUUCUUGAAAUUGGAAUUUUGGGUAGUUUGGUAGUUAAAAUUUCAGUAUGAUUUGUUAAAACUGGCGAUAAAUGAGAAGGUGCGAUCCUUCAUUGUUUUUCCAUUUUUCAUUUUCGCACCCUCAGUUCGAUAUGGUUAUCAUUUGGUAAAAUAAUUUUUUUUUGAGUCUGUUGGAAUAAGACAAUAUUGACAAAUUGCUAUCGGCAGUGAAUCAACUGAUCAUUUGCUUAAAAUAUGUGAUUUUUUCCUAUAAUUGUUAAUUUGGUGCAAAGUUGACUUAAUUCUCGAUAUUUUUUUGGGAUAAGAGGCUGAAAAAAUUUGGGAUUUUUUUAUAGCUUAGUAGUUGGAUUUUCCACGUUCAAACUGCCACAGGAUGUUGAAGUAUGGGCAAUCUCAUGAUAUCCAACUACAAUUGGUGCAAGGAAGCACUGAAUGGCCAGAGGAGAUUUGUUUAACAUGCCGCUUUGUGUUCGAUGAUACUGCAAUAAUGUGAUCGUUAAUGGAUUGGAAUCAGAAACAAUUAGUCAGUAUACAAAAAAGUUCUUAGACACUACUUUAAAUGUUUAAAGCUCACUUUAAGAGACUCAGAAAUGAUGAGGGGAUACAUUAUUGCAGGACUUUGAAUUACAUAUCAAAAGGAUCUGUUUUGUUCUCUGCCAAUGGUUGCUGCCAGAAUAACUUUGUGGUGUAUAAAAAGUUUCAUUGCCAUAUAAAUCAGUUAUUUAAGGGUGCAUUAUUGCUUAAAUGAUUCUUAUGAAUUAAUGCUCUAACUCUUUGGUGUAUUUUACAGGCAUGGAAAGCACUAUGCCUUUCUUCCUUGAGAAAAUUACUUCUUGUUCUGCAUAUUUUAGCUCAUAGAUAUUAUGCAUAAUCGUGGCUUUCAAAUUUAUUGAGUAACUGAUUGCAUCUUCUUCCUUUUUUGUUCAUAAUUGUAGAAGAGGGAAAUCUUUCAAGAUUUGGCUCCAUUACUUUGGAAUUCUUUUGGGACUAUUGCUGCACUCCUGCAGGUAUUUAGUAUGAAAGUAUUCUGUUUUUGUUUUUUUCUCAGUAUUUAUAUUGUCAUAAGAUGCCAAUUAAAGUGUUAGUUGAUUCAUGAAUAUUGUACUGAUUAACUGUUUUUUUUUUUUGAAAAGAACAACUUCGCCAAUUCGUAUAUUGGUUAUACUCUUUGACUGUUGUACUUUUUGUGGAUAUAUGUUUUACGAUGUAAUUUGACAAUAUGAACUCAAUAAAUUGUCUUUGUGUAUGUGCAUGAGACAUUGAUGGUGAGGAAAUGGAAACUACAUUGAUAAUGGAAAAACAAUGUGUAGUGUAUUUGAUGCAUCUCUUGUUAUAAAGACAGUUUGCUGACUGGAUUGGUGUUCUUUUUUGGGAGCAUGCAGGAAAUAGUUUCUAUCUACCCUGUUUUAUCUCCACCAAACCUGACUCCUGCACAGUCAAAUAGGGUUUGCAAUGCACUUGCUCUUCUGCAGGUACUACUUAUUCUUUUCUUUGACUUUUUCAUGAAAAGAUGAUGGAAGAAUUUCGUAUCACAUUUUUGUGAGUCAGGUCAUGCAUGUACAUCCUAAAGAAACUCAACAUAUUUGUGAUUUUGUAACAGUGGAUUCAUUAACCAUCUUACAACUUUGUUCCUCAUGUUUUUGACUCUUGCCUUUUUUGGCACUGACAAAAAAAUGACUUUAGAGCUGCUUAUUCAUGAUAACUUUAUCAAAAUAAAGUAUUUGGAAUCUUUCCCUUCCUUUUUUAUUUUUUGUUGGUGAUGCUGCCAUAAAUGGCCCAAAUCUAAUUCGUCUGCUCUGAAGUGAUCUUGCUCCACCGCAAAGAUUAUCUGUUUUGUGAAAAUCAUUUGCUUUUGAUGAAUUUGUUGGUUUGCCUUUUGCAGUGCGUGGCUUCUCAUCCUGACACUAGAAUGUUGUUCCUUAAUGGUAAUUUACUCUUUCUUCAUGAUUAGGAUUUUUACAUGGAUCUGCCUGAAGUUUCAAAUAUCUAACGGACAAAAUCUGUAGACAAAGAAGAACCCUUAGUUUAGGGAGCCUCAAUAGCUGUGUAUUAUAAUGCAGCAUCUACCUUCAACCUCCCAGUGUGCCUGUGGAAAAAAUAUGAUAAUUACAUGAAAAUUUGUAGAGUUUUUUUUUAACACUAGCCAGUUAUUUGAAUUGAUACUGUUCCUCUCUGCUUUAAAUAAUAUCUUAGGUUUGAAACUGAAUGGACAUGUUCCUGUUUGAGUUUCUUGGAGACUAAAUAAGUCAGUAAUCAUGCCUGCUUUCUGAACUAAAAUAUCUGGUUCCUUUUGUUGCACAUAAACUAUUGUAGCAGUAGUGCAACCUCUAUUCAGCUGUGGAUCUUUUCCUUGUGCUUUUCAUCUCAAGAGCAAGACAAGUUGCAAAACCAUUGGGUUAUUCUUCAUUUAGCUGAAUAUUGUUUUGCUGUCAUGGCAGUUGAUUCUUAGUGUUGCUUUUCUUCUUUGCAGCCCAUAUACCACUGUAUUUGUAUCCAUUUCUCAAUACAACAAGCAAAUCAAGGCCUUUUGAAUACCUGAGGCUUACCAGUCUGGGUGUCAUUGGUGCACUGGUGAAGGUAUUAAAUCAUCCUAAGUUCAUAUUUUCUAUUGUCCCUCUACCUCUCCUCCCCAUAUAUCAUGAACCAUGUCCUUGCCAGUUUUGGCGUUCCUAGGUUAAACAAUCUUCAAUAGCAGCCAUGGUGUUUUCAGCAAAACACAUAUCUUCUGGUUGGGAAAAAAAAAAGAAGAAGAAAAGGAAUACAUAGAACAAUGAUUAAUGGACUUUGAGUGCUUGUAUCCGAAUAGAGCAAUACAUAUUGUAAAGUUGCACAUCUGGAGAGAAAUAUCUAGUUUCUGCAACCUUAUGAGAUAUUAUCUUGUUUCACCCUACUCUGAGUGAAGCUCCAGUUGAGGCCGUAUCUAUGGUUCUGCUUAUCUUAAUUGCUGCUUUUGUUAUGUGUUUUUAAAUUGCUAUCUCCCAUAAGAUAUAACUGACCAACUUCAAGGGUUGAUUUCUAUCUGAUUCCUUCAACUUUUCUUCUUUUUCUUGAAGUGUUAUAUAUGUUCACCCAGGGUGAAGCAUAUGAAACUUACUAAUUAUAGUCGCAACUUUAAUGUAACUAUCCUCAUUUCUUCGAUUUGUUAUUGUGUUGAAUGAAAUAUGGCAUCCUUGAAAUGCAUUAUUUGAGCUACUUUUGGAAGUUCACUUGUAUCAUGUUUAUAUUACUUGGAUUGUGCUAGCUUUAAUUUUCUGGUUGCCUUUGCUCCUUUUCAGGUUGAUGACACUGAGGUUAUUAGUUUCCUCCUCUCAACAGAGAUAAUUCCCCUGUGCCUUCGCACAAUGGAGAUGGGUAGUGAAUUAUCAAAAACAGUUGAGUGGCUCCUUAUGUUAUGUUUUACAGUGUUCUCUGAUGUUUUAGUACAAACGUCUCCUCAGUUCUGCAUUCCAAGUAUAGUUUGCCCUACAACAACUGUUACUAGAUGAUGUAUCAGACUCUGUGUGAUUGAUUCGCUUGAAUCUUUGAGAAUGGGAAUUGGAAUUUCUUUCUUGAAGUAAAUGCUUUUCCGGCAGUUAGUGUAGCAACAUUUGAUGAACGUCAACAGUCCAAGGUGCAGUAUGUAGAUACGAAAAUGAUUCUUAUCUGCUCUAACGAUUGUUGUCAUUUAGUGGCUGCUAGGGCUGUGGGUUUGUCAGUUACUGCCACCCUUUUGAUUAAACUGGAGACUUCCACAUUGUAAUACUAACUAGCCAUUAAGAGACCAAUUUUGGAAUGUCACAUUUGCUCAUUUGAAGGUUGUUCUUGCACAAUUUAGACAUUUUUUUUGUGCAGUCACAAUUUCACCAUCUUUCUUUAUGGAACUCUAUUUUUAUUGUGUCUGCUGGCAGGUUGCCACAUUUAUUGUACAAAAGAUUCUGCUGGACGAUGUGGGCCUGGAUUACAUAUGCACCACAGCAGAGCGGUUUUUCGCUGUAGGUCGAGUCCUGGGAAAUAUGGUGGCUGCACUUGCUGAGCAGCCAUCAUCGCGACUGCUAAAGCACAUUAUUAGGUGCUACCUUAGGUUGUCAGAUAACCCAAGGUGAUGCUUCAAGAACAAUAUGCUACCUCAUUGCAUAUUGUUUCUUUUCUCUUCCUCUCUCUUUCUGUGCAUACUGACGAGGUCCCUGCAUUUACAUGUUCAAUUUGUGUACGUGCGGGUGUCUGUGUUCAUAUGCAUCCCAUGUUUCAGUAUGAAAAACAUUAAGGUUUUACAACUUGUCUUGUGUAGGGCUUGUGAUGCACUUCGGAGCUGCCUUCCUGACAUGCUUAGAGACGCCACCUUCAGCAGUUGCCUUCGUGUAUGUAUACACUAAUAUGUAACUUGAGCAGAUUUUAGCUUAUAAUCUUGUAUUCUGAUUGUGGAUAUGCUGGAAAUAUAAAUGUUUCAACACCUAUUAAGCAACUUCAGCUUUCUGAUUUGAGGGGACCUUCAUCUUUCAUGUUUUUCAUGUUGCCAGGAAGAUCCAACAACGAGACGAUGGCUCCAACAGUUGCUUCACAAUGUCCAAGGGCCUCGGGUUGCACUGCAAGCUGGGACAGGGUUCGACCAUAUGCUAGUGAACUGACUGGAGGCCAGCCCGUUUUUGUUUGCCGUUACUGCUGAUGAUUAAAGCUUGCAUUUUCAAGUGCAUGCUGCUUUAGUUGCUUGGUUAAAAGGUCAUUUGUAGAUUAGGUAUUUAUACAACUCUAGUAACUUUUCGUAGGGGGCUUAAAAGGCCUCGACUUGAAUACGAGGUCAUUUUGUAAAUGAAUUUGAUGUUAUUAUAGAGGUUUUUUUUCAGUAGCCGGACACUUGAUAGUGUUCUUAAUUGGUCCACCCCGACCUGACCUCUUUAGCUGGUGCAGGUUAAAUGACACCGUAGGCCUCAACAAUUGUUUCUCAUAAUUUUAGUCUACAGUUUAUGGAUUAAGUGUAUAACAAUCACAAUUGACUUUUGGAUUAAAGGUUUAGGUGUAAAACAAUAACUUUUGGCACACAACUCCUAAAGAGUAUGUAAGAAAUUAUUGUUGUUUUGUAUUUAUUUAUUUAUUGGUUCAACUUCAUAGAUUUGAUAUCUUAGAACUGAACUUGUACAUGGUUGACAAGGUGAACUUGCACAUUGUGAGUAUACACUUGUCUGUUUGGACAUAUAAUGUAUAUAAGACCAUAAAAAGUUGUUAGAAAAAUAAAAAAGUUGAUUUGAAAAACAUAUUUAUAAUGCAAGCGAAUAAUAUUUUAAAAGAAUAGAUAUCAAGAUACAUUCGUUAAUCAAUUACAUCACUUGUAGGCGUGGAUUAUGUAAUUUUACAUGGAGUUGUUUUCUUCACUUUUUGACCUGGAUUGACAUGCAUUACGUUAGAUAAUACAUACAAAUUAUUUGAAUACUGGUUAAUGUCCAAUAUGUUUUCCUAUAUUUCUUUAUCAACACCUAAGUUGGUUUACCUCUAAAAUUUAUAAAACCUUUUUAAAAAUUAAAAUUUUCUACCAGAUGCAUAAUGGACAUUCAUUAAGAUACCUAAAAUGCGCGCAAGUUAGUUUUUCUUUUUUUUUUUUGUUAUUACCUCGAAGGUAAUAUGUACAUAGACACAUUUACAUUUUAUUGUACCUCCUGAAUUAAUUACAAUUUGCUUAAAAAACUAAUACCCAAAUCCUACUCUUAUCCGGUGCCUAAUAGGCACCUGUUAGCCAAACUAUGAAAAGUAAGUUGCACUCCUGAAGUUCCAUCUAAUCUAGUCGCGACUCUGAUGUGGCACAGGAUAUGACAUAAACGUAACUGGAUUAAAGGUACAAAGUAUCCCGGAAUCAGCAGAGCAUGGAUUCAGAUAGAUCUUUAAGUAUAAACAGUAUCCAGCAAUUUAACUUGCGUUAAAUGCGAAAAGAAGCUUGGACAGAGUGGGGUUAAUUUUAGAAACCUUCCCAAUUUCUGACAAUUUUACCUGACACCUUUCAGAUUUACAAUACUAAAAUUACCUCCCCUAUCAUACUAAAAUUACCUCCCCUGUCAUACUAAAAGACAAAGACGUAAGUCGGGGGGGAAUUCUGGGGUAAGUGGGUCUUAGUUAAGGUCUAGUAGAAGCUUCCCUUCCAACCUUCCCGUUGUCCCACAUCGAUUCUAAGGGGUUUGAGGGUCGGGUAGUUAAGUCCCCAAGGUUGCCUCAAGAGUUGCCGGCUUUUGAGGUGGACUUUGGGAUUAGGUUUAAUUGCUUUACUUGAAAAAGUCUGACAAAAAAAGACAAAGACGUAAGUCGGGGGGAAUUCUGGGGUAAGUGGGUCUUAGUUAAGGUCUAGUAGAAGCUUCCCUUCCAACCUUCCCGUUGUCCCACAUCGAUUCUAAGGGGUUUGAGGGUCGGGUAGUUAAGUCCCCAAGGUUGCCUCAAGAGUUGCCGGCUUUUGAGGUGGACUUUGGGAUUAGGUUUAAUUGCUUUACUUGAAAAAGUCUGACAAAAAAAAUCAUACUACAUUUACUUUCCACUACUAUAACCACUGUUUCUACCCCUCAACAGAUUUGCACUACAAGUUCAUACAUACUGAUGUAUUGCUCUUCAAAAUUACAUCCUAGAUAUCCAAAAAAAAAACCUACAAGAUUACAAAAUCUUUAUCUUUUGGGUAAAAUACACGGAACCCCCCUAUGGUUUCGCGAAAAGACACGGAACCCCCUAUCGUUUAAAAACAUACACAUAAACGCCCUAAACUUCAUAACUAAAGUGGAAAUAGACUUCUUAACCGGCUGAGUUACCGGCUGCAGGUCAAUACCCAAAAUACCCUCAUUUAUAAUAGAGAGGGAGAGAGAAUGAAAAACUGACUCUUUUCUCGUUCAUCCUGUGUAAGAAAAAAAACCCUAAGACAAGGGAUUUGUAUACUAAAUUGUUGCUGAAAUAUAGUGAAUCUGAGUUGAAAAAGUCGUGGCUGAAUUCGAUCGCGAAGAAGGGAGUGACAGAUUGGUGGUUGUAUCUGAUCGUGAAGCUGCAUUCGGUCGCGAAGAAGGGAAAGACAGAUUGGUGAGGAAAUUGAUCGUGAAGCUUGUUCGACAUUUCUAGGUAAGAAUCAGAACUUAUUGUUCAAUAUUCAGUCCAUUUAAUGUUUAGGAUUUGUAAUCCUUUUCCAAUUUGUUUAUUCCUUUUCCACAUUACCCCACAUUACCUCAUAUCUGUCAUUUUUAUAGUUGGUGGUCCAUAUUUAGGUGAUUUAUCAGAGAAAAUGGGGUUUAAAAAUGUAAAGAUCUUAACUUUUUUAGCUUUUUUUUGGAGAAUGUGGGUCUUUUUUGGAGUAUGUGGUUGAUGUCAGGAGGAAAUAAUAUGUGUCGGGUUUGGAUUUGACUACAAAUCAGAUUUCACUUAAUAAUCUGAUUGUUGUUAUAACUAAUUGUUGUUAUAAUCUGAAAGUGUGAUGUAGCUUAAUAUAGUUUAUUAAUCUAUAUUUGAAUUCUAAAAGUGUUGAUUAAAUAAUUUAGGUUGGGGACCAUGUCAGAUCCUUUUAGGACAGUGGAUAUCCACAUGCACUAUGGUGGGCGGUUUAUACAUCAUCCCAAUAUUAGGUAUACAAGUGAUUUAGUGAGAGUGUUUCACAAUUGCGACCCUGAUGAGUUAUCAACAUUUUCAUUAUUCAACCUGUACUCCAAAUUGAAAAAGAAGCGGCAUGUGCAAAAUUUUGGUAUUCCAUUCCAGACCAUGAUGUGGAUGUAGGUGUUAUCCCAAUAAAUGAUGACGUGGACAUAGAAUUGUUGACUACCUGUUAUGAAGGGCUUCCUUAUAUGCAUAUAUAUGUAGAGUCAGGUCAGAGGCCUCUCAAAAUUAUCUCACCAGAUGGUAAGCUCUUAUUCGAAAGAGUGACGAAUGAUGGUCCACUUGCUUUACCGUACAAUGAAGGUUCUUCAGAGAUAAAUUCAGAUCUGACUAGAAAAGGUGCUGGAGCUUCACAAAAUCCUGUUGAUCUGACUGGUUUUGAACCAUAUAUUGGUGAUACAAGAGGGCAAGAAAAUAAUUUAGAUGGCCCAACUGCUGUAGAAACUAAUGAUGGCACACAAAAUCCCUUCGAACCAACUAAGAAAAACAGAAGAAAGGGUGGUAAAACUCCAUCGAGGAAGAGACAAACUGUGGUGCAACCUGUGAAGAGAGCAGCUAGAAAAACUGUCAGAAAAUUAUUUCAGCAAACAACCAGAAUAGAUGCUGUCGACAGCCAGCAAGAGGUUUCUUCAGUGAACCAAAGUAAAGAAGAAUGUGAAAAUCAAUGUAACUUUGACAGAACCUCUGUUCAGACAAAUCAAGUCAACAAUGAACAAUAUUGUGACUUUGACAGAACCUCUGUUGAGAAGAAUCAAGUCAACAAUGAACAGCAGCACCACAGUGAUGGAAAUGAAGAACCUGAUCCGUCUUGGUUGAGAGAGGGCCUAGAAUUUGCAGAAGAUGAGGACAUCUUUGCAACUGCUGGUUCAACUGUACCUCAAACAAAUCAGCAAAUUGGUGACUUGAAUGAGCAGCAGCAACAACAUCAGCAACCACAAGGUGAGGAGUCCACAGCACAGCAUCAACAAACUGAAGACUUGAAUAAGCAGCAGCAACAACAUGAGGAAGCACAAGGUGAGGAGUCCACAGCACAGCAUCAGCAUGGAGGAGACCAACCUAUUGGCCCUGACAGUGAGGAAUGGAAUGAGCCUGUGACUGCAGAUGAAGACUUCCUAUAUUCUGGUGAUGAAAAUGGGCCUGACUACUCAUAUUUCAAUGCUUCAGUGGAGUUUAACAAGCCAAAUUUUGAAUUAAAGGUUGGGAAGAAAUUCACUCAUUUUACAAAAUUUAGAGAAGCACUUGUGGAAUGGAACAUUAGAGAGGGAUACGAAGUUUUAUAUAUCAACAAUGACAGUUGGAGGAUAACUGCCAAAUGUGCAAAAGGAUGUUCUUGGAGGAUUCAUGCAAGCAGAGUUAAUAGGACUGACACUUUUCAGAUCAAAACACUAAAGGGAGAGCACCAUUGCGGCAGAGAGUACACUAACAAGCAUGCAACCUCAACUUAUCUGAGCAGAAAGUUUCAAGAGAAGGUUCGAGAUGACCCUAAUUGCAGCUUGGAUGGCAUUAUUAAUGAUGCCAGAAGAAGAUUCAUGGUUAAUAUAAGUAGCAAAAAAGCAUACAGGACUAAGAGGAAGGCCAGGAGACAAUCAAAGGUUGUGAUAUGGAGCAAUAUGAACGGCUGUGGGAUUAUGCUGCCACGGUUAGACAGUCAAAUCCAGACAGUCAUAUCGCUAUACAAAUAGACAGGAGGUCUAUUGAGGAAAGGGCAACAUUUCAAAGGCUUUUCUAUGGCUUGGGUGCUCUUAAAAAGGGCUUUCUUGCAGGUUGUAGACCAAUCAUUGGCCUAGAUGGUUGCUUUUUGAAGGGGCCCUUUGGAGGUCAACUGUUAGCAGCACUUGGAAGGGAUGGAAUGACAAUAUGUUUCCCAUAGCCAUUGCCAUUGUUGAAGCAGAAAACUAUAAUAGUUGGACUUGGUUUUUGAAGGAACUGAUUACUCAUAUUGGAGAGGGGCAAUGUAGUGCCUUAUACCUUCAUUUCUGACAGGCAAAAAGGACUAGUACAUGCUAUAGAGGAGCUAUUUCCUGCGUGCAGAACACAGAUUUUGCCUUAAGCAUCUGUUUGAGAAUUUUAAGGCAAAGUUCAAAGACAGUGAACUGAGAGAAUUGUUUUGGGCUACUGCAUCAGCAACUAAUGGUGAUGAUUUCAAGAGAGCAUUGAAUGCUUUGGAGAUAGCUCAGCCACAAAAUGGAGAGAACCUUACUGCUGCUGGUUGGUUAAAAAGGCUGCCAUAUCAUUUGUGGUCUAGAGCACAUUAUGGAAUGGCUGCUAAGACUGAUAUUUCAGUCAACAAUCUGAAUGAGAGUUUCAACAACUACAUUUUAAAAGCAAGAGACGAGCCAAUUGUGACUCUUCUUGAAUUUUUCAGAAGAAAGUUAACAACGAUUGACAUUGAAGAGGCAAGGCAUGGAGAAAUAUGGAGGCAGAUUGUGUCCAAACAUUGUUGAGAAGUUAGCUAAAAGUUGUAGAAAGAGCAGACAUUGUAUUGCUGUAUUUGAUGGUAUUGAAUCAUUUGAGGUUGAUGGUUUCAACAGAACCUCCGUUGUGAACUUGCAACGUAGAAGCUGUUCAUGUGGUGCAUUCCAGUUGACUGGAAUUCCAUGUGUGCAUGCUAUUUCUGCCAUUCAAAGCAUGCGGAUGAAGGUUUGAAAACUAUUGUCGAUGAGUGCUAUAGUAAAGAGGCAUACUUGAGGGCAUAUGCUUAUGCAUUGGAGCUGUUCCAUCCAAAGAACACUGGAUUGAUAGUGGAAUGCAGCUGUUAAAUCCACCAUUUGUGAAGAAACAACCUGGAGAGACCUAAAAAACUUAGGAGAAGAGGUCCGGAUGAACCGAGAGAUCCACAAAGAGCUUCCAAAAAGGGGGGGCAGUAUACUGUAAGAGAUGUUUAAAAGCUGGCCAUAAUAGGAGAACUUGUAAGGAACCUCCUCAUCCCAAUCCAAGUUGUACAAGGUACAUUUAAGUAUUUGAAUUUUUCUUGCACUAUGUACUCUUGAUAAUUAUUCCAGCAGUAAAUUUUUGACUCUGGUUGCAGGCUCCAAGCAAUACCCAACGAGGGGCAAGAACAGCUUCCACUUCAGCCCCAACCAGAGAAGUACCAGUGCAUCAAGCAUCUCAACAAAGCAGCACUGCUGCAGUUACUGAUAACAACCUUAGUUCUCGAUCCAAAAGAUUUAAGAAAAAUUAGAAUCAGGAAUGUUAUUUUUAGGACUUGUGUCCAUGUAAACAAGUUGUAAUGGUAUAUAUGCUAUCUUUAGAGCAGACAUUGUAUAUAAGGAUUAACAUAUUUUGUAAGUGAUGCUCUUUUUUGUAAUGACAUUAUUGGCAUUAUUGCUCUUUUUUGUAAUGCCAUAUAUUGGAUUGUGGUUAUCAUAUUAUGACUAUCCAAAUUACAGUUGGUUCAUGAGUAAACAGGUUGUAUGGUUAUUAUCUUUCUUUCAGACAAGAAUACAAAUCAUGACAAAAUUUGGAAUUUUUUCAUAAACUAAAAUUAUUACAUUAUUUGGUACAUCAUUAUACUGCCACUAACCAAAUUACUAUUUUCUAUAAGCAGCAAUAACUAGAGAUAAACAACAAAUAAUAAGAGACAAAAUCAUUAUCACUUUCAACAACCCCACAGUGCCUUCAACCGUGCUCAACUUUGCAUGUAGCCCCAACAAAAUGUCACCAUUGUUCACAGCCAGCACACCUUCAUUACUGUUCACUCUUGGAGAGAAUCCAGAACUUUCGUCUAAUCUUGUUUCUGGACUUUUACUAGUACAUUCAUUGCCCAUUCCAUCCCUUCUUAGAGGAUUGCACCAUGCCCAAAAGGAGCAGGAUUGAUCUUCACAAAUGUAAUACAACCUACCUUUUGAGGGUUUGUUGGACUCCACGAUCUUGAUUUUUGCUCUUUUCUUGCAGAAGCACCGAGACCAUUCAUACCUUAGAUCUGUCAAACCUCCUCCAAAAUUUGCUGAAGUGGACAUGACGACUUCGAUAUAUUCAGAAGUAGAUCUUCUCCCUUUUUCCUUUCACUCUUUGAUAGCUUCAAAUCUAUUCUCCCCUAAUAUGUAGUGCCUUCUAUAUAGUAAUUGAAGGGUAGUUUGAGAAUGAAACUCACGAUCUUUUCAAAAGAUCUCGCAGACCCAUCAUCAGUAGUUCGCUCAGCCGGUUAUAGGUCUAUUUCCACUUUAGUUAUGAAGUUUAGGGCGUUUAUGUGUAUGUUUUUAAACGAUAGGGGGUUCCGUGUCUUUUCGUGAAACCAUAGGGGGGUUCCGUGUAUUUUACACAAAAACAAGAUGACUGGUGGUAUAUAAUACUUUUGGUGACGUUGUUCUUUAAUGUAGGGGACAACAAUUCGAAUAUUUUGUUCUUUUAUUUCGUAUUUUAUAAUGUUGGAAAUGAGAAUGUCUUCAAUUUUAGAGAUUAUACUAGAUUUUAAACAAGAUGUCACUGGAAUACAUACAGAUGCUCCCAGCAUUCUUGGGAUUCUGAUGAGCAUUUUUUUGAUCCACCUCAACUUAUAUUCUAUAUGUCUUACCUAAUCAGUGAAAAUGAGGGCAUAAAUUGAAUACUCAAAAUUUUGGGGAGCAGAAAUCCCACUUCCAAUUCGAUUUUAGGGGGAAAAUAAAAGAAAAGAAAAAAUCCCACCUAUACCGUUCGCCCCUACCGGGGCACCCUUUGCUUUCCCUGAUGUUCCCAAAACGCCUUCCGACAAUCAAACAAAUCCAAACGGCGAAUUCCGAAGCACACCACCUUUGACCCGUAGUCCAAGUCUUCCCUCUGUGGAAUAUCCCAUAAAUUUUGUUUAAACUGCCAUGAAAUCAUCUGAAAAGUAUGCUGUGACGUAUGCUUACACCUUCCAGACGUCAUCAGACGACGACGAGGACAUGACGGAGACCGUUACAGACAUGGCAGCAUCAGUGAGGGCGGUGGAGGAACUCCUGAAUUACAAGUUUAAGAACAAGAUGCUUCUAGAAGAAGCUCUGACUCAUUCUUCUUACACUGAUUCGGCAUCUUACCAGCGGCUUGAGUUCAUCGGCGAUGCCGCUCUUGGCUUAGCCGUCUCUAACUACGUGUUCCUGGCUUACCCGGACCUUGAUCCGGGCCAGCUCUCUCUUCUUCGGGCUGCCAAUAUUAGCACCGAGAAGUUAGCUCGUGUUGCCGUCAGACAUGGCCUUCAUAAAUAUGUUCGUCACAAUGCCGCUGCUCUUCACGAUAAAGUAAAAAGUUUUUCUUUGCCUUUUAUUUUCUCUCUCUCUUUUUUUUUUAAGUAUGGAAUUAAGGUACCAUGGUUAAUGCAUGAAGUAUAGCUAUUGAUGCACACUUUUGCUUGCUUUUAAGUUGUUCAGUAUGUGUAUGGAUUCUCGCAGAUAGUUUGAUUAAUUGAAAAAUACUAGCAGUACUACUUUAUUUGAUCGUUGCGGCUAUAUGAUUGUACCUUCUUAGAAUUGAUGGAAAUCAUACCACCAUGAAUGCAUGGCGUGUAUGCAUGUUUUUUUGUUUUUUUGCUAUAAUAGGUUACAUAUGGAUGAACCUAUCAGUUUGUGUGAUUAAUUGGAAAAGAUAAAAGGUAGCAGCCUUUCUCUAGCAAUUUUUUUCUUGAAUGCUGGUACCUUCGAUAGCUACAAGUGUUUGUGCAAGUCCAAUAAACAUUUAGAAUUAUAGUUUGGUCGGCUUGCGAUUUUUGCAUGAUUAUUGCUGUUAAUAUGGAUUCAGUUAUGGUUGUGAUUGUUUAGGUGAGAGAUUUUGCAACAGCGGUAGGGCAGGAGGAUGAAACAGAGGUACAUGGAGGGGCAAUUAAGGCUCCAAAGGUUCUUGCUGACAUAGUGGAGUCAGUGGCUGCAGCUGUAUAUGUAGAUUGCGGGUUUGAUCUGCAAGCGUGGGUGGUAAGCACUUUUUCUAUUUUCUUUUUCCCUCUAUUAUUUGUGCCUUCCACCCCUUUGAUUAAACAUGAUAAUGUUAGACCAUUCUUAUGAGUUGAAGUAUGAGAUGUGUUAAAAGAUAUUUUCCUGCCCUGCUUUGUUGGAUGUCUGUUCCAAUAUUAGGACAAUUUAAUAUCAGCAAAUUACAUGAAAGAAACGGGGUUUCCAAAACUAAAGAGUUUUUAAUUCCAUAGUUUGCCAAACAAAAAGAAUCCUAGCAACACUGCUAAUCAUGAAUUGUGAAUUAUGAAUUAUUGUGUGAAUGUAUUAGGAAAACUCUUCCUCCAUGCUUCCACUAAGGUUUUGACAAUUCAAAGUAGAUGGUGUUGCAAUAGGCCUUAUUAUUGUCUUAGAUUCUUGAACAUAUGGGAAGCUAUUGUUCAUUACAAAGUGUUUUGGGUCAUCAAUGUAAAUUUCUCAAGGUUUGUACCUUUGUUGGGUUCAGAUAUUUAGGGGCUUAUUGGAGCCAAUUGUCACACUUGAUGUACUACAACAUCAGCCUCAACCAGUAACAUUGCUAUUCGAAUUGUGCCAGAAAGAUGGAAAGCAUGUCGAUAUAAGACAUUGGAGAAAAGGGGAAAAAAACAUUGCAAGUGUUUAUGUUGAUGGGCAAUUUGUUGCCUCAGCAUGUUCUGAUCAGAAAGAAAACGCAAAGCUUCAUGCAGCUAAGGCUGCUUUGCAGAAAUUAUCUUACAAAACUAGUGAAAAGAUUGGUAGAGACAUUAUAGGUGAAGUCAAUGGAUCUACCAAGAUUGAAAGUGCAAAACAAAAACUUCAUGAGCUCUGUGGAAGGAAAAGAUGGCCAAAACCAAGCUACAGGUACUCCUUAUUCAGUUUCAUGAGUUAUACUUAGGCAUUUAGCUCGAUUUUAGUUCCAUGCCAUGUACUUCAAAUUAGAAGUCAGUAUGUUUUUCCUUUCUUCUAAAUUUAGAUUCCUGAAUAUUUGGUAAUAUUUACAGAAUUGAAAAGGAGAUAGGUCCAGCUCAUGAUAGGCGAUUUAUAUGCUCUGUUCAAAUUGAGAUUGCUGAGGCUGUGCUUUUUGUGAUGGGAGAUGAAAAAUCAAGAGUGAAGAACGCAGAGAACUCUGCAGCUUCUCUGAUGCUACUAGGUCUGCAAGACUCUUGAGUACUAAUGAUGACCUAGGUGUAGAAUCAUGGAAAAUUGUAACCUGCUGUGUUGGUAGACAUUGUAGAAGCUGGAAAAGCAGAACGAUUUUCUUCAUUAGUUCUGUAUUAUUAGUUCAAUAAAUAUUGCAUUUUCUUUUACUUUUGAAUCGAUAAAUGAUCAUUGCUAUGGAUUAAGGUUCUUGUUGUACCAUGAAAACUGGCAUUUUCAACAGGGUCGAUGACUUCCUAACAGGACAAUCUUCAAAGACAUUGCAUCUUACAUGUUGGCAAAUGAAGGCUGGUAGUCCAUGGCUCACUCAGCUGCAACUAUUGCGCUUGUGGCUCUCCCAGAGGGUCGCCCCUACCUUUAAGCAGAAUCAUACAGUAGCUUAGUUUGCUUCCCUUUGUUGCAUCUUUGCUCGAUUUGGUGGGAACUUCUUCCAAUAGAGGAAACCUUCCUCCUCUUUUAGAUCCAGCACCUUAACAGCAGAAUCAAACUGGACACGAGUUUUGAAGUGGUAAGUUGUUUGUUGAUCACUCCCUUUUUUUCACGGAAGCAGUUUCCCGUGAGGCCACUAUAAGUGAAGAUGCAGCAGGUGUGUCAUGGUCGAAUAGGCAAGCUGGUGGUGUGAUGUUUUUCUGGAAAAUGUGCACUGGUCUAACAUAUUUGAGAAGAUCUCCAUCAUUUUGCUUUACAUAUGGCUGACCAACAGCACUACCAGUUUCCAGAGCUUAGCGAAACAUACCGUCAUUGUCCUCGUGUCAAUCCUGACAGGUAUGUUAGCAGUGCAGAUGUCAAAGCAAAUUGCAAUAUCACAGCAAAGCCUGUGGCUUCCAGCUUGUUGGGAUCUUGUCCUGCUCGCAUUCAGUGAUUAGAAUCAGUUAGUGAAAAUCUGGAGCUAUCUAUUGCUGAAAGAAGAUAUACUGUUCAAUUGGAAAAGAGAAAGAACUCAAUAAUCUUGCUCAGAGGGAUUCCGCCGAGUCGUUUGUUUGUACUAGCGGACGGUCCUCUCUAUUUGUAGGAUUAUGUUGCCUGGACUCGUGUCUUCAUACUCUUCCAUCAACUAGGCUGCUGCUUUGAAUAGGUUGCUGUAAUCUUUGCUGCCCUACUGUUGAAAUUAGUACGCAAAUGAACUCCUCUUUACUGGUAAUAACCUAGAGAUACGUUGAUCCGUGACAGAAAAAUGUUGGUAGGAAAUGGGGAGGGGGCAAAAAUUCUUUUCCAAGUAAACUAGCCUUCUAAGUGCAAGUUUCAGUGCUUCUUGCUGUUUAUAUUUUCAUUUGCCUUAAAUGGUGGUGCCAACAUUAUUAUCAGCCCAAUAUGUAAAGUAUGCUUUCCUUGCUUCAUAAUAUUGAGAGCUAGGACCUAAUACACGUCAGGAAUUUUAACAGUAGAUAAAAAUUGAGUUAGAAGGAAUUAGAUGCAAAAUAUCAAGCAAAGCUAAUGAAUUACGUUGAUCAAUCUGGAAAAACGCACAGUAAUCCCAAGGGAAAACGGUAAGCCUGCUGAUCGAUGGAAGUUGAGAAACUGCAAACCAGCCUGCCACUUUUACUGCAUCGUUCCUCAACUCAUAGCGUCGUGUCUUUAUUUAUUUUCAUUUUUAAAUAUUUGGCAACUCCAAAAAUCCAUUUAGAACAUGCUAUACCCGGAAUUUUUGGUCUCUCGGUUACUAAAAAAACCAUAAAUCAAACAAAUUAAAGGGAAGUCAUUAUCAUUAUCAUUUUUUUUCCUCCUUUUUUUUGGGGGGUGGGGAUGUGCAAGUUCCACCUACAUUUUGUCCAAAUUCAAUUCGUCAUAUAAGCGGUUUGACGAUGCUACUAUCUAUCAGCAAAGUCCAUCUCUGAUAUGCAAAAGUCACACAGCAAAAGAUUAUGAUUGACAAGAAGAGUCAAGUUAUGAGAUGUUUAAGUUGGAAUUUGCAGAAAUGAUUUAGAAUUUUCUUACGAAGUUAAUUAUCACGUAAGAAUCCACCAUGAUUAGGAGUCAUGAUAUCUAUGAGAGACAUAACUUGAUUCCACCAUUCAAGUGCCCCUCUUACCUCUUGUUAAUCUCCAAAACCAAUAAUAAUGUGGAGAAGAUUCUAUGUUCUUUCUCCACUUCUCUUUAUUCAUUCAGCACCCUGCUUUUUCCUUUUUUAGUUAUUGCUACUUGCUAGUAGAGCACUUCCUUUCCCUUUUUGAUGCAUUUUAUUUUCAAUUACCCUUUCCCUUUUUAUCAUGAGAUUAUUUGAAUCCCACCCAUAUGUGAUUUCUUUUUUUUCUUUUUUUUUUUUAACAGUCGACAAAAGGGUUAAAACUUGUCAAUCCCAUUAUUAUUCGGGGAGAAUAAAUUUCAUGUCAUAACAGCCAAGGUUGAAUCAAGGAUCAAUGAGAAUAUGAUGAGAUCGCUGAUCAAAAUGAAUAUUAGUCCAAUGUAAAAGACAACAACGGAAUGGUAUAGUUUUGUACUUGGGCUUCUUGUUAGAAUUUCGCAAUCAAGGGGUGGUUGAAUAAUGCCACCAUUUUACGAGUGAGAGCUGAUGCCUAAACGCAUGGCAACGCAAGCCAGUUUCUCCUACUCGUGUUACUUUACACUUCUUUGAAGAUUAGGUAGAUAGCCCCAAAAUUGAUUAAGAUCUAAUCAGGCAACUUUUGACUCAGCAGCUAGCUUGGAGUUUUUUUUUUUCUACUAGUAUAUAUAUAUAUAUAUAUAUGUGUGUGUGUGCCUUUUUUUUUCCCAUUAAUUUUUCCUUUGACAACGACCUGAACUUUAAUUUCGGGAAUUUUUUUUUUGUAUUUUAUGCAUGCGACGAUUGUUCAACUGGUCCCGCAGCCAAAGUUUACCGGUAUCGUAAUCAAACACAAAUUAAAAUUGGGAACAAAAGAUAAGUUCACCUUUAUAUUGAGAUGAUUCUUUCAACUACUCCCGGACCCAUCACUCAAGUAAGCCAAGAAAAUGCAAACGAUUAUAUACGCAUUAUCAAAUUGAUAAGGAAAAAAUAAUUUGGUCUUCCAUCAUCAAGGCAUAACUUACCAACUUAUAGAAGGCACUAAACCGGUUGGAAGGAAAGAGUGCGUUGGGGAAAAAAUGUUCGUGAAUGCCCAAUAAAAGUCUAGCCUUAUUAGUGUCGGUUUGUAUAAAAAUGAGGGAUCUUUGCUCCAAAUUAGUAUCGUUUCGACAAAAAAAAAAAAAAAAACACAUUUUUGUAUACUAUCUGAGUCUAGUUUCCAAGUACAUAGUAUUAGGUUUUGUAUACGAAGUUAAUGUGCACAAAACACUUUCGCAGAAUGUUUGUUUAGGUAAUCUCGACAGGGAUACAAGUUCUGCGUACGUUGACCAACAAACUACCAGUUAGCUCUUACUCUAUGGGGCAAAAAAGAAAAAAUCUCUUCGAAAACCACCCUAUGUUUUGUAAACCCAAUGCAAUAAGUACAAUUGUUUGUUUCAACAUUAAGAACUACUCAACAUUAUUAACACAUAAGACUUGUACAAUUAGAGGGACCAUAGUUUAUGCCAACCCUCUAUCAAAGUUUGCCUUAAUUUUGCAACCAAUGACUGAUUCCCUCCGCAGCAAGGCGGCAAAGGUUUUCUCUUUCCAGGGGGGAUGUCUAUUACGUAACGUCAUAAAACAACCAAAAAAAUACUCAGCCAAAACUAAACCAAACGAGAAAGAAACUAUUUUCUUCUUCAGUUUGGAGGGUUUGUUGUGGAGCGCCCAAUAAGCCCUCAAUAGCCUCAUUGCUUCGAAAGGUAUUCCAAUAUCUUCGCAAAUUGAUCGUCACAUUCUGCUGGUCCAAAUAAUAAACCCUCGAUUUCUGUAACCCUGUGCUUGAUAGACUCGCGGAUCUUUAAGCACGGGAUGAUCGGUCCAUACAAAUCAUAAAGUGUGCUCUCUUGAGGCUCAAUCUUGUAUUCCAAGUAAUGCAACCCCAUUCCCGUUGCCGGUCCGCCGUAGUAUGCAUUUCCAACCCAGUCGAGUUCGAGUGGAAGCACCUGAAUCAUGACUGCCCGUUAGGCAAGAAAAUUUCAUUUGUCAGCCCGGCACCAUGCACUCCAACCAUAACACUGCUGGAACCGAUGACCCGAGAAAAUUCAUCCAAAUUUGACAUCAGAUCAUUGGUAGGAAUGAACACGCGAAAGCCCAACUCCUCCAUCAUCCUCACCACGGCUUCUUGAUUCGCUAUAGUUCUUGUUCUCGUGCGAGACACUAUUAGCAAUUGUGGCUUUCUGUCCCCGGCAUCUGGGACACAUCCCUCGGCUUCAAAUUAAACGAUUUUCUAAGCAGAUCCUGAAUUCGACCAUGGAAUAAGCUCCUGGGGUGUCGCUGGUGUUGAUGGCCAAAUUGUCAUGAUACUUGAGCCCAACAAUGGCCCCUGGAAAACAAUGAAUGGUCCCCUUACUAGUUUCGGCUGCAUUAUGAACUCGAAAUGCGACAGCUUGGUUAAAACCUUCCUGAAUUUGUUGAGCACCCAAAGCUGGUAAUCCGUGAUCAUGAACUUCACCUUGGAUCUGAAAUGCCGGCUCGUGAUGAAGACGGGAAUGAUAAUGUCGUUGAAUAAUAUUCCCAGCAAAUCCGCCGAGGAGAAAACCAAGGCCGGCACCUUGUGUUGAAAUCACAAGGUGGUGGGCGGAUGUUACCGUGCUGAAUCUCGACGGGCUUGACCAUUUUCAUUGCCACUCCAUCGUUUUUAAGUGGGUACGGCUGAGCCGUGUACUUUUCCAAUUUCCUGAUCGGAGUAUAUGUAAAUCCUGGAAGCAUUCGUGUCGAACCUCACUUCUUUGCUAGAAAUAUAAAUAUCCGAGUUCAACUCGAGGUGAGCAAAUCCAGUUUCUUCGAAUCGAGUCCGUUGCUCCAAAGAAUCAAAUUCUUGACUCCAUAAUUUUGGCGAAAAUUGAUUUGAUUUCUCGAGAUGUUAAACAAAUAUAAUUGGUAUCUCUACACAUAUACAUAAUCUUGUGGAGUAAUUUUUCCGCUUUCAAGAACAACAAUUCGUAUGAUGGCACCAUACAACUCGUUAAUUCAUGAGUAGGGGGGGAGAAAAAGGAAAAAAAAAAAAAGAAAAGGGAAAGCAUCUUUCUUAUCUUACAAUCAAAGGGAGAGAGAUAUAUUAUAUUAAUGCUAAAGAUCGAAACUCAGACUGGCUAGUAGAACAUAACAAACCUGUUAAUAGCCUUCUGAGCAUAAUCUUGAGCGGGUCUUUCUUGGGUACGACAUCUUUGACGGCGACCUUUCUGAAGAUGGUUAUUCGAAUUUGUGAACUUCGCGUCGAGAUUGCUGUCUGAAUUUGAGAACUUUGCCUUCCCUACAGCGUAUUAAAGAUCAUCGAUGAACAUCCAGGAAUAUGCAUGGAAUCGCCGUCCAAAUUUUUUUCACAUAAAGGCUAAGUAAGAAAACAAAAUCUAUUAUGUUUUUCCUAGCUAGACAAAAAAGAAAAAGAACAAGAGAAAACAAUCGGAUGGUGGAUAGAAGAGCUAGAUUACAUUCAUCAAUCUGGCAAAAUAUUGCAGAGUAGGCCAAAGCGUGAAAGAUGAGCAAGGAGAUUAAGAAAGUUGGGCUGCAAACCAGUCGUUUGGAUUCCUCCACCAUCGAUCCUCUUUACUCCACCAGACUACAAUUGUUGUUGUAUUCAAGUCCCUGUCUUGACUUCAACGUAUGAGUAAGAAGCACUCAAUUCUCAUCCAGCAACCUCUUCUUCUCUUCUAAGUCUAAGACAACAUGGUUUAAACGUUCCCUCUUCUUGUUUGUUAGUAAUAUAUAUUACUUCAUGUAAUUGCUUUACCUUUCUGUCUUCUUCCUUGUCCUGCUUCUAGAAUUUGCAACUAAGGUUCAUGCAUACAAACACUGACCUAGAAAUUUUUUUGGGCAGCAGCCGCGGUUUAACCUUUGCGACCUACAAAUUUUUGCUUUUCAUUAUUUAAGAAGGUAGCUUUCAACUUUCCUAUAUAUAUAUAUACACAUACAAUUUCUUUGUCAAUUGAUCAAAAAUAUAAUAAUAUUUAGGGAAAGGCAGUAGGGCAUCUCUUACGUCAAAGAUCUGAUUUUGAGAAAUAUAAAACUCGGGCCGUUCUUUGUCAAAGACAAAGACGAUUCAAUUUUUUUUUUUUUUUCCCUUUCUUGAAGGAAGGAAAUAAAACACAAUACAAUUAAGAUCUAGACUAGGACGGCUCUAUAAAUAAUAUCCCAUAAAUGGGGAGGAGGGGAGGGAGAUUAUUACCUAAAAAUAUGAUCGCCACUCAAUACUUUAGCCGUAACACAAGGAAAUCAAUACACACAUUCUUGCGCCAGCUGUAUCUAAUCUAUAUGUUUCUGCAUCGCACAAGUAACUUUCCACAUCAUAAUCAAGCAUUUCAUACGACUUUGUCUUUUACAGAAAUCCCACUAAUUGAGUAAUUGAUUUGAAGAGUCUAAUGGUCCAGGUCCUUUUUUUCCCCUUUUCUCACUGGUCGAAUACCAGCUGCUGCUGCUGCUUAAAAACGUCCAACCCUAAAGUAUUGAUUCUUUGCUUUCCUCAGAAAAAAAAAAAAAAAAAUUUUUGUUUUUGAUUCUUUUCUUUCAAUUGAAAAACAGUAUCGAUUCUUUAAUCUCUGAUGAUAUUUGAUCAUUAGAAUCCUAGAAGAAGUUCUCAUUUUUGAUAGCCUACCAAUUCCUUCAAUAUUAAUAUGUAAGAACGAACCAUUGACUCUGUAGUCUGUACCAGUGGAAUUGGUGAUCAAAAGAUCAGGGAGGUAAUAGUUUCAGAAACACAACUCAACAAUCAGAACUUCAUAUAUACAUGAAAGUAAGUUACUGAGACUAUAAAAUUAGAUGCCUCACUGUACUUUAGUAAAACAGACGGCAUUGAAUUGAAUCUACUGAAAGCCUCUUCAUUUACAAGAUGACUAUCAAAAAGAAUCAUUAAAUAACCUACAAAAAACGAAAAAGACAGAGCACCAAAAUCUAAAGUCUUUCCAUCAAGGCAGAGGAUUUGUUGGGCGUCCAAGAAGUCUCAUUGUUUCAACAAGUGUCUUCCUGAAUCUUUCAACAUUGAUUUUGACAUCCUGCUUAUCAAUAUAUAUAGCCCCGAAAGCUUGAUAACCCUGUGCCUUCAUGGAUUCAGGGUCGGCAAUCACAGGAUGAUCCGGAGCAUACAAAUCAUAGAGCGAGCUCUCUUGAGGUUCAAUUUUGUAUUCCAGGUAUUGCAAACCCAUGUCAACCGCUGGCCCGCCAAAGCAGGCAUUUCCAGGCCAAUCAAGACCCAGAGGAACCACCUGAAUUACCACAGCUCCAUUAGGCAAGAACAGUUCAUUUGUUAGCCCGGCACCAUGAACUCCAAUAAUAACGCUGCAAUUGUUCACAAUAUGAGCAAAUUCCUCAAAAUUCAUCAUCAUAUCCAGCGUAGCAGGAACCACUCGGAAACCCAACUCCUCCAUAAGCUUUACCACCUCAACCUGAUUCAGGAUUUUUCUUGUUUUUGCACGCGACAGAAGCAGCAAUUUUGGCUUUUCCUCCUCAAUCAGCUGGGAGACUUUCUUUAUGUUGAAGUCAAAUGAUUUUACGAGGAAAUCCCUGAAUUCAAACAUGGAAUAACCCCCGGGAACGUCACUCCUGUUCAAAUACAAAUUGUCAUGAUACUUCAGCCCUAUCACUGCUCCUGGAAAGCAAUGAACGGUCCCAUUUGCAGUUUCAGCUGCAUUUAUAGCUUCAUAACGCGAUAACUGGGAGAAUAUUUUCUUGUACUUGUUGAAAAACCAAUGCUGGAAACCAGUAACCAUAAAUAUUACGUGGGAUCGAAAGUGCCUGCUCGUAAUGAACAGAGGAACAAGGACAUCGUUGAAUUCAUGGAAUAUAUUCCCGACGAAUCCACCAGAGGAGAAAACCAUGGCCGGGGCGUCAUGAUAGUGAUUGCAAGCAGGUGGAGUGGUGUUUCCAUGCUGUAUCUCAACAGGUGAAAUCAACUGGAUUGGCGCCUCAUCUCCUUUUAGUGCAUACGGCCGAACUAUGUGUAUUGCCGCUGCCUGAUUGGCAUGUAUAUAAAUUUUGGAAGAAUUGGUGUCGAACCUUACUUGUUUACUGGAAACGUAGAUAUCAGAAUGUAAUUCAGAUGGAUAAGCAAAUCCAGUGUCUUCGAAUUGGAUCCUCUGCUCUCCUGUUUGAAAUCAUCAAUUUCACUGUAUAAGAUAUCGGGCAAGAUAAUUGAAAAUGUUUGGAUUCUGUUGGGCAACGAUACAUUCUUCUUUUUGAUCUCAGAUACUAAUUGUAUCCUAAGAAAAAAGCUUUACAUUUAGGAUCUACAUAUAAGAACUAUUUUCUGUCUAUCAACUUAGAGAUGUAUUAAAAAAAACUUUAAAAGAAGAAAGGGGAGGACAAAAAAAUAUCUGUCACUCAGAAAUCACCGGAAAAGGGAGAGUUCAUGUUCAUUGAUACGAUGAAUGUGGGAAGUAGUAAAGAACCUCUUAGUAGCCUUCUGAGAAGAAAUUUCAGGGGUUCUUGCUCUGGUGCACCUUCAUCCAACUUGUUCUCAAAGCCAAGAUUACUAUUCCAAUUUGCUAAAUUUGCCUUCCCUGUAUAUCAAAAAUGCUUUUGACAGAUCAGAAUGGAUAAAUAUGAAAUGACUAGCCACAUUUUAACAUUAUGCAAAGGUAGAUUGAUAUGCCAAUCUGACGCUAUGAAGAAAAGCUAAUUAAAUUACAUUGAUCAAGCUGGAAAAAUGCACAAUAAACCAAGGGGAUAAUGAUUAGCAAGCUGAUCAGGAAACUUGAGAGGCUGCAAGCCUGCUUCUUUGACUCCUCCAUUCUUCUUCAAGUUUCAAUAGAUAUUUCUCUACGAAUUAAAAUGCACACAUUAUUGACUAGCCUGUUGUUCUCAACAUUACCAGUUGGCAUUACCUUUCUUCUUCUUCUUCUCAGUUUCCCAUCUUGCUUUGGUUCUACAAUUUUAAUUCUCAAUUAUUCUGAGGUUGGUGUAUAUAAUAUCAGGUUCCCAGCUGGACUGUAAGGGCAUGUCUGUUGAGUUGAGCAUGUUACAGGCCGGAGCUUUUGCUCUUCCAAACUUUUUACGAUUUUUAAAUUGAGCAAACUCAGAGGAAGUCAGGAGGGCAUCUUUCACCUAAGAAUUUAAAUGGUUUUUCCAUAGAGCAUCUAUCUAGACUUAGCACAGAUUACAUCGUCGAACAAGUACAUUGACACUAUUUUAUGCUCACCUCUUUCUCCCAUAUAUCUCAUUUCUGGUAUGAACAAGUCAUUGGGCUCAGGCACAGAUUGAAGGGGCAGCUAUACUCGUGGAUCAUUUGGCUUCAUCACCUACGUACUUCGACAUGACACUGCAACGACAUUAUUAGUUUAACAGAACUGCAAUAACAUGUAUUCGUUUGUUAAGUAGUAGUAAUAUUCUAUCUGGGAUUAGUUCAAUGUAGGAUUUAAAGACGCUUCGUGCAUGAACACACGGGCGUUCCUCCUCGAACGGCUUAGAGUAUGAAUUUAUUGGACAGCCUUCGUGUUUAUUCUGUAUAAUCUAUUUCUCCUUUUAAUCCAACCAUGCUGCAUGGUACAGCUGUGGGAUUCCUUGACGAGAAGCAAUUUUAUUUUUUUUUUUUCCUUAAUUGCAAAAUGUUUAGCAUUAGCGAUGAUAAUUGGGACGAGUGCUUGCAGAGUCGUGAGUGUCCACCCCAUAGGAGGAGGAAUGGGGCGGGGCGGAGUGAAUUUUUCUCACCCCUCCUCCGCCUAAAUUGUAACAUAGUAUAAUAUCUGUGUAUGUUUUUAUAUAUAAUAUAAAAUAAAUGGUAUGUUAUUGUUAUUGUAUAAAUAUAUUUAUAUGAAUUAAGUAACAUGUUUUGUUAUUAUGAUACAGUGAUAUAAUAUUUUGCUAAAACUUAAAAAAAUGAUUAAUAAAAUUAUUAUUAGAUCUAUAUAAAUAGAAAAAAUUAAUUAAAUAAUAAUAAUACUAUUGGGGUGGGCCGGAUGCACCCGUGAAGUAGUGGGCGGGGACUGGGGACUGGGGACCGUGAAACUUUUGCAGUGGGGCGGGGGGGGGGGGUGGGGAAGCUUGCUCAGUCCCAAAACCAUCCCUGCCAUCCCUGCUUAGUAUCUAUCUGUUUGGUUGGCAGAGGCCAACAAAGAAAUUGCCAGGUUGCUGAUUUUUGAUUGACAAUUAUGGAAAUAACUCUACAGCCAAAUUGGUUGUUUUGCGUCCAUUCCGCAGCCUCACCUCCAAAAGCUCUCGCUUUCCUUUCUCACACCAUACACACACACACACGCAACCCCCCUCCCCGGCACCCCCCUGCUCCUUUGGCGGGUUUGGGGAGCGGCGAGAGAGAUUGGAGAGUACGAGCCUUCGUCACGUACAAAACCUAAUAAAAGGCCAGCCCAUAUUCUCCUGGGCCACAGCCCGGAGUUUGUCCGACCCAAACUUCAAAGAAGAAUGAGUGGAUUUAUCAAAGAUUCAAGCUCUGCCACGAAAAACUUGGCCCAAAGUGUAGAGGAAAUCAUAAAAACUCUUUCAAAAACAGCCAUGUCAAACCAAGAAAUUGUAGAUAUUGGGGUGUGCUAUUUAUUUGAGGUCUUGCCAUGCCAACCCAUGAUUGGAGCUGGGUUUAGGGUACAGUGAAGUUAAAUCUCUAUAUGUGGUAGGAACAAAGGGGUAAAAAAAAAAAAAUCCGUGGAAAGCAGUAAACGUACAUUCUACAGAAAAAUCUUUAUAGGCAUGAAUUGAGAGGCAAUAUCAUGAAAAAGCGAGAUAAAGGUGUGAUGAAGCUGCUGCGUAAGCGGGCUCGUUUUCAAUCCGGAUGGACGUUUACAAGCCAGGAAGCGCAGAAUGGAAUCCGAGAUUCAAAGCAUAGAAAUGUCACUACUAUUUCCCAGGGACGACCACUUAUCCAUCAAAUAAUAAUAAAAAGUAAAGGGCUUUAUCUUUUACAAAUUCCGGAAUCUCAACUGAUACGGAUAAAUGGAGAAGAACAUUCAAAAAGAUCAAAUCUUGAAAGGGAAAUAUACAGCUCGCAGGAACAUUCUUCACAAUUUCAACAGCUCAUCGUAUUCAUGGUUUUGCCCGAGAAAGAGCCAGGAGACGUACUUCAACUUGAUGUGUCUAUUCUAAACAGUAGUAUAAUAUGUAAGCUGACCUAAGUGCCUCCAUCCUCUCGCUUCGCAGAUUCUUCUUUAGGUAAUCUUGUGAAGACAAAACCUAUAACAAAGAGAAGAAAUGUACGUGAAUAAUUCUCAAUGCAAUAUAUAUAUAUAUAUUGUGAUUUGAAGUAUAGAAAUUGGAUGAUGAUAAAAUGGAACUAAGAAAUGGUGGAUCCAAUAAAAACGACUUUUGGAUGGGAGUGUUUUUCAAAAAUUAAUUUUUUAAAUACAAUAAAAAUUUUUAAAAAGUACACUAAAAGGUAAUCUAAAAAUUAGUUAAAACUUUUUUAAAAUUUUAUAUUUCAAAAUAUAUUCUAGAAACUCUUUUACUCUUAAAUAUCCCAAAAUAUUUUCUGAAAAAUAUCUUAAAAUAUAAUCUAAAAAUUUUGCUGUAGCAAAAUUUUUUAAAAAUAUCUCAAAAACAGCUGAUCCAGACGGACCAACGCAAGUGGCAUGGCACUUUUCCCUAUGAGGAGUCGCAAUUGAAGCAUAUAGUGGCCUGCUCCGUGUCCCCGGUUCCCUUCAGAUUUGACGUCGCAAAAGGAAAAGAUAUGAUUUCACAUGGUGCAAACGGAUUUGGCUGCAUACGAAAAGGGCAAGAAACUUUUACUAAUUAAAACACAAAAAAGAAUACUCGAGUGUGAGCUAGAAAGCUUCUAACAUGAAUAAAUUUGAGAGGAAAAGCCCAACAAACAAACAAAAAAAAGAAAAAAGAUUAGUAUUGCUUUUCCAGUUGAUCCUCUCUAUAGUUGUGUUAAUACUAGAUUCUCUGCCGCAAAUUCAGAUCAUCGUUUGAUCGGAUUAAAUUACCUGUGUAAUUAAUGUCCCGUGUUUUCGCGAGUAUCCAAUGCACGACUUAUUGGUGAAGACUCGUAGUAUAAUUAUGUUCAUACCACAUACGAAGGGAUAGUUUGAUGGUUAUGCGAAAAAAAAAAGAAAGGUGAUUAAUACUGCAAAAUGUUAAUCACACUUUGCCCCCUUGGCUUUGGGGUUAGUCACACUUUACCGUCUUAAGCUUUAAAAGUAUACAUUUUGUCCCCGUAAAAACUAGUCAAAGUUAGAAAUUCUUGAUUCCAUCAAAAAGAAAAAUGUAAGUGUAAUGACAUUAUACAUUUUUUAGUUAUGAAAUUAUUAGUAUUUUACUAUUAUUGUCCCUUUAUUGCUAAAAAUAUGCAUGGUCAAUACAAUAUCCACUAUACAAAAAUAUCAAAUUGAUAAAAACAAAAUAAAUAAAUCAUUUCUUACUCAUAUUGGUCAUGUUCAUGUUUUAAAUAUUUUAUUCAGUUUAUUAUAAUUUAAAACGAAUAACAAUGGCGAUAACAAUAAAUAUUAGUUAGCAAAACUUUGGAAACAUAACGUAAUAUUUAGCUUGUUAUUUUUUAAAGAUAAACUCGGAAAAAAAGGACAAUAUUUUCAUAGAACUUACUUUUCAUUUCGUGGAAUUAAGAUUUGUAAAGUUGACUAGUCCUCUUAGGGUGUAAAGCGUACACUUUUAAGAUUUAGGGCGUUAAGCGUGAUUACUUCCAAAUCUCGGGGGAAGAGGGUAAAGUGUGAUUAACCCUAUCUCUCUGUAUCAACAAGAACAAGGUAAAAUCCCGGAAUAAGAUUUUGGACAGUUAAAACCUCGUACUGACAAGCGUAUCAAAUAUAUUAGCUUUAUCUGCCAAGUCAGCACCAUUGCAAACCGUUUUUAAGUCGUAGCCUCCAAGCAGUUGCAUCGAUACCGCAGAAUCGUAGUUGGAUUACUUGGAAAAGCGGGCAACAUCAUGAAAGUAGUCGUUCUUUACCUCCCUUGAACUUGAACAUGAUGGUUAGAAUUUCGAAUGAUAAAACCUGCACUCCAUGAAUUUAUAAGCAAAACAAGCGGAAAAGCAUGCGAUUAACAUCUAGCCUUUGCUAAUUCAAACUUUUGCCCUUGACAGCCAAAAAAGAACAAAUAAAGAGCAUGCAGCUACACAAAAGAGCUCAAGGACCUUUUCCAUUUUUUUCUGAAUUAAUGCACCUUGUAGCCUUCUUUUUAGGUAGCGGUGAUCAUGAAAAAUGAAGUACCAAUACAGCAUCAAGACGUCAUUUAUAUUAAAAUAAAAUACUUACAUUAUAUACACAUAGAUUCAACCUGUACCUGCAAACUUUAUCUAAUUCAAUAAUUUGAAAUGUACUAUUUGUUUUUUCACCAGUGUCAUGUCCAAUCUGACACAAAUUAUAUGUAGAUGAUGGAUAAGAUCCUCCAUACGUACCAGGUAAAUUAGCCACCUCUCUAAGGACGGCAAGAAUUUUGGCACUUUAAAAACUACCAACCUGGCUAGUUGGCAGAAACAAUGACAGACCUUUCCUAAGGUUUUGGAGAAACAUGAAUAGAAAAUCACAUGCACAUCCCAAAAGGCCGAGCCCAAUAAUAAAUAUCAGAGGCCACCAAACCUUACAUCAGGAACUUUGGGAGAAACAGGAGUAUGUGGGGGUGCUGCGGGUGAUCAAAAGGCUUUAUGGUAAAGCUCAUGAAUUUUCUUCCAUGAGUCUUCUCUUUGCAUCUUCAAUUGCCCAUAGAAGUUCCCAAUAAAUGUCUCAGCCUUAUGAAAUAGCUCCUGCCCACUAAGCACAUCCCCAACAGCUUCCUGUUGAUCAUCAUCAGAACUAAAAUCUUCUGCUUCAGUCUCAGCACCAGCUAUAAAAAAUAGGCUUGGUGUAGAAGGGCUUUUCUCGACAAUCUUCUGAACCUUGACACCUGCAACAAUCUUCUCAGACGACAACUUCUCGGCCACAUCAGGUUUUUUCUUGGUUGUUGUAGGCUCAGAUUCAAGAAGCAUUGCCUUGUUGGUGGUGUUGGCAGAUAUUUCUUUAUCAUUCGGAGAAUACUGAUCUGAAGGAAUUAUCAUCUUAGCUUUUUGUGUUUCAUGACUUUUAGAAGGAGGAGAUUUCUUGUCUUCUGCUGCUUUGAGAAUGAAGGAAAGAAGGCCAGCUUCAGCACCAAGCGCGACGAUGAGAAGAUUGAAAACAAAGUAGAGAUAUGGAGACCUCAAUGAUGUAGAUAAGAUAGGCGUCACGCUUAGGAGAAUAGCUAUGAAAAAAAGCUUUAGAAUUUGAGACUUCUUAAACUUGUCCAUGAUCAAUAAAAUACGUUUAGGAAUAUGGACACUAGGAUGUUGUUUGUGUUUGUGUAAUUUCUUUGAACAGGGAGUGAAUGGCAGUAGCUGCUUUAGUACGGUGGAGUGGAAAUGUGGAGGGGCCUAUUGAUUUAUAUACACAGACGCAGGGGUGAAAAUCAGAUUAAGGGGCCGGGUUGGAAGAAUGUUGGUUUGCCUUUAUCCUGAUUCCCUAUGAAAAUAAAUUAAUACUCCUUGAACAGAAUAACGUGCAAUCCAACAAAAAGAAGCAAAUAAAAUUCCAAAAAGACGAAACAAUCAGAACAUGGUGGAAAAACUUGCUUGGUUAUGGUAGGGUUACACUGGAGCCCGAAUCCUUUCUUGUCUUUUAGGGUUUAAUUAAAUCCUGGAUAUAGAGCUUUAGUGGUUGAAAUAUAAAAGAGAAUUGUUCGAACUAUAUAUAUCCUCACACAAAUCUUCCCCAAACUAAUUUAGACAAAACCGUCCACUCAUAUUUGCCUGGUGCCACCAAAAGCUGUCCUCCCCUGAAACCUGUCAAGUAAUCAUGAUGUGGUGGGAUAGAUUAAUUGAUAACCAACUAGUAUAUUCUAGAAUUUAUGUGUGUAAAUUAAUCUUUCGUACAUUACAAUGCAUAUAUAUUAUUGGGUUCAGAUGCACAUCGUACAUGAAAAAUUUGAAUUUCAAAUUUAAGCUAAAAUUAAUUAUCGGGCAUCCAAACCUAAUGGCAUCUACAUUAUUAGCAUAUGGAAAAAUUAAUCCAAAAAGUUGUUACUACUGUACAAGAAAAUCUCAGUUUAUUUGCCUGAAACUUGAAUAUAUCUUAGACUAGGCCUUGCCAACCAUACAGGGCAAGCAACUAUCCUUAGGGAUGGCAAUGAAAAUGGGCGCCUGCUCCAUAGAAGGAGGAAUGAGGUCUGAACUUUAUCAUCGUCAACUUCAAGUAAGGAGAUUUUGAUUCUGACUUACGUCAUCAAGGAGACCAAAGAACACGCGAAACAGGGAAAAGUUCAUCUGAGUCGGACUAGACAUUUUCAUACGAUAAGGUCGGUGGGAAAACGGACUGAUUAUUCUCAUUCCACACGAUCUUUCCCCUUUUUGAAUUUUUUUUUUUUCUGAUUUUAGGAGAAUACAAAGGCAAAGGCAGGCAGCUCUUCUACUCUUGUCCACUAACUUGCUUCAACCGGCCGGCGGCGUUUUUACCCAUCCAGUCGCCCUUUUUCCUGUCGUAAGAAAUCCAGAUGCGUGAUCUUUGCCCUGGUCCCAAAGUAGCUUAAGUUUUCCGAUGGAAUCUCUUAUCUCUACGACUAAAAGCCCACUCGAAGAAUUGUCAUGCUCGCAGUCGUGGUCGUGGAGUCCCCGCCACAAAAUCCGAUUAUACUUUUUCCUUUUUUUUUUUUUUUUCCAUUCUACGGCUCUGGGCCAAUUGGGCCAGCAGGCGGACAAUUUACCAAGUUGACGGUCCAGGCAUAAUCUUCACCUUUUUUACGCUUUUUUUUUUUUUUUUUCUCUUGAAUUUCAUAAUAUUAUUGUUUGGAUGAGCUUUUCAGAUUCACUUGUAGGCAUGUCCGUUCAAAUUGUUCCGGGGUUUUUGCUUGCUCCGGUUUUGUUUCUUUCCGAGGAUUUCGCUUACUCUCUAAGGCUUAGCUUAGUUGGAACUUGGAAACUGAUUUGAUAAGAUAAACGAAAGGAAAGUACAAUCUUCGAUACUCGCCUGUUCUCUUUCCCAUUAGAGAUGUAGAGAUAAAGAUGUCCGGUGAUAAACAGUAGAGACCGAAGCUUUUGGCAAGAAGACACAAUAAUGUUGUCAUCCAUUUGGAUAAACUUGUCCGAGGAUCGGCUGAGUAGCUCUAGCAAUCCCAUCUCAUCGGAUCGGACUUUUUGAAGUGAAAAAACUACCUGUCAUUUGUCUCUAUUAUGUUUUAUCUCAUCCACAUUAGUUUAUCUCUCCCUAGAGUUGCGUUAAGCAUUUUUGUUCUCUUUUUCCUUUUUUUUUUCAACUAUUUCAAAAGUCGGUUUCGAGCAUGCACCGUCCUGAGCAGUGAGUAGUACCAAGUAAAUACCCCAUGUGCCUAAGAUCCAUAAGGUUUCAAGUAGCACUAAAAAGUACAGCCCUGAUCUGCCAUGGAAAAUAAAACCAGCAUAACCUUUUUGAGGUUAUCAUCUCCGAUCCAAACUUUAGUAACAUGCAUAGCAAAAGAUACUUCACCAAAUAAGACCGUUACCUCGCUUUGUUGCAAUGUUGCACUGUCUCUGGACCAUAUCCAUCUUACUCGAACUUCUGUGGCUCAACGUUUAUUUUACGCAGCCCGCUCUUCCGCAAAUAUAUUGCAAAAUAAAAGCUUAAUACACCAAAUUGGCUUUACUUGUAAUGGUUCAAUGAACCGAAGAAUUGUGCAAUUGUAAUGACAACUAUCACCUGCGAAUCAGUUGACACCUACUUAGCUGCGAAACCAUCCCAACAAUAGAACAUAAACAGUUACAUGCAGACGAACGUUCACUUGCAGGCAUUCACUUUUGGAAGAUACAAAAAAAAAAAAAGUCACUUAAAACUGCCAGAGGACAAUAGUCACAAGAUAAAUAGAUGCUGAAAAGCUAGAUGCAAGUAUCACGGCACUUCUCUCUUUCUCCUCAAUGUCAUUACCCCAAUAUUGUUACCAGAAAUCAGAUUCAAAGGAACCUGCAAUUGGCAUAAAUUUAUAAUAUGUUUCUGCCUUGAGGAAGAAAGCAGGGUCAUCCGCUAGAGUACCAUCCUUCUCAGAAACCCAUUAAAAACAAAUUCACCAGUCAACAAAAAAUUUACAGUAACAAAGGACCUAUUUUCUUGAGCUGAAGGUUCUCCUUUUGUGUCAAAGUAAAACUGAACUAAGCUCGAUUAACAAUAAUAUAAGGACGCAAAGAAACCUUGGGAGGCCUAAAUCAAAACUCACUUUGCCAUCCAGGAACAUGCUACACGUCAAUUCUACAUCUCAUCUAAUUGAUGAGGAUGAAUUACAGGGGAUUAGCAUCGACAACAAUCUAACAACAACUAUAUAUGUCACUGAGUCAACAGUAGAACUCAUUUCUCACCAAGUUGACUAUGUGUACACAAAUACAAAUGUUGAGAAUUGCCUCCAAUUCCACUGGAUAUUCUUUAUCUAAGAUCUUAGAAAACGGAUACCAUAACACAGAAUACAAAUGACAUUAUAUAUGUUACUUGUACCGAUACACAGUUUCGAUCACCCACACCCUCUAAUGACCCCACCACGCAAAAUUUCCCAAACCGUGUCUUAAUGAGCGUAUCUUCCACCACAAAGGAUCCGAUUCCUAACUCCUAGCUCUUUCCUUUCUACUUGAGGCGACCAGUCAAGCUGCAGCCUGAACGAAUCAGAAAGUACAAAAGCCUCUUACAGCACUUGGCUCUGAAGAAUCACCAGCGCCAUUCUAAGCAGAGCUACUCAGGAGAUAGGCUACCACACAUCCAAGCAAAGCACCAGCAACAACCUGUACCACAUAAUGUCACUAUGAGAAUUUCUUUUUUUUUUUGGUUUGGGGGGGGGGGGGGGGGUGGUGUGGUGUGUGGUGGUGUGGUUUGGUGGGUCAAGCUAUCCUCAUGCUGUAGUACAUAAUAUUUUAAGAACCUAAAAAGCUGGACAGUGUGUUAAUCGCUGCAAUUAAGAAGACAGUAGUAUACCAUGGAAGUGACUCUGAAUGGUACCGCUCAUCAUGAUAUCACUGCAAGGAACAUUAGCCACAAUACCUCUAUAUGGGAAUAAUAGUGACACGCUAAAAAGAUAAAUUCAGCAGACAUCAAUGCAUGUAACCCAAAUAUAAACAUCAGGCACAAGAUGGGUAUCACAGUACUUAUUUUCUAGGUAAGUACGCUGCAACAUAAGUGGCGCAUCAUUGAGAAUUAGAUAUUAAAUAAUUAUUUAAAUUUCAUUAAGAGAAUAUUAAAACCAGCAUUAACAAGCCGAGAAGGCCUUGGUCUAAUUGCUAAGGUUGAGGCCUUAGGAAUUAGAGGUCCUAGGUUCAAAUCCCCCUGCCCCUUUCCCGCUUCUUAAAUCCCACCUCCCCUGCUGGGAACAAAUUAAAAAAGAAAAAAGAAAAGGCAGCAUUAACACCCAAAACAAACAACCGUAGUUUACAAAAAGAACCCUGAUGGAGGACAGCAUUGGGUGGAUUUAUAUGUCCAGCAACUAGUGAAAGGCACUAACUCCGUUCUCGAGCAUAUUAUUAAACAACAGUAGCAUUCCAAACACAGAGUCAAUGUUCCAGAUGAAUAAAACAGAGUUCAGAAAGUAUAUCAGUAAAGGCUGCUCACAGAUGUCCAGCCUUCAACAACCAAACCAAGACCCCAAAAGGCAAAACCCACAUUUAUUAAAAGAAAAAUAAAAUAAUUAAAAGCCAGUAACAAGCAAUCAGUCUCUGUAUAACUUAAGAAUAAGUAAAACUAGAGGAGUUUUUCUGCAGUCAAACCUGGAAAGGAGUGUGACCAAGUGAAUCUCGCAGAGGCCUAACAUUAGCGACAGGAUGUUCAGGGGGCAAUUCACAAACUAUCUGAUUCAAUAACUGCACAAACAAAGGUCAAACUAUAUAAUCAACAAAAAGCAAGAAAAACAACUUGGGUAGACUCCUGAAUACAACAUGCAUUGUAUAAGAAGCCAUAUGAAAAGUUUCUAGUAAAUAGGAUAACUCAUACACACAGUUCAAAAUGUGCAUACCCAUCCAAUGAAGAAUGUAACUAAAACACAAAAGACAGGAAAGCUCAUAAACAGUUAAUGAAGUUCAUAGGGAGAGACACUAAUAAACAGUUAGCGAAGGAUCUUUGAAUGCAAAAGGUAAAAUCUUACUUCAGCCUGCCGACCAGCAUGAAGCCUAACACCAGUAGCAUCAUACAUUACCUGAAAUAAAUGCAAAAAGAAAUAACUGAAAAUGAUUGCUCCUUGUUAAACUAUCCAAAGCUCCGAUAAAGAAAGUAGCUACUGCAGCCUCAACAAAACAAAGAACCCAACCAGAGAGCAAGAGAGAGUGAAUAUGAAAAAGGAAAAAAGGGAGCUAUUUGCCAGAGAUAUCAGGACCCUAAGUUAGUUGGUUAAAUGGAAUGGUGUAUGUUUCUAAAUAUGCUAUCAAGUAGAUUCAAUUGAUCCGCCAUCUGACAUAUAAAACCAUCUCAGUUUCCCACUACAAAACCUUAUUCCGUCUAGAAUAAACACAUUAUGGUUGAUGUUGAAGGGGUUUGGUUGCCCACUGACCUUCCUACUUUAAAUAUUACUAAAGCAUUUUUGAAGCUAUGUAAUACAAAUGUAAAAGAAUGGAGAAAACCUGGUUUAGAAAGUACAUACAACACAUGCCAAAACGACCGCAAUGGCAAAAGCAGAUGUUCCCGCUCCAUCUUGCAAACCUAUUGCUACAGCAAGAGCAGUAACAGUUGCUGAAUGUGAUGACGGCAUUCCACCAGAACUAAGCAUCCUUCUCGAAUCCCAUUUCCUCUCCUUGAACCUGGAAAUCAAAUGCUUCAAAGUUACAAGCACAAAAUGAAAGUGACAAAAAAAAAAAAGGCAAGCUCCAAAAAAGGCACUAACAUGGAAAGCAAAGAACUUUUAACUAAUUUCCGUCUUUACCACCGACAGUCUAACAUUAACACCCCAUCGUCCCAACUGAAAUCAUAGCGUCACUCAUUAGUAGUUCCAUUUAUCACCACAUCACUCCAGGGUUCAUUAAAUAAGCAGACACAUUUAAUGACAAAAUUCAUUAUGUCCUUUGUUCCUCCUGAAGGAAGUCAUCAAAGACUCUGCACAGACUUAAGCUUCUCAAAUCACUAAACAAAGGCAACUGAUCUCGGUUCAACUCAAGCUCAAUAUAAUUAGGUAUAAAAUUAACAAUUUACCCUUCAAAAAGUUUUCACAGGGAAAGUGGAAAGUACAGCACCAGCCCUUAAAUAGAAAUACUUUGGGUCAACACGCCACAUAACACCAAUAAACUUGACAAAGCUAAAGAUAUUUCCCUAUUUCAACCGAAGCAACCCUUUAGUCAUUCCAAUUUUAACAGAAAAUCAAGUACACUUCAACAACUACAGUUUCCUAAAACAGCAUGAAUUAACCAAGCUAAAAUUUCAGAGUUAAAGAUAGACAAUCAGAGUAAAGUUAAAAACCUUUUCUCUGUUAUCAUAUGAGACCAGUUAAAUCAACAGCCAAAAAGAAAAAAAAAACAAAUCAAGAAUAUCAGAAUGCAAUACCAAUGGGUAAAGAUCUUGAGAAAUUGGGCAACAAGACAAGCGAGGAAAGCGGAGACAAGGGGGAGAUUGGAGGGAUAAAUGGAGUGUGGAGAUGAGUAUGGGCGUAAGCUGGAGGAUGCAUCAGCUGCCGUCAUUACUUCGUUCAUUUCACCUUUUGGAUCAUAAAAAUGUGGAAGUUGCAGGUUGACUUAGGGCUUAUAAUCUAGAGAAAACUACUCCGUUGAACGUGGAUUCGGAUCCCGGAGGUGGAGACGUGGAGUUUUUUGGGUCUCGCUUUCCAAUUGGAGGAAUUCGGUCAGGGGCGUCGCGGGGAGGGUGGUGGUGAGGACUCACGCGCGGCACCUGCCCGGGCUAAGUAAAUUGUUGGUUCCAACUUCCAGCUUGCGAGGAAGGUGGGAAGAAACCGGAAGCUGGAAUCUUCACCGUCUAGUAUAGAACUACUAUUACAGUAGUAGCAUCCUAAUUUUUUUUAUUAUUAUUAUUAUAAUUUUUGGGUCCUUGUUCAAUUUGUUUGAUUUAUUUGGAUUAAGUUAAAAUAAAUAAAUGGGUUCUUUUAGCCGGGCUGGGCUUUUGAGUCCCCAAUCCUGGACCAAUUCCAGUUGUCGUGGGCUAGUAUUUAAAUUGAGAAAUGAACCCCAUGUGGCCCAAAAGUUUGGCUAACGUUUCUUCUUCUCCCACCCAAGCCAUGAUCCAGUAGCUUACCAUGUUUAUAGGAUAUUCAAAUUGUUAAUUGUUAGCUUUAGGAAUUUGAACCAGUACAUGUAGCAGCAUUUGCUAACGAGGAGCGCAAGCUCAUUUGUCAAAUAUACGAGAAUGACCGGAGCCUUGUCCCCUGGUCUCACUUUGUUGAAGUUAGUUAUAGGUCGGAAGUUAAAAGGUACGAGCAAUUGAGUGGUUGGUAAUCCGUAACUAGCGUUUAGCUGGUGAUGAGUAUUUAUAAGGGAAAAUCCAAUGGACAGAAUUUGACACCAACGUUUGGUUAAUUAUCAUAUGAUAGGCUAUGGAGGCGGAGUCAAACAUAACUUUAAUCGCUAGGACGGUGGGUGAUUAUAUCAACAUAUCAAUCACUAGUCACCUUUACCUAUCAGGGUAUUAGAAUUCAUAACAGUGUUCGAGGUAAGAGUGAGGCUGAGCCAAUUUCUAGAGAUGAUUCUUUACCUCGGAACGGUGAGGACGAGAUACUUGGAGAAACUAAAGGCCGGGGUAAUCACCCCGGUAUAGAACUUCCCAGGUGGUGUCCACAGUAGUCGAAUGCAGAAGUGAAUGGAUGGUUCAUCAAAGAGCUGCCCUCGUUCUUAUUUUUUGGUUUUUGUUUCAGUUCAACAAAGUUCUUGGUAAUUAGCUUAGCAAGAUUAUUGGUAAGGGGAUUAUGGAUCUCUACGCCUACGCCACCGACAGAGCGGAACUUAACCCCCCCCCCCCAACAAAAAAAAGAAAAAGAAAAAGUUAAGUCAAAAAGCCGUACGAUAGAAAGUGGAGGUCUUUUAAAAUUGUGACGCAUGGCAAGACUAAAUUGCUGUGUACAGUAAAAUGGGCCAAAGCUGAAAGAAAAACAGAGACCCAUCCAUUUGGCGUGGUUUCCCGGUGGCAGCAUGAUUGUCAGCGAACGUGAUGUGGAGGUCCCCCCGUACGGUACCAAAGCUGUUGGAGAAAGUCUGUUCACUCCUCAUUACCCUGUGGAACGUUGAGUAGAACGACUGCCUGCGAAAUUUCCCCUUCUUGUCGUGUUGCCUCGCUCAGACUGACAUGAUGCUUUUUCAACUGCAUCGGAUAACUAUUGUCAUGUUCGUGAAAGAUUUUUUUGUCAUUCCAAAUUUUGGGUACUUACUACUGGUACAACAUCUCUAUUUGAUGCAGCCAACUUAUACUACACCUAAUUUUCUUAGUACUUUGGGGGAAAAAAAAUCCAAUUUUGUUUCUCCUUACCUCGACUUUUCUUAGUUCGGUGAUUUUAGUUGGCAUUGGAUUGAAAUAUUCUGAUUGAUCUGAGCAUUUGGAAGUCCAUUUUUUUAAAUGGUAAUUGUAGCAGUUCUUAGCUCUCACUAAAAUGUAUGAACGUGAUAGCCAAAGAUAAGGCCUAAAUGCUAGACUCCAUGUUUUGAUCAUGUAAUAUGCCUAGCUAGUUUUGAUGGUCGUGGUUAAUAGCGCUUCAGUAGUCAUUCUUGAGUUCGGCUUUGUUUGGAGAGCAUUAACUUCUUAUAAAAAAAUUAUUGUAACGAUUUGAUAUAUGUGAAAUGAAAAUAUAAUUAAAAAAUAUGUUCACAAAAAAAGUAAUAAUUUUUCUUUGAAAAUCUACAAUUCAAACACACACCAUUUUAAAUAGGUCUUUAAGAAAAUCUACAGCAAACUAGUACUAAAAUUCUUGAACUACAAAUCAGACCAUUCAAAAUGAAGCGGAUAAUUUUUUGUCCUAAACAUUCUUCCAUCUCGUUUUUUAUAGUUUAUACUCGAGAAAAGUGGGCUAGGGAGUCAACUCUUUUAUCUCCUAUGGUCUUAACUGAUAAUUGUGCUCAUGCAUUCCAAAAUCAAGGGGGGGCGGCUAAUCACAUAUUUUAAUGGAGCCAAUUUUGAAAGAUCAACUAAUCAAUAAAAUGAAGGAAACACGAUGAUGCCAUCAUUUGAGUCCACGUUGGCCCAAUAGUCGAGGUUAAGUUAGCUUGGAGCAGUAGUAGCACAGUACUACAAUAGAAUAAUCUAAAAUUCUAAAGGAAGAUACGAAUCUCUCGAUGCUUUCCACGAGUUUUUUUGUCGAUUAUGGGCCUGUUUGGAACCUGAGUUUUUAAGGAGUUUGUCUAUAAAACUUUACUGUAGAAGGUUUUGUAAGGUGAAAAAUUUUUUUGUAGAAGUUUUUGUAAGAUGAAAAACUUUUUUUUCUUUCUUUUUCUCUUUCUUUUUCUUUUUCUUUCUUUCCUUUUUCUUUUCUUUCCUCUCUUCUUCUUCUUCUUCUUCUUCCUUACCUCUUCCCCUUCCCCGUUACCUCCCAGCAACAACUCCCUUUCCCCCUUCCCCCGCCCACUGCCCACCCCCGCCACCCCUCAGCCCUCCCUUUCCCCGCCCACUGCCCUUCCCCGUCACUCCUCAGCCCUCCCUUUUCCCCGCCCCCUGCCCAUUGCCCUCCCCCGUCACCCCUCUGCCCUCCCUUUCCCUCUUCCCCCGCCCACUGCCCACCCCCGCCACCUCUCUGCCCUCCCUUUGCCCACCCCCCGCCCACUGCCCUUCCCCGUCACCCCUCUACCCUCCAUUUCCCCCUUCCCCGGCCCACUGCCCUCCCCCGCCACCCCUCUGCCCUCCCUUUCCCCCGCCAUCCCUCUACCAUCCCUUUCCCCUUCUCCUCCCCUCCGCCCUUCCCCUGCAGCCCAACCGCACCAGACGCUCUAGCAGCCCAGGCUCAGCCUUUCCUUUGCUCCACAACGCACCAGACGCAGGCCAGGCUCGCGACCCAGAUUAUUUGCACGCGCGGAAUGGGGGACGAAACGGCGGUGGUAGUCGGCACCGACAGUGGUGGUGGAUUGGGAUGGGGGAGGAAGAAGGAAAAAAGGGAAGGGAAUUUUUUAUGGUGUGUUUUGGGUAUGUUGAAGUGUGUAGGUAAAAAAUUUUGAGAAGUUUUUUGGGAUUCCUGUAGCAAAAGUUGUUAAAAAACUAGUAGGUAAAAAACUUGCCCAAAAAACUGGCUUCCAAACAGGCCCAAGCGUCUAGAAAUCCAUAAUACGGGACAGCAAGUCGUUGUCCAAUGAGACUAUUCCAUUUAUUCUAAAAUUUUGCUGUAACAACCCUCCGAAAAAACAAUUUGCUGUAACACGUUUUUCUUCUUCUUUUUUUUUUGUAUAAAGAAAUAGUCCAAUUAACUGCGGCAUUGAGCAGAAGAGCGUGUUCACCUGCACAGCUGCUAAAUAGUACUUUUAAUGAAAAAUUUGUCAAAUUGGUCCUUCAUAUUUUUAGAAAAAACUUUUUUAAUACCUCAUAUUUAAAAUCGGCCUCAAUAAUCCUUUAGAUAUAAAAAAAGUCUGCCUAAUUGGUCCCAAAAUUCAUUUUAACUCACUUUUUCAACCAAAAAGUACACAUCUUUCUUGCGUGUCCAUAAUUUUAAGGGUAAAAAUGAAGAAAAAAACACUUCGUUUCCUUUUUUUAUUUAAAAAAAAAAGAAAAUGUAAACCAGUGAACCCCUUUUCCCCCUCCCCCCUAUUUUAGCUACUAAAAUCCUAGUUGUAAGCCAUCAAACACCCAAUCAAAGAAGAAAAUUUUAGUGUGGUCACCUACAAGUAGUAAAAGAAGAGCAAAAAAGUACAUUUAAGAAACUCACUCAUUGAAGAGUACACUGGAAACAAAUAAUGAUUGAUGUCAUUGUGAUAAAAAAAACCCAUGAUUGUGAGUUUUGGAAAACUGCAAAUCCGAUAGAGAGAUUCUAUGGUUGCUGAAACUAUGGAAUAAGUCCGAGCAUAUUUUAUUUUGGUUGUUUUAGAAAAAAUUGGUUCUUAAUAUAGAGUGAAAAUAGGUUCUUAAUAUGUGUUGUUAUUGCAUUUUAGGUAAAUCGUACUCGUCACUAUUUCAAGUGGUAUAAUCAUCUGAUGUGCAAUAAAUCAAUGUCAAUAAUACCUACCUUGUUAAAGGCCAUCAAUCGGUUGGAAGCUGAGCAUGAAAGAAGGAUUUAAAAAAAAAAUUACUUUGGGCUACUUUACUUACUUUUUGAAUGUGCAUUUUGUUGAUUGUGUUGAAUAAGAAUUUAAUUACAGUCAAAAGAAGAAACAAAACAUAUGGUGUAAAAGCAAUAUGAUCUUUGUACCUUGAUUGUUGGCACCAUCGUCAACAUGAUAUUGAAAAAUGAAAAAAAUUAAAACCUCCCUUGUUCAAUCGAGGUUUGUAUUUAGGAUUUUGGUGGCUAACAUAUUUUUUAAGAGGAAAUGAAAUGUGUUUUUAUUUUUGUCCUUGAAUUUAUGGGUAAGUGAGAGAAGCGCGCACUUCUUGGUUAGAGAAGUGAGCGAAAACGACUUUUAGGACCAAUUUAGCAGACUUUUUAUAUUUGAGAGACUAUUGUGGUUAAUUUUAAAUAUGAAGGGCUAAAAAAGUUUUUUUUUUGAAAAUAUAUUAAAGAAAUCGUCCAAUUAACUGCGGCAUUGAGCAGAAGAGCGUGUUCGUCUGCACAGCUGCAAAAUAGUACUUUGAAAUGUAAAACGAUCGUUGACGGUGGGACCCACAAGCUGGGAAGAUGGAAUGCCUACUUUUAUUACACGACGGGCAACGCUCGCCAUACAAUCAGGCCAGUCGAGUCCACGGCGGAAGAUACUUCGGAGAUCCUUUUCCAAGCCAAGAAAUUUCCGUGUGCACGUAUUUUUUUGUAUUUUUCCCCCAAUCCAUCAUGAAGCCGUGAAUUCAUUUUCUUUUGUUUCUCAGAAAAAAAGUUAAUGAGUUCGUGUAGGCUAUUGCUUAUAGUACGUGCCUCACCUUUUUUCCGUUUCCCUUGCGGUGGUGCGUGUUUCUCACGUAAUCACUAAUCAGCUCUCAAAAUACGAAUUAUGAACGCCGUUAUCUUGGUACAGAUGCCCGUACAGUUAACUCCAGUGGACCGCUCUCCUCCCGUCCCUAUCCGUCUUCUCUCCGUGGAAAUGCAAAAGGGGAGGCCCAUCCCCACCAUGGAAGCUCUGUUUUGAAACUCGGACCAGAUCGGUCGAUCGAACCGGAAACCGGUCAAGUAUCCGGUCCGAGUCAGGGUAGAAAAUCGAAAAUUUAAAAUCCGGUCAAAGUCGAUCAAAAAUCGAAUUUGACCGGGAAAAAACCGAUUUUUUCGGUUCAAUAGUUUCAUGUGGCCGAGACUAGUUAGUCAGCACCUCGAUAAUCUAUAAAGGUGAGCGUUUAAGGUGGGACCUACGUGUCCUCGUCUCGCAGGCACCAGCUAAUUGUUAGACAAACCUGUUGUCACUUGUCAUCAGCUCAGUUUUUCUCAAUUGGCGCUAACACUAACACUGUUCGGUAGGAAUAGCAACGGGCGUGGGGUGGCGUAGCUUUUUUUUUAAAAAAAAAACUCAAUUUUUUCAAUAUUAUGUUUUGGCCCCCUAAAUUAUUAAAACUUAUUAAUAUAUCUCAAAUAUUUCAUACUUUAUAAAUAUUGUCCUAAAAUUUGAUGUUAUUUUUCAAUUAAACUCAUAAUUUUAAUUCUUAACUUUUUAAUAUUUAUUAAAUAACAUAAAUUGCUACUUGAUUGUUCUAAUUUUUUUUAUUUUCUUGUUAAAUAUAUUUGAAACAUCAAAUAUAUAUGAAUAUACAUUUAUUAAUAUUAAUAUAUUAUUAGAUAUUUUAUAUAUAAUAUUUAAAUUUUUAAAUAAUUUUUAUUUAUGACGUCAUCCGGUUCGACCCCUAUCAAUUCCCGGUCGAACCCAUUGACCCCUGACCCCUGAUCUCGGCCGAGUCGAUAUCCGGUCUGGUUCUGAAAACAAGGUUGCGUUCCAAUCCUAUUGCUGGCGUCGCGAUGAUAGGCCAACAAUUGAGCGUCAACAUAAAUGAUAUUGUUGCAAAAGAUAAAACUCCAUCCCAUCGCAAUUAUUGAUACGGUGAAAUGCUUAUCCUACUUAAAUAAAAGUUGGACGCUCGGACACGUCUUAGGUAGGACCCGUAGAAUUAAGCCGACUCAAAUUUCAGACAAAAGCGUUGAAAUAGACUCGUUUUAGCUCGUCACUCCAUCGGUACAUCUAUUCGGUUAUUACGUAUAAAACUCAAUUAGUUGAUCCUAUAAUCUAUCUAAGCUUAAUGAUGAAAACCUGACCCCAGCGACGAAUGAAUUAAACUUCAAUGGGAGCUUAUCCAACUAGCCUAUUUAAUUCGUGCCUAUUCAUAGUCAAAUGGAUAUUUGGUGUAGUGAGUAAGAUUGAAUUAGCAGUUUUGAAUUCAAAAAUUUUUUUCCUGCACUUUGCAAAUCUAUUUAUUCCCUAUUGGAAAAAAAAAUUUGUAAUAAAAAGGCUAUUCAUCGUUAAAUUUCUACGUUUAGUACUAAAUUUAAUUUUAAUCCAGGAUUGAACUUGAGCUCAAGUUCAAACUCGAGAUUUACGCUGGGAGCUCUUCUCUUUUUUAUUUUUCUUUUUAGAGCUCUCCACGGAGUCCGAGCAAGGUUAAAAGUCAAGUUCAGCUCAAUUAUGUUAAAAGUAAAUCUUUCCUACACUGACGACGCAUACACUAUCAGCGUUGGAUUCAUGACACUACAUAAAUACUUGGCUUUUUUUUUUUGGGAUUGUAUUCAACUCAAAUCCACAUCCGUUUACAAAAAGCGGUUCACGAAAGGAGGCUAAUUUUCUCCCUGAGCGGUCCCAUUUGGAAUGCGACUUUUCCACCAAAAAUUUGUACAAUAUUCUCGUAACAUAUUUUUUAACCACGUUUUAUAUGAAAUUUUUUUAAAAAAUACCUUUUUAUGUAAAAAAAUUUAUAAAAUUUUAUUGACAUAUUUUUAACUAUCAUUUUAUCUCAUAUAUAUUUAAAAAAACUUUUAAAAUAUUAUCUUAACAUAUUUUUAAAUUAAUUUUUUACUUCACAAACAUCAUGUCGUUAUCGUAAGUCAAUUUGCGUCUCAAAAGCUCCGAUCAAACACUGGCUCAUUAUUUUGGAAAUCACUACUCACUUCUUGCCUCUUGCCUCAGCCUCAAAUUGGACAAAUGGAGAGUAUCAAGGGUUCAGCGUUCUUUUUAAGUUAUAUAUACUAUAUAUAUAUAUAUAUAGCCAAUCAGGCAGUGCGUGCGGCUCCCCUUUACUAAAAGACUUCAAAUCACAGGAGUGAUCAUUUUGAAAACGCACUCCAAUUCCUUCAUAAAUUCACAUUUUCUUUUUGUACGUAAACAAUUUGUACCAUCAAUCAAAACGUUAGAAUUUGAGUCUUACCGUCUGGCUGUGGGAUAACCCCGUUAAGCCCCAGGUCGUGUAGUCGAUUCUGGCUCUCUUACUGUCUCGUGUAUUCUUAGGGGCGGGGUGCACGGCUGAGACACUCGCUGUGUUGACAAAAAAAAAAAAAAAUCAACGUUAGAAUUUGAGUGGUUUGUGAAAUUACAGUGAAGGCGUGAAAAUUUAACGGAUCUGGGGUCUCUACUGUCGAAUAUUUGUGUCUGGUUCUGUACAACACUUGGUGUUAAAUGGUUGAAUUUUGGUGUAAACAUGAAUUUCGUAUCCGAACCGCCGGAUUCGGGUACAAUAAUUAGACCGAAUCAAUCAACCGGAGGGACCCGGGUUCCAAAUUUAGCAGCAGCAGCAUUGAUUUUUGCUCCCUGCUUUUGUAUUGGCAUUGUUGAGUCAGCUCAGCUGAGGAACCAACUCAACUCCCGUGUAAGAGUUCCAAAUUUACGGAGGAAGAAAACAGGAGUCCGUCCAUUCGCCUUGACCAGAUUGGAAAUGUAUGCACAUCCAGGAAAAUGAAUGCAUGGCCAAAAUGUUCAACUAAAAUCGACUCCAGCUUGAACAACUACUACACGGACCUAACACCAUUAACUUCAGUCGAUAAGAUAUCUUUAUAAAAUUACCCAAUUUGCAUCUGAAACCGGGUGCUGCAAACCAUGGUUAAUCCUCAGCCACUGUGGCCUGAUGACUCGGAAAUUGGAACUUAGAGAAAUGGGCCUUCCUGUUUUUGAAGGGGGAUUGUAUGUGGUCCUUAUCUUGCAUUAAUGGCUGCUGAGAUUUUUUUGCGUCUUGGGUGAAUGGAUCUGUUAUUAUUUUUAUUUUUAUUUAUUUUUUAUUUUUAGCACGUACAGAUACUGCUACUGGCCACUGGGGGUUAGAACGUAUUUAUGUGUUGAUUUCUUUAUAUUUCUCCGAGGAAUCAUCAAACUGUAGCUAUGUCAACAUUUUCUAUUAAAAUAAUUUUGUUGGGAUGGUCAGCUUUCCUCUUCCAUAACUUCUGGUAGUUAUUGAUUCGCAUUUUGGAUUGCGAGCAGCUAAUGUUUGGAUUCUUGGGGUGAUCAACACAUGUAUUAUGGGCUCGUUAUUAAUGCAUGGAACUAUAGAUUACUUUUUUGGAAUUGGAUAUACUACUAUUUUGCUGACAAUUUGCCCACGAUACUGUGGAGCUUUGGUAUUUGAUUUUCGAGGUUGAUUUGGUAAAACUAGAAGGAUAAAAUUUGUCUGUAUAUACUGACUGUUAUUUUGUUGCAGAAGAACUGUGAGGAUUCUACCCUUUAGAAAUACAGAGAUUGUCUGGUGGAAUCGAAGUAGAUAACAGUGAUAAUAAAUGAAUCCAAAAAAAAAAAAUUGAAUGUUAUAUUUGUUUAUAAUGCUGAUAUUUCAGUUUUGAGGUUCGUCAAAGUGAAAAAAGAAUUUUAUGCCCGAAGAAGCUGUUGUUUGCCAUCUGAAAUCAAUUGGGUUGCUUGGUGAAUACUAUCCUAUGUCAAGGAGAAAGGCCGUAAAUUUUCUGUAUGCAUCUCAAGUCAUAUCAGGGAUAUGUGGAGUUGUACGAGUGCAGCAGAGUGCAAGGUUCCCACGUUGUAGAGAAUCAAUCUUGCUGUGCUGAAAAAUUUUUGGAAGGCGCAUGCAUUUUGAAAUCCAGUAAUUCUUCCGGGACCAAAAACGAUUGAAUAUCAAUAUCUCGAGCUGAAGGGAAAAUAUUGCAUUACAGAAUAUGGGUUCUGCGAUGGUAAUGAUGCCCUUGUACCAGCAUGAGACGCCCAAAAUAAUCAUGGAGAUGAAGGGCAGUGGAAAUGGCAUGAAGACAACUAUGGCCAAUACGGUUUGGUUGAGAUUGCAAAAGCUUUGGCCAGGCCAGCUUCUACAUGACAAAACAUUUCAGUAUGCAGGUGUGGCAAAGAGACAUGUCCCUUGAUGCAGCUCAUCAGGUCAUCCAAGAACAUUUGGUUUCUGAUAUGAUUAUGCUACGAGUAGAUGAACAAGAGAAGCAGCCAAAUGCAGCUGACAAAACACGUGGGAGUCCCAAAGGUGCUUCAUCACGACCUAAGGAUUAUGCAACUGCUGGGCACGGAGACAAACCCAUGAAAGGCGGCUUGUUCAGGAGGUGAAAGGGAUUCUUAAAAGGAAAGUUGCAGGGAAAUCAGGUCCAGCCCUCCUUAGCAUUGCUUUCUAAUUUUGCUCAGGACGUGAUGACAGCUCUCUACGAGGCAUUCCUCGAUGAUGUUGAAACUGAGUUUGCAAAGGAGGUUGGCAAAAAGAAAAGCUAUUUUACUGCAGCAGUCGGUGCGGAUGAGGGCUGGCAGUUGAUUUUGCUUCGAACAAUUGAGCAAUUUUGCAAGAAGUCAAUCAAACUCAACUGAAGUGAAGGAAGCGGCUCCGGUUCUAAAAGGAAAAGCCUCGUGUGAUUUUGGAGGAAGAGUUUAUAGUACAGUGGUUUUAGGAAGGUCGGGCAGGGAAACAAACAUUCCCCAAUUUGCAAGAACUCCAAACGCUUCAUUGAUUGGCUUCAAAGCGCUGAGUAAAAAAUCGAGGGUUGUUGAUUCCACUAGAACCUUUUUCAUUUUUUUGGGGCCGCGGCCGGAGGGGAGAGCGUGGGGGAAGGAUGGCUUUGGAGUUGGAUUGGACUCCCUUCAGUGACUUCACCCUUUGAGUCCCAAUCAAAAUGCGGACUCGUGUAACUACUUAAUUUUCAGGAACGAGUGAUGAAUGUUAAUAUGCGAAUUUCGUAAUUUCUGUACCUAUAGCCUAUAGGCUUUUCUAUUUUGUUUUCUCUAUUAUUUUUUUGCUAGCUAUAUAAAAUAAAAUACACAUUUAUACCCUCCUCAUGUAAGGAGAAAGGAACCAAUGCAGUAGGAGUUUCGUGCGAUUCGUCGAUUAUUACCUUAUUUGGUAUACAAUUAUAUUAUAUUAUCGUGUUUGGAGUAAAAAUAAUGUAUAUGAAUAAAAUAUUUGACAUACAUUUAAUAUAACAUUAUAAUGUAUUUGUAUAUCAAAUAAUUAAGGGAUAAUUUCACAAACCUCCUUUGAGGUUUCUCACAAUUACAAAAAGCUCCCCUCAGGUUUUAAAAAUUAUAUAUACCUUCCUUACUUUUACUGUUUAGUAACAAUGUAGGUCCAAAAAUUUAAAUUUUCUUUCAAAAAUCCUAAAUUGCCCUUGUAUACAAAACUAAGAAAGAAAAAUAUAAUAUAUUCAAUUAUUUUCUUUCACACUUUGCAUAAAUCAACAAGCCAAAUUCUUAAGAACCAUUCAAACAUAAGUUCUAAAAUCAAGUAACCAUUCAAAAGAUCCCAAAUUGCAUACACAGUAUCAAUACUUGCUAUGAUAAAAAAAAACACACACACACACAAAACCCCAUUGAAAACCAAUUUUAUACCCCCAAAUUAAAUAUCAAUACUCAAAUAUAAGCUAAUUUGACCUAGAACCACCAUCACAACUCUCCUAUGGCCUAAAAAAUAUUAAUAUCUCAAAAGUGGAGAAUAAAUUCUACCUCCACAAUAAUCAUAAUAAAAAAUUUCUAAUCCAAUGAAAAAAGCAUUACGUAAUUAUUGACAUUUUAUAAAGUUUUUUCUUAACAACAAACAAAAUAUUGACAAAUUCCACAUCUUUAGUUAUUUUUCCUAUUUCAAUCAUCAAUUUCAUUAUUUAUUUCUCUAUCACUGCGAGUCUCUUCAUUUUCUUCUAAUUUGACACAUAAUCUGUUCCCUUUAUAGAUUUUGUAAUUUCAAUUUGUUAAUAUACACAAAAUUGAAUAUAAUAAAAAGAGGUUAUAUUAGCUAGAAAAAAGACAAGAGACGGCAAAAUAGAUUUGUUUUUUUAGAUUUUGUAAAUUUAUUGCCUUAAAUUUAAAAUUGUCUACUAAGUGGAGGGUAUUAUAGAUAUUUUACUAUAUCAAGGGAGGUAAGUGUAAUUUCUCAAACCUAAGAGGAGCCGAGUAAAAUUAUCAGAAACCUCAAGGGAGGUUUCUGAAAUUAUUCCAAUAUUUAAAGGCGUAAUAAAAUGAUCGGACAGAGCCCUGCAAAGUGCAAACGUAGCCCCACCGAGUCCUUGUCCUAAUGCAAGGCACUACUAAUCUCAAAGGACAAGCACGAGACGAGACGGCUGUGGUCACUAAGACAGGUGCUGUGAAUUACUAAAAGCCAACCAAGAGAACUAAACCAACAAAAUGAAGAAACACCAAUCAUUGAAAAAGAAAACAAGAAAAUGGAAAGAUUCUGAUCUGAUUAGUGAUUACAAAUUAGUAGCAGUACAGGUACAAAAUAUAAAUUCGGGUCCGGGUUUCGUUCGGAGCGAUAGAGUUGCACCGAACACGCAACUGACGAGCGUCUAACUAAUUUUCACUAACUUACAAAGAAGAUGGACGCCAGAACCGUUCACGAAACCGUCACUCUAUUGUAUUUGUAUAGUGUAUACUUUUAAAAAAAAAAAAAAAAAAAAUUGGAAAACUUAUUUCCUUAACAUCCGCAAAUUUGACAAACAUCUCUGUUUCCCAGAAAAUUUGACAGCAAACUGAGCUACAUUUCGCCAUCGCAACUUUUAUGAGUUUUAUAUUUUAUUAGCACUACCUACCUGUGUGAUUUUAAUAUAUAUAUACAUUUCCGCCAUUAACUACAUAGGAGCGAGCAAUUGAUGAUCAUAUUUAAAUUGGAAUUAUAUCGCUAUCUCUGAGCAAGGUAAUGAUGUUAUGUUAAUCAUUUCUUCCUUUAUUUCGCAUCUUAUAUGCUCUCUCCUAUUAUUUUCCAUGAAUUGUGUGAAUUCAGUAUUGCACUUGUGAAGAAUUCUUAUUUCUUUUUCUUUUUUUUUUGGUUUUGAAUUCGGGUGUUUUUUUCUUUUCCUUAAAUUCGUAAUUACGAGCUGAAUUUAUGAUUUAGUGACAUGCAUGUUUGGUUAAUGAAUUUUGUAGGAAAAAAAAUGAAAUUUUAAGAUACCUGUUGUUGCAUGUUUGAUUUUAAUUUUUCUCCUUCUCCUGUUUUAUUCAUUUCUUGUUUAACGGAAAAUCGGAUAGAGUAAUUAUUUGUGAAUUUUAUAUAAAGUGAAAGCUGUAAUCUUUGAUUAUGAUUGAAGUUGGAAAACGAUGAACACAUGCAACAAGAAGGGGUGAAAGUUUUUAAAACUUGGCGGUUGUUCCCAGGUGGUCCCCAUCUCACCUCUGAGCCCACGGAAGGGAAGGUACUCCAGGAGAAACAAGAACUUCUAAUGAUUGAAAACCUAAGCUUGGUUUUGGACAGUACCGUGGAAUUCAGCUCAAUUAUUAUGGCUUUUUCUUGGGGUGUUAGGUGGGGUGAAAAGAAGGAAUGGUUAAGGUGUUAGGAUCAAGUAAUUCUUCGUGUUGCACUCACGCAUUACUAUUAUGAUGCUUGUGUCGGUUUGCAUGUCAGCUAUGAUCUUUGUUGUUGGAGUGCGUUGCUGAUUCCCAAGUGCAAAAAUCCCAGCUUUAAUUGUUUCAGUUAAGCUCGUUUUUAAAGAACAAUUCUCCACCCCAAAUAAUUCUCCUUAUUCUCUAAAACUUUCGACUGAUUAUACAAGUAUUCAUGCACUGACUGGGAAAUAUUCACUGACAUUUCCAUACCUGGAGAACUUUUAGGCCCCUACUCAACACAUACUUUAGGAAGAGACGCCUGCUAAGUUUUUCUAGGGAAUGGUUCUUGAUGGUUUAUGCCAAGUUGGUUUAAAUUAGGUAGAUGAACAGUGACAGGGCUUGAGAAGGAGAACCUUCUGCUGGCUUGUCAGUCUUGCCACAGGUAAAUUUUAGAGCAGAGCCACCAUCUUUGGGUUAUUGUAAUUCGCAUGCAAUCUGGUUAAUUGGGGUUUUAAGAAACUGAUACACCAACAGAUAUUUUGAUUGGUAUACAGGUAAAUGUUGAGAUCACAUAUUUGUCUAUUGCAGCAAGAAAUUAAGAAUUUGUUUUACCCCUCAUUUACCCAGUGAUUAAGAUGAUUUUCCCCCCUAUUGGCAGGCAUGGAGGUGGGUUCUCCUGAAAAUGGAUUUGAUGAAAUAAGCGACCUUUUCAAACACGAUGAAUCCACUUUAUCUGAAGAUUUAGGCCUAAGCUUUCUAAUGAAUAAGGAUGUAGCUGCAGAUUAUGCGUUUGGUGACUUGGAAGGUGAAGAUAAGUUCAAUUUCUGUUUCAGUGAGCAAGGGCACUGUGAACUGCCUUCACUGCUGUCUAAUUUCAGAUACUAUGACCCUCCGGGACAUCCUUUGGAAAAUCUCCAUUCUUCUGCUCGAAUUAGUAGCAGUAGUGAUUUUUUGAUUGAUACAGAUGCUGGUGUUGUUUUGAACGAGGAUAAUUUGCAGAUGAGAUCGCCCAAAAACCACCAGCAUGAGGAUACUGAGAAGUUAUGUUCUGGUUAUCUUCGUGAUUUUGCCUCCCAAGUAGAUUUAGAGAGUAUCAAUUCUGAAGUUCCAGAGGUCUUUUGCAGACAACCACAGGUACUUGCUUCAAUGGGGAACCCUAUAUUGGGAGGAGAAAUAGUGGACACGCGAGAUUCUCCUCCGCACUACAAUAUAGGUGAAGAAACCUUUUCAAAUCCACAGCACCAAGAACUUGACCAGUCUGAGUUUACAUCCAAAAAAGAAGAAGAAGGUGUUCCAGUUGACCAGACAGAAACGCUUUAUCUUUCUCUAGAAUCUGAGAGUGGAGAUUUCAACUCAAGAAACUCUGGAGAUGGUAGGGAAGAGCUCAAAGAGCUUGAUUUGCCCCAUGUUGAUCAGUAUGACCAAGAGAGAACUUCGCACUUUUCUGUAUCUACAGGAGUGAUGGGGGAAAUAUGCGUUUCGCCUGAGACAUCUCUUUACGCUAUCAAGGUUCCACAUGAUCAGAAACUGUCUGCUUCACAUGGUCUUCAAGAUGUAUUAUAUUAUAAUGUAACACAUGAUCCAAAAUGCUGCAAAGCUGAAUGCUUUGACCCAAGUGAAGAUCCCCUUUCUGUGAAUCAGUCGUUACAUGCUGCUAUGGAGAAUUGUGCAUCUUCAAAAGGUUCUCCUGCGAAACAUGUUCAUGUAGCUAAAAUAAAUGAUCAAGGAGUAAAAAGAUCAAGAUCACAAUCACCGGUUAAGCAAACAUAUUCCACUUCCAGGUGUAAGAAGGAUUCUCAAACUAACUCUGAAGCAAGACUCCCACAUUUUAAAAGUUGGUGCCAAAGAUCAUCUGACAAAGCUGCUUGUUCAUACCAGUCUCCUGGAAGUCCUAUCAGAUGUGUUAUUCAAGAAGGUCACAAGGAACAGUCUUAUUAUUCUUCAUCAAGUAACCACAAAUAUGAAUUAGCUAGGACUGGUGAUCGGGGUAGGGAAGUCACUUCGAAGGAUCAUUUGUCAGUCACCAGUCGACAGAAUUCUGCUGCUCUACAAGAGUCAAGGAGAGUGUUUAAGGAUAGUUCUUCUUCCAAAUCUGCACCUGCCUCACCAAGCAAUCACUCCUUAGAAAUUACUAGUCGUCGGAAAGUGGAGAGGUCAGGUUCGCCAUCACCAAUCUCGCGUAGGAAUCUCAAGAGAGAAUGUGAUAAAUCUCUUUCAAGGUAUCCAUAUGCAAAGGAUAUUUGCAGGCAAUCCUCAAGGUUACUUUUCCUUCUUUUGAAGUGUUACUGCAACGAUAGAAACUAAUUAGAUAUUUAUCAUACUCGAUGAACUAUUUUCUGUUUGUGGACUUCGUACACUCGUUGGCUUGCUUAUUUACCCGUUCUUUGGACUAACCAUGUGUUAUACUAUAGUUGUCUGCUUCUUCAAUUACCUAUUCUUUGGACUGGCCGUGUGUUAGAAUCUACGCUUGCCUCUUCAAGAUGGAUUAGAUUACUACAGGACUGAUGGUUUAUUUGUUAUAAUCGUAAACAUAGCAACCUCUUUUCAUUUUUGUGAGUGUGUGUGUCUGUUUUGUUAUCUAAUUUUGCCAUAAUUCCUUUUCACUCGAACUCAGGACGAGGUACUCCUCAAGGCACAAAUCUUCCUCAAGGAGCUAUUCUGCUCAUAAUACAUCUCUUCGAGCCGGAUACUUGUCACGAGCUUCUUAUAGGAGGACUGGAAUAGGGAAACCUGGGAGAUGUCUGUUUGUUGCAGGCUUUGAAUUUUCAACAACAGAAGGAGAACUGGAAAGGAAGUUUUCUCGAUUUGGCCAUGUGAGAGAUGUUCGCAUAAUUCGUGACAAAAGGUAAUAUAUCCGCCUAUCAUUUACUCCUGCAGUGGAACUAUGAUAGACAAUUUUGGAGGCCUUAGCUUUCACCUAGUGAUCUACCUUUCUAUAAUAACAAAUUUUGCAUUUAACAUGUUGUCACAAGAAACAUGUAAAAAGAAGAUUUUCUGCAGUUGUAAGAUCUUUGUUAUGCUGCAGCUGUUAUGAAUAUACUCACAAAAUCAAGUCAUUUCCAGGAAUUCUGUAAACUAUGAAAGUGCUUAGAGCCUCGAACAUUAUGCACACAAACAUACGUGUAAUGCAUAUGCGGGUUUUGCACAUUGCAUAGGAUCUCAUCUAGAGUAAAUUGAAAACAUUUUUCCAUCUAAGGUCUUCUUUUAAUAGUCAAGCGUGAUUUCCAAAAGGCCAUGAAUCCUUCUGCAAUUUUUGUCUGGACAAUUGGAUUUCCUACUUAGUUACAGUCGAGGGAUUUUGUAAUUUAGGAGGGGCCUACUUUCCAAAUGUGUUUGGAGCAUCUAUUUCCUACGGCAAUCUUGGAUAUACUAGGCAGCAAGUAGGUACUUAAAGGACAACAUCAAUUAUAGUAGCUCAAAAGUCUUAGCUCAGAGUUAUCUGUAACGAUGUUGGCCUUACUUUUGCUAGUGAGAUUUUAAGGUGAACAUAAAUGUUUUACACCCCCAAAUUAUUGAAUGCUUGGAACAAGAGCUUCUUUAAAAAUUGAACUUAAGGAAGAAUGAAAAACAGCAGCAAUGUACCGCAAUGUUGGUGCUUAGAGGGGUCGACUGGUGUUCUGGUUCUUCUGUAAACAGCUAGAGCCGUUCACAUUAGCUUUGUUUUGAUAGUGAAGCUUUUGCAACCGACGCUACUUUUAUGCCCUACGGGAAUGCGUAAGCUUGUACAAAUACUGCUGUCUUAUCAUUUAUUCAACGUCUUGGCUAGACAAUUUGUGGACUGAGUUGAUAUGUAAUGCAUGCUCUCUUUUAUCUUAAUUUGCUAUUUCUUUGGUGAUGAGUGAAUUCUGAAAUUCUUUAAUUUCAACGCUAGGUCGGGGCUUUCACGCGGAUAUGGAUUUUUAUCAUUAGAAAGGGAUGAAGAAGCAGAUGCGGCCAUUAGAGCUCUGCACAAGACAGACUGGAAUGGUCGUGUUGUUCUUGUGGAGAAAUCAAUUAAGUGAAAUCUCAUUACCUGUAUCUGAACCAGCUUAUAGUUUCUUGUUCCAUGAUAUUUUGACUGCAAAGUUUUGUUCUAGCCUGGGCAAACACAUAUAGUAGCUCAGCCUGAGAUAACCGGGACAUAUAAUAGUUACUUGGUUAAAACUUUUGUCUCCCUAUCCAUUAACUUGAUAACGUCUAAUGUAGUGAUUUUUUGUGUAAUGUCUUGGUGGUUUUUGUUCGUUUGAUCUUCCUUAAAAGAUCUAAACUCAAAUUGAAGCUCUCUUUCAGUGACUCAGUCGUUCGCCUUGGAAGGCAUAUAUAUAUAUAUAUAUAUAUGAAGUUAAAUAGUGAAAGACAGUCAGAAACUCCAGGAGAUGGGAAAUGCCAGGUCAAACAUGGGUGAGUAACAAUAAUCUGAUGCCCAUCUGUUUUGUCUGCCAUACCUUUGAUUCAGGUAAGCACCAAAGGCACAUCAACAUCGAACCAGUCAUGCAUAUUCGCUCACGGCUCAACUCAGGGGAGGGAGGGACAGCAGGGUUCUGUGACAUGUUGGAGAGUUUUUUUAUUAUGAUGUGUUUGGGCGGCCGAGGCAUUGAAGUUGGGGUUUAGUCCUUGCUUGGGAGAUGUUGCCUUGGUUGGAUGACAAGUUUUUUGCCCAGUUUGUCUCUUAUAAGUUUUUUAAAAAUUAGCUACAGUAAUCUCAAAAAAUUUUUCAAAAAUUUUAAAUUAUACACUUCAAAAUAUUAAAAAAAAACACACUUCAAAAUUUUUUUUAAAAACUUCUACAGUAAAGUUUCAGGCAAACACUCAAAAAACUCACUUAUCAAACGGAUUGUAGCCGACCUGGUGGUGUAGUCCCUAGUUAGGGCAUCCACCAGAGUUCGACCCUUGUAACAAAAAUAGGGAAUAACCUAACAACCCAAAUAAGGGUUGGGGUCUGAAGUGGGAUCAGGUCCUUUUUUGCCGUUUUAGACACACAAAAAAAAAAAAAAAGGUUGUUUUGGUCAAAAGCGUUAGCAAUUUCAUUCGUAGAAUCAUGUAUAUACCAACCCAAUAUUUCCUAACGAUGAAUUGAAUGGCUUUUUUUUUUUUUUUUCUUCUUCUCCCGCUUUAUUUAUUUAAAGGAAAAUUUUACAAGUCAAAAUUUAAGAAUCAGAAUGAAAGACUUCACAGUUGUUUGAUUAAUGUCUCUUUAUCAACAGCUAAGAGUGUUGCUAUUUAUUUAUACUAGUGCAAAUUUGCUGGAAUAGUUGAUAUAUGAACACGUCAUGCUAGGAUCAUUGAGUGAAGUCAAUCAAGGAACGUGUCUUCCAGCUCACAUAUUGGCGGCUACAUUGCCUUUGUCCUUUGAGAGAAGUAAUGUAUGGUUUGUAAACUGCCCAAAGGAAAUUAAUUAUGCUGUUGAAAAUGAUUUAAUUACAAUUUGAUAACUUUUUCCUCUCAAAACUCAAAGAAAAGGAAUGUGACUUCCUGGAACCAAAACUGCGUAAUAAGUACUUAAAAAAAGCAGGUCGGCUGCUUCUAGUUCUAGACUUUCUAGGUGGAAAGUUGGAAGCAGUCCACGAAUGUAGGGUUCUAAGUCUCAAGCAAUGUGGACAACGUCCCUUAUCCUCAACAUGUAUGGCCUCUCUCAGUCAUCUCUAUGGCAGAAAAAAAAGUGUAUUUAAUUUUUUUGAAUUGCAAAUUAAAAGGUAUAUACAGAGUCUAAUUAUUUAUAGUCUUUUUUUUUUGAAAAAUAUUGCGCAAAUAGAAAGAAAUUGAAUAUUCUAAAAAAGUGUUUUUUUUUUCCUACGACUUUCAUUCUUUUAAAUAGUUGAAAGUAUUUUAUAUUGUCAAUAAAUACGACGAAACAACAAAAAGAUGCCAUGCAUGUAUCACAUGCUUGCUUUUCCUAAUUUCUUACUUAUUAGUAAUUUUCAAGAUUUCAGCUAUAUUUCAAGAUUUUGAGGUUCAAUUUCACCUUUUCUGUCCUCUGCCUCGUAUAAAAGAAAAAAAAAAAAGGGAAACAGCAGCAACAAAUUUGACCUUUUUCUCCAAAAUGUAAUAAUGAUGAUGAUGGUGAUGAUUAUUACCAAUAGCCAUUGUGCAUCCCACCACCUUUUGAAUUGUUUAGUUAACUAGUCCAGCAUAUGCCUAGCUGCCAACCCUGCCUCAGAAGAAGGAGAUGUGGUCAACUAUUCAAUCAUGACAUUAUUUCCUUGUUCACAUUUUUCACAUAAAAAUGCAAUAUAAAUGGCAAUUAUCAUUGUGAUUGCAUCUUGCACAACCGGAUAAAAAGAUGGACAUUUAGAGCUUAAACCUUUAGUUAGCUGACUCUGUCAAAUUUCAUUUGUACUAAAAUCAGUUGAUUAAAAUUAUGAUGUGUUAUGUUGUUGCAUACGUAGCAUAAUACAGACAGACACACGAGACAUGGGACCAACUAUAAAGCAUUAAUCCAAGAGUUUAAAGGCAUUCUGAAGUUACAGUGCACCAACCUAGAAAUUGCUUGGGGAGUACAAAGCAACGUUGUGCACCAUUGGGUAUUGGCCUGCCUGCAUCAUCUUGCCUCGAUCCAUUAUCAAAGCCAGCAUUAAAAAAUUCCAGGCUGCAGCAUUGCAGGCAGGCUAAUUAUCGUUGGCUCCAAUGUACGUUUCACUCAACUAUAUUCUCCUUUACCAUUUCCCUGUCAGCUGAUUCAGUCUUGGAGAAUUCAAUUCAGCAUUGCAACAGAUGCAUCAUCUAACCACCUUCUUUCAUUCUUCCCAUCAGACUUUUCCAUCCAAGUACAACUUUGAUUCUAUCUUGGUCAAGACUUGCAAAGCCUUCCAAACUCAAGGGUCCCGCAAUUCUUUCUAAAUCCUAGGUACUGAGUACACCUCCCUGUUUUCUGACCAAAUCUCAGUUAUACCUCGUUUUCUUGAUUGCAAAAUGGCAUCUUUCUACAUGGUAUUUUGAGUCUCUAACUGGGUUCAAUGUUUAUGAAUGUUCUCCUGUUUGAUUGUAAUUCACAAGUCAACUGUUCCUUUUCUUCUUCUUUUUUUUUUUUUUUGUGUGGGUAUUAUUAAGGCUUUUGCUGAUUGAAUCUUGCUGUGCUAUCAGAAAUUCAGAAUUGACUGAUUAGAAAGGAAAAUAAUGGGGAUGUGCUUUAGCCAAGAAAAACCAACAGUCUCCAAGGCCAAUGGUGGUGUCGAUGGAAUGUAUAUUCCUGGGACACAGCAAAAACCUGUUCAGCACACAAAAUCACCAGCUCCUAAUAGCCAAAUGCCCUUUAAGCCACCUCCAAGCCCCAGACCAGUUCACAGGCCAGAUACAAUAUUGGGGAAGCCGUAUGAAGAUAUUAAAUUGCACUACACACUGGGGAAGGAAUUAGGCAGGGGUCAAUUUGGUGUCACAUAUCUGUGCACGGAUAUUGAAACUGGAAGACAAUAUGCUUGCAAGUCCAUAUCAAAGAAGAAGCUUGUUACCAAAGGUGACAAGGAGGAUAUGAGACGAGAGAUUCAGAUUAUGCAGCAUUUAAGUGGACAGCCAAACAUAGUUGAAUUUAAGGGUGCUUAUGAGGAUAAGCAUUCAGUUCACCUUGUGAUGGAGUUGUGUGCUGGUGGAGAGCUUUUUGAUCGAAUUAUUGCCAAGGGACACUACAGUGAAAAAGCUGCAGCUUCAAUCUGCAGGGCUAUUGUCAAUGUUGUUCAUGUCUGCCAUUUUAUGGGUGUGAUGCACCGUGAUCUUAAGCCUGAGAACUUCUUACUGUCAGACAAGAGUGAAAAUGCGGCCUUGAAAGCAACGGACUUUGGGUUGUCGGUAUUUAUAGAAGAAGGUAUCUUUCUCAUUCUCAGUUCUCACGUAAUUCAGAAAUGUAUGCCAGCUUUUCCUAUGAACUUUAAGAUAUACGUGCGCUCUUGGAGUAUUAGAAUAUAAUAUGUGGACCACUUAGCCAACAUUUUGAAGUUGAGUUCCCAGUUUUUCUAGCUUAAAAAGUGCAAAAUAUGUAUCCUAAAGAUUGAGGAAAUGGUCCAUGAAUACUGAAUUUACUUGAAUGUUAAUCUUCGAAAUGUAUAUGCUGGUUCAGAUAUGACAUAGAUUUAAAAUGCUCUUAGUUCCUUUCAUAUUUCCUAGCAAACUUCCAGUCAUUAGAUUCGUUACAGACUGUAAAAUAGUCGAUAAGUUAGAUUCGUGUUUGGUUCAAGACAGUGCUUCAAAGAUAAGCUUGUAGCAGAUUAUAGAGUUCUGUAGCUACGUGUAGUUUUAGUUGCAAAAAAUGCUGCUUAUUUGCCUGGAAUGUGUUUAAAGCAUGAAAUUAAGGCUUUAUCAAACCAUGAGAAGCUCCUUUUCACAAGACAUCGAGGUACUGCAACUUAAGACAUCAUCAUCAAGUGCACCUUGAUCACAGAUAUCAGUGACGAGGCUUUUAUUUACACAAAAGUGUUCCUUACAACUGAUGCUGCCAUUAAGCGAACUAGUGUUUGCAAUUCAUGAUUUUCUUGGUGUUUUCCAUCAUAAUCUUAUCAGUUAAACCGAGUCUGAACCUUUCUGUAGGCAAAGUCUACAAGGAUGUAGCUGGGAGUGCUUAUUAUGUUGCACCUGAAGUUUUAAGGCGUAGGUAUGGGAAGGAAGCUGACAUUUGGAGUGCUGGAGUCAUGCUGUAUAUAUUACUCAGUGGUGUGCCACCCUUUUGGGCAGGUAAAGCAAACAAAGUUGCCUUCUUUUCUAGUUCUAAAUAUGUAAUAACGUUUCUUAUUAUUCUUCUCUUGGUACCAUUUGCCGAUUAAUGUAAUUAAUCUUUUCAUGAAAUUUGCAUGACAGAAACUGAGAAGGGUAUAUUUGAUGCUGUCUUAAGGGGACAUAUUGACUUUGACAGUCAACCUUGGCCAUCAAUCUCAAGUAGCGCUAAGGACCUUGUCCGCAAGAUGCUAACACAAGACCCCAAGAAACGAAUUACAGCUGCUCAAGUACUUGGUAUGCCUAAGAAUGACCUGAGUCCUUCACUAAAAUCCUUACAGUUGCAGAAUAUACCCUUUUUGUUUAUUGUUGUCUGAGAGAUGAGGUCAUAUACUUGCUAGUUGCUAACUUAGGAACAUAUCUCCUUAGUCAAAGCCUCACAACCUUUUUAUGGUUCUUUUUCCACUUCAAACUGCCUAAAGUUUCUGUAUCCACUGGCAUCUCGAAGUAGUCAAGAUUUAUCUAAAUGUUAGAAGUUAUUUCUCCUGGUUUUAGCCUAAUAGUUGAUGAUUCGUAGCUUGGUAGACUAGAUCUGAAAGAAGUUAUUUAGUGAAUAAGCUUAAGAUGGUCAAACAUUGGAGCAUUUUAAAUUUGUUCUGAAACCUAGCAAGACAUUUACAUUUAACUGAAAGCAUCUCAGAAAAGCACUUUUCUACUUCCACAAGCAUGUUUCUCCUUAUUCUUUUAUGAAAUGGAUGGAUUAUCACUAUGCAGUUCUCCAGUAAUUCUUUCUUAAUGGUAAGAAUUCUUUGUGCUGGUAAUAUACUCAUGCUACAAUUCUGGCGUCAGCAUCCUGUACCUACAAAAUUUCAUAUGUUCAAAUUUUGUGCUAAUCCAGAUUUUGUGCUUUUUUGACUGAACAGAGCACCCAUGGAUGAGAGAAGGAGAAGCAUCAGACAAACCAAUAGACAGUGCAGUCCUUUCCAGAAUGAAGCAAUUCAGAGCAAUGAACAAACUCAAAAAAUUGGCUCUGAAGGUAUGAUCAUUAUUCAAGAACUUAGAUGUCAGCCCAUAAUAGCACAAGUUUAAAAUAGACAUGAAUCAGAGUGACUGUUAAAACCAUCAUAUAUAAGCCCAAUAUCUUCUCUUUAGCUUGUAAAUCUUAUCAUUCACAGAACCUGGUUAAGUUGCUCCAGGAACACCAAGUUCCUAGGAGGAUGUUGCAAAAAAGAUAGAUUGCAGGUAAAAGCUAUCAUAGAAGAGCCCAACUCUCUCAUCAAGUUUGCUCAACUUACCUUCUGAGAAACCUGACUUUGGCAUUAGAAUGAGAGAUAUUGCUUAGUCCGCACCUUUCUGAACACCAGCUAAGCUGAGUAAUACAUUGCCCAUAACCAUCAAACAGAGGGAAUUGGGAGGGGCCAACUAUAGAAGCUGUUGUACUGAUGAGACACCCCCCAAGUGAUACUGAGCAACUCAGUAUAUGGGCACCAUCAUUUAUUACCAUAUUCAGCCAAAUUAUGGGUAAACCUGUUCCAGAAGACUUUCCGCUGCUGUGGGAUUUCAGAAACUCAGUAGAAAGGCUAUUCCAGUGAUCAAAUUCUAAAUCCUCCUAACUCACUCUAAGCAACUUACUAAUGUGGCAAUGCCAAUGUACAUGGUAAAUUCUGGCACAUUCAUCUUACAAACCAGAAUUGAUUGUUGGUUGAUUUAAAAUCAUAUUCCAGGUCAUUGUAGAAAGUCUCUCUGCAGAAGAAAUCCAAGGGCUGAAAGCAAUGUUUCAAAAUAUGGACACUGACAACAGUGGCACAAUCACAUAUGAAGAACUAAAGAGUGGACUUGCUCGACUUGGGUCAAAACUCACAGAGGCAGAAGUUAAACAGUUAAUGGAAGCUGUAAGUUCAGUAGAGCUCUUCCUUCAUGCUAUGCUAUAAUAUCCUGAAACUAAUUGCUAUUAUGCCAACUUUCAGGCUGAUGUUGAUGGAAAUGGGACAAUAGACUACAUUGAGUUCAUUACUGCUACAAUGCACAAGCACAAACUAGAAAGAGAAGAAAACCUUUAUACAGCAUUCCAGUAUUUUGAUAAAGAUAAUAGUGGGUAAGUUCCAACGGUAAGAUGCCAUCUGAAUUAGGCAUCAUCUCUUAAGAGUGUUGUUGAUGCACUAACUAUUGCACAGUCGUAAACCCAUGAUUUUCUUUCUAUGCUGUUUUAGGUUCAUUACGAGAGAUGAGUUAGAAACUGCUAUGAAAGAUUAUGGAAUGGGUGACCCAGCCACCAUAAAGGAGAUAAUAUCUGAAGUGGAUACAGAUAAUGUGAGUAUUCUUCUUCCUUCGUUGCAGGUCUCUAAAGACUUUUGAUCAUGUUUGCCCGCUCACCAAGUACUGCAUUUUUUAUGCCGUCAAUAUUCCAGGAUGGAAGAAUCAAUUAUGAAGAGUUCUGCACAAUGAUGAGAAGUGGUACAAAACAGCCAAACAAGCUCUUCUAGUUCAAAGCUCCAAGAUCUUAAGCUUUAUGACUCGGGGUUAAAUCUUCUUCUCGGUCACAAAUUACAUUACUAAGUCGAGCAGCAGCUGUCCAGCAGGCUUUCAGUUUGGAAAUUUAAAGUAUAGCAUUUGUUUUGUGAUUUGUUCCAGCUCAGUUGUUGCUCUUUCUGCUGUUUCCUCAGUAUCUAUCCAGCCUUUUUUUAAACAACCUUCCUUUGGAUGUCUGGAGGAGGGGGGAAAAUCUGGAUGUCUAAACCUAGCAUUUAAUCCCCUCUUCUUUUUUGAUUUAUUCUUUAAAUGAAAAAAAUGAAAAUAGUCUUCCGUAAUAACACCGUUAUGCAUUCUGCAUGGGGAUUACGUUGUGCAUUUUACAUACCGCGUAACUUUAUUUGCACAUGACGUAACUUUAUUUGCACAACGUGUAAUUUUAGAACAAAUUUUUGUAAGUCUCACACACGUUAUUAAAAAUGAAAUACAGGAAGUGAUCUGAACCGUACAAUUUUUUUGAGUCAAAUCCUGACCGUACACUGUUCAGAGACGUCCUUCUGAUAAUAACUGUCCCUGCCCCGUCUCCUCCGCAUGAGAAAGGCGGAUCUGCUCCUUACUGUAAAUCCAUCCUCUCUCCAUUACACUCUUUUAACUUGCAACCGCCUGUUAGCUCAUAAAAGCCAUGGGUCAACAAGUUUCAGAUGUCAUGUGCUCUCGUCUGCAACUGCCAAAAAAACCUCAACUGCCAAGAACAACAGAUGCAAAAGGCAGUCUCAGCCAGGAUGCGAGAACCACCUCUACAAACCAAGUUAUCUUAAUCUUGUCCACCAAAACUCACUCUACCAAAAUUCCUCCCAGCCACCAAACAUCCCCACAAAUAAAUGAACAUCCUCCAGUGACGAGUGAACGCAUGACGCAUCUAACCGUAGUUCUCUGUGAUGUAUUCUGAAGUCGUCACCAAACUUGAAUGCCACUCAGAUGACAGCUUAAGGCCACAAAGAGUAUCUUAGAUUUGGAAAUCGGUUUAAUCCAAUAUAUUAUCCCUCGAUCUUUGAAGGAAUCAUCAUAUAUACCAAUUAGAAAUCAAAGCAACGAUUUGACGCAUUUACAAUGACAAUAUUAAAAGAUUAAAGCAAAUACACAAGUAAAUAUAUCAAUUAUACCUUUAUUACUGAAAAAUAAGAAGGUAGUCUUACAAACCGCUUUUUGUCCCAUGACAUUAUCAAAUGAAAGAGAACCAACACCAACUAACGCGAAUAGUUCCCACUAUCCACACAAACACUAACACGAAUAUUAUAAUAGGCAAUCCUCAGAUGCCACACACCAAUGCAAAAUACUGCUACUAUAUAUUAUUUUCUUCAGACAAGAUGAUCAUAAUAAUCCUUAAAAACCAUGAAUCUUGAUCUGGUCUUUCUUGACAAUUCCAGCAGUCACAAGGAACUGAGAAGCAUUCUUGCGCUGAUCACCUUGAAGUUGAAUGACUUUGCCUAGCUCUUUGUCUUGCACCACAUUCCCGUUGCAACAGAACUCUUUCUUAAGAUCCUUCAGUAUCUUCUCCAAGCUGAAAUCUUUUUUCAGCCCCUGAAUAGUUGUCAAGCACUUUUUACCAUUCCUUUGUUGAACACGGAUAUGAACAUACUCUUUGGCACCAGGGGCACCUGAGUCCUUAUCCUCGGUGAAUGGAUCAAAAGCAGCUGGGAUUUGGAUGUCUAGAUCAACCAUGUAUUUGUUGGAUUGGAACUCGAAAACUUUCUGAGAUCAGAAAGCGGAAAUAUCGGCACUAAAGCUGUAGACAAAGAACAAAUAUCUGUCAGCAUCCAAGAACUUUACUUUGUAAAUCAAAAUGACAAAAAAGAAAGAAAGAGAAAGAAACUAAAUCGGUACAUCUGAUUAAUCAUAAAAGCUCGCAUAGCUCAUAAUUAUAGUCCAAGAAUGUAACUACAAAUACAAAAGCAACCCCCAUAUAUCUUGAUAUCUGUCAUUAGUUAAUCCAGAGGUCAUAGUAUCCUGAAUUCAGCUUCCAAAAAUUUUUAUGUAGAAAAACGAAGACGGGAACAUAAGCCCACAUGUAUAUUAACAAAUCCUUAACGACCCUAGUACCUCAUGCUACCAUGAACCCAACAUCUUUUAUCAACCUACCGAUCAAAUUCAAAAGGGUCACAGCCUAUACUAACGUAGCAAAAUCUCAUCAUGGAUUGAAUUUCACAAACAAACCAGCACCUUCCCCACCAACUAAAAAAAAUUUUCAUGUAUCAACAAGCGCAGCACCCACGGGCUACCAUCAGGCCCCAUAAUAAAACUAAGAAAAGCAUCGCAUAGUGUUCAAAGACAAAAAAAAAAAUGGAAAAUAACCUAUAAUUUUAAAAUAAGGAGAUCGAGUCUUCAAUUAAAAGGAAAAAGAAAAAAAGAUCAACACUUUAACAACCUGAAGAGGAAAGCGGGAGAAGCGGGCAGAAAACUAACCUCUUAAACGAAGACCCGAAAGAAAGCGAACGCGUAUAAAAGCCGUAGAAGAAAUUAUGGAAGGAAGACAAGGGAUGGGUGGGUAUUUAUAGGGAGGAAGGAGGCGGUGGGAGAUGGGUGGGUCUUUAAUUUUGUAGCCACACGAACUUAAUUGUGGUUGGGUUUAUUCUGACCCCGGUUUAGCGUCCCUCAUGUCAUGCAUCACUAGUUUUGCAAUUAAUGUGGAUUUCCAUUUAUAUCCAGAUGCUUAACAGAUACUACUACGUAUAUAUAUGAACCUUAGAUGAAGGCGAAGGGGAGUGGGGAGGAUAUUAGAUCGUGGGGCGGCGGCUGGGCAAUUUGGGGAAUUUGCAGCUACAGAGAUCGCGUAGAAUCAACGCACUGGAGCCAGCCGUGACGACAACGCAGAAAGAGAUUUGUGGAAGUUGAAUCACCACGGUGGGGUAAGUGUUUGUGUGGGCAACGCGUUGUUGAUGCCUCAUGGAAAGACUCCUGAUUCAUCACGGGCUCUGGGUCAUUGUUGGUGGGAAGGAUCCAGAUGGACCAGGACACCGCCCACAACAUCUAUGGCUUCAUUUUGGGUCAAAUCAUAACUCUUACUGUUACUCUUCUUAUUUGAGAGGGAAUUUCACCUCUCAAUAAAUAUAUAUAUAUAUAUAUAUAUAUAUAUAUAUAUAAAAGGGAAUUGGGCUGUUACACGCCUUUUAAAUUUUAUUACAACUUAUUAUUUUAGGACGAGAAUCCAAGUAAAUUAAGAAAAUUAAAAGAAGAGAAUCUUACUUCUAAAUCAAAGGAUAUGAUGCAUCCUUUAUAAAAAAAAAAAAAAAAAGAGAGGAGGAGGGUCUAAUUGAAUUAAAAGAGGUCAAAAAAAAGAGAAUUUCACUUCUAAACUAAAAAAUAUACAACAUGCACAUCCUCUAAAGUUUAAAGGCAGAGGUUUAGAGAUUUAAAUUCGUAACCAAAUCUGCAUCAAGUGGUGGCUAACUCAUCGAACGGGAAGUUUGUUCCGCAGCUUCUUUGGAACUCGGUGGAUUUUCCCGUGUUGUUUUUGAUGUACACCUGACAGACCAUUUGGGGCAGCCAUCCCAUGAUAAUCCUAUCCAAUCCUGCUGUGCCCUUGUACCCUUUCCCUGUCUUUUCGACAUCCACAAGUCUUAGCACUCAUCUGGCGGGGUUUUCUUUCUUUUUUGGUUAAUGUUUGGCGGCCUUCUUUACAAACUAAUUCCAAUCAUCAGAUUCAUUUUUCCUCUCUAUGUGGUCAAGCUAGAUUUUCAAAAUGCGGCUAAAGUCGAGGAGAGUAUAAACUUUUAUUUCGACCCGUUUGCCCCCGUCUGGCAAAUACGGUGAGAACAGAAAGGGUAGGGGAAAAGCAUAGUAGUUAUGGAGCAGCAUUUCCCGUAAUUAUAUGGGGAUAAAUCCUACCGGCACUGAUUACCUUGUUUGGACCGCAAUUUUUCGAACGUUUUCGGUGAAUCAUUUUUUUAUUUUAUAUACAUCAAAUCGUUACAGUGUUUUUUUUACAAAAAAAAAAAAAAAAAAAAAUACAAUCCAAAAAUGUCAUGUACGAGCUCACCACUGGUCCACAACCCCGUUAUAGCACGGUAUACUGCAGCACUCGAAACUCGGAAAAAACCUCUUAGAAUGCAUGCCUUCCUCCGCCGGGACUAUGAAAGACAGAUGGGUAGAGCAUCGAUAAAGAAAAAAGAUGCUCAAGGCAACAUUUAUUGGUUAUUAUACACAAGAAAUGAUUGCCUAUCGAAGAGAAAAUAUAUUCAUUUCCCACUCACGAAUUGUGCAAAAACAAAAUAUAAUGGAUAUUUAUUACUCUAAUAUUAUUGGUUAUAGUAAUACAAGACAGAAUAAAUACGAUAAGCUCUGAAUCCAGGAGGUAAUAGGUCAGGUGCUUCGGUUAAGGUCCAUCUCCACUUGGUGAAUGGUCCAACGCAAAUUUUCCAAUUUCUGCAACAGGACAUUCCAAUUAAAGAGUUAACGAACAACUGGACAAAAACAAUUUCCAUGAUAUAUUCUGUUUAAUUCCCACUUGCCUUGACUAUCUCAUGAUAUUGUCUGGCUAUGGAAUCGAAGUGUGGAUCGACGCCUUGAUACUCACGAAGGCGUGUAACCUGAAAGCAUCAAGAACACAAGAUAGUCCAGCGGAAGAUCGUCCGAGCAACCUGAACAAUAAUUCUAAAACGUAUCUUCCUUACUCCACUCAAACUCAAAGACAUGAUUCGAGGAAACAGGGGAAAUCUUAUGGCAUCAUGAACUAUUUGAUAAUGCAAGAAUCUAAGCAUAAACUUAAUUGGCUAUACAAGCAAUAUCAGUGGCAUAGACUUGCACACAAAAGCACAUAUUCUACAACCCCAACUUGAAAAACAGAAUAUACGAAUGAAUUAUACCGCUUUAUUAUACGCAAGUGAUGCUUCGUCUGUAGAAUCGACCAGAUACUUCCUGAACCAAAAUGAAAGCAAAGAAAGAGAAAUGUUAAUCCUGCGGCAUCAGCAGAAUAUUCACUGAUAAAGUUGACUUUGUUUACCUUAUCUUGUGAAGUGCUCCAAUUGUUUCUGGAGUAUAGGUGUCAUACAACAGGACGUGUUCUAGAACUCUGAGAACAACAUUUAGGUAAGAAUGUUAUAUUCCUCCUAUAGGCGAACAGCAGUAGACCAUCUGUCUCAAAACAACUCAAGUUGGGGAAGCCAUUUAGUUAUCAGAAAGGCCCAUCAUCACACUUCAAAGGUACCACCCUAACCCAUUCAUGCACUAUCUUUGUUCAUCUAGUGAAGGCAUGCAGAUGUCAAGUUGCGUUAUUUGCCCCCAGAAAGAGUAUUCCUGAUUUACUUUCUAAAUAUAGGUCAUGAAAAGAAAAGAAAAGAAAGCAAUGGACUUUCACCACAUCUUGAGCAUCACAAAAGAGAGAUGUUAAAUCUGAUAAGCAACAAAGAACAAAUCCAAUUGCAAAACCUACAUUUAAGAAAGACCAACCAAAAAAAAUGAAGAGAGGGAAUUAGAUACAGAUAGUUUAACGAACUGUAUUUUUAAAGCACCAUUGAUCCACAUCGCUAGCAAAAGGAGAAAAGAAAGAAGAUGAAAUAUAGGGAAGAAAUUUCGACGCAAAACCUAAAAUAGUAAGAUCAAGUUUGUUUCUGACUACUCAACAACCCCUCCCCCCCCCCCCCGGGGGCGGCCCCAAAAAAAAGAAAGUAGUAGUUUGUUUCUGAAUGUUCUAAGUGAUAAUUUUGGCCAAGUGAUCCGUAGUUACUAAAUUGAAAUUUCUGGCGUUUAAAUUCAUUGCAUCACUGAUGUGGAAGUAUCCUUAUCCAGGUUGUAGAAUGUAGUCAAAAUUCACUGAAAAUGUAUCAGAUGAUGACAAGUCGGAGCAUCCUUGACACCAAAGAUUUCAGAAUGUACAAUUUAUACAGAAAAAAUAAAAUUGUCCAAUCACAAGGAAAAAGCACGAAGUGGGGCAAACCUCAAUUUGGCAUUCAUGGUCUCACACCUUUUGCAAAGCCAAGUUUUGUGCAGUUCAUCCUAUCAAUUUAGAUGCAAAUAAUCAGCUUAAAUAUCUGGUGAGGAAUAACCAAAAAGUCAAGAAGUUGUGCUUGCAGGUACAUUUAAGGACAAAACUACUAGGAAACAGCAGAGAAUGAAGUAACAUUAUUUCCAAAAUCAGGUUUAUAACCUGUAGCUUCAAGAAUACAACACUGUGGGGAAGGCAACUUACAUAUUUAUGUUGAUGCUGCAACUUAAUUUCUUUAACAAGCUUGAUUAGCACACCUAGUAUCUGCUCCAAAACCUUGAAUGGAAAGAAUGACCUUUAAGUGCUAAUUAUAACUAACUAUGGAAAGUAUUAUAUAUCAUCUGCAAAUGCAUGUAAAUCCAGAAGUUCAAUAAGAAAAAUGGAAGAGAAAAAAUGGAGGGACUUAGGAUGCCAAGAAGACGAUACAUUGUAAUAUUCUGCAAACUUUCUGUCAGAUGAAUAUAGAUCCUCCCUCCAUGCUGUUUCUUCUCUCUCAAUCUCCUCAAUAAUCAACUUUAUCCUGUUAAAGUUAAAAGCCAAUCUAUUGCUUAAUCACAUUUAUGCACUAAUAACUUAAUAUUAGUGUAAAAUAGCACCUAAAAAAUGAUAUGUGUAUGUACUUAAUUCGAGAGAAGUUAUACAGGCUAUCCAAAACAAUCCUGCUGGACCCUGUAAUAACUUGGGGAAUUCUGAUUAAGCGGAAAAAAGGCACAAUUAUGUGUAUUUUGACGUUAUUAUUAUUAUUUUUUGGUCUGCGAUGGUGUGGGGAGGCGGGAGGGGAGGGGGUAAAACCUGAAUCUAUGGUCACAUUAAUAGAAUUUUCUCUAAAUGGAAUCACAUUUUUCAGUGGAUUGUUUUUCACUUCAACAGAAUGACAAAACAGUAACGUUUGCACAACCUCUUGAGCAUUUAAAUAAUCAUUAAGAAGAGUCAUCAGAGUCUGAGACUGGUAGUAAUAUUUUAUCAAUGAUUAAAUGGAAUCACACUGACAAGAACCGGCUAAAGAUCACUGAAAGAUACAAGAAAAACUGGCAAAUGCAGCCAAAACUAUGGGAGUUCAUUGAAUUAUCAACACUUGAUGUGGCACUUUACAUCAGAAUGACGAAAUAGCAGCCAGUGCAUAAGAAACAUUUUAACUUGAUAACAUAGAUACCCAUAAAAACAGAACCUUUGUCAUGUUAAGGUGCCGGAAAAAAAAUUUUAUAUCAAGGCUCGGACCUUUCUGGGAGCCUAGCAGUUGAAUUUGGACCACUGGUUGGUGAAUCUGCAAAGAUAAAGGAACUUUAUAUCUUGGAAGUGUUUACAAGCAAGUAUUGUAAGAAAACUUAAAAUGACCAAAAUCUUCAAGUAUGAAAAUGUUUACUAUUGGGCGUUGAGAGAACGCAAUUAUUUGAAGUAAGUCAUACUCAGUAGUUCAGCAAAAAUAACAUGAGCAUGGCUAGGAAAUCGAUAAAGUAAGAUGAUCAUUUUCCCUAUUCAUUAUUCAUUGCUUCAUAGUUAUCAAAAUUUGGAAUAAACGCAGGCACCCAGAUGUCCAUUCACUAUCAAGUUAGUUUAAGAGUGUAACAACCAAUAAUCAGAACUUUUAGCCUAUGAACUUAGUAGCUUUUCCAGGUCAAUGAACUUGCCACUAGUAGCAAAUGCUCACGGACAAUAGUGACCAGGCAACCAAUCCACAUCCACAAGCAGGAAUAUUUUAGGACAAUAUCGAAACAACUACAAAUAUCUUGACUUACCGAUGUCACCUGUAACCAUAGCAUCUAUUAACUUAUCAGACUUAAUGUCUAGUCGACUGCCAAUCUCCCGGGCAAGUGACAUCUGGUAUUCUGCCAUAUCCUACAGUUGCAUAACAGAACAGGUUUUUAGUUCAUUGGUUCAACAUUUUAUUCUUCCAAAGUAGCUCCAACUAAGAAAAAAGAUUCACAUAUCAGAAACAGAACUUCCACUUGAUCACGUGUCAUACAAAGGAACCAAAGAGCAAAAGGUUGCUUUUAGAUCAAGCAUACAAGACAUUCUCUAACUGCACAAAUUAUCAGUAAAGAAAUCUCUGUCCCAUGGGAUAAAGUCAUCUGAUGUCAUACCAUAGGUAAUGGAAGUUGCUGAAGUUGAGUUUGCCACAAAUAAGCAGGAGUGAUUCCAAGGUAUCGAUUAGGAGCACCACCAACUUCAGGUUCUGAUGCAUCAGCGACAACCACUGAGAUCAUAGUGCUGGCAGGAGCAGAGGUGCCAAGUGCUGAAAUAUUUGUAUAAUUAGUUGAAUUUGAGCUUGAGCUAAUUGUGACACUGGUACAGGUACUAUCAAGGGAGCUUCUUGACAUUAUACUCCAUUUUUCAAUUUCUUCCUCGUGUAUUUCGCCAUCUUUGGAUAUCAGGGGAAGCCUCAGCUUCUGAGCAGCUUCUGCCACGACCAUUCGAUGCUCAAGAGCCUCGUAAAGCUGAAAUAUGUAUAUCACAGUGCAAUUUUUAACAUGUCCUCAAGUAAAACUUUUUUUUUUCAAUUAAAAGUCUGUAGAAGUGGGGUCCAUUUUACAAGGCUCAAAUCGACAAAUCCUGCUCAAUGACAGGGAACAAGAUAGAUACACAGAAAGAGCGAGAUCUCAAAUGCAACCUAUAUUACCUUUACUCAAGUCAACAGACAGUUACAUAACUACAUAAUUAACAGAUGCUUGGGAAUGACUUCACAUGAGACUUUGAUACAUAUCAGCUCCAGUGAUGCCAAUAAAAUGCAUUUAUAUCGAGCUUAUAUGGCACAGAAAACUAACAAUGGCAGCACGCUUAGCUAAAGUAGUUUCGCAUUCCCAUCUUGCAGAGAAAUAUACUACUUAGAAAAUUUUACAGAAAUACUCCCAACAAUUGCUGUUAAAUAUAGGAAAAAGAAUCAGAAAACCUGAGGAGGAUUCUUCAAGCCAAGCUGGGAGUAAAGACCCUGAACAUCGCGAAUGCCCCCAAAAUUAGCCACUGAAACCGCCUGCUGAUACUCUUCCACCAUUGCAAUCGCCUCGAUGUAAAUUGCCUACGGUUGUAUUAACACAGAUGGUAUCAAUUAAAUGUGUCAAAAAGAAAAAAGAAAGCAAAACUAACUGCAACAAACAAACCCAAAAAAAAAAAGAACGAAGAUUCUCAGUAGAGAGAAUACCAAGGCUUCCAAAUAACGCUGUCGUUCUUUGCACAUUUCCUCCCUCGCCUGCAUCCAAUCCACAUUUGCACUAAAUUCUUACCUCAAAUUCAUUUUGUGAUAACAUAGAGAAAGGAAGAAGAUAAAAUUGUACGAGAGAGAGAGAGAGAGGAGAAAGUACGAGUUGGAGAUCGUAGUGAGUGGAUUUGGCAAUGAGAGAACCAUCAGGAGCUAAGCAGUGCCGCUCCAACUGAUCUAAUAGCUGGAUCACGUCUGCUCCUAGAUUUUGUGCUGCAAUCCCCUUCCCCAUUUCUCCUCUCUUCGACAAAUUUCACUUGUGACUUUUUUAGGAAUAUCUUGCUUCUGCUGUUGGUUUCUGUCUUUCCCUCAAAAUUCAAUAUCUCAAUUCGGGGAAAUAGUCAAUUUUGUCCCUAAAUUUUUUCAUUUAAAUCAAUUUCUUCCUUUAUGAUUUUUUUUUUUACCAAUUUAGUUCUCAAACAAUUUUAUCAGAUUCAAUGUAGGACUUGUUUGGCGGUACCACCACAUUUUAUGUAUUUCGCAUGGCGGGCCAAUGGUAUAAUUGGAAUGAUAAGUUCGAUUGUCUAAUUAUAGGGAUUAUAACAGAGACUUUUAGAUGAUUAAAGACAAAAAUCUCUAAAAAUUGAGAGAGAAGAACACUAAAGAGAAACCAGACCUGGUGCUAAUUUAUACGUUGAUUUGUUAGUGCCUUCUGGUGUUAAAUUUGCGGAAAUAGAAUCGUUGAUCGAGCUGUGUGACUUAAUUGCUAGAACAAAAUAUGAUGUUCUCUUAGAUUUGUAACAUCUCUCACCUAAUAGUUUCUCUCACCUAAUGUAGCAUAUCUUGAUUGCAUUAUUGAUAAAGAUGUGCUGAGAAAUGAGCUUUAGUUGUAUAUCCAAACGGUGGUUUUUUCUAUUCCUUAUGAGAUUUGCUUCGGUCGUACAUUUUCUUCUCUUAAGUUAAAUUGAAAAGUUAUUCUGUUUACUGAUUUUAUUACAUGGACGCUUGUUUUGGGAGAUUGGUAUUGAUCAUCAUUUAAGCUGUGAAGAAUGAAUGAAAAAAAAGCAUACCUAGCAGAAAACUCUUUACCAUUUUUCAAGUUCUUUGGGGCAUUGUGAUUUCUUUCACUGGCUGGUCCUUAUUGAAUUAUCAAAACGAAUCUAAUCUUUCUAUGUUGGCAAACCUCAAUCCUCUCCUCUUUUGAAUGCCUCUAAUUACUUCUUUUCAGAACCCAAACAGACCAUGGCUAGGGAAAAAUAUGAAGUUAUGAUUCUAUAGAGACUCGUCCCAAGGAUGGCUUUUGAAAACUUAUCACUGGUAGGGUUUCAAAAGGCAAUCUUGGAGUUGCUGUAGUUGUAAGGAAUUGAUAUGGAUUUUGGACCAUCGGAUCAGUAAAAAGAUCAGGAAUAGCUUCCAAUCUUCAUAGAUCAUUAUUGCUACAAACUGGAAUUGGAAGUUGAUGCUAUUAAUAUUUUUAAUCUUUUAAACCAAUAUGAUACUGCUAUUUACAAUGUGCUAUGGUUAUAUCUGAUUGUAAGUAUCUUAUUGUAUUUUGGCAGCAAGUCUUGAUCAAAGCAUGUAAGCAGUGAAGCAAAUCAGAUGGUAGAUUGUUUAGCUAAUGUAUAGGAUGCUAACAACAGGAUAUCUUUUAUUAUGAUGUUAUGCCCCACUAUCUUUUAAUUGCAAGAUGACUGUUUGGGGAUUUUAUUCUCAUUUUGUAUGAUUGUAUAUUAUUUUAAAGUUUCUUUUAUGAAAAAAAAACUUCUAAAACUACGAAAAGCUAAAACUGUAGCUUAUUUUUACUAUUUAAUAAAAUUACAAAAACAUAACUGCAAAGAUAUUGAUGCAUUUUUAUGUAACUUUUCAUAUUUAAUAUCUAAAUUUGAAUAAUUGGGCAUUUAUGGGCAAUAUUGAAAAUCACACCGCACAUCGUGCGGUGUUAUUCUCCUAAUAAUCCCUAUAAUUAGACAGUCGAACUUGUCAUUCCAAUUAUACCUUUGCCUCGCCAUACAAAAUACAUAAAAUGUGAUGACGCCGCCCAAUAAAGCCUACAUUGAAUCUGAUAAAAUUAUUUGAGAACUAAAUUAGUGAAAAAAAUGAUAAAAUUAUUUGAGGACUAAAUUGGUGAAAAAAAAUCAUAAAGGACGAAAUUGAUUUAAGUGUUGAGAUUAAAUUUACGAUUUUCCCUUUCAAUUCCCAAAUUUGAACUGCCUUUACUAGCCGGCUUGCACGCCAAAGCCUAGCACGACGCAAUAUGACAUCGCACCGUCUCUCUCCUUUCGUUUGUUUCCUUUUUUCCUUUCUGAUUGAUAACAAGUUUUUUCUUUUAUUUUUUUAAGUUAUUUUUUAUUGUUUUUUUUUGGGAUUCGGUAAUUAAGUUCAUUUUUUCUUUUUUGGGAUUCGAUAAUUAACGUGGAAGGAUUAAAAAAAAAGGGGGAGUAUGAUAUAAAAUCGUUAAAUAUAUUAUUAGGUGAUAUUCUGGCAUGAAAAUAAAAUCUUCUAGGUUGAAUCAUUGAAUUAUGAGCUACAUUUUUAGGUGAAACUUUGGGACCAAAAUUAAAACCUUGCCAAAUAUCAAAGUGAAUUGUUGCAUCAUCUAAAAAUAAAACCAUAAUUGAAGAAGGUUCAAUUAAACAGUAAAAUGCUCAAUGAAUGUACUAAUACCAUCUUUUAUCAACCAUAAAUUGUCAUUUGAAAAACACAAAACUUGAUCAAAUGCAGUAAGAGAUGAGAUUGCAUUUCUCCUUUAUUCCUUCCUAGUCUUAUUAGAUGUUAGAAUUCAUCAAAUCAAAAGGAAAUCCUACUAGUCAAGUGGCAUGCAAGAAUGUUUGCAAGGCUCUCUAGAGGCUUGUCAAUAACUUUCCAAUCAACGUACACGACCAUUAUUCUUCAAUUCUACAACUUCGACCCUCCCAUCCUUCCCGGUGCAAUAGAAGGAUCCUUGGUAGAACAAUGGAGCAUUGGAACAUGGCUUGAAACUUGAGUCGGCAGCCAAUUCCACAAAAUGCCAGUCGUCAUCUCCUGGAUUCUUGAUUUGGACAUAAAGUUGUGAGCUUGUAUACAACUAUACAUCACACCAACAGUUAAAGAAUCUGAAGAAGAAGGACAGGAUGUAAAAAUGAAGCUUGAAAAUGCAUAGCCAAUAGAUUGUACGUCUUUUGUUAUUGGAUCAAAGGCAGCAAUGGGUGUUUCUUUGUCCACAAUUCUGGGAUGCUCCUGGCCUCGCUCUUGAAAGAAUCAGCAGAUGUUUUUGUACGGAAGGUUUGCUCCCUGAAUCCUUUUCCGCGAUAGUAUAUCAGCCACGGAUACUUUCCCGCGACUGACGGUUUUUCUGAUAAUUAUAUAAUAGCUCUCCGAUGAUCCCUCCGUCUGCAUCUCCAUCUCCAUCCCCAUCUCCCUUAGACUUGGAGUAAUUAAUAAUAAAGCCAAUAGAUUCUCUGUGUACCAAAUGUAUGCAGGCAGACUGCUCCUCUCGUUUCAUAAUACGAUACUAUGAGCUAAUAAGACUUUUUACUUUUUACAAGAUCACUAACUGCCACGUCAUCAGGCAAGUCCCAAACAACUUUCUUCUCCUUUCUUUUCUUCCUUUUAUUUUUAAUUUUUAAUUAUUUUUAAUUUAUUUUUUUUUGCAUUUCUAAUUUCUUUCUUUAAAAAGGCGGUGAAUCGGACCGCCAAAUAAGAGAGCAGCUGAGAAUUGUCAGCACAAUCCUUCAAAUCCCCGGUUUGGUUUUCCUUCUUCAGCUGCUCCCUGCCCCGGCUUGUUGAUGGAAAAUGUCAAAGCCAGAGACCUAACGACCUCGUUUCAACAGCUCGAUUUGCAUCUCAAUCCCAACAAGGCCACUCAGAAAUCAACCAAGUUUAUGUCUUGGCCACUCAGAAAGCCUCCCAGCUUGGUGAGUUUAUGUCUUGGGGUAGUUGGUAGGCAUUUUGAGGACAUCAUUGAGGACUUGCCUGAUAUUGCCCCGACUUUUCCACCUAAUAUCAAGGUUAAAAAACAUCAAAGAACCCGUCUUCUUCUUCUUCUUCUUCUUCUUCUUCUCUCUCUCUUUCUCUCUUUCUCUCUUUCUUUCUUUUCUUUUGUGCAGAAAUUGAUGUAUUGAUCCUUCCUAUUGUGUAAUCACAGCAAUGAGUUAAAAUGGUUAUCUUGAUUGGCAGUGAUUUAAUUCGUAAUAUAAAUUGUUCUAAUAUUUAUGUGGCUAAUGGUGCUCCAGGGCCGUUAAUAUGUGAUUGAGAUUUGGUGUCUCAUUGUUGCCUAAACUGCUUAAACUUGUAGUGCUUGCUUUGAAGACUCUAUUUUUGUUUGCUUUUUCCCCUAAAUUUUUUGGUGGUAUCAUCAUCCAUUCUUAUUAAUAAAUUUGAGGCCUUUGCCGCUUGUGAAAUCAAUUGGCUUUAUUUGAUCAGUCGACAGUGUUAUUGUGAAAAAUAAGUGCCUUAAGAGAGCAUUGCCUCUAUGUCCUUUUAAGAUGGCUUAAGGGCUUGCAAUUUGUUAUGGAUAAUAGCAGUACAUGAUCUCAUAAAAUCAGUCUAGGUAUGAAAAGCAGGGGUGCAUAUAUGAAUGAAUUAUUGCAUAAACCUUGUUCUAUUUAAAAAAGAAAAGAUAUUGACAUGUCCAUGCAAAAUUGUCAGAUGGCCCUCGCCGCAAUUGCAAGAAGACGAAAGUUACUGACUGAUGAUGUUAUUAUCGUAUUAGCUGAAAGUUCUUGGGACAUACUUGACAUAUCAGGUUCAGAUAUUUCUGAUUUUGGUUUAUCACAAGUACUUCAGAUAUGCAAAUCUUUGCGAGCAGUUGACAUAAGGUACCCAAGUUGUGAUUUUGUGUUAAUUCAGAUGCAAUUUGUUAUUCUUAUGUAGCAAUAUGGUAGGAACCCUAGGACGUUCCAUUUGGAAUUGCUGCCACAUUAGUAGAUUUACUUAGAAUUUAACAUCUUCUUCUUGAACAAACUUUUCAAUUAUGAAUGAUUGUUAUCCUUUGCGUUGCAUGGGCUAUAAGAAGCCAACAUUAUGGUCCUUUCCAUUGAAUUUUCAAGAUCAGUUGCUUGGUUAUCAUCUCAUACUGUUGGACUUUUCUGAAGAUUUAAAGAUGCAUCAACUUGGUUACAUCUUUUCAAUGACUAGGCGAGAGAACCAAUCUGACUUAUGGGAUGUGGUUUUCUUUUGUAACUUUCAGUUCAUUCUCGUGGAUUUUUUGUUUAAAAAGCUCCCAAAUGUUCCAGUUCUCGACUUGCAGAAAGUUCUAUAUUGUGAUUGUUUUUUAUCCUGAUGGGGUAUCACAUUGCAUAUGUUGUGCUAUUUUUUACUAUACCAACUUUAUUCAUCUAAUGUGACUUGGCUUUUGUUUACGCUGCUAUCUUUCUUUACCUAGUCGGUGCAGCAAACUCACGUCAACUGGGAUUUCUGAACUCCUUCAGCAUUGCCAGUGUUUGGAGAUAUUGAGAUGGGGGUAUGCUAUCUUCCUUGUACCUUUUUCUGUGCUAUAUUUUUAUGUACAAAGCGAUGCUGCUAUGAUUAAAUUCACCGGGUUGGUUUUUUUUAGGUGUGUACAACCUCCUUAACUUCUAACAUGAUUUUAAGAUUAAUAUUAGGAGAUACAUACAAGAUUGUAGUUCAAAUACUUUUGUUUGUUUUUUGUUUAAUUAACUAAUUGGCAUUAACGCCUAUGUUAUAAUUGUUAACAUUAAGGUGCUAAAUUUUUGUGCCAUUCACCUGGCAGUCAACUCAUUGCAGAUUUUUGAACUUGUGUGUUCAUAUAUUGAUCUUGUACGUUUUAACUGGAACCUGGAUCAUAGUUGAGUUUUAGUAUCAACCUAUGUUUUUGCUGCAUUGACUUAUAGCAAAAAUAUAUGUGUAUAAUUAAUAAAUCUAGGCUCAUUUCUGUUGUCUAGAUUGAUAUAUGAAGGAUGGAAAAAGGACAUUGGAGGCAGAUGAAAAAACUUAUCAGAACUCACUCAACUUUUACUUUAAAGUGAUAUUUACUUAUUCCAUUUGCUGCAUCAAUCAGAAUUGAAAUAAACUUCUAUAGACGUUUAAAGAGCUUCCCAGACCCCGGUGCAUGUCUCGACUUUCUCGAAUUAAUUGUCAAUCCGUGCCAGUUGAGUCUUUCAUACUAAUAGAAAGAAGAAAGUAUAACCACUUUGAAUUUUCUCUUCGAGUAUUCUCGUCAUCUUAUGGGAUAGAAUGACCCAAUAGAUUGGGUUUUGACCAUGAGCAUAAACCUCAAUAACAGGAAAUGAACCAAAGUUCAUGUUGCAGAGGGUGCCCGGCAAGUGACCAAACAGCACGGAGAUGCUUAAGUAUCUUGAAGCCUAUUUUACAUGAUGUGGCAGGAGAAUCUUGGGAGGAACUGGAGGCCACAGAUAUUGCCGCUGCUGCACAAUCACUUCGUUGGCUUGUAUGGGUAUGGUUUCCUUUUAAUGUUAGUUUGUAAGUUCCGUUUUGCUAUUAAAGAUGACCGUUGUUCAGAAAUUUGGUUUGCUUAACCUAUGAUACUAUAUUAAAAAAAUGAGCGGGGUUAGUGCUCUUAUUUGCAUGGAGUUCUGAUUUGUGAACUUUUAACAGCCAAAAGUUGACAAGGAUUCCUUAGAGAGCUUGUCUGUAGAAUGCCCCCGCAUAAUUAUAAACCCAAAACCAUCAGCUUUUGGAUACAGAGGCUUGGAAAUUCCUAGAGAAGCCUUCCCGAGUGCAGCAUUGGACGAUCCAGUUGUUGAAGAUAUUGAUCCAGAAACAUGGGCGAUAUCUGGGUUUACAGCUAGGUCAAUAAUUGCAUCAACUUCUGGAUCUGACGAGUUACCCAUGGCUGAAAAGUUUAGGCUUGCAUUUGUAGAGAGAGAUAACCGAUUGGCACCAAAGCGUGCAAAGAAUGCAAGGCAGCACCAGCGACGAGCAGUGAGGGAAUGGGUGAUGAUGAGUUCUAGAGCAAAAGCAAUGGCACUUGCCUCCCAAGCAACCAAGUCUCUACACCAUCGGAAUUAGGCUAGAACGUUAUCCUGCUUUCAUAUCAUGAUACAGCUAUGUUUCAUUCUUUAGAUCCUAAGGAUUAAGUUUUAUCACUUUAUUACUUGAAAGUUGGCCUGAAGUCUAUGCGGUUUUGCAGGCAUGAUUUUCAUUGUUUCAGUCUUUCUCGUUUUCAUAAUGUAGAAUGUAUGUUUUAGGUAUCUCUAGCGAUCCAGUGGAUGGGAGGAAUUCACUGAUCAGGGAUUGGGUUAUCGUUCUUCUUCUGCUUUUCCGUUGUAAAGUAUUUUAAGUACCGUGAAGUCUGGUUAAGACACCCGCCGUAAAGUAAUGCAUUCCAAAGAAAUUUCUUGCUUCACAAGUACUGCAUAAUAAUUUCCGUCUAUUUUGAGAAAAGGUCAAAAAAAAAAAAAUUAGGUAAAGAAGAUUCACGCAGCUUCUCAGACAAACUUUAUUCUGGCCGAUGUACAUGUUGCUUGACCUACAAAAAUAUGUUUAACUCAAUAAACAAAAAACGCGCAGGUAUCUUUCACCGUUUGCAGGGCCUAAUCUGCCCCCAGUGGUCACUUUAGUAAAAGCACUAAUAUUUGGAAGAUGCACGGUAAGUAGAGAUGAUAUUAUUCGUCAAACGACAAAGGAUAACCUUUAUAGACUUAACAACCUUUAUCACACGUUGACAACACGCCCUUAGUCAAGUGAGAGAAGAAAACUGAGACGAGAAAAGAUGGACAAUUGAAGAAACGCAUAACAGGAAAAGUUUAACAAAACAAGCACCGACCCCGUGAUUAAAUUCAACGCAACAGCCACCCCACAGUGGCAUUUGUAUCUAAGAAAGUUUAUCACCACCGCCUCCAAAAAAGACAUGCUAUAAAUUACGCCACAUGUUCCCACUUUACCAGGGCCAAAUUUAAAUGAGAUGUAAAUUUUCACUAUUAUCCGAAAGCUUUAUUUGAAGGCAAGAAACAACUCCGUGCAAUAAAUCUCGAUAGCUCAUGAACUGAGAGAGGAUUGUAGCUGUGCUGUAGUCCCUGCUGUCCCAGUUCUGCAAUAACUGGUCAUCCUAUGCUCGAGUGAAACUCAAGUUUUCACUUGGCCAAGUUUCGAAUAACGUAGGGAAGGAUUCCACCAUGGUCGAAGUAUGUCAGUUCAACCUGCAAACACAAUCAAAUAAUGAUUUCAGAAAACAAUUUUUCAUUGUUAGUUCUCAAUCUCCCCAGAAAAAAUAAAAACGUAAGAAAUCUUUAAUUUCUCUUAAACUUUUAACCUAACUCACACGGUCCACUUUCAAUUUUUUUAUUGGAUCACCUCAUCCAUCACGAAUUAUAUGUAUUAAGAUAGAAUCACUAAAGAAAUCCUAUCAAGGAAUUCUACUACUUUAAGUAGUGCUGCUCAAUGACCAUCAGCUACAACGAGAAAUUAUUGUUUAGCUGUGGCAUUCUGAGAAAGGGUUCAUCACUGGGAUUUGGCCACUAACAACCCCGAAAGGGAUGAAGGGAAUAAAAUAGUAUCGACCCAUGGCCACAAGUUUUCCUUGCAAAUUGGCAUCAAGUUAGACCUGAAAGUGCUAAAACAGUUAUACAUACCUCUGUGUCAAAACGGACUACACAUGUGAAAGACUUUCCAUCAUCAGUGGUGACUGUAAUGUCUUGGCCAGGUCUUACAUCGCUGACUUUCUUUGGAAGGUCUAUAGUGUAACGUUCAUAACCUGUCAGGCCCAGCGUAUCAGCAUCCUCGCCAGGUUUGAAACAAAGUGGAAUAAUGCCCAUCCCUGCAAGAUUACUGCGGUGUAUUCUCUCAAAACUUUUGGCAAUCACCGCUUUGACUCCCUAAAUCAGAAGCAGAAUAUGGCAGGUGAAGCAAAUAGGGUGUGCUAAACAACCAAACCAUCCAAAAAUGUUUUGCAGACAAUACCAACUUACCUGCAGCAUUGGACCCUUAGCUGCCCAGUCUCGAGAACUGCCACUUCCAUACUCUGUACCUGCCAGAAUUAUGGUGUCCUGACCAGCACUCUUGUACCUCUGAGAACAAUUGCAGUGUCAGUUUAAUUAAUAAAGGUUAAAGAUUGGAUUAGAAUGCUACCAAUUAACAUCCUAGUUGAGAGAACAGAAAAUCAAUCUUAAGCAGAGGGGGGGAAAAAAGCAAAGAGCAAGCCACAAUGGAAGACUCGCCUAUCUAUUCAUUCUACCAGCAUGAAGCGGCAGCUGGAGAUACCCCCAGCCUUUAUAAUUCAUGUAUCCAUGGACACAGAGAAUCAAAUUAACUCCACAGACUAUCCAAGUCAAUCAACACUGAUCUAACUAAAACUCACCAUUGCUGCAUCAUAAACAUAGAGCUCCUCGCCUGUUGGGAUGUGAAUAGUCUUUGGAGCCUGUUUGUUUAGGAACUUAUUCAGAAGUCUAAUAUUUGCAAAGGUACCCCUUGCCAUCACUUCAUCAUUGCCACGACGACUACCAUAAGAAUUGAAAUCUCUACGGUCAACCCCACGCUCCAUCAAGUACUUCGCGGCUGGACUAUCCUUAUGGAUGCUCCCUGCUGGAGAAAUAUGAUCAGUAGUGAUACUGUCACCAAAUUUCAGCAAGCAAUACGCAUCAUUGACUCCAUGGGGACCAGGUGGAUCCAUGGUCAUGUCCUUGAAAUAUGGAGGUUGAUGGAUAUAUGUUGAGUUGGGAUCCCAUUCAUAAAGCUUUGAUGAAGGAACAGACAGUUGAUUCCAGAAGGCAUUGCCUUCUGUAAUAGCUUCAUAAGUGCUCUUAAACAUUUCUGGGAGCACGCUAGACUGCACCACCUGUGAUCUCAGCAAACAAAGU